rnacentral:lncRNA from 1 species
AGAAAAUUCGUCUCAUCCUUGUCUUCGUAUAGCGAAUUUAUCCUCGUGACAAACUGGUUCACAUUACUAAAUACAGUAUUUAAAGACAUGUCUAAAGGAGUUUAGCUUGCUAUUUAUACUCGUCUAUAUGUUGAAUUUUUAGUGGAAUUUUAACAUGACAAAGGACUAUUUUAGAGCUACAUAAUUCAGUCACGCAGUUACGUGAGGAAUAGGGAUGGAGAUGGUUUUUCCAUCUCAUCUUCAUGAACUUGGGGACUAAAAUUUUUAUGUUUUAUUCUGUGUGGGAAUUAAAUUAUCUGUAUCCAUAUCAUCUAAGGACUAAUUUAGUGGACAUGAAAUUAGGGCUACCUGGAGAACCUCAAAUUCCCUUCGGUAUUAGAGAAAAUUAAGGUGUAAAUUAAUUUAUUUUCUCUCCAAUCACCUUCAAUCCCGAAGAGGAUUUGAGUUUCCAAACUAGCCAUUAGAGGAAUCCAUGGGAUAGUAAUUCUCUCUAUUCAAAUUUAAAUAGAGGGAGUUUCUUCUGCAUGGAUCCUCUCCAAUUUCAUGUCCACCAAAUCAGCCCUAGGCAUGGAGUUUCUUGUGCCAAUGUCAUCCUUGUCGUGAGGAUGAGCGGGUGAUUGGGGCUGCAAAUGAAGAAUGCACGAAGACGGAAUUUCAUGGCAAUGAGUUGAAGUUCCACGGCAACCAGCGUGAAGUGGCGAGGUUGUAACCAAAGCCAUGAGCCCAUGACGAUUGCCGAGGGUACCACCAUGCGACCAUGAGGGUUGAGGUGCUCAAAGAUGAUGUGGCAUUGUCCAAAGGGGCCAUGCAAACUCCACCUAUGUGGUGCAGAAUGUUGAAUAGAUCACGAAAGUGUGAGAACAUAAGUAACUAUUGCCAUUGUUCUUACUGCUGAUGAUAGUACAGAGCCCUUCAUGUACGGUGUUCUCCUUUUAGGCUAUCUCCCUCGUCUCUCAUUUUAAAAUCCUCUCUCUAAACAGUGCAUAAGAGUGUAUAACAGUGUUUUGUACAAAAUCAUAUACAUGAUAUGUUGGUCAUGACCUUAGAGAAUAAGCAUACUCAAUGUUGAGCGACAGGAAGCAACCGUUCAAUCACCACAGUUGUCAAAGGACAUGUCCCGUAAAGGAUACUAGAUCAGGCAACGCCCUUUGGGCGCCCUAUCCAAGGACGGUGAAGAAUUCGACAAUUCUAAAAAAAUAUUUUCUGGUAUACAACAUCAGAUACGACAACUACAAGAGAUCCAAAAAUAAUAGGUUGUUGCGCUAUAUUUAUCAUCCGCAACAGUGGCCAUCAAAUUCUAUGGAAGUGCUCCAAGGUAUGACCUUAUUUUAUAUCCAAAGAGAGGGACACAAUAACUGACAUUCCAAGAUGCGACGGAAUGUGGUUGCCUCCCUAGAAAGCUUGGCCAUAUUGUGCACACAGAUUCUGGACCAAAAUUUGGGAUCUCUAGCAUCUUCCCUGCAGCACGGGAGUAUGUUUAGGAAUCACCCACUUAUUGUAUAUGAAGAAAAUACAGUCAAUAAAAGAGCAAAACUAAGAUUAUAUUACUCUGGUAGGCUAACUUCUCCCUUAACAUUAACUAUGCUCUCCCAAGAGGGGGGCGCAGUGAUAAUGAAAGGGGAAGGGGGGUGCUCAGCCUUGUGGUCUUCCUGCACCAACUGGUUGUCAGCAUCAUUGGUACCCUGAUCAUCAUUUUGCAUCUUCUGAGGUUUGUAGUUUUCCAGUACAACUUGAACAACCUAAAAGAUACAAUAGAAAAAACAGAGCUAGUGAAUCAUUUGUGGUUGCAAUCUGCUUGCAAAAGUGACAGUUUAGUAGUAACAAAAUGAACAUAAGCAAUGAACCUUCCUUGCAAGAAGUAACACAAGAAAAAGAGCUCACUUGCAUAUUACUUACAUUGUCAAACUCUGACGAGAUAUGAGAAAGCUCCCCCAUAAACCAGACCUGCUGAGAGCACCUAGAGGGGGGGUGAAUAGGUGAUCCUGUAAAAACUUAACACUUAAGGCCACAAAACUUGAUUAAGAGUUAGCACAAUGAAAUCAAGUGGUUAUAGGAGAUCUCUUAUGGAAUACAAUAGACACAGUGAGAACAAGCACAAGAGACACGAGGAUUUAUCCCGUGGUUCGGCCAAGUACAAAACUUGCCUACUCCACGUUGUGGCGUCCCAACGGACGAGGGUUGCACUCAACCCCUCUCAAGUGAUCCAAUGAUCGACUUGAAUACCACAGUGUUCUUCUUUCUUUACUCUUUCCCGCUUGUGAGGAAUCUCCACAACUUGGAGUCUCUCACGCUUACAAUAAGAAUCAAAGUGAAAGCACUAGAGUAAGGGAGGGAAGCAACACACUCAAAUCCACAGCAAAUACGCACACACACACACAGCCAAGAAUUGAGCUCAAAUGAGUAUAACAAAGUUCACCACUAGAACGGAGCUCAAAUCACUAAGAAUGUCAAACGAGUGCGCAAAGUCGGAGUGAGAAUGAUCAAGAAUGCUCAAAGUGUGCUUGGUGUCAUCCUCCAUGCGCCUAGGGGUCCCUUUUAUAGCCCCAAGGCAGCUAGGAGCCGUUGAGAGCAUUCCAGGAAGGCAAUUCUUGCCUUCUGUCGACUGGCGCACCGGACAGUCCGGUGCACCAUCGGACACUGUCCGGUGCAGAUCUCUUUCCUGUUCUGGCGCAGCCGACCGUUGAAGAUUUGGAGCCGUUGGCGCACCGGACACUGUCCUGUGCCCCCUUCUGACCGUUGGCUCGGCCACGCGUCACGCGCGGAUUGCGCGGUCGACCAUUGGCACAGCCGACCGUUGGCUCACCGGACAGUCCGGUGAAUUUUAGUCGUACGUCGCCGACGAAUUCCCGAGAGCGGCCUUUUCACCAGAGCCAGCCUGGCGCACCGGACACUGUCCGGUGCACCACCGGACAGUCCGGUGCACCCAGACUGAGCAGAGUCUUGGCUGCUCGAGCCAAGUCUUUUCCAAUUGUCUUUUCUUUGAUUCUAGCACUUAGACAAAUAUGUUAGUCACAAAAACCAAUGUACUAAGUCUAGAAUCAUACCUUUGUAUUGAUUUGCACUUUGUCCACCCUUUGGCAUAUACUCAUUCCCUUAAUGUGUGUUGGGCACUUAAUCACCAAAAUCUUAUAGAAAUGGCCCAAGGGCACAUUUCCCUUUCAAUCUCCCCCUUUUUGGUGAUUUAUGCCAACACAACAAAAAGCAACUAAAAGAAGUGCAACAUCAAUGCGAAUGAGAACACAAAUUUGUUUUGAUUCAAAUUUGGCAUAUUUGGAUCAUUCUUUGCCACCACUAGGUUUGUUUUUGCAAAUCAAACACAAUUUCCUAUCUCUAAGUCAAAUUCACUUGUUGAGGCAUAGAGAAAGAUAUUCCAAGAGAAAUUGAUCACUGAUUCAAAAACUCCCCCUAUUUCCCAUAAUCAAACAUUCCCCCCACAAGAGACCAACUUUUGACAAAAAGAGACAUCUAGAAUUUUGGCAAAUCAAAAGUCCUAACUCUACUAUUUUCAAAAUUCUCAAGUGAUAGCUGAUCCAUUUGUUGCUUUGGCCCUUAACUUCUCCCCCUUUGGCAUCAAACACCAAAACGGGAUCAUUUUUGGCCCUUAAACCCCAUUGCCUCACCAAAAUUGUCACUUAAGAGCAAAAGGCAAUAAGAGACAUGGAGAUGAACUUGGAGUAAGUUACCCUCUUAUCGGAGUGCAGUGGAAGUCUUUCAUGGUCCAAGUCCACCUUUCCCUUUCAAUCCACCUUUGAGACUAAUUUAAGAAUACUCAAGCACAUGGUUAGUCCCAAAGAGUCAAGUUGUAGCAUAUCUCCCCCUAAACAUGGUCCGGGGAGUGCUUGUACAACUUGAGCACCAUAAAUAAGCAACAAAAUGCAUAAGGAACAUGAUCAAGGCAUAAAACACAUGUGUGCUAUAAAUCAAUCCAAGUUCCGCGAAUCUAAGACAUUUAGUUCACUACGCAGCCUGCAAAAGGUCUUCUCAUCUAGAGGCUUGGUAAAGAUAUCAGCUAGCUGGUUCUCAGUGCUAACAUAAAACACUUCGAUAUCUCCCUUUUGCUGGUGGUCUCUCAAAAAGUGAUGCCGGAUGUCUAUGUGCUUUGUGCGGCUGUGUUCAACAGGAUUAUCCACCAUGCGGAUUGCACUCUCAUUAUCACAUAGGAGUGGGACUUUGCUCAGAUUGUAGCCAAAGUCCCGGAGGGUUUGCCUCAUCCAAAGUAGUUGCGCGCAACACUGACCUGCGGCAACAUACUCGGCCUCAGCUGUGGAUAGGGCAACAAAAGUUUGUUUCUUAGAACUCCAAGACACCAGGGACCUUCCUAAGAAUUGGCACGUCCCUGAUGUACUCUUCCUAUCGACCUUGCAUCCAGCAUAAUCGGAGUCUGAAUAUCCAAUUAAGUCAAAGGUAGACCCCUUUGGAUACCAGAUCCCGAAGCAAGGCGUAGCAACUAAAUAUCUAAGAAUUCGCUUCACGGCCACUAGGUGACACUCCCUUGGAUCGGAUUGAAAUCUAGCACACAUGCAUACACUAAGCAUAAUAUCCGGUCUACUAGCACAUAAGUAAAGCAAGGAACCUAUCAUAGACCGGUAUGCUUUUUGAUCAACGGACUUACCUCCUUUGUUGAGGUCGACGUGUCCGUCAGUUCCCAUUGGAGUCUUUGCGGGCUUGGCGUCCUUCAUCCCAAACUGCUUGAUCAAGUCUUGUGUGUACUUCGUUUGAGAGAUGAAGGUGCCAUCCUUGAGUUGCUUCACUUGGAACCCAAGGAAGUAGUUCAACUCGCCCAUCAUUGACAUUUCAAACUUUUGAGUCAUCACCCUGCUAAACUCUGCACAAGACUUUUGGUUAGUAGAACCAAAUAAUAUGUCAUCGACAUAAAUUUGGCACACAAAUAAGUCACCAUCACAAGUCUUAGUGAAUAAAGUCGGAUCGGCUUUCCCAACCUUGAAAGCAUUAGCAAUUAAAAAGUCUCUAAGGCAUUCAUACCAUGCUCUUGAGGCUUGCUUAAGUCCAUAGAGCGCCUUAGAGAGCUUACACACAUGAUCGAGGUACCGUUCAUCCUCAAAGCCAGGGGGUUGCUCCACGUACACCUCCUCCUUGAUUGGCCCGUUGAGGAAAGCGCUCUUCACGUCCAUUUGGAACAACCUGAAAGAAUGGUGAGCGGCAUAGGUUAACAAUAUGCGAAUUGACUCUAGCCUAGCCACAUGAGCAAAAGUCUCCUCAAAGUCCAAACCUGCGACUUGGGCAUAACCUUUUGCCACAAGUCUAGCCUUGUUCCUUGUCACCACUCCGUGCUCGUCUUGUUUGUUGUGGAACACCCACUUGGUUCCCACAACGUUUUGCUUGGGACGUGGCACCAGUGUCCAAACUUCAUUUCUCUUGAAAUUGUUGAGCUCUUCCUGCAUGGCCAACACCCAUUCCGGAUCUAGCAAGGCCUCUUCUACCCUGAAAGGCUCAAUAGAAGAGACAAAAGAGUAAUGCUCACAAAAAUUAACUAAUCUAGAGCGAGUAGUUACUCCCUUGCUAAUAUCACCCAAUAUCUGGUCGACUGGAUGAUUCCUUUGAAUCGUCGCUCAAACUUGAGUUGGAGGGGCUUGAGGUGCUUCUUCCUCCAUAACAUGAUCAUCUUGUGCUUCCCCUUGAUCACACGUGUCUUCUUGAUGAACCUGUUCAUCGUCUUGAGUUGGGGGAUGCACCAUUGUUGAGGAAGAAGGUUGAUCUUGCUCCAUUUGUUCCUGUGGUCGCACAUCUCCAAUUGUCAUGGUACGUAUGGCGAUCGUUGGAACAUCUUCUUCAUCUAUAUCAUCAAGAUCAACAACUUGCUCUCUUGGAGAGCCAUUAGUCUCAUCAAAUACAACGUCGCUAGAGACUUCAACCAAACUUGAUGAUUUGUUGAAGACCCUAUACGCCUUUGUAUUUGAGUCAUAACCUAACAAAAACCCUUCUACAGCUUUGGGAGCAAACUUAGAAUUUCUACCUUUCUUCACUAGAAUAUAACAUUUGCUCCCCAAAACACGAAAGUAUGACACAUUGGGUUUGUUACCGGUUAGUAGCUCAUAUGAAGUCUUCUUGAGGAGGCGAUGAAGGUAGACCCGGUUUAUGGCGUGUCAAGCCGUGUUCACGGCUUCCGACCAAAACCUCUUGGGCGUCUUGAACUCUCCAAGCAUCGUCCUCGCCAUGUCAAUGAGCGUCCUGUUCUUCCUCUCUACCACACCGUUUUGCUGUGGUGUGUAGGGAGCGGAGAACUUGUGCUUGAUUCCUUCCUCCUCAAGGAACUCCUCCACUUGAAGAUUCUUGAACUCGGACCCGUUGUCGCUCCUUAUCUUUUUCACCUUGAGCUCAAACUCAUUUUGAGCUCUCCUUAGGAAGCGCUUGAGGGUCCCUUGGGUUUCUAUUUUAUCCUACAAAAAGAAUACCCAAGUGAAGCGGGAAAAAUCAUCAACAAUUACUAAACCAUACUUACUUCCCCCGAUGCUAAGGUAGGCGACGGGUCCGAAGAGGUCCAUAUGCAGCAGCUCCAGGGGUCUUGAUGUAGUCAUCACGUUCUUGCUGUGAUGAGCAUUUCCCACUUGUUUACCUACUUGACAAGCUGCACAAGGUCUAUCUUUUUCGAAAGUCACAUUUGUUAGACCUAACACAUGUUCUCCCUUUAGAAGUUUGUGAAGGUUCUUCAUCCCCACAUGUGCUAAACGGCGAUGCCACAACCAGCCCAUGCUAGUCUUAGCAAUUAAGCAUGCAUCUAGACCGGCCUCCUCUUUUGCAAAAUCAACUAAAUAAAGUUUGUCGUCUAGUACACCCUUAAAAGCUAAUGAACCAUCACUUCUUCUAAAGACAGACACAUCUACAUUUGUGAAUAAGCAAUUAUAACCCAUAUUACAAAGUUGACUAACGGACAACAAGUUAUACCCGAUCGACUCAACUAAAAACACAUUAGAAAUGGAGUGCUCGGAUGAAAUAUCAAUCUUUCCUAGUCCUUUAACCUUGCCUUGGUUCCCAUCAUCGAAUAUGAUUGAAUCUUGAGAAUCUUUGUUCUUGACGUAGGAGGUGAACAUCUUCUUCUCCCCCGUCAUGUGGUUUGUGCAUCCGCUGUCGAUAAUCCAGCUUGAGCCCCCGGAUGCAUAAACCUUCUUCUCCUUUGCCAUUAGGCAUGUGUGAUGCUCGUUGGGGAAGAGGGGCGAUUUGUUGAAGGCCGAGGCGGCGAGUCCUUCGUCGUCGGAGUCGAAUGAUGAACAAUCCGAGUUCCACUCCUUGCCAAGGUGUGCCUCGCCCUUAGCCUUCUUGUAGGUCUUCUUCUUUUCCCUCUUCUUUUCUUGAUCCUGGUCACUAUCAUUAUCGGGACAAUUAGCAAUAAAGUGACCAAUCUUACCACACUUGAAGCAGGAGUGCUUCCCCUUCGUCUUGUUCUUGUUGGGUGCUCCUUGCGACCUUUGAGCGUCGUCUUGAAGCGCUUGAUGAUGAGGGCCAUUUCAUCUUCAUUUAGCCCGGCCGCCUCAACUUGCGCCACCUUGCUAGGUAGCGUCUCCCUGCUACUUGUUGCUUUGAGAGCAAUAGUUUGAGGCUCGUAGAUUGGGCCAUUUAGCGCCUCAUCAACAUAUCUUGCCUCCUUGAUCAUCAUUCGCCCGCUCACAAACUUCCCAAGUAUUUCUUCGGGCGUCAUCUUGAUGUACCUAGGAUUCUCACGAAUAGAGUUAACAAGAUGAGGAUCAAGGACGGUGAAGGACCUUAGCAUAAGUCGGACGACGUCGUGGUCCGUCCAUCGCGUGCUUCCAUAGCUCCUUAUUUUGUUGACGAGGGUCUUGAGCCUGUUGUACGCUUGGGUUGGCUCCUCCCCCCUGAUCAUCGCGAACCUUCCUAGUUCGCCUUCCACCAACUCCAUCUUGGUGAGCAUGGUGACGUCGUUUCCCUCAUGUGAGAUCUUGAGAGUGUCCCAGAUCUGCUUGGCAUUGUCCAGGCCGCUCACCUUAUUGUAUUCUUCCCUGCACAAGGAGGCUAAAAGAACAGUAGUAGCUUGUGCAUUCUUAUGGAUUUGUUCAUUGAUAAACAUAGAAUUAUCCGAACUAUCAAAUUGCAUUCCGUUUUCUACUAUCUCCCAUAUACUUGGAUGAAGAGAGAACAAAUGACUACACAUUUUGUGACUCCAAAAUCCGUAGUCCUCUCCAUCAAAGUGAGGAGGUUUACCAAGUGGAAUAGAAAGCAAAUGAGCAUUGGAAUUAUGCGGAAUACGAGUGUAAUCAAAAGAAAAGUUCGAGUUAGCCGCUUUCUUUUUCUCCUCGUAUUCGUCGUCCUUUUGAGAAGAGGAAGAUUUGUCACUGUCGUAGUAGACAACCUUCCUGAUGCGCCUCUUCUUCUUCCCAUCUUUCUUCUUUUGACUCGAGCCAGAGUCAUUGACUUUGUCGUCCCUUGGCUCGUUGAAGAUGGACUCCUUCUCAUUGUCGUUGACCACCAUCCCUUUUCCCUUAGGAUCCAUCUCUUUGGGUGAUUAUUCCCUUUCUUGAAGAGAACGGCUCGAAUACCAAUUGAGAGCACCUAGAGGGGGGUGAAUAGGUGAUCAUGUAAAAACUUAACACUUAAGGCCACAAAACUUGAUUAAGAGUUAGCACAAUGAAAUCAAGUGGUUAUAGGAGAUCUCUUGUGAAAUACAAUAGACACAGUGAGAAUAAGCACAAGAGACACGAGGAUUUAUCCCGUGGUCCGGCCAAGUACAAAACUUGCCUACUCCACGUUGUGGCGUCCCAACGGACGAGGGUUGCACUCAACCCCUCUCAAGUGAUCCAAUGAUCGACUUGAAUACCACGGUGUUCUUCUUUCUUUACUCUUUCCCGCUUGUGAGGAAUCUCCACAACUUGGAGUCUCUCACCCUUACAAUAAGAAUCAAAGUGAAAGCACUAGAGUAAGGGAGGGAAGCAACACACUCAAAUCCACAGCAAAUACGCACACACACACACACACAGCCAAGAAUUGAGCUCAAAUGAGUAUCACAAAGUUCACCACUAGAACGAAGCUCAAAUCACUAAGAAUGUCAAACGAGUGCGCAAAGUCGGAGUGAGAAUGAUCAAGAAUGCUCAAAGUGUGCUUGGUGUCAUCCUCCAUGCGCCUAGGGGUCCCUUUUAUAGCCCCGAGGCAGCUAGGAGCCAUUGAGAGCAUUCCAGGAAGGCAAUUCUUGCCUUCUGUCGACUGGCGCACCGGACAGUCCGGUGCACCACCGGACACUGUCCGGUGCAGAUCUCUUUCCUGUUCUGGCGCAGCCGACCGUUGAAGAUUUGGAGCCGUUGGCGCACCGGACACUGUCCGGUGCACACCGGACAGUCCGGUGCCCCCUUCUGACCGUUGGCUCGGCCACGCGUCACGCGCGGAUUGCGCGGCCAACCGUUGGCACAGCCGACCGUUGGCUCACCGGACAGUCCGGUGAAUUUUAGCCGUACGUCACCGACGAAUUCCCGAGAGCGGCCUUUUCACCAGAGCCAGCCUGGCGCACCGGACACUGUCCGGUGCACCCAGACUGAGCAGAGUCUUGGCUGCUCGAGCCAAGUCUUUUCCAAUUGUCUUUUCUUUGAUUCUAGCACUUAGACAAAUAUGUUAGUACACAAAAACCAAUGUACUAAGUCUAGAAUCAUACCUUUGUAUUGAUUUGCACUUUGUCCACCCUUUGGCAUAUACUCAUUCCCUUAAUGUGUGUUGGGCACUUAAUCACCAAAAUCUUAUAGAAAUGGCCCAAGGGCACAUUUCCCUUUCACCUGCUCAACAAGAAAACUACAUGAUAUAAUGACUACCAAAGAUAUUUUUGUUUAAAAUUUUGAAAUGCUUAGUGGUUAUUGGCAUAAUAGAACACAUCGUUGUAAUUAAUUGCAUAUAUCCUAUACCAUCUUUGCAUGAAACACUAAAAAUGUUAAAAGCCCCAACUGAGGUACAAUAGACAGCGGCCCUGGUUAAAAGCACAUUUUGGAGUGUAGUAGACAGUAGUGCUGAGAAGGGCCAAGCAGGAACACCCGAGAACUUAAUUACAUGUAGAGAGGAAAAAAUAGCAAACCGUUAGCAUUGAGCAUUCUGAAUAGAAAUAGUUAAUAGUGGCUGUAGAAGCAAGCUACCUGUCUAAUGUGGACCAUAUCAGAAUUAAGAGAAAGGCCUUCUAGUUUCAACCUAGAAAUAUACGCUCGCAACAGACCAUUGAUCUUUGCACUGGGUUCCUCCAAGCUUUCUUUCACAGGUAUUGGCACACGAUCCAAAAGCUUUGCUAGUUCCAUUCUUUAUCAUGGCACCUACAUAAAAAUGUGACUGACAUGGUAGUACUGGAGUUGGUAAGGUGUGCGUUGAGAACAUAUAAAAUAGCGAGGUAGGACUUAGGAUAGAAAAUUUCUUACAAAAUUAAUAUGUUCCUUAAAAAGGCUAUGCUACUUAGCUUUUAGAAACUAUUUUUAUCACACAAAGGAGAUACAAUGGUAAAGAAGUUAAUUUAAUCGGAGCAUGAGAACAAGCAUGAGAACAAAUUGCCAUCACGAAUGAUCUUGUUGGCUUAACUAUUCUGUAGUCAGCUGGUGAACAUCUCAAUAUAGGGUCAAGCAGCCAGUACGGAUAUGUAAAUUACCAAUUAAGAUCCACAGUCCACGCCACCAUAAUAGUUCAUACAAUCUCAAGUGGGUGAGUGUCACACCCGGUUUUAGAAGGCAAACCGAAUGCGAACCAUGUACGUGCCAGGAUCAGUUAUUCACGUACACAGCAGUUACAUAACAUGGACAUCAUCACACAGUGCUCAAAAUAGUAUUAAAAGGGAAAUAAUAGUCGAUUACAUCAUACGUCAGAGACGUCCAUAUAGUCCUUACAAUAAAUCAAAGUGCGGAAAAGAAACGUAGAUAACCGCGGCCUUCAUAGGCAGCCGACUGGGGGUUGCCGCUAACCCACACCUAGAACUCAUCGAAGUCUUGGAACUCCUGGAAGUCUCCUUCCACAGCUUCAUCUUCGCCUGAGCAGUGGUUGCAAUGCUGACAACCUGGGGAUGGGGGGGGGGGUUUGGUGUGUAGAGCAAGGGUGAGUACACAUCAACAUACUCAGCAAGUAUCCUGUUUGGCUGUAGUGGACUAGCUUUAUGUGGGGGUAAGUCAAGCAGUUGCUUUUAGUUGGUCAGAUUAUUAUUUACUAAUAGAAAGCUAGGUUUUAGCAUUAACCCAAGUUAUUAACCCGAUGUACCCUUUCCAAACGGAAAGAAUACCACUUACCAGCACCAUAGUCAUAACCAAAACCAUCAAUCUCAUAACCACCUGUACCAAAGUAUCUCUGAUCAAGUACCACUAAUCACUGGAGCUCCCUUGGCCGCUCAUAACCGCGAGCACGGCUGAUAUAUCAGUUUUCAAACACUCUGCAGAGGUUGUGCACUUUACCCACAAGCCGUGAUUCCCAUUCUGCCCGGAGAUCAUGGCUCUCCAUUGAUCACUACCAAGGUGACCCAGCAGGGCAUCACUACGUAGCCUUUACAAAGAUUCCCCGGGGCUGUAGCCACCCGUUAGGUUUCCUAAAUGCACCGCACUCCUCCCCAAGGGGCGAACCCAAACUUGGCAGAGCGAGCCGCAUACACCGAGCCCCAUUGACGGCACGACGGCUAAGCGAACUACACCCCGGAUCCUCUAAUUAUUCAGCUAAGGGCAUCCCAUUCCACCCUCAUGGUUGCACUGUUUUCCCGGGCGGUCAUCCAUAGAACAGGUCCUUACGGAGAGGCACUCGAGACGCGCGACAAAGCUCUCUAAAACAAAUUAAGAAGUUAACGACUCGUCGCGCGACCGAGCACGCAACGAGACACUUCGCCUUAGUUAUGAGGAGACGUUAAGCGUCGCGCGACGAAGCGCACGACGGCAUACGUCGACUAAACUGAGUCCAAAGUGGAACGUCGCGUGAAUACACACGCGGCGUUACACCUUAAACAACCUGAAACAAAAAUGGAUGGUCGCGCGACGAAGCGCACGACGCAACACAAGAUAGAAUCUGAAUUAGACAAAUCCGUCGCGCGGCGAAGCGCGCGACGCAACACGCUAAUUAACAAAUAAUCACCGCGAGCGCGGGCGAGCGGGGACACGGUCGGGCGGGGCCGGGACGGGGGCAGGGCGACCGGGCCGGGGCCGGGGCGGUUGAACCGGCCAGGGGGGCGGUUAAACCGACCAGGGGCGGCUGGGCCGGUCAGGGCCGCGCCGGGGACGCGCCGGGGGUCGGAGGCCGCGCCGGGGCCACGCACCGGCGAGCAGGGGCGGGGGCCGCGCUGCGCGCGAGCAGGGGAGGGGCGGGGCGGGGGGCGGGGAGCGCCGCGCGGGCGGGCAGGGGGCGGAGGCCGCCGCCGCGAGCGGGCAGGGGGCGGGGAGCGCCGCCGCGGGGCCGGGGGAGGGGCGGGCGCCGCCGCCGCGGGCGGGCAGGGGCGGGGAGCGCCGCCGCGCGGGCCGGGCAGGGGCGGGGAGCGCCGCCGCGGCCGGGGGAGGGGCGGGCGCCGCCGCCGGCGAGUAGGGGCGGGCAGGGGCGCGCGAGCAGGGGAAAAAAAGGGCGCGCGCGGGGGGAAGAAGAGGAGGGAGAGAGAGAGAGAGAUAAGGGAAGGGGAGGGGAGCUCACCUCGGGGUCCAAAAUCCGGUGAUCGCCGUCUCCAAAUCCUAGGGCACCACGGGGAGAGAGAGGUGGAAGAGGGAGAGGAGAGGUUGUUGCGCGGGAGAUCCAAAUGAGAGAGAGAGAGAGGGGAGGGGGGCGCAUGGGGGGUUUGGGCGCCAGGGGCGCGCAGGCCGGGGCGGGCCGGGCCGGCUGGGCUGGGCUGGACUAGAUUGGGUCGAGCCACUUCGCGGAUUGAAAACCCACGACGAGCGCGGACCACUAAACGGAAUUAAAUCGCGAACCGAAAUCCGGAACGAGACGAACACUCAACAUCAGACAAAGAAAUGUGCUUCGGCAUGAUGCAACACCCAUGACACUUAGGUUUUGGUUUAUACAUGACACGGACACCUGCCGCUAUACUGGUUUGAAAUUGGGAAGAAGGAGCAAACGGGGAAAGAGAAAAGAGAGUAACGCCCGAAUUUGGUGAGAGAAAAGAAGAAAAAAUUCUACCCCCAAAUUCAGGGCGUUACAAACCUAUCCCCCUUAAAAGAAUCUCGCCCUCGAGAUUCAGGGUUGGCUAGCAAAGAGCUCAGGGUAUUUAGCCAUCAGAUCAUCUUCACGCUCCCAGGUUGCUUCUUCCUCAGAGUGAUGAUUCCAUCUGACUUUGCACAUUCUGAUGGUCUUCCUUCGGGUGACUCUGUCUGCAACCUCAAGGAUUUGCACUGGUUUCUCAACGUAGGUCAAGUCCUCUUGGACUUCAAGACCUUCCACUGGCAACUGCUCUUCUGGCACACGCAAGCACUUCUUCAACUGAGACACAUGAAAGACAUCAUGCACAGCAGACAAAUUCUCGGGCAAACUGAGCUGAUAGGCCACUUCUCCACGUCUUGCAAGAAUCUGAUACGGACCAAUGUAGCGGGGUGCUAGCUUGCCUUUCACUCCGAAUCUUCUGACUCCUCUGAUCGGUGACACUUUCAGAUAGACAAAGUCUCCGACUUCGAAACUCAGCUCUCUUCUUCUUGUGUCUGCAUAGCUUCGCUGCCUCGAUUGCGCUAUCUUCAGAUUCUCUCGGACCAUCUUGAUGUUCUCUUCGGCUUCAAGCAAAAUGUCUGGCCCAAACACUUGCUUUUCUCCAGGCUGAUCCCAUUGCAACAGAGUUCUGCAACUCCUUCCAUAGAGCGCCUAAAAUGGUGACAUCUUCAAACUGGCCUGGUAACUGUUGUUAUAGGAAAACUCUGCAUAAGGCAAUCGCUUGUCCCAUCCGGACUGAUCUUGCAACGCACAGGCUCUCAACAUGUCUUCAAGAAUUUGAUUGGUCCUUUCGGUCUGGCCAUCUGUCUGCGGAUGAUAAGCUGAACUGAAAUUCAGAUGCGUGCCCAAAGCUUCAUGCAACUGCUGCCAGAAAUGAGAGGUGAACUGCGUUCCUCUGUCUGACACUAUCUUCUUUGGCACACCAUGAAGACAGACGAUCCGAGACAUAUACAAUUCUGCCAAUACUGCACUGCUGUAGUUGGUCUUGACAGGUAUGAAGUGGGCUGACUUGGUCAAGCGGUCCACUACUACCCAGAUGGAAUCGUAGCCGGCUCGAGUGCGAGGCAAUCCGACUAUGAAAUCCAUACCAAUUUCAUCCCAUUUCCACAGAGGGAUCUGCAACGGUUGCAACAAUCCAGCAGGUCUCUGGUGCUCUGCCUUAAUUCUUCGGCAACUAUCGCACAUAGCCACAUGCUCUGCGAUCUCCCUCUUCAUUCCGUACCACCAGAAUUUCUUCUUCAGAUCCUGAUACAUCUUCUCACUGCCAGGGUGAAUCGAAUAGGCUGUCUCAUGAGCUUCCUUGAGAAUCAACUCCCGAAUGGACUGGACAUUGGGAACACACAAAGCGGUCUUUGAACCAUAUCACGCCUUCUGCAUCUUGUCGAAAAUCUUUGCCUCUGCCAUCUAGAAUCAGUCGCCGGAUCUCACUGAUUUUCUCAUCAUUCUUCUGCGCUUCUUUGAUUUUGCGCUCUAAGGUAGGUUCCAACUCAACUGUGACUCCUCGCGAAUUAUUUAGAAAUCCGAGACUCAACCUGUCAAACUCUUUGGCCAACUCAUAAGGCAUCGGACGAGCGACCAUUAGAUUGACUUGACUCUUUCUGCUCAAAGCAUCUGCCACUACGUUUGCUUUGCCUGGAUGGUAAUGAAUCUCCAACUCAUAAUCUUUGAUCAACUCUAACCAUCUUCGUUGCCUCAUGUUCAACUCUGACUGAGUGAAUAUGUACUUCAGACUCUUGUGGUCUGUGUGAACAUCGCAUUUUUGUCCAUACAGGUAGUGCCUCCAUGUCUUAAGUGCGUGAACCACUGCUGCCAACUCUAGAUCAUGGAUUGGGUAAUUCUUCUCAUGAACCUUCAGCUGUCGGGACGAGUAAGCCACAACUCUUCCCUCUUGCAUCAACACACAUCCCAAACCUGUGUAACAAGCAUCACAAUACACCGAGAAGGGCUUGUGCACAUCAGACAAGACUAGGACAGGCGCUGUAGUCAACUUCUCUUUCAGCGCUUCAAAGGCCUCUUGGCAUUUCUGGGUCCACUUGAACUCAACCUUGUUGCCUAGCAACGCUGUCAUUGGUUUCGCAAUCUUCAAAAACCCUUCAAUGAAUCGCCGAUAAUAUCCGGCCAUUCCAAUGAAGCUCUUGAUUCCUCGGGCAUCUGUUGGCGCUUUCCAGUUCAGAAUGUCUGCCACUUUCUUCGGAUCCACAGCCAAUCCUUCCUUGUUGAUUAUGUGACCCAAGAACAGGACUUCACUGAUCCAGAACUCACACUUGCUCAACUUUGCAUACAGCUGGUGCUCUCGCAAUCUCUGCAAUACCAUCCUCAAAUGAUCUGCAUGCUCUUCUUCGCUUUGAGAAUAAACCAGAAUGUCAUCAAUGAAUACCACCACAAACUUAUCAAGGUAAUCCAUGAAUACACUGUUCAUCAAGUUCAUGAAGAACGCUGGCGCAUUGGUCAAACCAAAAGACAUCACGGUGAACUCAUACAAACCAUACUUGGAAAUGAAUGCCGUCUUCGGAAUGUCCGAAGGUUGGAUCCUGAGCUGAUGAUAACCUGACCUCAGAUCAAUCUUGGAGAACACACUGGCUCCUCUCAACUGGUCGAACAGAUCUUCUAUUCUGGGCAAAGGAUACUUGUUCUUGAUCGUGACCUCAUUCAAAGCUCGGUAAUCGAUACACAUCCUCUUGGUGCCAUCUUUCUUUUCCACGAACAAGACAGGGGCGGCCCAAGGCGAGGUGCUUGGCCGAAUGUAACCUUUCUCUGACAGCUCAUCAAUCUGCUUCUUAAGUUCAACCAACUCUGGUCCGGAUAUUCUGUAAGCUCUCUUGAAGAUAGGGGCGGUUCCAGGAAGAAGCUCUAUAGCAAACUCAACUUUCCGCUCUAGUGGCAUACCCGGUAAGUCCUUUGGAAACACAUCUGGGAACUCGGACACAACCUUGAUACUCUCGAUCGGGUCUGCUUCACUGCUAUCAACAGCUAUCUGAUAACAACUUCCUUUCUUUGGCUCAGGCGGGACUAACUCGGUCACCACUUCCUCUCCUAGUGGGGACACCAACUUGAUUGUCCUUUUAUCACAACUGAUAACUGCCUGAUACUUAUCUAGCCAAUUCAUCCCUAGGAUGACAUCUAUUCCCUGAGUACCCAUUACUAUAAGGUUGGCGGGAAACGCUAUCCCCCUUAUUUCCACACUUAUAUUCAAACAAAUGCUAUCGGCUCGAAUUCUACCACCGGCUGAGUCAAUUUGAAUGUGGGUUGACAUGGUAGUAAUUGGAAGAUUAUGUGCUUCUACCCAUGAUGCAGUAAUGAAAGAAUGCGUUGCUCCAGUAUCAAAUAACACUUCUGCAAUAUGGGAGUCGACUGGGAACAUACCUACUAUCAUGCCGGGGGACUCCUGAACUGCUUCAGCCUCCAAGUGGUUCAGUCUUCCAUGAUUAUAGCGCGGCUGGGAGCGGUUGCCUGCUCCAGGCUGAGGCACAUUCUGCUUGGCUGGGGCAUUGGGGCCUGAUUGCUGCUGGGCUGCCUUCUUCGGACAUUGCAUCACCCAAUGGCCUUGCUCUCCACAGUGGAAACAUGCUCUGUUUCCAACCUGAGCUGGUGCUGCCUGAUUGUUCUGCUGGGUUGCUGGGGCAGGAAGACGAGGUGCCUGCUGAUUCUGCCUCUGAAACUAACCUCCUGACUGAUUGCUCUGACGGUUCUGGUACUGGUGUUGAGGAUACUGCCUUUGGAACUGCUGAUGCUGCUGAGGUGGACGCUGGUUCUGCCUGAACUGCUGAGGUUGAUUGCCUGAGAAACGAGGACGAUUGCUGCUUCCAGGCUGGGGUCCACUGAUCUUGCGCUUACGAUCUUCCAUCUCCUUACGCUUCCUCUCUGUGUGAACAUCGCAUUUUUGUCCAUACAGGUAGUGCCUCCAUGUCUUAAGUGCGUGAACCACUGCUGCCAACUCUAGAUCAUGGAUUGGGUAAUUCUUCUCAUGAACCUUCAGCUGUCGGGACGAGUAAGCCACAACUCUUCCCUCUUGCAUCAACACACAUCCCAAACCUGUGUAACAAGCAUCACAAUACACCGAGAAGGGCUUGUGCACAUCAGACAAGACUAGGACAGGCGCUGUAGUCAACUUCUCUUUCAGCGCUUCAAAGGCCUCUUGGCAUUUCUGGGUCCACUUGAACUCAACCUUGUUGCCUAGCAACGCUGUCAUUGGUUUCGCAAUCUUCAAAAACCCUUCAAUGAAUCGCCGAUAAUAUCCGGCCAUUCCAAUGAAGCUCUUGAUUCCUCGGGCAUCUGUUGGCGCUUUCCAGUUCAGAAUGUCUGCCACUUUCUUCGGAUCCACAGCCAAUCCUUCCUUGUUGAUUAUGUGACCCAAGAACAGGACUUCACUGAUCCAGAACUCACACUUGCUCAACUUUGCAUACAGCUGGUGCUCUCGCAAUCUCUGCAAUACCAUCCUCAAAUGAUCUGCAUGCUCUUCUUCGCUUUGAGAAUAAACCAGAAUGUCAUCAAUGAAUACCACCACAAACUUAUCAAGGUAAUCCAUGAAUACACUGUUCAUCAAGUUCAUGAAGAACGCUGGCGCAUUGGUCAAACCAAAAGACAUCACGGUGAACUCAUACAAACCAUACUUGGAAAUGAAUGCCGUCUUCGGAAUGUCCGAAGGUUGGAUCCUGAGCUGAUGAUAACCUGACCUCAGAUCAAUCUUGGAGAACACACUGGCUCCUCUCAACUGGUCGAACAGAUCUUCUAUUCUGGGCAAAGGAUACUUGUUCUUGAUCGUGACCUCAUUCAAAGCUCGGUAAUCGAUACACAUCCUCUUGGUGCCAUCUUUCUUUUCCACGAACAAGACAGGGGCGGCCCAAGGCGAGGUGCUUGGCCGAAUGUAACCUUUCUCUGACAGCUCAUCAAUCUGCUUCUUAAGUUCAACCAACUCUGGUCCGGAUAUUCUGUAAGCUCUCUUGAAGAUAGGGGCGGUUCCAGGAAGAAGCUCUAUAGCAAACUCAACUUUCCGCUCUAGUGGCAUACCCGGUAAGUCCUUUGGAAACACAUCUGGGAACUCGGACACAACCUUGAUACUCUCGAUCGGGUCUGCUUCACUGCUAUCAACAGCUAUCUGAUAACAACUUCCUUUCUUUGGCUCAGGCGGGACUAACUCGGUCACCACUUCCUCUCCUAGUGGGGACACCAACUUGAUUGUCCUUUUAUCACAACUGAUAACUGCCUGAUACUUAUCUAGCCAAUUCAUCCCUAGGAUGACAUCUAUUCCCUGAGUACCCAUUACUAUAAGGUUGGCGGGAAACGCUAUCCCCCUUAUUUCCACACUUAUAUUCAAACAAAUGCUAUCGGCUCGAAUUCUACCACCGGCUGAGUCAAUUUGAAUGUGGGUUGACAUGGUAGUAAUUGGAAGAUUAUGUGCUUCUACCCAUGAUGCAGUAAUGAAAGAAUGCGUUGCUCCAGUAUCAAAUAACACUUCUGCAAUAUGGGAGUCGACUGGGAACAUACCUACUAUCAUGCCGGGGGACUCCUGAACUGCUUCAGCCUCCAAGUGGUUCAGUCUUCCAUGAUUAUAGCGCGGCUGAGAGCGGUUGCCUGCUCCAGGCUGAGGCACAUUCUGCUUGGCUGGGGCAUUGGGGCCUGAUUGCUGCUGGGCUGCCUUCUUCGGACAUUGCAUCACCCAAUGGCCUUGCUCUCCACAGUGGAAACAUGCUCUGUUUCCAACCUGAGCUGGUGCUGCCUGAUUGUUCUGCUGGGUUGCUGGGGCAGGAAGACGAGGUGCCUGCUGAUUCUGCCUCUGAAACUAACCUCCUGACUGAUUGCUCUGACGGUUCUGGUACUGGUGUUGAGGAUACUGCCUUUGGAACUGCUGAUGCUGCUGAGGUGGACGCUGGUUCUGCCUGAACUGCUGAGGUUGAUUGCCUGAGAAACGAGGACGAUUGCUGCUUCCAGGCUGGGGUCCACUGAUCUUGCGCUUACGAUCUUCCAUCUCCUUACGCUUCCUCUCUGUGUGAACAUCGCAUUUUUGUCCAUACAGGUAGUGCCUCCAUGUCUUAAGUGCGUGAACCACUGCUGCCAACUCUAGAUCAUGGAUUGGGUAAUUCUUCUCAUGAACCUUCAGCUGUCGGGACGAGUAAGCCACAACUCUUCCCUCUUGCAUCAACACACAUCCCAAACCUGUGUAACAAGCAUCACAAUACACCGAGAAGGGCUUGUGCACAUCAGACAAGACUAGGACAGGCGCUGUAGUCAACUUCUCUUUCAGCGCUUCAAAGGCCUCUUGGCAUUUCUGGGUCCACUUGAACUCAACCUUGUUGCCUAGCAACGCUGUCAUUGGUUUCGCAAUCUUCAAAAACCCUUCAAUGAAUCGCCGAUAAUAUCCGGCCAUUCCAAUGAAGCUCUUGAUUCCUCGGGCAUCUGUUGGCGCUUUCCAGUUCAGAAUGUCUGCCACUUUCUUCGGAUCCACAGCCAAUCCUUCCUUGUUGAUUAUGUGACCCAAGAACAGGACUUCACUGAUCCAGAACUCACACUUGCUCAACUUUGCAUACAGCUGGUGCUCUCGCAAUCUCUGCAAUACCAUCCUCAAAUGAUCUGCAUGCUCUUCUUCGCUUUGAGAAUAAACCAGAAUGUCAUCAAUGAAUACCACCACAAACUUAUCAAGGUAAUCCAUGAAUACACUGUUCAUCAAGUUCAUGAAGAACGCUGGCGCAUUGGUCAAACCAAAAGACAUCACGGUGAACUCAUACAAACCAUACUUGGAAAUGAAUGCCGUCUUCGGAAUGUCCGAAGGUUGGAUCCUGAGCUGAUGAUAACCUGACCUCAGAUCAAUCUUGGAGAACACACUGGCUCCUCUCAACUGGUCGAACAGAUCUUCUAUUCUGGGCAAAGGAUACUUGUUCUUGAUCGUGACCUCAUUCAAAGCUCGGUAAUCGAUACACAUCCUCUUGGUGCCAUCUUUCUUUUCCACGAACAAGACAGGGGCGGCCCAAGGCGAGGUGCUUGGCCGAAUGUAACCUUUCUCUGACAGCUCAUCAAUCUGCUUCUUAAGUUCAACCAACUCUGGUCCGGAUAUUCUGUAAGCUCUCUUGAAGAUAGGGGCGGUUCCAGGAAGAAGCUCUAUAGCAAACUCAACUUUCCGCUCUGGUGGCAUACCCGGUAAGUCCUUUGGAAACACAUCUGGGAACUCAGACACAACCUUGAUACUCUCGAUCGGGUCUGCUUCACUGCUAUCAACAGCUAUCUGAUAACAACUUCCUUUCUUUGGCUCAGGCGGGACUAACUCGGUCACCACUUCCUCUCCUAGUGGGGACACCAACUUGAUUGUCCUUUUAUCACAACUGAUAACUGCCUGAUACUUAUCUAGCCAAUUCAUCCCUAGGAUGACAUCUAUUCCCUGAGUACCCAUUACUAUAAGGUUGGCGGGAAACGCUAUCCCCCUUAUUUCCACACUUAUAUUCAAACAAAUGCUAUCGGCUCGAAUUCUACCACCGGCUGAGUCAAUUUGAAUGUGGGUUGACAUGGUAGUAAUUGGAAGAUUAUGUGCUUCUACCCAUGAUGCAGUAAUGAAAGAAUGCAUUGCUCCAGUAUCAAAUAACACUUCUGCAAUAUGGGAGUCGACUGGGAACAUACCUACUAUCAUGCCGGGGGACUCCUGAACUGCUUCAGCCUCCAAGUGGUUCAGUCUUCCAUGAUUAUAGCGCGGCUGAGAGCGGUUGCCUGCUCCAGGCUGAGGCACAUUCUGCUUGGCUGGGGCAUUGGGGCCUGAUUGCUGCUGGGCUGCCUUCUUCGGACAUUGCAUCACCCAAUGGCCUUGCUCUCCACAGUGGAAACAUGCUCUGUUUCCAACCUGAGCUGGUGCUGCCUGAUUGUUCUGCUGGGUUGCUGGGGCAGGAAGACGAGGUGCCUGCUGAUUCUGCCUCUGAAACUAACCUCCUGACUGAUUGCUCUGACGGUUCUGGUACUGGUGUUGAGGAUACUGCCUUUGGAACUGCUGAUGCUGCUGAGGUGGACGCUGGUUCUGCCUGAACUGCUGAGGUUGAUUGCCUGAGAAACGAGGACGAUUGCUGCUUCCAGGCUGGGGUCCACUGAUCUUGCGCUUACGAUCUUCCAUCUCCUUACGCUUCCUCUCUGUCAUGAUUGCUCUGUCAAUCAGGUGCUGGAAUGUCGGGAAGGUGUGAUUCAUCAGUUGGUACUGCAGAGGGUCAACCAAGCCUCUCAGGAAACGGUACUGUCGCUUGGCGUCGGUGUUGACAUCUUCAGGAGCAUAGCGAGACAAUUGCAGAAAUCUGUCCCGGUACUCACUGACAGACAAUGGCCCUUGCUUGAGGGCCAGGAACUCCUCCUUCUUCACAGUCAUCAGACCUGCAGGAACAUGGUACUGACGGAAGCUACCUCUGAACUCUUCCGAGGUGACGGCGUCAGGGUGGGCAUGGGUGGCGAGGUAAGACUCCCACCAUGAUUGGGCUGCUCCUCUCAACAGACGGGGACCAUACAGAACCUUCUCCCUGUCAUCGCACUGAGCGGUAUGCAACUCCCGCUCCACAGUGCGCAGCCAGUCUUCAGCAUCCAUGGGGUCAGAAGAAUGAGCGAACGUUGGUGGAUGACCUCUCAUGAAUUCAGCACGCUUGUCUCUGGGCAUCUGAGGCAUCUAAGGCUGAGGUGGGGCCUGCUGCUGCUGCUGCUCCUGAAUGGCGGCCAAAGUCUGACCGAUGGCUUGAACUGCCUGAGUCUGCAUCAGAAACAUCUGCUCGAUGGACAUCGGGGGCGGGGGCGGCAGGUGCUGCUGCUGGGGCACCUCCUCCUGUUGAGCGGCUCGCUCCUGCUGAGCACGCCUUCCUCCUCUGCGCCUGUUCUCUGACAUCUGCAGAAUGCAACCACACAUCAGAACUAAUCUGGCAAAUCUUGCAGCAUAAGAAAAGAGAAUAGAAUUCUUCAACAGCACUGAACAGAUGAGCAUCUUCACUGAUCUCCAACACAGACCACACAGCUUCUCAGAUAAAGAGGAAAGUGGAAUAAAAGGUUUCCCAACUAUAUAACUAACUCCAUUAACAUAAUAGGUAAACCAAAAUGCAGGGGAUACCCACACUCUGGUGACAGUCAUUACAAAGAUCCAAACCAAACAUAGUUCAUCAUGACAAACAUAGAUGCACAGGAUAUAGCAAACUACCCUGUCUAACUAAGACUAACUAAAGCGAGACUAACGCUGAGACUGAAGCUUCUAUGUAUAUAUUUCGUAUUAAUUACAAGAUCCAACUCUAACGAUCUAUGGUUCUAGAGUUAUCUUGGUCUUGCAGUCGGGAUUGCCAUAAGACUGGUGUCCACGCUGAGGUGAGCGGUACGGGUGCUGAGUCCCGACGGGAGCGGGGGAACCACCAUCCAGGUGACGACGUUCCGCGCGCUCAGCCCGCAGCAGGGCGAUCUCAGCACGAGCCCUACUCAGCUCAUCUAAUGCAUGGUCCAGCUCCGUGUUUAGCAUGGCGGCUAGGUUGACUGUGCUGCUCAACCUAGGAUUGCCCUCACCGACAGGUGAGACAAUCACGCCUCCUGUGCUGCCAGAUGGACGGCGGGGGUAAUACUUCAGGUCAAGACCGUCAGCUGCCCCACCGAAAACCGAGCAGUAGUGCGAAAGCGCACGCCGUGCAGCAUCUUGCAUGGCUGCCUCAGCUGAGUCCCGCUCAGAGAUAGAAUAGUGCUCUGAGCAGGCCUCUGCACCCUGGAGACUGUUCUCCGGACAGCGCACCAAGCAGGUUGCCUCCCAGCGGUCCGGGUAGACCCCGCGACUGUGCUGGUAGACCACACAGCGAUACUCGAUGGACCAAGUAUGCCGGUUAAAUGCCCGACGUAGCAGGGUGUCGAGCGCAUCGUGGAAGUGACACCCGCGAGCAGCGUCGCGAGUGAUGGGUCGAGCAACCCAUCCUUCCGGCUCAUGGUUAGCAGAGAAGUCGGUGUCGUGGCUCGAGCUGUCGUCGCCACCUCCGUCGUCUGGGUCUCCUCCAACAGCUACUCCAGAAGCUGGGGCGCCCAGUGGUGGUGCAGGGGGCGCCUCCAGAGGAAGCACAGGGGAGCAGCUCCUCACAGACUCUAUCUCCUGGUGGAGCGAGAAGGAAGAGCCCUGCUGCUCCUGUCGUCGACGUUCCUGCUCCUCAUGCAGGCGAUGGUGUAGUCUCUCCAGGUGGCUGGACUGUCCGGCCACGGGACGGCGAAGCGGACGCUCAGCAAGGCGGGAGGGUAAGAAGGGGAUGACGGACUUUCAUGCAGUGUGUCUAAGUCGAGCCAUCUACAAAAGACAUCGCAAGCAAAAGGGUGAGAACAGAAUUAACAUGACCAACAAGUAAUGAAUCAUAAGUAAAGGAAGGAUUAGAAUAAAACAUGAUUUUCAGCAAGGUAUAAUAUAUAGUAGAACAUAGGUUUGGUCGGUAUGACCAACUUUUGAAGGGAUAUCAAAGUCAAGGCAGGGACAGAGGUCUAUAGUCCUUAGAACGACCAUUCUACUCUAGGUUAGCGGUCCUACAGUCAGCACGGUUCUGAUACCACUUAUGUCACACCCGGUUUUAGAAGGCAAACCGAAUGCGAACCAUGUACGUGCCAGGAUCAGUUAUUCACGUACACAGCAAUUACAUAACAUGGACAUCAUCACACAGUGCUCAAAAUAGUAUUAAAAGGGAAAUAAUAGUCGAUUACAUCAUACGUCAGAGACGUCCAUAUAGUCCUUACAAUAAAUCAAAGUGCGGAAAAGAAACGUAGAUAACCGCGGCCUUCACAGGCAGCCGACUGGGGGUUUCCGCUAACCCACACCUAGAACUCGUCGAAGUCUUGGAACUCCUGGAAGUCUCCUUCCACAGCUUCAUCUUCGCCUGAGCAGUGGUUGCAAUGCUGACAACCUGGGGAUGGGGGGGGUUUGGUGUGUAGAGCAAGGGUGAGUACACAUCAACAUACUCAGCAAGUAUCCUGUUUGGCUGUAGUGGACUAGCUUUAUGUGGGGGUAAGUCAAGCAGUUGCUUUUAGUUGGUCAGAUUAUUAUUGACUAAUAGAAAGCUAGGUUUUAGCAUUAACCCAAGUUAUUAACCCGAUGUACCCUUUCCAAACGGAAAGAAUACCACUUACCAGCACCAUAGUCAUAACCAAAACCAUCAAUCUCAUAACCACCUGUACCAAAGUAUCUCUGAUCAAGUACCACUAAUCACUGGAGCUCCCUUGGCCGCUCAUAACCGCGAGCACGGCUGAUAUAUCAGUUUUCAAACACUCUGCAGAGGUUGUGCACUUUACCCACAAGCCAUGAUUCCCAUUCUGCCCGGAGAUCAUGACUCUCCAUUGAUCACUACCAAGGUGACCCAACAGGGCAUCACUACGUAGCCUUUACAAAGAUUCCCCGGGGCUGUAGCCACCCGUUAGGUUUCCUAAAUGCACCGCACUCCUCCCCAAGGGGCGAACCCAAACUUGGCAGAGCGAGCCGCAUACACCGAGCCCCUUUGACGGCACGACGGCUAAGCGAACUACACCCCGGAUCCUCUAAUUAUUCAGCUAAGGGCAUCUCAUUCCACCCUCAUGGUUGCACUGUUUUCCCGGGCGGUCAUCCAUAGAACAGGUCCUUACGGAGAGGCACUCGAGAAACCGCUCGAGCCCCCUUGAAGACCACAAGUAUAACAUCAUAAUAAGAGAAGGGAAAACAGCGUAUCAUAGAUAAUCUCAUCAUGUUCAUUGAUUAGAGUUUGAGCAAUAGCAUAAAGCUAAACAAUAAUAAUCCAACCCAAAUAGGUAAACAAGGAUAUGGAUAACAAAAACUAGUCAAUCCUUAGGCAUAAAUGUGUAAUGCGGGAGGUGAAUUAAAGAAUGAAUAGGACAGAGAUAGGUCAAGGGACACUUGCCUCCACCAACCGACUGCUGCUCAGGGGCUUCUCCUGCGAGUUCCUCGGGCUCUUCAACCGGAUCGUUCUCUAUGCGAGCGCAAACAUACAUACAUCCACAUAUUCAAUACAAAAGAACAGUACACCAUACAAUAGAAUGCAAUAAGUAAACAGACGUUCCACGCGGGCUCGCGAGUACGGUUAAAAGAGAAAGAGGAAAAGACAGUCGAGAAACGAUCACGUUACAUGAUUAUAAAUUAACCACUCGCUUAAUGGAAGGAAAUUUAAUGUAGACACUAUGUUUAGCGUAAAGUAAAGUCAUGUUUCAUGUCUAAUCAUUAUAAGCAGGUGGAGAUAAAUAAAAGGAUGGUCGCGCGGCGAGACGCGCGACAAAGCUCUCUAAAACAAAUUAAGAAGUUAACGACUAGUCGCGCGACCGAGCACGCAACGAGACACUUUGCCUUAGUUAUGAGGAGACGUUAAGCGUCGCGCGACGAAGCGCACGACGGCAUACGUCGACUAAACUGAGUCCAAAGUGGAACGUCGCGUGAAUACACACGCGACGUUACACCUUAAACAACCUGAAACAAAAAUGGAUCGUCGCGCGGCGAAGCGCACGGCGCAACACAAGAUAGAAUAUGAAAUUAGACAAAUCCGUCGCGCGGCGAAGCGCGCAACGCAACACGCUAAUUAACAAAUAAUCACCGCGAGCGCGGGCGAGCGGGGACACGGUCGGGCGGGGCCGGGACGGGGGCAGGGCGACCGGGCCGGGGCCGGGGCGGUUGAACCGGCCAGGGGCGGCUGGGCCGGCCGGGGCCGCGCACCGGCGAGCAGGGGCGGGGGUCGCGCUGCGCGCGAGCAGGGGAGGGGCGGGGCGGGCGGGCGCCGCCACGGGGCCGGGACGGGCGGGCGCCGCCGCGCCGGGGAGGGGGCGGGGAGCGCCGCGCGGGCGGGCAGGGGGCGGGGAGCACCGCCGCCGCGGGCGGGCAGGUGCGGGGAGCGCCGCCGCGCGGGCCGGGCAGGGGCGGGGAGCGCCGCCGCGGCCGGGGGAGGGGCGGGCGCCGCCGCCGGCGAGUAGGGGCGGGCAGGGGGGCGCGAGCAGGGGAAAAAAAGGGCGCGCGCGGGGGGAAGAAGAGGAGGGAGAGAGAGAGAGAGAGAAGGGAAGGGGAGGGGAGCUCACCUCGGGGUCCAAAAUCCGGUGAUCGCCGUCUCCAAAUCCUAGGGCACCACGGGGAGAGAGAGGUGGAAGAGGGAGAGGAGAGGUUGUUGCGCGGGAGAUCCAAAUGAGAGAGAGAGGGGAGGGGGGCGCAUGGGGGGUUUGGGCGCCAGGGGCGCGCAGGCCGGGGCGGGCCGGGCCGGCUGGGCUGGGCUGGACUAGAUUGGGUCGAGCCACUUCGCGGAUUGAAAACCCACGACGAGCGCGGACCACUAAACGGAAUUAAUUCGCGAACCGAAAUCCGGAACGGAACGAGACGAACACUCAACAUCAGACAAAGAAAUGUGCUUCGGCAUGAUGCAACACCCAUGACACUUAGGUUUUGGUUUAUACAUGACACGGACACCUGCCGCUAUACUGGUUUGAAAUUGGGAAGAAGGAGCAAACGGGGAAAGAGAAAAGAGAGUAACGCCCGAAUUUGGUGAGAGAAAAGAAGAAAAAAUUCUACCCCCAAAUUCAGGGCGUUACAGUGAGACCAAAUCCUUUUUAUCCCAAGCUGAAUCUGACUCAAACAUGAAACCUUGUAAACAGAGAAAAAAGGCAUUCAUUUGAAGGUCUGCUCUGCAAGUCAGUAUGAUCAUACUAAUGAAAUUACUCAUCAGAAAUUAAAUUGAAGAGGUUAACCAUCAAAAUAACCAGAGAGCGUGGUCAUGCACCAAAUUCAAGCGCUUAAUCAUUAAGCAACAAAUAGGAAGUGAAUGUAGAGGAUAAAUAAAAUAAGAAGGAAAAUAAUAUUGCCGCGUACACCUCCUCGGGGCCGAGAACACGAGCAACGCCAGCGACGGCGGAAGGGUGAGGAUGGUGGGCGACCGUGACAACAUUGACGAGCGUCGAGCUGGCCAUGACCAUGAGCGCGACGACCUUGGCACGCGUGAGGCGGUGGCGCUGAAAGUCACCUAGAGAGGGGGGUGAAUAGGCAAAUCUGAAAUUUAUAAAGUUUAAGCACAACUACAAUCUAGGGUUAGCGUUAGAAAUAUGAACGAGCCCGAAAGAGAGGGCGAAAACAAAUCACAAGCAAAUAAGAGCGGAUGACACGGUGAUUUGUUUUACCGAGGUUCGGUUCUUGCAAACCUACUCCCCGUUGAGGUGGUCACAAAGACCGGGUCUCUUUCAACCCUUUCCCUCUCUCAAACGGUCACCUAGACCGAGUGAGCUUCUCUUCUCAAUCAAUUGGGACACUAAGUCCCCACAAGGGUUACCACACAAUUGGUGUCUCUUGCCUUGAUUACAAUUGAGUUGGAAACAAGAAAGAAUGAAGAAGAAAAGCAAUCCAAGUGCAAGAACUCAAAUGAACACAAUUGUCUCUCUCACUAGUCACAUUUGAUUGGAAUGAUCUUUAGACUUGGGAGAGGAUUUGAUCUCUUUGUUUGUGUUUUGGAAUGAAGUCUAGAGCUCUUGUAUGAGGUUUGAAGGCUGAAAACUUGGAUGCAUUGGUGGUUGGGGGGUAUUUAUAGCCCUAACCACCAAAAGAACCGUUGGUGAGGGCUUCUGUCGUAUGGCGCACCGGACAGUUCGGUGCGCCACCGGACACUGUCCGGUGCGCCAGCCACAUCACCAAGUCGUUGGGUUCCGACCAUUGGAGCUUCUAACAACGGGGCCACCGGACAGUCCGGUGGUGCACCGGACAGUCACUAUUCACUGUCCAGUGCGCCUUCUGACGCCUGCUCUGACUCUGCGCGCGCAGUCGGCACUGUUCCUGUUCACUGUAGCCGUUGCAGACGACCGUUGGCGCUUGGAGCCGUUGCUCCGCUUGGUGCACCGGACAGUCCGGUGAAUUAUAGCGGAGCGGCCUCCCUGAAUUCCCGAAGGUGGCAAGUUUGGAGUUGAGCUCCCUGGCACACCAGACACUGUCCGGUGGUGCACCGGACAGUCCGGUGCGCCAGACCAGGGCUGCCUUUGGGUUGUCUUUUGCUCUUUUUAUUUGAACCCUUUCUUGGACUUUUAUUGGUUUGUGUUGAACCUUUGGUACCUGUAGAACUCAUUAUCUAGAGCAAACUAGUUAGUCCAAUUAAUUUGUGUUGGGCAAUUCAACCACCAAAAUUCAUAUAGGAAAAGGUGUAAGCCUAUUUCCCUUUCAAUCUCCCCCUUUUUUGUGAUUGAUGCCAACACAAACUAAAACAAAUAUAAAAGUGCAGAAUUGAACUAGUUUGCAUAAGGUAAAUGCAAAGACUGCUUGGAAUGAAACCAAUAAUUAUUUCUACUAGAUAUGCAUGGAUGGCUUUCUUCUUAUUUAAAAUUUUGGACCACGCUUGCACCACUUGUUUUGUUUUGCAAUGUUUUGGAAAUUCUUUUUCAAAAUCUUUUGCAAAUAGUAAAAGGUAUAUGAAUAAUAUUUUGGAAAGCAUUUUCAAGAUUUGAAAUUUUCUCCCCCUGUUUCAAAUGCUUUUCCUUUAACUAAACAAAACUCCCCCUUAAUGAAAUCCUCCUCUUAGUGUUCAAGAGGGUUUUUGAUAUUAAUUUUGAAGAGCGUAUACCAAUUUGAAAUUAUAUCAAAAAUAAGAUAUCAAUUUGAAAAUCUAAAAAAACUUCUUUAAUACAAAUUGAAAGACUACAAAUUUUUGAAAUUUGGUGGUGGUGCGGUCCUUUUGCUUUGGGCUAAUACUUUCUCCCCCUUUGGCAUGAAUCUCCAAAAACGGAUACUUGUGAGUGAAAUAUAAGCCCUUUUUCAAACGUUCUCCCUCUUUGGUAAAUAAUAUAGGAGUGAAGAUUAUACCAAAUUGGAGAGCAUUGUAGAGCGACGGCGAAGGAUGAAUAAUUCGAUGGAGUGGAGUGGAAGCCUUUUGUCUUCGCCGAGGACUCCAUUUCCCUUUCAAUCUAUGACUUAGCAUAAUAUUCACUUGAAAACACAUUAGUCAUAGCACAUGAAAGAGAUAUGAUCAAAGGUAUAUAGAUAAGCUAUGUGCAAAAUAUCAAUCAAAAUUCCUAGAAUCAAUAAUAUUUAGCUCAUGCCUAAGUUUGGUAAAUGUUUUCUCAUCUAGUGGCUUGGUAAAGAUAUCGACUAAUUGUUCUUUGGUGUUAAUAUAAGCAAUCUCGAUAUCCCCCCGUUGUUGGUGAUCCCUCAAAAAGUGAUAUCGAAUGGCUAUGUGCUUAGUGCGGCUGUGCUCAACGGGAUUAUCCGCCAUGCGGAUUGCACUCUCAUUAUCACAUAGGAGAGGGACUUUGGUUAAUUUGUAACCAUAAUCCCUAAGGGUUUGCCUCAUCCAAAGCAAUUGCACGCAACAAUGGCCUGCGGCAAUAUACUCGGCUUCGGCGGUAGAAAGAGCUACAUAAUUUUGUUUCUUAGAAGCCCAAGACACCAGAGAUCUUCCCAAAAACUGGCAAGUCCCUGAUGUGCUCUUUCUAUCAAUCUUACACCCUGUCCAAUCAGCAUCCGAAUAACCAAUUAAAUCAAAAGUGGAUCCCCUAGGGUACCAAAGGCCAAACUUAGGAGUAUAAACUAAAUAUCUCAAGAUUCGUUUCACGGCCCUAAGGUGAACUUCCUUAGGAUUGGCUUGGAAUCUUGCACACAUGCAUACGGAAAGCAUAAUAUCCGGUCGUGAAGCACAUAAAUAGAGUAAAGAUCCUAUCAUUGACCGGUAUACCUUUUGAUCUACGGAUUUACCUCCCGUGUCGAGGUCGAGCCCAUUGGUUCCCAUGGGUGUCUUGAUGGGCUUGGCAUCCUUCAUCCCAAACUUUGCAAGAAUGUCUUGAAUGUACUUCGUUUGGCAAAUGAAGGUGCCCUCUUGGAGUUGCUUAACUUGAAAGCCUAGAAAAUACUUCAACUCCCCCAUCAUUGACAUCUUGAAUUUUUGUACCAUGAUCCUACUAAACUCUUCACAAGUAGAUUUGUUAGUAAACCCAAAUAUGAUAUCAUCAACAUAAAUUUGGCAUACAAACAAAUCAUUUGCAAUUGUUUUAGUAAAGAGUGUAGGAUCGGCUUUUCCGACUUUGAAGCCAUUAGCGAUAAGAAAAAUCUCUUAGGCAUUCAUACCAUGCUCUUGGGGCUUGCAUGAGCCCAUAAAGCGCCUUAGAGAGUUUAUACACAUGGUUAGGGUACUCACUAUCUUCAAAGCCGGGGGGUUGCUCAACAUAGACCUCCUCCUUGAUUGGUCCAUUGAGGAAGGCACUUUUCACGUCCAUUUGGUAAAGCUUAAAGCCAUGGUAAGGAGCAUAGGCAAGUAAUAUACGAAUUGACUCAAGCCUAGCUAUGGGUGCAUAGGUUUUACCGAAAUCCAAACCUUCGACUUGUGAAUAACCCUUGGCCACAAGUCGGGCUUUGUUCCUUGUCACCACACCAUGCUCAUCUUGUUUGUUGCGGAAGACCCACUUGGUUCCUACAACAUUUUGGUUAGGACGUGGAACUAAAUGCCAUACCUCAUUCCUCGUGAAGUUGUUGAGCUCCUCUUGCAUCGCCAGCACCCAAUCCGAAUAUUGAAGUGCCUCCUCUACCCUGUGUGGCUCAAUAGAGGAAAUAAAAGAGUAAUGUUCACAAAAAUGAGCAACACGAGAUCGAAUGGUUACCCCCUUAUGAAUAUCGCCGAGGAUGGUGUUCACGGGUGAUCUCGUUGGAUUGCUUGGUGGACUCUUGGGUGUGGCGGUCUUGGACCGUCAUCAUCUUCCUUGUAUUGAUCAUUAGCAUCUCCCCCUUGAUCAUUGUCCUCCUCUUGAGCCUCAUUUUCAUCAUCUUGAGCUUGAUCUUCAUCUUGAGUUGGUGGAGAUGCUUGCAUGGAGGAAGAUGGUUGAUCUUGUGCUUGUGGAGGCUCUUCGGAUUCCUUAGGACACACAUCCCUAAUGGACAUGUUCCUUAGCGCGACGCACUGAGCCUCUUCAUCAUCUAGCUCAUCAAGAUCAACUUGCUCUACUUGAGAACCGUUAGUCUCAUCAAACACAAUGUCACAAGAAACUUUAACUAGUCCAGUGGACUUGUUAAAGACUCUAUAUGCCCUUGUGUUUGAAUCAUAUCCUAGUAAAAAGCCUUCUACAGCCUUGGGAGCAAAUUUAGAUUUUCUACCUCUUUUAACAAGAAUAAAACAUUUGCUACCAAAGACUCUAAAAUAUGAAACAUUUGGCUUUUUACCAGUUCGGAGUUCAUAUGAUGUCUUCUUGAGGAUUCGGUGAAGGUAGAGACGGUUGAUGGCGUAGCAAGCGGUGUUGAUUGCUUCUGCCCAAAACCGGUCCGAAGUCUUGUACUCAUCAAGCAUGGUCCUCGCCAUGUCAAGUAGAGUUCUAUUCUUCCUCUCCACUACACCAUUUUGUUGUGGCGUGUAGGGAGAAGAGAACUCAUGCUUGAUGCCCUCAUCCUCAAGGAAGCCUUCAAUUUGUGAAUUCUUGAACUCCGUCCUGUUGCCGCUUCUAAUCUUUUUUAUCCUUAAGCCGAACUCAUUUUGAGCUCGUCUCAAGAAUCCCUUUAGAGUCUCUUGGGUUUGAGAUUUUUCUUGCAAAAAGAACACCCAAGUGAAGCGAGAAUAAUCAUCCACAAUUACAAGACAAUACUUACUCCCACCGAUGCUUAUGUAAGCUAUCGGGCCGAAUAGGUCCAUAUGGAGUAGCUCAAGCGGCAUGUCGGACGUCAUGAUGUUCUUGUGUGGAUGAUGAACACCAACUUGCUUCCCUGCUUGACAUGCGCUACAAACCCUGUCUUUCUCAAAAUGAACAUUGGUUAGUCCCAAAAUGUGCUCUCCCUUUAGAAGCUUAUGAAGAUUCUUCAUCCCAACAUGGGCUAGUCGGCGAUGCCAGAGCCAACCCAUGUUAGUCUUAGCAAUUAAGCAAGUGUCGAGUUCAGCUCUAUUAAAGUCAACUAACUAUAGCUGACCCUCUAGCACUCCCUUGAAUGCUACUGAAUCAUCACUUCUUCUAAAGACAGUAACACCUAAAUCUGUUAAAAAGACAAUUGUAGCCCAUUUUGCAUAAUUGAGAAACAGAAAGCAAAUUGUAAUCUAAAGAGUCUACAAGAAAAACAUUAGAAAUAGAAUGGUCAGGUGAUAUAGCAACUUUACCAAGUCCUUUGACCAAACCUUGAUUUCCAUCCCCGAAUGUGAUAGCUCUUUGGGGAUCUUGGUUUUUCUCGUAGGAGGAGAACAUCCUUUUCUCCCCAGUCAUGUGGUUUGUGCACCCGCUAUCAAUUAUCCAACUUGAGCCCCCGGAUGCAUAAACCUACAAAACAAGUUUAGGCCUUGUUCUUAGGUACCCAAAUGGUCUUGGGUCCUUUGACAUUAGAAACAAGCACCUUGGGUACCCAAACACAAGUCUUGGAGCCCUUGUGUUUGCCCCCAACAUAUUUGGCAACUAUUUUGCCUGAUUUGUUAGUGAGCACAUAAGAUGCAUCAAAAGUCUUAAAUGAAAUAUUAGGUUCAUUUGAUGCAAUAGGAGUUUUCUUCUUAGGCAAUUUAGCAUGGGUUGAUUGCCUAGAACUAGAUGCCUCACUCUUAUACAUAAAAGCAUGAUUAGGGCCAGAGUGAGACUUCCUAGAGUGAAUUCUCCUAAUUUUGUGUUCGGGAUAACCGACAGGGUAUAAAAUGUAACCCUCGUUAUCCUAAACCAUGGGAGCCUUGUCCUUAACAAAGUUGGACAAUUUCUUAGGGGCAUUGAGUUUGACAUUGCCUCCUUGUUGGAAGCCAAUGCCAUCCUUAAUGCCAGGGCGUCUCCCACUAUAGAGCAUGCCUCUAGCAAAUUUAAAUUUUUCAUUUUCUAAGUCAUGCUCAUUAAUUUUGGCACUAAGCUGAGCUAUGUGAUCAUUUUGUUGUUUAAUUAAAGCUAGGUGAUCAUAAAUAGCAUCAACAUUAAUGUCUCUACAUCUAGUGCAAAUAGUAACAUGCUCAACGGUAGAUGUAGAGGGUUUGCAAGUAUUUAAUUCAACAAUCUUAGCAUGUAAAUUAGCAUUCUCAUCUCUAAGAUUGGAAAUAGAAGCAUUGCAAACAUUUAAAUCUUUAGCCUUAGCAAUUAAUUUUUCAUUCUCAAUUUUAAGGCUAGAGAGGGAUGCAUUCAAUUUGUCAAUCUUAGCAAUCAAAUUAGCAUUAUCAUUUCUAAGGUUGACAAGAGAAUCAUCACUAACAUUUAAUUUCUCAACCUUAGCAAUCAAUUUAUCAUUUUCAAAUCUAAGGUUAGAAAUAGUGUCAUGGCAAGUGCUAAGCUCACUAGUUAAUUUUUCAUUUUUCUCUACCUCCUAAGCAUAAACAUUUUUAGUCUUAACAUGCUUUUUGUUUUCCUUAAUAAGGAAGUCCUCUUGGCUAUCCAAGAGUUCAUCCUUCUCAUGAAUAGCACUAAUCAGUUCAUUUAAUUUCUUCUUUUGUUGCAUGUUAAGAUUGGCAAAAAGAGUGAGCAAGUUAUCCUCAUCAUCACUAGAAUUAUCCUCAUCACUAGAGGUUGCAUACUUAGUGAAGGAUUUUGAUUUUACCUUCUUCUUCUUGCCGUCCUUUGCCAUGAGGCACUUGUGGCCGACGUUGGGGAAGAGAAGCCCUUUGGUGACGGCGAUGUUUGCGGCAUCCUCGUCGGAGGAGGAGUCGGUGGAGCUCUCGUCGGAGUCCCACUCCCAGCAAACAUGGGCAUCGCCGCCCUUCUUCUUGUAGUACCUCUUCUUUUCUUUCUUCUUUCCCUUCUUGUCGUCACCCCUGUCACUAUCACUUUAAAUAGGACAUUUUGCAAUGAAAUGACCGGGCUUACCACAUUUGUAGCAAACCUUCUUGGAGCGGGGUUUGUAAUCCUUCCCCCUCCUUUGCUUGAGGAUUUGGCGGAAGCUCUUGAUGAUGAGCGCCAUUUCCUCGUUGUCGAGCUUGGAGGCGUCGAUGGGGAUCCUACUUGGUGUAGAGUCCUUCUUUUCUUCUUCCGUCGCCUUGAAUGCGACGGGUUGCACCUUGGGUGUUGAGGUGGCGCCUUGCUCGAUGAUUUUCUUGGAGCCUUUGAUCAUCAAUUCAAAGCUCACAAAUUUUUCUAUCACUUCCUCGGGAGACAUUAGUUUAUACCUUGGAUCACCACGAAUUAAUUGAACUUGUGUAGGGUUAAGAAAAACGAGUGAUCUAAUAAUAACCUUGACCAUUUCAUGGUCAUCCCAUUUGGUGCUCCCGAGGUUGCCACUUGGUUCACCAAGGUCUUGAGCCGGUUGUACAUGGCUUGUGGCUCCUCCCCUUGGUGAAGCAUGAAGCGACCGAGCUCCCCCUCGAUCGUCUCCCGCUUGGUGAUCUUGGUCACCUCGUCUCCUUCGUGUGCGGUCUUGAGCACGUCACAAAUCUCCUUUGCGCUCUUCAACCCUUGCACCUUAUUAUACUCCUCUCGACUUAGAGAGGCGAGGAGUAUAGUAGUGGCUUGGGAGUUGAAGUGUUGGAUUUGUUCGACCUCCUCCGAAUCAUAAUCUGUGUCCCCCUUCUUUGGUACCUGCGCUCCAUACUCAACAAUAUCUCAUAUACUUUUGUGGAGUGAGGUUAGGUGACGCCUCAUUUUAUCACUCCACAUAGAAUAAUCUUCACCAUCAAACAUAGGUGGUUUGCCUAAUGGGACGGAAAGUAAUGGAGUGCAUUUUGAAAUACGAGGAUAGCGAAGGGGCAUCUUACUAUACUUUUUGCGCUCAUGGUGCUUAGAAGUGACGGAUGCCGAUUCCGAGCCGGAGGUGGAGGGUGACGAAGAGUCGGUCUCGUAGUAGACCACUUUCUUCAUCUUCUUCUUCUUGUCACCCUUCCGUUGAGACUUGAUGGAGGAAGAGGAUUCCUCCUUGUGCUUGUGGGCUGACUCCCUUGAGUGCGUUCUCCCCGAGCUUGCGGACUUGUCGCCGGUCCCGAUCUCCCUCUUGGCGGAUGCUCCCGACAUCACUUCGAGCGGUUAGGCUCUAAUAAAGUACCAGGCUCUGAUACCAAUUGAAAGUCGCCUAGAGGGGGGUGAAUAGGCAAAUCUAAAAUUUAUAAAGUUUAAGCACAACUACAAGCUGGGGUUAGCGUUAGAAAUAUGAACGAGUCCGAAAGAGAGGGCGAAAACAAAUCACAAGCAAAUAAGAGCGGAUGACACGGUGAUUUGUUUUACCGAGGUUCGGUUCUUGCAAACCUACUCCCCGUUGAGGUGGUCACAAAGACCGGGUCUCUUUCAACCCUUUCCCUCUCUCAAACGGUCACCUAGACCGAGUGAGCUUCUCUUCUCAAUCAAUCGGGACACUAAGUCCCCACAAGGACCACCACACAAUUGGUUCCUCUUGCCUUUAUUACAAUUGAGUUGGAAACAAGAAAGAAUGAAGAAGAAAAGCAAUCCAAACGCAAGAACUCAAAUGAACACAAUUGUCUCUCUCACUAGUCACUAUUUGAUUGGAAUGAUCUUUGGACUUGGGAGAGGAUUUGAUCUCUUUGUUUGUGUUUUGGAAUGAAGUCUAGAGCUCUUGUAUGAGGUUUGAAGGCUGAAAACUUGGAUGCAUUGAAGUGUGGUGGUUGGGGGUAUUUAUAGCCCCAACCACCAAAAGAACCGUUGGUGAGGGCUUCUGUCGUAUGGUGUACCGGACAAUCCGGUGCGUCAGCCAUGUCACCAAGCCGUUGGGUUCUGACCGUUGGAGCUUCUCGCAAUGGGGCCACCUGACAGUCACUAUUCACUGUUCGGUGCGCCUUCUGACGCCUGCUCUGACUCUGCGCGCGCAGUCGGCACUGUUCCUGUUCAUUGUAGUCGUUGCAGACGACCGUUAGCGCUUGGAGUCGUUGCUCCUCUUGGUGCACCGGACAGUCCGUUGAAUUAUAGCGGAGCGGCCCCCUGAAUUUCCGAAGGUGGCAAGAUUGGAGUUGAGCUCCCUGGCACACCGGACACUGUCUGGUGGCACACCGGACAGUCCGGUGCGCCAGACCAGGGCUGCCUUUGGGUUGUCUUUUGCUCUUUUUAUUUGCACCCUUUCUUGGACUUUUAUUGGUUUGUGUUGAACCUUUGGCACCUGUAGAACUCAUAAUCUAGAGCAAACUAGUUAGUCCAAUUAAUUUGUGUUGGGCAAUUCAACCACCAAAAUUCAUAUAGGAAAAGGUGUAAGCCUAUUUCUCUUUCAGGUGUUGCAUCUCGGCGGGGAGCACAGAGUAAAUAUGCGCCACGUGUAGCUCCUUCCCGGAGCGACUAGGAUCGACGCACUCCGGCGUAGCCGAGCAGGCGCGUGGGAGACAUCGGCCAGGGAAGGCGCACUCUAGGUUCGGUGGCGGCUCCGGUGGGCAAAGCGACGGAAGGGGCGACGUGGGAGGGUUAGCUUGGAAGGGAGAGGAACGUGGGAGGGUUAGCUUGGAAGGAUCGGGUCCGACCGAGAGCUCUACUGUGCAAGGCGAGCACGUCGAAGCCGUCGCAGCGGAUCUCCUCGGGGUCAACCACGGGGUACAGGAAGCCGCACGCGUCGUGCGCGCUCCGCACCACCAGCGCGGCGUCGGGCGCCAUGUGCCACCCGAGGUGCUCAACGACGCGCGCCUUCUCCUCGGCGGCCAUGCCCACGAGCGCCGCCAGGAAGACGACGUCGUAGGCGGCCAGUUCCCGGGUGACGUGGGCGACGUCGGAGGUGCGGAACGCCAUGCGCGCGGCGAGCGCGGCGUCGGCACACGCGGUCGUUGGCGUCCCCGCAGAUGUCGUAGUUGUCGAAGGCGGCGACGGGGAGGUGGCGUGAGGCGAGCACGAGGGAGCUGAGCGGGAGCGAACCGGAGCCGACGAAGGCGACGCGGGAGGGGGGUGGGCCCGGGACGUGGCGCGUGAAAGGGAAUUAGGCUUACACCUAUUUCCUAAAUGAUUUUGGUGGUUGAUUUGCCCAACACAAAUAAUUGGACUAACUAGUUUGCUCUAGCGUAUAAGUUAUACAGGUGCCAAAGGUUCACACUUAGCCAAUAAUAAGACCAAGAAUUGGGUUCAACAAAGAGAGCAAGGGUUAACCGAAGGCACCCUGGUCUAGCACACCGGACAGUCUGGUGUGCCACCGAACUGUCUGGUUUGCCACCGGACAGUGUCCGGUGCACCAGGGGACUUCACGCUGAACUCCUCACCUUCGGGAAAAUCCAGAGGCGCUCCACUAUAAUUCACCGGACUGUCCGGUAUACACCGGACAGUGUCCGGUGCUCCAGUGGAGAGCGACUCUAAACUCGCCAGCUUCGGGAAUUCGCUCCGCUAUAAUUCACCGGACAUGUCCGGUGCACACCGGACUGUCCGGUGAGCCAGCGGAGCAAUGGCUACUUCGCGCCAACGGUCACCUGCAGAAGCAUUAAAUGCGCGCCAGAGCGCGCAGAAGUCAGGCACGCGCGAAGUGGCGCACCGGACACUCUACAGGACAUGUCUGGUGCGCCACCGGACAUCCAGGCGGGCCCAGCAGUCAGAGCUCCAACGGUCGGAACCCAACGACCUGGUGACGUGGCUGGCGCACCGGACACUGUCCGGUGCACCAUGCGACAGACAGCCUCCACCAAACGGCUAGUUUGGUGGUUGGGGUUAUAAAUAACCCCAACCACCCCACAUUCUAGUCAUCUAAGUUUUCACACUUACAACCACUUACAAGAGCUAGGCAUUCAAUACAAGACACACCCAAGUGAUCAAAUCCUCUCCCAAUUCCACAAAAGCUUUAGUGUUAAGUGAGAGUGAUUUGUUGUGUUCUUUUGAGCUCUUGCGCUUGGAUUGCUUCUUUUCUUUCUCAAUCUUUCUUAAGAUCAAACUCACUUGUAAUUGAGGCAAGAGACACCAAUUGUGUGGUGGUCCUUGCGGGAACUUUGUGUUCCAAGUGUUUGAAAAGAAGAAGCUCACUCGGUCCGAGGGACCGUUUGAGAGAGGGAAAGGGUUGAAAGAGACCCGGUCUUUGUGACCACCUCAAUGGGGAGUAGGUUUGCAAGAACCGAACCUCGGUAAAACAAAUCCACGUGUCACACUCUUUUAUUCGCUUGCGAUUUGUUUUGCACCCUCUCUUUCGGACUCGAUUAUAUUUCUAACGCUAACUCGGCUUGUAGUUGUGAUUAACUUUGUAAAUUUCAGUUUCGCCCUAUUCACCCCCCCCCCUCAAGGCGACUUUCAAUUGGUAUCAGAGUCCGGUGCUUCAUUAGAGCCUAACCGCUCGAAGUGAUGUCGGGAGAACACGCCAAGAAGGAGAUGGAGACCGGCGAAAAGCCCACUAGAAGCCACGGGAAGACUUCAUCGGAAGAGUCCCGCAAAAAGGGGAAAGGGAAGGAGAAGAAAGCCUCUUCCCACAAGUCGCAUCGGAGUGGCGACAAGAAAAAGAAGAUGAGGAAGGUGGUCUACUACGAGACCGAUACUUCAUCACCUUCCACCUCCGGCUCCGACGCGCCCUCCGUAACUUCUAAGCGCCAUAAGCGCAAGAAGUUUAGUAAGAUCCCCUUACGCUAUCCUCGCAUUCCUAAACAUACGCCUUUACUUUCCGUCCCAUUAGGCAAACCACCAACUUUUGAUGGUGAAGAUUAUGCAAGGUGGAGUGAUUUAAUGCGAUUUCAUCUAACCUCACUCCACAAAAGUAUAUGGGAUGUUGUUGAGUUUGGUGUACAGGUACCAUCCGUAGGGGAUGAGGAUUUUGAUGAGGACGAGGUGGCCCAAAUCGAGCACUUCAACUCCCAAGCCACAACAAUACUCCUCGCCUCUCUAAGUCGAGAGGAGUACAACAAGGUGCAAGGAUUAAAGAGCACCAAGGAAGUUUGGGACGUACUCAAGACCGCGCACGAGGGUGAUGAACUAACCAAGAUCACCAAGCGGGAAACGAUCGAGGGGGAGCUCGGUCGCUUCCGUCUUCGCCAAGGGGAGGAGCCUCAAGACAUGUACAACCGGCUCAAAACCUUAGUGAAUCAAGUGCGCAACCUCGGGAGCAAGAAAUGGGAUGACCACGAGGUGGUUAAGGUUAUUCUAAGAUCACUUAUUUUCCUUAACCCUACUCAAGUACAAUUAAUUCGUGGUAAUCCUAGAUAUACACUAAUGACUCCCGAGGAAGUAAUCGGGAAUUUUGUGAGCUUUGAGUUUAUGAUCAAGGGCUCACGGAAGAUCAACGAGCUUGACGGUCCCUCCACGUCCGAAGCGCAACCGGUUGCAUUCAAGGCGACGGAGGAGAAGAAGGAGGAGUCUACACCAAGUAGAACACCCAUCGACGCCUCCAAGCUCGACAACGAGGAAAUGGCGCUUGUCAUCAAAAGCUUCCGCCAAAUCCUCAAGCAAAGGAGGGGGAAAGAUUACAAGCCCCGCUCCAAGAAGGUUUGCUACAAGUGUGGUAAGCCCGGUCACUUUAUAGAAAAAUGUCCUAUUUCUAGUGACAGUGACAGGGGCGACGACAAGAAGGGAAGAAGAAAGGAGAAGAAGAGGUACUACAAGAAGAAGGGCGGCGAUGCCCAUGUUUGUCGCGAGUGGGACUCCGACGAAAGCUCUAGCGACUCCUCCGACGACGAGGACGCCGCCAACAUCGCCGUCACCAAGGGACUUCUCUUUCGGCCACAAGUGCCUCAUGGCAAAGGACGGCAAAAAGAAGGUUAAAUCCAAAUCCUCCACUAGAUAUGAGUCUUCUAGCGAUGAUAAUGCUAGUGAUGAGGAAGAUAAUUUGCAUACUCUUUUUGCCAACUUAAACAUGCAACAAAAAGAGAAAUUAAAUGAAUUAAUUAGUGCCAUCCAUGAGAAGGAUGAUCUCUUGGACUCCUAAGAGGACUUCCUAAUCAAGGAAAACAAAAAGCAUGUUAAAGUUAAAAAUGCUUAUGCUCUAGAAGUUGAAAAAUGUGAAAAACUAUCUAGUGAGCUAAGCACUUGCCAUGAGACUAUAGACAACCUUAGAAAUGAGAAUGCUAAUUUGUUAGCUAAGGUUGAUUCUAUUGCUUGUAAUGUUUCAAUUCCCAAUCUUAAAAACGAUAAUGAUGAUUUGCUUGCUAAGAUUGAAGAAUUGAACAUUUCUCUUGCUAGCCUUAGAGAUGAAAAUGAAAAAUUGCUUGCUAAGGCUAAAGAUUUUGAUGUUUGCAAUGCUACCCUUUCCGACCUUAGAAGUAAAAAUGAUAUAUUGCAUGCUAAGGUUGUAGAAUUGAAAUCUUGCAAACCAUCUACAUCUACCGUUGAGCACACUACUAUUUGCACUAGAUGUAGAGAUGUUGAUAUUAAUGCUAUACAUGAUCACAUGGCUUUAAUUAAACAACAAAAUGAUCAUAUAGCUAAACUAGAUGCAAAAAUUGCCGAGCAUGAACUUGAAAAUGAAAAAUUUAAAUUUGCUAGAAGAAUGCUCUACAGUGGGAGACGCCCUGGCAUCAAGGAUGCAAUUGGCUUCCAACAGGGAGGAAAUGUUAAACUCAAUGCCCCUCCUAAGAAACUGUCUAAUUUUGUUAAGGGCAAAGCUCCCAUGCCUCAAGAUAACGAGGGUUACAUUUUAUACCCUGCCGGUUAUCCUGAGAGCAAAAUUAGGAGAAUCCACUCUAGGAAGUCUCACUCUGGCCCUAACCAUGCUUUUAUGUAUAAGGGUGAGACAUCUAGCUCUAGGCAACCAACCCGUGCUAAGUUGCCUAAAAAGAAAACUCCUAGUGCAUCAAAUGAUCAUGACAUUUCAUUUAAAACUUUUGAUGCAUCAUAUGUUUUAACUAACAAAUCCGGCAAGGUAGUUGCCAAGUAUGUUGGGGGCAAACACAAGGGAUCAAAGACUUGUGUUUGGGUACCCAAAGUUCUUGUAUCUAAUGCCAAAGGACCCAAAACCAUUUGGGUACCUAAAGUCAAGAACUAAACAUGUUUUGUAGGUUUAUGCAUCCGGGGGCUCAAGUUGGAUCAUCGACAGCGGGUGCACAAACCACAUGACAGGGGAGAAGAAGAUGUUCUCCUCCUAUGAGAAAAACCAAGAUCCCCAACGAGCUAUCACAUUCGGGGAUGGAAAUCAAGGUUUGGUCAAAGGAUUGGGUAAAAUUGCUAUAUCUCCUGACCGUUCUAUUUCCAAUGUUUUUCUUGUAGAUUCAUUAGAUUACAAUUUGCUUUCCGUUUCUCAAUUAUGUCAAAUGGGCUACAACUGUCUAUUCACUGAUGUAGGUGUCACUGUCUUUAGAAGAAGUGAUGAUUCAAUAGCAUUUAAGGGAGUGUUGGAGGGUCAGCUAUACUUGGUAGAUUUUGAUAGAGCUGAACUCGACACUUGUUUAAUUGCUAAGACUAACAUGAGUUGGCUCUGGCACCGCCGACUAGCCCAUGUUGGGAUGAAGAAUCUUCAUAAGCUUCUAAAGGGAGAACACAUUUUAGGAUUAACAAAUGUUCAUUUUGAGAAAGACAGGAUUUGUAGCGCAUGCCAAGCAGGGAAGCAAGUUGGUGCUCAUCAUCCACAAAAGAACAUCAUGACGACCGACAGACCACUAGAGCUCCUACACAUGGAUCUAUUCGGCCCGAUCGCUUACAUAAGCAUCGGCGGGAGUAAGUACUGUCUAGUUAUUGUGGAUGAUUAUUCUCGCUUCACUUGGGUAUUCUUUUUACAGGAAAAAUCUCAUACCCAAGAGACAUUAAAGGGAUUCUUGAGACGGGCUCAAAAUGAGUUCGGCUUAAGGAUCAAAAAGAUUAGAAGCGACAACGGGACGGAGUUCAAGAACUCUCAAAUUGAAGGCUUCCUUGAGGAGGAGGGUAUCAAGCAUGAGUUCUCUUCUCCCUACACGCCACAACAAAAUGGUGUAGUGGAGAGGAAGAAUAGAACUCUAUUGGACAUGGCAAGAACCAUGCUUGAUGAGUACAAGACUUCGGAUCGGUUUUGGGCCGAGGCGGUCAACACCGCCUGCUACGCCAUCAACCGGUUAUAUCUACACUGAAUCCUCAAGAAGACAUCAUACGAACUCCUAACGGGUAAAAAGCCCAAUAUUUCAUAUUUUAGUCUUUGGUAGCAAAUGUUUUAUUCUUGUUAAAAGAGGUAGAAAAUCUAAAUUUGCUCCUAAGACUGUAGAAGGCUUUUUACUAGGAUAUGAUUCAAACACAAGGGCAUAUAGAGUCUUUAACAAGUCCACUGGACAAGUUGAAGUUUCUUGUGACGUUGUGUUUGAUGAGACUAACGGCUCUCAAGUAGAGCAAGUUGAUCUUGAUGAGAUAGGUGAUGAAGAGGCUCCAUGCAUCGCGCUAAGGAACAUGUCCAUUGGGGAUGUGUGCCCUAAAGAAUCUGAAGAGCCUCCAAAUGCACAAGAUCAAGCAUCCUCCUCCACGCAAGCACCCCCACCAACUCAAAAUGAGGAUGAGGCUCAAGUUGAUGAAGGAGAAGAUCAAGCAAAUGAGCCACCUCAAGAUGACGGCAAUGAUCAAGGGGGAGAUGCGCAUGAUCAAGACAAGGAGGAUGAAGAACAAAGGCCGCCACACCCAAGAGUCCACCAAGCAAUCCAACGAGAUCACCCCGUCGACACCAUCCUCGGCGACAUUCAUAAGGGGGUAACCACUAGAUCUCGUGUUGCACAUUUUUGUGAGCAUUACUCUUUUGUUUCCUCUAUUGAACCACACAGGGUAGAGGAAGCACUUCAAGAUUCGGAUUGGGUGGUGGCGAUGCAAGAGGAGCUCAACAACUUCACUAGGAACGAGGUAUGGCAUUUAGUUCCACGUCCUAAUCAAAAUGUUGUAGGAACUAAGUGGGUCUUCCGCAACAAGCAAGAUGAGCAUGGUGUGGUGACAAGGAACAAAGCCCGACUUGUGGCCAAAGGAUACUCCCAAGUCGAAGGUUUGGAUUUCGGUGAAACCUAUGCACCCGUAGCUAGGCUUGAGUCAAUUCGUAUAUUAUUGGCCUAUGCUACUUACCAUGGCUUCAAGCUUUAUCAAAUGGACGUAAAGAGUGCCUUCCUCAAUGGACCAAUCAAGGAAGAGGUCUAUGUUGAGCAACCUCCCGGCUUUGAAGAUAGUGAGUACCCUAACCACGUCUAUAAACUCUCUAAGGCGCUUUAUGGGCUCAAGCAAGCCCCAAGAGCAUGGUAUGAAUGCCUUAGAGAUUUUCUUAUCACUAAUGGAUUCAAAGUCGGAAAGGUCGAUCCUACACUCUUUACCAAAACACUUGAAAAUGAUUUGUUUGUAUGCCAAAUUUAUGUUGAUGAUAUUAUAUUUGGGUCUACUAACGAAUCUACGUGUGAAGAGUUUAGUAGGAUCAUGACACAGAAAUUUGAGAUGUCUAUGAUGGGGGAGUUGAAGUACUUCUUAGGAUUUCAAGUGAAGCAACUCCAAGAUGGCACCUUCCUAAGCCAAACGAAGUAUACUCAAGAUAUUCUAAGCAAGUUUGGGAUGAAGGAUGCCAAACCCAUCAAGACACCCAUGGGAACCAAUGGGCAUCUCGACCUCGACGAAGGAGGUAAAUCCGUCGAUCAAAAGGUAUACUGGUCGAUGAUAGGCUCUUUGCUAUAUUUAUGUGCAUCUCGACCGGAUAUAAUGAUUUCCGUAUGCAUAUGUGCAAGAUUCCAAGCCGACCCUAAGGAAGCUCACCUUACGGUCGUGAAACGAAUCUUGAGAUAUUUAGUUUAUACUCCUAAGUUUGGGCUUUGGUAUCCUAGGGGAUCCACUUUUGAUUUGAUUGGUUAUUCGGAUGCCGAUUGGGCGGGGUGUAAGAUUAAUAGAAAGAGCACAUCGGGGACUUGCCAGUUCUUGGGAAGACCCUUGGUGUCUUGGGCUUCAAAGAAGCAAAAUUCCGUAACUCUUUCUACCACCGAAACCGAGUACAUUGCCGCAGGACAUUGUUGCGCGCAACUACUUUGGAUGAGGCAAACCCUUAGGGACUACGGUUACAAAUUAACCAAAGUUCCUCUUCUAUGUGAUAAUGAGAGUGCAAUCUGCAUGGCGGAUAAUCCCGUUGAGCAUAGCCGCACUAAACACAUAGCCAUUCGGUAUCACUUCUUAAGGGAUCACCAACAAAAGGGAGAUAUCGAAAUUUCAUACAUCAAUACUAAAGAUCAAUUAGCCGAUAUCUUUACCAAGCCACUUGAUGAACAAACCUUUAACAAACUUAGGCAUGAGCUAAAUAUUCUUGAUUCUAGGAACUUCUUUUGUUAAUUUGCACACAUAGCUCAUUCAUAUACCUUUGAUCAUGUCUCUUUCAUAUGCUAUGACUAAUGUGUUUUCAAGUCUAUUUCAAACCAAGUCAUAGGUGUAUUGAAAGGGAAUUGGAGUCUUCGGCGAAGACAAAGGCUUCCACUCCGUAACUCAUCCUUCGCCGUCGCUCCGAGCCACUCUCCAUCUUUGGGGGAGAGAGCAUGAGUCCAAAGCAAAAGAACUCCGGCUUUGGUAAAAUCUUCACUCAUCUUUUAUUUGCCAAAGGGAGAAAGUAGUUAGGCAAGGGCUCUAAUGAAUCCGUUUUUGGUGAUUCAUGCCAAAGGGGGAGAAAGCAUGAGAGCCCAAAGCAAAAGGACCGCACCACCACCAAUUUCAAAAUUUUGGUUUUGGUUUUUCAAUUGGUACUAAUUUUAGAAAGAGUUUUUCAAUUGGUAUAAUUUUCAAAUUGGCAUCUUCUUAUGAUCAAAAAGGGGAGAAAAUAGUAUUUUCAAAAUCAAUAUCUUAAAACCCUCUUGAACACUAAGAGGAGGAAUUUAUUAAGGGGGAGUUUUGUUAAGUCAAAGGAAAAACAUUUGAAACAGGGGGAGACAAUUUCAAAUCUUGAAAAUGCGUCGAAAAAUCUUAUUCAUUUACCUUUGACUAUUUGCAAAAGGACUUUGAAAAGAAUUUACAAAACAAUUUGCAAAAACAAAACAUGUGGUGCAAGCGUGGUCCAAAAUGUUAAAAAUGAAGAAACAAUACAUGCAUAUCUUAUGAGUAGUUAUAUUGACUCAAUUCCAAGUGACAUUUGCACUUAUUUUAUGCAAACUAGUUCAAUUAUGCACUUCUAUAUUUGCUUUGGUUUGUGUUGGCAUCAAUCACCAAAAAGGGGGAGAUUGAAAGGGAAUUAGGCUUACACCUAUUUCCUAAAUGAUUUUGGUGGUUGAUUUGCCCAACACAAAUAAUUGGACUAACUAGUUUGCUCUAGUGUAUAAGUUAUACAGGUGCCAAAGGUUCACACUUAGCCAAUAAUAAGACCAAGAAUUGGGUUCAACAAAGAGAGCAAGGGUUAACCGAAGGCACCCUGGUCUGGCACACCAGACUGUCCGGUGUGCCACCGGACAGUGUCCGGUGCACCAGGGGACUUCACACUGAACUCCUCACCUUCGGGAAAAUCCAGAGCGCUCCACUAUAAUUCACCGGACUGUCCGAUGUACACCGGACAGUGUCCGGUGCUCCAGUGGAGAGCGACUCUGAACUCGCCAGCUUCGGGAAUUCGCUCCGCUAUAAUUCCCGGACAUGUCUGUCGGUGUUUUGGGUCCGACCGCACACCCAGGGUUACCCCUCGAAGUGUUUUUAGGAGUAGGACGGUGUCGACAACUGUAGCAAAAUGGUUCGUGUCGAUCGCACGAGGAACAGUGGACAAGGUUUACAGGUUCGGGCCGCUUAGAGAUGCGUAACACCCUACGUCCUGGUGAGUAUGCUUGGUGAAUGUGGUUACAAGAGGGCUCUCUGGAUUGAGAAUACCGAGAGUUGACGUGGAUGGCUAAGUAAUAGGGUCGAUCGUUCUGAAGGGGUGCCCCCUAGGCCUUAUAUACUCGACCGUGGGGCAAUACAUGUGGAUAUGAUAACAGCAAGUAGCUAAAAGAUAAUGAACCUCUUGAGUUUAUCCCUGCGUAACCCUCGCCGACUUAUCCUCACAUGGCUCCGUUGCAUGGGGGCUCCAACGCGGGAAAGUCGGAUCUCUGUUGUGGUCACUCGCUCGACGUCGUGGGCCGUCCGGGUUUGCACCAAUCCGGCCUCAUGUCGUUCUGCUUUGCUGGUUGCCUCUCCCCAGGCCCACGAAAGAAUGACCUUACGAUUUAUUGGGCUCUUGGGCCUUUCGUGAGGUCUUUUACUCUUUUAGUGGACCCGGGGGAUAUCUAUCCCCCACAAGCCCCCGAUCUUUGGGUUAAUUUAGAGGUAAUCAGCCCAAAGAUCCCAGGUCCAGCUUGCAGGUGUUUUGGAGAAAAUGACUUCUUGUUGUCUUCUCCCGCUUUGAUCACUCGUAGACCGAAACCUUGUUUCGUGCUUGUGCCUUAGAGGUCGGCAUUUCAAUUUGUAGGGUUCUGAACUUCAUUGGGUGCACCGGAGGUGCACCCAAUGGGUGUAGCCCCCGAGCUUCGAGUAGAUUUUAGAAAAUAAUCUACUCGAAGGUCUUCCCCAGAAAUUAUUUCCAUUUGUGCUCCUGCAUUUUGGUUGAAAGCUGGCCUUUUAAUCUUGUUCCACGCCCUUUAUAAGUCGGCACUAUCUUGGCUUGGAAUGAUAAUCCAUGGGGUGCACCGGAGGUGCACCCAAUGGGUGUAGCCCCCGACCUUCAAAUGGAUUUUUGAGGAUAAUCCAUUCGAAGGUCUUCCUUUUGUGUCUCUUUGCUGAAAAUUAUCCUUUCUGGUUUGUAGAAAUCGGCAUGAAGCUAUUCGCAUUAUGCUUUGGAGGUCAGCAUUAUGUCAUCAAUAUUUUGCUUCAGAGGUCAGCAUAUAUUUUGUCUUUAGCAGCCGAGUUCGCAAUCCAUCCAUAUCUUGCUAGGUAGUGCAAUUUAUUUGCUCUGCGACUGAUUGGACGUUUGAUGGACGUUCUCUGUCUAGUCUUCACAUCGCUUCUGUCGGCCAUAUUUUGUACUUUACUGGCUAUGUUUGGCUUUCCUCUGAUCCUUACUGAUAUCUCAUUUUUGUCUUGAGGUAUUCACUGCGUGCCCUGCACAGAUGUGACCGUUUUAAAAAAUAUAUUGAUAAUUCCUGGGCGUCCCCCCCCAAUGGGUGUGGGCAAGGGACGGCUUGGUGCGCUGAGUGUUUUAGCCGGCUGCUUCUGAGUAGUAAUGUGAUGUGACGGUGGGUGUAAUCAUAUCCUCCGCGCUGUUGACUGGAGUCCCAAUGGGUGUUGUGUUGCGUGAAACGGCGUCAGCCGCCUGACGUGUCUUCAGACGGGUUGAAGUGCUUAUUGAAUGCUUUGCGACUGUUCGGUGACCGCGGUUGGAGGUGAGCGGUUGCCUUCUUCUUCUAUAAAUAGUGCCUUUGCCUCUCUGGUUAUUUCUCAUCUCUUGCUGUUCUCCGUUGCUUGCUUUCUUCCUCUCCUUGCACUUCCACCAUGGGCAAGAACUACAAACUCAAGCGCGAGCCGACUCCUCCGUCAGAGGACUUUGGCGACUCGGAAUACUCAGAGGAGGAGUUCUCCUCUGAGUCCGAGGGGUCUCCGGCUCCCGUCUCUCCCCCAGCGUCGUCCGAUGACUCGGACGACUCUCAGGGGAUUGCCGCGGAGGUCUGGACGUACAUCCGGGUCGUCGAGCGCUCCAGGCUCGAGGGCUCGGAUGAGUCAGAGUACUCCUCGGAUGAGGAGGACUCGGACGGCGGCGGCGAGGACGAGGACGACGAUGACGACGACGGCGGCGGCGGCGACGACGGUGACGGUGACGGCGACGGCAGCGGCAGGGGCAGCAACGGCGGCAGCAGGGGUGGCAACGGCGACAGCAGCAGGGGCAACGGCGGCGGCAGCAGCAGCAAGGGCAGCAACAAGGCCAGUGGCUAAAUGCCACUGGUUUUUAGAUAUUAGUAUAGAUUAGAAGUAGUAUAGUAAAAUAACGUAGUAGUAUUAGUAGUGUAGAGUAGUGUAGUGUAGCGUAGUAGUAGUAGUAGUAGUAGGGGAGUAUCAACUCAUAAUGAGUUGAUUUGUAAGUAUUGUUACUUCCCUUAAUGAGAAAUGACUGUCUCCUCCUGCGCCAAUUAUUUUUGCUUCAUAGUAAAUUGAUCUCUUGUUUUGUGAAGUUGAUUCAUUCGGAAUAGUAUCUAAAUAACUCGGGCAUCAUACUGACGCUGUUAGGAAUAGCCACCGAGUAACUUGCAGACGGCGCUGGCGCUUUUAGAGGUAACGCCGAGCAACUGAGGACUGUAUCAGUGUUUUAGAAGUAACGCCGGGUGAUUGGGAAGCGUUGUCGGCAUUUUAGUGGUAAUGCCGAGCGACUUGAGACGGUGCCAGAGGGCGAAUUCAGCGUUUUAGAGGUAACGCCGAGCCACUGAGAGGCGACGUCGGCGUUUUAGAGGCAACGCCGAGCGACUGAACACUGUAUCAGCGUUUUAGAGGCAACGCCGAGUGAUUGAACGCGAUAUCAGCAUUGUAGAAACAACGCCGAGCGACUGAACACUGUAUCGGCGUUUUAGAGGUAACGCCGAGUGAUUGGAAAGCGAUGUCAGCAUUUUAGAGGUAACGCCGAGCGACUGAACACGAAAUCAGCGUUUUGGAGGCAACGCCGAGCGACUGAACACUGUAUCAGCGUUUUAGAGGCAACGCCGAGUGAUUGAACGUGAUAUCAGCAUUGUAGAAACAACGCCGAGCGACUGAACACUGUAUCGGCGUUUUAGAGGUAACGCCGAGUGACUGAACACUGUAUCAGCGUUUUAGAGGCAACGCCGAGUGAUUGAACGCGAUAUCAGCAUUGUAGAAACAACGCCGAGCGACUGAACACUGUAUCGGCAUUUUAGAGGUAACGCCGAGUGAUUGGAAAGCGAUGUCAGCAUUUUAGAGGUAACGCCGAGCGACUGAACACGAAAUCGGCGUUUUGGAGGCAACGCCGAGUGAUAGCAGGCUGCGCGAGCCAAUUUGAGGACGAUGGCCGAGUGAUGAGGUGGCGUACCGGUGUUCUGGAGAUAACUGUCGGGUUCCCACGUGGCAUGCUGGGGUUUUGGAAAUAACCACCGGGUGAUGACUGGGCACUUUUUGAAACGGUAUCUGGCUCGAGAAUAUCCCAUAAGAGCUGCGCUUUUAGCCGCCUUUGCUUUCCGUGCCUUAGUUCUUGCUUUUCCACUUCCGAAUCCUCUCCGCCAUUCGCCUUCCUCCCUGCUCGCUGUUAGAAUUGAGAUGGCACCCAAGAGGAAGACUGCGAGCUCAUCUGCUGUGGUGAUUCCUCCAAUCGACCCCAACAGCCAGUUGCCUUUCGCAGGUAACCACAUGUCCAUCAUUUCUGAAGCUGAACUUCUCCACCUCGUAUCCAUCGGGGUUCUUCCUCCGCGAGAACUCUGUUCUUGGCGGAUUUGCCACGGGUUUACUGUUCCGACAGAGGAUACCCAUGAGUCCGUUGUUUACGCCCCUUUUCUUCUCCGUGGCCUCGGCCUUCCCAUCUCUCCCUUUUUCCGCGACCUCCUUGAUUUCUACCAUAUUAAUUUGACCCAUUUGAACCCCAACUCAAUUCUGCAAAUCUCCAUUUUCGUUCACUUAUGCGAGGCCUUUCUUGGCGUCCUGCCACAUUUCGGUUUAUGGAAAUAUUUGUAUCAUUGUCGCCCUGGGAUGGCCGGGGGACAACAUCAGUUGGUCGGGGGUGCCAGCUUGGAGAUGCGCCGCGGGAGGAAAACUGAAUAUCUCGAGAUCCCCCUCAAGGACAGCAUUAAAGGAUGGCGCCUAGAGUGGUUUAUAGUUGAGAAUUAUGGGAAUUCUCUCCCCUCCCGGUCGGGAAGACAGCCGGAUGUUCGCACCCCAAGCUGGACCGAGUCUCCCACAGAUCAGGAGGUAGCUGAAGCAAGUGUGUUGCUAGCUGAAGUUGGACUGCUGAAGGAGAGGGGUCUAACUGCUGAAGCUGUAGUUACUGACUUUGUUUUCAAGAAUAUUCAGCCACUGAAAGACAGGGCCUAUCCAGCUUAUCUGUAUCGAGGGCUAGCCGACUCAACUCGGGUUACCAAUAGGAGAAUUCCUUCUGCAGAUUUGGUGAGCCGACUUGAAAUGAUUCUCAGGGGCAAGGUGUCAAAUGUUGGUGCUCCAGUGGCGUACUCGGCCUGGAACUUGCCUCCUCCCAAAGCCUUCACUCUUUUCGUGUCGAAUCCACCCGUUACUGAUGGCAAUUUGGGCCUUAGAGUGCGACCCUCUGCUGAAGAAGUUAGUGCUUUGGUUGCUUCGCUUGGGGAGAUUCCUGAUGACGAACGGCAGGUCCAUUUUGCGGUGCCCCUGAACCCUAGUGAUGCAGAUAUAAAUGCUAUGCUCGAUUUGCUAGCUGAGGAUUCUUCCGAUGCUGCUCCUGCUGGGGCGCUGGCAGUGGUGCCCCUCCCAGAGGUUGACACGACUUUGGAUGCACAGAAGCCUGUCAGUACUCGCCCGAGGCGCCCUUGCCGAGCCAAUCAGCCUGAUCCUUCUGCUGAUGAGCAGAAGAAGAAAAGAAGACGCCUCCGGCGAGUAUCCAGCUUUGAUCAGGACGUUGGUACCUCGGUUCCUGCUACUGAAGAAAUGCCUGCGACUGGACUUAUUGAUGCUGACCCCAAUGGGUGUACCCAAUCGGCUGCUGAUCCCAAUGUGGGUGCUCCACCUGUUGCUGAUCCUAAUGGGGGUGCUGCUUGUGUUGCCAAUGUGGAUGAUGAGGAGGAAGAAAAUGAAGCUCCUUUGACUCGGAAAAACAGUCGGCAAUUCAUCGCCAGCGGUGGAAGUAGUGGAGUUCCCUCUCCUGCUUUGUCUGCCCUCAUUGGUCUGCAAGAACUGUCCCUAGCCAACUUUGAUCAAACUCUUGAAGAUAUGGUCCCAGAAGACUUGUUAUCGGAGCCAGUGGAUGAUGGUGCAAUGGAGGCUUGCGUUGACGUGCCUGAUGCUGGGUUGAGGUCAUCCCGUGCCUCGUCGACCUUAGAGCGCGAUCUCGAGGGUCGGGAAGCUGACUUGGAUUGUCCUGGUCCUAUGGAAGUAGCUGAGGGCCCGUCAACCUUAGAGGUGAUUACUGCGGAGAGCUUGGACCUCAAGAAUGGUGCUGACACAUGCCCAGCCCCCGAGGAUGUCGCCGGGGAUGACUUAGCUCGGGUGAAGAGUAUAAGCCACUGCCCAGCCUCCGAGGGUGCUGCCGGGGAUGAUCCGGCUCAAGUGGGCAGUGCCAACUAUGACCCAGCCCCCGAGGGUGCCCGAGCAGGGUCUCCUUCCUGUACUUCCAUGGACGUUCACGCAGGAUCUCCUCCACACUCUGGUUGUAUGGUGGUAGUUCAAACUUUGGAUCAGGGAGUCGCUUUAGAGGGCAGCGUCCCUGCUGACCGAGUGUUGGGCUCUGUUGAAGGUACUGAGCUGAUCUCUGCUGGUUCGUUGCAAGCUGCUUCGGGUGGUGGCCUUACGCCUGCUUAUCAACUGAUCUCCCCUGAUUUGGGGAUCCCUUCGUUCUUUUCCAACCUCCAGGUACUGUGAUGUAUUUUAGCUUGAUUUUCACAUUGUAUGAACUGUUGUCAUCACACUCAUCUGUUUUCCUCGUCAGGCGUUGGUGGAUGGGAUGGCCAGCCAGCUGAGAUUGCGGGGAGCUUCCGUUCCAGAAGUGGCUUCGUCUCUUGCAUGUUGGAAUCCAGUGUCACUUCAACAUCGCGUCUCUGAAUUGGAGGCAGCCAACGCUGGUUAGUGCCCUUUUUGCUUUUCCUUGCCUUUGUUGUGGACUGUUUUACCUUCUGACCCCGUUUUGUUUGAUUAUCUCUUGCUAGGAAUGACUCGGCAGAUUUCAUUUGUUGAAGAAAAACACUCCCGAGAUCAGGCUGAAUGGGUCCAGCGGUGCGCUGACUUCGAGGAGAAGUACUCUCAGAGCCAAACUGAACUGGGUCAAGUCUCCGCUGCCUUGGAUGACGCUAAUGCCCUGAGUUCUUCUCUUCAUGCUCAGCUCAAUUCUGAAAAGGUGAUUUACAAAGUUGUGCCUUGCCUUGCUGAGUUCCUUAUUACUUGCUGGAUUUUUGAAGGAGUUGAUUUUUGCUUUGCAGGAAGAAAAACGUAUCCUUGCUGCUUCUCGUGACAAUCUUGACAGAUUGUAUCGUGAUUCUAGCAACUCGCUGACCAUCUUGGAGAGGAGUCACCGCUUUACAAUGGAGGAAUUGGACAAUCAACGUUGUAAGCUGCAGGAAUCUGCGGACGAAGUGACCCGCCUCAAACAGUUGAUAUCAGCAAAGGAUGCCACCAUUAAAGAACUCCGAGCUUCCAAGAAAUCCAUUGCCCAAGAGUUAGAGACUGCUCGACUGGCUGCUAAAGUUACCGAAGAAACUUCUGUUACUCUCAAAGCCUAGCGCGACAAAGCCAUGGACAAGGCUAUUCGGGCGGGACGAAUCUUGAUGAGGAGGCCCGGCGUGGUUGUUCCUAAAGACAUAAGGGCUGACGUGAAUGCUGCCCCCGAUUCCUCGAGUCGUCCUUCUUCGUCGGUCGCCCCUGAGAAAGACAUUGCGAAAUAGAGAAACAUUUUGCGUGCUUUGAGCGCGUGGUUUGAUAGUCGCCUAGAGGGGGGGUGAAUAGGGCGAAACUGAAAUUUACAAAUAUAAACACAACUACAAGCCGGGGUUAGCGUUAGUAAUAAUAAACGAGUCCAAGAGAGAGGGCGCAAAACAAAUCCCAAGCAAAUAAGCAAGUGAGACACGGAGAUUUGUUUUACCGAGGUUCGGUUCUUGCAAACCUACUCCCCGUUGAGGAGGCCACAAAGGCCGGGUCUCUUUCAACCCUUCCCUCUCUCAAACGGUCCCUUGGACCGAGUGAGCUUUCCUUCUUCUCAAUCAACCGGGAACAAAACUUCCCCGCAAGGGCCACCACACAAUCGGUGCCUCUUGCCUCGGUUACAAUUGAGUGCUGAUCACAAGAGCAAAAGAGAAAGAAAGAAUGCGAUCCAAGCGCAAGAGCUCAAAUGAACACGGCAAAUCACUCUCUCUAGUCACUAGGGCUUUGUGUGGAAUUGGAGAGGAUUUGAUCUCUUUGAAUGUGUCUAGAAUUGAAUGCCUAGCUCUUGUAAGUGGUUGAGAAGUGGGAAAACUUGGAUAGCCAUGAAUGUGGGGUGGUUGGGGUAUUUAUAGCCCCAACCACCAAACUUGACCGUUGGCUGGAGGCUUCUGUUCGAUGGCGCACCGGACAGUCCGGUGCACACCGGACAGUCCGGUGCCCCUGCCACGUCAUCACUGCCGUUGGAUUCUAGCCGUUGGAGCUUCUGACUUGUGGGCCCGCCUGGGUGUCCGGUGCACACCGGACAUGCACUGUUUGAUGUCCGGUGCACCGGUAUGGGCGAGUCUGACGACUGCGCGCGCUGCGCGCGCAUUUAAUGCACCGCAGGGAGCCGUUGGCGCCGCAGGGAGCCGUUGCUCCGCUGGCACACCGGACAGUCCGGUGCACACCGGACAGUCCGGUGAAUUAUAGCGGAGCGGCUGCCGCGCGAACCCGAGGCUGGCGAGUUCAGGAGGCCGAGCUUCCUUGGAGCACCGGACAUGUCCGGUGCACCGGUAUGGGCGAGUCUGACGACUGCGCGCGCUGCGCGCGCAUUUAAUGCACCGCAGGGAGCCGUUGGCGCCGCAGGGAGCCGUUGCUCCGCUGGCACACCGGACAGUCCGGUGCACACCGGACAGUCCGGUGAAUUAUAGCGCACCGGCUUCCGAGAAAUCCCGAGGGUGAAGAGUUUGAGUCUGAGUCCCCUGGUGCACCGGACAGGUACUGUGCACUGUCCGGUGGCACACCGGACAGUCCGGUGCGCCAGACCAGGGGUGCCCUCGGUUGCCCCUUUGCUCCUUUAUUGAAUCCAACACUUGGUCUUUUUAUUGGCUGAGUGUGAACCUUUUACACCUGUAUAAUCUAUACACUUGGGCAAACUAGUUAGUCCAAAGAUUUGUGUUGGGCAAUUCAACCACCAAAAUUAUUUAGGAACUAGGUGUAAGCCUAAUUCCCUUUCAUGGUUAGCAUGAUCGAGUAUUUGUUAGAGGACAUCAGUACAGCAUUCGAAUGAUAUAAUUAUUCUCUUAUUGUAUCAGAAUUCAUCAGUUCGUAAAUUUGCAGUAAUGAAACGACGCAUGAUGAUUAUGAGAUUUGUUUGCGGGAUAUAGAAGUCAUCCCCUGAAUUGCAUGGGCAUGAGCAUGUUGCACCGCCUUAAGUCGUUGCCGACUUAAGUCGAUUGCUCCGUUGGUAGGGUAUAGUGGUCACCCCAAGUUAAGUAAGCAUGAGCAUGUUGCACCGCCUUAAGUCGUUGACGACUUAAGUCGAUUGCUCUGUUAGUAGGGCAUAGUGGUCACCCCGAGUUAAGUAAGCGUGAGCAUGUUGCACCGCCUUAAGUCGUUGCCGACUUAAGUCGAUUGCUCCGUUAGUAGGGUAUAGUGGUCACCCCGAGUUAAGUAAGCGUGAGCAUGUUGCACCGCCUUAAGUCGUUGCCGACUUAAGUCGAUUGCUCCGUUAGUAGGACAUAGUGGUCACCCCGAGUUAAGUAAGCGUGAGCAUGUUGCACCGCCUUAAGUCGUUGCCGACUUAAGUCGAUUGCUCCGUUAGUAGGGCAUAGUGGUCACCCCGAGUUAAGUAAGUGUGAGCAUGUUGCACCGCCUUAAGUCGUUGCCGACUUAAGUCGAUUGCUCUGUUAGUAGGGCAUAGUGGUCACCCCGAGUUAAGUGAGAAUGCAAGUCAAUCGUAAACGAACUGAGUAUCUUUGAAACCUCUUUUUAUUGAUGACAUAUUUCCACUUUACAGAGUACAUCGUCGUCCCAGCAGUUUUGAAAUACAGCUAGGGGUAAAACUUUCUGAGGUGUUCUAUGUUCCAGGAGUUCCCAACUUCUGUGCCAUCCAUCUGAGUGAGGCGAUAUGAUCCGGGCCGAGUGACUUCUGCUACCAUGAAGGGUCCUUCCCAUAAGGGUGAUAACUUGUGUCGUCCUUCCUCCGUUAGAAUUCGGCGAAGGACGAGAUCCCCUACUUAGAAGAAUCGUUGUCGCACAGCCUUGUCGUGAUAGCGCCUUAGAGUCUGCUGAUACCGUGCUGAUUGGAUUACCGCGUUUAGCCGUUCUUCUUCAAGUACAUCAAUAUCCUCCAGCCUGGUGGCCUCAGCCUCUGCUAUGCUUUCGAAGAUCAACCUUGGCGCCCCGAACUUGAGAUCAGCGGGUAGCACUGCCUCCGACCCAUAGACCAUGAAGAAAGGAGUGUUUCCAUGCAGGGCUCGGCUAGGUUGGGUUCUUAGGCUCCAAACGACAUAUGGCAAUUCCCUUAUCCACUUUCCUGCGAAUUUUUCAUUCUUAUCGAAGACCUUUUUCCUGAGUGCUUACAAUAUCAUUCCGUUGGCUCGCUCAACCUGCCCGUUGGCUCUUGGAUGUGCUACAGAUGCAUACUUGAUUUGAAUGCUCUUUUGCUCGCAGAAGUCGAAGAAUUCUGAACUUGUGAAGUUGGAUCCCAAGUCAGUUAUGAUGCUGUUUGGUAUCCCGAAUCUGAAUAUUAUGUCUUGUAUGAAUUCCACGGCCUUAGCAGAGGUUAAAGAGGCAAUGGGCUUGAACUCUAUCCAUUUAGUGAAUUUGUCAAUCGCCACCAGUACAUGAGUGUAUCCUCCUUGAGCUUUCUUGAAAGGUCCAAUCAUAUCCAGUCCCCAGCACGCGAAGGGCCAAGUUACUGGUAUGGUCUGCAGUUGCUGUGCCGGCAGGUGUUGCUGCUUUGACAAGUAUUGGCAAGCUUCGCACCUCUGAACUAACUCGGCUGCGUUGUUUUUCGCUGUCGGCCAAUAAAAUCCCGACCUGAAGACCUUCCCGAUUAGUGUUCUGGAGGCUGCAUGUAUUCCACAUUGCCCAGCAUGGACCUCCUCCAGAAGUCGCUUCCCGGUGGACGGGAGAAUACAUUUCAUGAGGACUCCUGAUGCACCCCUUCUGUAUAAUGUUUCCCCAAUGAGUGUAUAGUGAGCCGACUGUCUGGCAAUGCGCUCUGCCGAGUUCUUGUCGUCUGGUUCUUCUUCAUUUUUUAUAUACUUGAUGAUUGGCCUUCUCCAGUCAUCAGAGUCCGACUCGGGCCGAUCUAUAAUGUUGCACUCUUCUGCUUGAUCCAUUGAGAUACUCGGCUGUAGUAUUUCUUGCACAAAGACUCCGGGUGGGACCUGAGUUCGACUGGAUCCUAGCUUGGACAGUACAUCGGCUGUUGUGUUCCGAUCUCUUUCUACAUGAUGAAAUUCCAGACCCUCGAAUUUAUCUUCCAACUUUCGGACGACAGCGCAGUAUUUUCCCAUUGAAUCGCUUGAACAAUCCCACUCCUUGUUUAUUUGGCUGAUGACUACCAGAGAGUCUCCAUAUACCAUCAAUCUUUUGACGCCCAAUGAUAUGGUGAUGUUCAAUCCAUGAAUCAGAGCUUCAUACUCGGCUGCAUUGUUGGAGGCCGGAAAUAGCAACUGGAGGGCGUACUUGAGGUGUUCGCCUCCAGGUGCGGUGAAGAGAAUCCCUGCUCCUGCUCCCUGCAGCUUCAGCGAGCCAUCAAAAUACAUUCGCCAUACUUCUGCAGUCUCUGGGUUAUCUGGUACUUGCUGCUCAGUCCAUUCUGAUACGAAAUCAACCAGUGCUUGAGUUUUGAUGGCAGUGCGGGGUCGGAACUCGAUGUCAUGAGAUCCCAGCUCACAAGCCCACUUGGCUAUUCGGCCAAUGGCCUCCUUGUUGUGAAGAAUAUCUCCUAUCGGAAAACCAGUGACUACUAUGACUUUGUGGUCAUCAAAGUAGUGACGUAGCUUGCGGGCAGUUAGAAGUACUGCAUAUAAUAGCUUCUGAACUUGAGGAUACUUUUUCUUUGAGGGGCCCAGAACUUCACUGAUGAAGUAAACAUGAUGUUGCACUGGGUAGGCAUGUCCUUCUUCUACUCGCUCGACUACCAACGCGGUGCUUACCACGUGAGUCGUGCAAGAGAUAUACAGUAGCAAAUCUUCAGCCGGUUGAGUUGACGUAGCUCGCUGGGGUGGCUUCAGUACUGGUGGUGUUGUCAAGAAUUUUUUCAGUGCAUCUAGAGCUUCUUGUGCUUCUGAAGUCCAUUGAAACUUAUCCACCUUCUUGAGUAGUUUGUAAAAUGGCAAACCUUUUUCUCCCAGCCUGGAUAUAAAUCUGCUCAGAGCUGCCAUACAUCCAGUAAGUCGCUGAACCUUCUUUUGUGAUCGAGGCGCUUCCAUCUUCAUGAUAGCUUCAAUCUUUUCUGGAUUAGCCUCAAUUCCCCGGUGGCUGACGAUAAACCCGAGUAACUUUCCAGCUGGUACCCCAAAAACACAUUUUUCAGGAUUAAGCUUCCAUCUAUACCGUCUCAGACUGUUGAAAACCAGCUGUAAGUCUUCGAUGAAGUCUUCCGAAUUCUCCGUUUUGAUUACCACAUCAUCUACGUAGGCCUCCACACGCUUGCCCCAGUGAUCGGCUAAGCAUGUUUGAAUGGCUCUCUGAUAAGUCGCUCCAGCGUUUUUGAGGCCGAACGGCAUAGAGGUAUAACAGAAAGCACCAAACGGAGUGAUGAACGCUGUUUUUUCCUCGUCUUCCUUCGCCAAGCUAAUCUGAUGAUACCCGGAAUAGCAAUCUAAGAAAGACAGCAUAGAACAUCCAGCGGUGGAGUCCACCACCUGAUCUAUCCUUGGGAGCCCGAAGGGAUCCUUCGGACAGUGUUUGUUGAGAUCAGUAUAGUCGACGCACAUGCGCCAAUCCACUUUAUUCUUUUUGAGUACAAGAACAGGGUUGGCUAACCACUCGGGGUGUAAUACUUCUCUAAUAAAUCCAGCCGCGACUAAGCGAGCUAACUCGGCGCGAAUGGCCUCUCUCUUGUCGGGCGUGAAACGACGUAGCUUUUGCCGAAUUGGCCUCGCCUGGGGAUAGACCUUCAAUUUGUGCUCGGCCAGUUCUCUUGGGACUCCCGGCAUAUCCGCAGGUUGCCAUGCGAAUACAUCUCGGUUAUCUUGCAGAAACUGGACGAGCGCGCUUUCCUAUUUGUCGUCCAAACUGGAGCUGAUGAUGACAGUCUUGCGUUCAUCAGCGAACCCCAGGUUGAUCCUCUUAGUUUCUUCAGUCGGCCGCAUAGAGGUCGCGGCCUGAGCUUCGUUUGCCGGUACCGCAAGGUCCUCCUCAGGCUUAGAGUUCGCUGGUGUAGAAGGAACCGUCGACGGCUUGGUGGUGAGGGCUGCUUGGAUGGCCACUCGGAAACACUCUGCGGCGCCUUGGAAGUCGGCGUGCACAGUUAUGAUCCCUUGCGGUCCUGGCAUCUUCAGUAUCAUGUAUGUGUAAUGCGGAAUGGCCAUGAAUUUGGCCAAUCCCGGCCUUCCGAUGAUGGCGUUGUACCCGUAGUCGAAGUUCGCCACUUCGAACCUCAUGAACUCGGUUCUGUAGUUCUCCGGAGUUCCGAAGGUGACCGGCAUGUAGAUGUGGCCCAGCGGGUAUUCCCCUUUCGUCGGCACGAUGCCGAAGAAAGGAGUGUCCGACUCGUGGAGCUCUUUGAGGUGAACUCCCAAGCCUUGGAGUGUCCGGGGGAAGGUGACGUUGAUGCUGCUCCCCCGUCCACUAGCACCUUUUUUACCCGGCUCUCUCGGAUCACCGGAUCGACGAGGAGCGGGUAUUUGCCCGGGUGGUCGAAGUUGAGCCAUUGAUCCUCCCGAGUGAAAGUGAUCGGGUGCUCCGACCACCGGUAUGGGGCGGGAGGACCAAUGAUCGCCACCAGUAUCUGGCGGUCGUUGAGCUUUUGUUGCCUUUUGUUCUCCUGUGACCCAUGCCCGCCGAAGAUGACGUUGACCUCCCUGUCGACGCGUGGGAAGGCUCCUCCACCUCCCCCCUCCUCCUGCUGAUGGGGUUGUCGUGGUUCAUCUGGUCCUCCCCUCGGCGGAGGAGGAGGUAGAGGCUGGAAGGGUCGGUCGUGCCCGACGGAAUGCUUGAAGUCCCGACAGUUUCGAAGAGUGUGGCGCAUGUCCUUGUGGUACGGGCACUGGGCGUCGAGGAUGUCGUCCAGCGUGCGUUCGCCUCCGCGAGGUCCUCCCCGGGCGCGAGAGGCUGGUGGUCCGGCGGCGUGUACUUCUUCGUGAGGUCUCUUCUCCCAGCGUUUGUCGGGUUGCUGGUUCGCGUCGCGUGGUGGUGCUGCCGGCGCGGGCUUUGCUCCCCCGAUGAGGUCCUGGGCUCGCUCGUCGGCGGUGAUGUAGAGGUCGGCUUCCCGGAACAGCUCCUCGGAGGUAGUCGGCGCCUUCUGUAGUAUGGCUCGGACGAAAGCCGAGUCGUUGGAUCCUCUGUAGAAGUCCUCGAUCACGGCUGCCUCCGUAACCUCGGGGAUACGAUUUCUCAUGGUCUGGAACCUUUUGAGGUACGACCGGAGAGUCUCGUCCCCCCGGCGCUUGAUGGAUUUGAGGUCCCAUGGUUGCGCCGGCUUGUCGGAGAGGGACUGGAAGUUGGCGGUGAAGCGUCGACUGAAGUCCCCCCAGUCGUCGAUGCAGUGUCGGGGUAGAUGUCGCAGCCAUUGCAGCGCGUCUUGCCCAAGGACGAUGGGUAAAUACGCGGUCAUCACGUCUUCGGAUGCCCCGGCAGCUCGAGCAGCGGUGGUGUAGACGGCUAGCCAACCCCCUGGAUCCUGCUUAGGUUCAUAUUUGUCGACAUUGGAUACCUUGAAGUUGGGAGGCCAUUGAAUGGCCCUAAGGCGCGGAGUAAGAGCGGAUACUCCGCACGUGUCCUCCUGUCGUCGGGGACGAUGCCUGUCCCGGGGAGGAGAGUUGUGGUUGUGGUUCCUCGACCGUCCCCGGGUGGUUCCGCCAGUUGAGGCCGUUGCCGAUUCAGUUCUGGUGGCCUGGCUCUGAGCCGGGAUGCCAUGAUCCCUGUCGUACUCUUCCCGACGGCGAAUCUCGUUCUCAUGCCGCCGUUCGCGCGAAGCAUUGAUGGAGCUUCGCGCGUCUCGGCGACUGUUGAUGGCGUGUCGUAGAUCGUUCGGCGGGUGAGCAAGCGGUAGAAGAUGGUUGGCUGCCUGGGUGAACAGGCGUCGGUAGCCCUCAGCGUCGGGAGUCCGAGGAAGUCCAUCAGCUAUCCGAGCUAGUACCCCUCCGACUUCGCUCGGCGUGUUCAUGGCUCGGGCGAAGUCGGGAUUCAGGUUGCGCCCGAAGAAUGGAUUCUCCCGGUGUUGCCUUGCAUCUUGCUCGGCUUGUUCCUGAGCCCGUCGGCGAUCGCGUCGUCGGGAGUUCCUUCGUUCUCUGAAGACGCGUUCUUCCGGGGUUUCUCCUAUCUCCGAGACCUCGUCUCGCGAGACAGGCUGCUCCGGAUCCCGUUCUCCGGCCGCAUGAUGUCGUCGAACGUUCCUGUGCCGAUUCCUCCGUCGGCGGGAUUCUCGUUGAGGCGGUUCUUCUCCGGGUGCGGUUGGCUCGUCGUCAGAGACGGUGGGCGACUCCACUCUCCCGAUGAAGAGGACGUCGGGGUAGAAUGGUGCUGCUGUCGCGGCGACUUUCUUUCCGUUCUCCUUUGAGGCCGGAGGAACGGAAAGAACAACUUGUUUCUCCCUGGUCUCCUUUUUCCUCGCGAUCCGUGUCCAUUCUUUUGUCGGGGAAGUAGACAGUGGAGUUUUCCGGGUCAGCGAGCCCUCGGCCCCUGACUUUCCGGAGACGAUCUUUUUCCGAAGAGCUGGAGGUUGAGCUUCUCCGGCAUUUUCGGAGUUCGUUGAAGGAGACUUCUUUUCCGACGGAUCCGCGAUACGGUGUAGAAUUCCCUCUUCAUCCGCUACAGAUGAGAUUGUUCCGAAGCAGAAUACGGAUCCGGGGCGCAGGGUGAUCUUGCUGUGGAAGGUGACGGCCAUUGAGCUAGCUUGGAUCGUCGACACACCCCCUACCUGGCGCGCCAGCUGUCGGUGUUUUGGGUCCGACCGCACACCCAGGGUUACCCCUUGAAGUGUUUUUAGGAGUAGGUGAAAGUCGCCUAGAGGGGGGGUGAAUAGGGCGAAACUGAAAUUUACAAAUAUAAACACAACUACAGGCCGGGUUAGCGUUAGUAAUAAAGAAACGAGUCCGCGAGAGAGGGCGCAAAACAAAUCUCAAGCGAAUAAGCAAGUGAGACACGGAGAUUUGUUUUACCGAGGUUCGGUUCUUGCAAACCUACUCCCCGUUGAGGAGGCCACAAAGGCCGGGUCUCUUUCAACCCUUCCCUCUCUCAAACGAUCCACGGAUCGAGUGAGCUUUCUCUUCUCAAUCACUUGGAACACAAAGUUCCAACAAGGACCACCACAAGAUUGGUGUCUCUUGCCUCAAUUACAAGUGAGUUAUGAUCUCAAGAACAAGCGAGAAAGAAAAGAAGCAAUCCAAGCGCAGAGCUCGAAAGAACACAAGCUAUCACUCUCUCUAGUCACUAUGGCGUUGUGUGGAAUUUGAAGAGGAUUUGAUCUCUUUGGUGUGUCUAGAAUUGAAUGCUAGAGCUCUUGUAGUAGUUGGGAAGUGGAAAACUUGGAUGCAAUGAAUGGUGGGGUGGUUGGGGUAUUUAUAGCCCCAACCACCAAACUUGACCGUUGGCUGGGUUGUCUGUUCGAUGGCGCACCGGACAGUCCGGUGCACACCGGACAGUCCGGUGCCCCCUGCCACGUCAUCACUGCCGUUGGAUUCUGACCGUUGGAGCUUCUGACUUGUGGGCCCGCCUGGGUGUCCGGUGCACACCGGACAUCUACUGUUCCUUGUCCGGUGUGCCGGAGUGGGCGCGCCUGACAUCUGCGCGCGCAGAGCGCGCAUUAAAUGCGCGGCAGAGAGCCGUUGGCGCGGAGGUAGCCGUUGCUCUGGAGUCGCACCGGACAGUCCGGUGCACACCGGACAGUCCGGUGAAUUAUAGUGGAUGAGCCGUUGGCUUUUCCCGAAGCUGGCGAGUUCCUGAGGCCGACCUCCCUUGGCGCACCGGACACUGUCCGGUGUACACCGGACAGUCCGGUGAAUUAUAGCGCGGUCGCCUCUGGAAAUUCCCGAAGGUGGCGAGUUGGAGCUGGAGUCCUCUGGUGCACCGGACACUGUCCGGUGUACACCGGACAGUCCGGUGCUCUCAGACCAGAGGACCUUCGGUUCCCACUUUGCUCCUUUGUUGAAUCCAAAACUUGGUCAUUUUAUUGGCUGAGUGUGAACCUUUUACACCUGUAUAAUCUAUACACUUGGGCAAACUAGUUAGUCCAAAGAUUUGUGUUGGGUAAUUCAACCACCAAAAUUAUAUAGGAACUAGGUGUAAGCCUAAUUCCCUUUCAAUCUCCCCCUUUUUGGUGAUUGAUGCCAACACAAACCAAAGCAAAUAUAGAAGUGCAUAAUUUAACUAGUUUGCAUAAUGUAAGUGUAAAGGUUGCUUGGAAUUUAGCCAAUAUAAAUACUUACAAGAUAUGCAUGGAUUGUUUUCUUUCUUAUAUAAUAUUUUGGACCACGUUUGCACCACGAGUUUUGUGAGAGCACCUAGAGGGGGGGUGAAUAGGUGAUCCUGUAAAAUUCAACUUAUAGCCACAAAAACUUGUUAAGAGUUAGCACAGUUAAUGCCAAGUGGCUAGAGCGAGGAUCUUGCACAAUAUGAUAAUCACAAGAAGUUCAACACAGAGAAGACACAGUGAUUUAUCCCGUGGUUCGGCCAAGUACAAAACUUGCCUACUCCACGUUGUGGCGUCCCAACGGACGAGAGUUGCACUCAACUCCUCUCAAGUGAUCCAAUGAUCAACUUGAAUACCACAGUGUUAUGCUUUUCCUUUCUUAUCUCGUUUGCGAGGAAUCUCCACAACUUGGAGUCUCUCACCCUUACACUUGAAGUUCACAAAGAAGCACGGAGUAAGGGAGAGAAGCAACACACACAAAUCCACAGCAAAAUGCGCACACACACGGCCAAGAAUCGAGCUCGAAAGACUAUCUCAAAGUUCUCACUAGAACGGAGCUCGAAUCACUGAGAAUGACAAACGAAUGCGCAAAGACUGAGUGUGGAUGAUCAAGAAUGCUCUAAGGUUGCUUUUUUUUUCCUCCAUGCGCCUAGGGGUCCAUUUUAUAGCCCCAAAGCAGCUAGGAGCCGUUGAGAGCAAAUCUGGAAGGCCAUCCUUGCCUUCUGUCAUCGGGUGCACCGGACAGUCCGGUGCACACCGGACACUGUCCGGUGCCCGAUUUCUUUCCUUAAACGGCGCAGCCGACCGUUGCCGACCGUUGCAGAUCUGGCGCACCGGACAUAUCCGGUGCACACCGGACAGUCCGGUGCCCCCUUCCGACCGUUGGCUCGGCCACGUGUCUCGCGCAGAUCGCGCGGCCGACCGUUGGCUCUGCCGACCGUUGGCUCACCGGACAGUCCGGUGCACACCGGACAGUCCGGUGAUUUUUAGCCGUACGCCGUCGGCGAUUUCCCGAGAGCGGCCUCUUCACGCUGAGUCAGUCUGGCGCACCGGACACUGUCCGGUGCACCACCGGACAGUCCGGUGCUCCAGACCGAACUGAGUCUUGGCUGUACACAGCCAAGCUUUUUGCACCAAUUCUCUUUUCUUCUUCUUUCUGUUUCUAACACUUAGACAAGUAUAUUAGUACUCAAACCCAAUGUACUAAGGCUUAGAAACAUACCUUUACUUGUGAUUUGCACUUUGUUCAUCCAUGGGCAUAGAUUCACAUUUAAGCACUUGUGUUUGCACUCAAUCACCAAAAUACUCUAGAAAUGGCCCAAAGGCACAUUUCCCUUUCAAUCUCCCCCUUUUUGGUGAUUUAUGCCAACACAACAUAAAGCAACUAGAACAAGUGCAAAAUCACUUCAAAUAAAAACUAAAUUUGAGUUUUAUUCAAUUUUGGCAUAUAUGGAUCAUCCUUUGCCACCACUUGGUUUGUUUUUGCAAAUCAAACCCGAAUCUCUAUCUCUAAGUCAAACACACAUGUUGAAGCAUAAAGAGAGUCAUUCCAAAAGAGUGAUCAAGAAUUUCAAAAACUCCCCCUUUUUCCCAUAAUCAACACUUCUCCCCACAAGAGGCCAACUUUUGACAAAAGAGACAAUGCAAGAGUUUUCAAAGUUUCUCAAAGUUUCUCAAGUGGUAGCUGAUCCAUCUAUUGCUUUGGCCUUUAUUUUCUCCCCCUUUGGCAUCAAGCACCAAAACGGGAUCAAUCUUGGCCCUUUAACCCCAUUGCCUCACCAAAAUCCUCAAUUAAGAGCAAAUGGCAAUAAGAGUUCAUGAGAUGGACUUGGAAUAAGUUACCCUCUCAUCGGAGUGCAGUGGAAGUCUUUCAUGGUCCAAGUCCACCUUUUCCCUUUCAAUUCUCCUUCGAGACUAAAACAAGCAAACUCAAGCAUAUGGUUAGUCUCAAAGGGUCAAGUUGUAACACAUCUCCCCCUAAACAUGUGCAUCACUUUGCAGCGGACUUGUGAGGUCCAGGGAGUGUUUGUACAACUUGAGCACCACAAUAAGCAACAAAAUGCAGAAUGAAUAUGAUCAAAGGCAUAAACACAUGUAUGCUAUAAUUCAAUCCAAGUUCCGCGAAUCUAAGACAUUUAGCUCACUACGCAGCCUGCAAAAGGUCUUCUCAUCUAGAGGCUUGGUAAAGAUAUCGGCUAGCUGGUUCUCAGUGUUAACAUGAAACACUUCGAUAUCUCCCUUUUGCUGGUGGUCUCUCAAAAAGUGAUGCCGGAUGUCUAUGUGCUUUGUGCGGCUGUGCUCAACAGGAUUUUCCGCCAUGCGGAUAGCACUCUCAUUGUCACAUAGGAGUGGGACUUUGCUCAGAUUGUAGCCAAAGUCCCUGAGGGUUUGCCUCAUCCAAAGUAGUUGCGCGCAACACUGUCCUGCGGCAACAUACUCGGCCUCAGCGGUGGAUAGGGCAACGGAGGUUUGUUUCUUAGAGUUCCACGACACCAGGGACCUUCCUAAGAAUUGGCACGUCCCCGAUGUACUCUUCCUAUCAACCUUACAUCCAGCAUAGUCGGAGUCUGAAUAUCCAAUCAGAUCAAAGGUAGACCCCGUUGGAUACCAGAGCCCGAAGCAAGGCGUAGCAACUAAAUAUCUAAGGAUUCGCUUCACUGCCACUAAGUGACACUCCUUAGGAUCGGAUUGAAAUCUAGCACACAUGCAUACGCUAAGCAUAAUAUCCGAUCUACUAGCACAUAAGUAAAGUAAUGACCCUAUCAUUGACCGAUAUGCUUUUUGAUCAACGGACUUACCUCCUUUGUUGAGGUCGGUGUGUCCGUCGGUUCCCAUCGGAGUCUUUGCGGGCUUGGCAUCCUUCAUCCCAAACCGCUUCAGCAGAUCUUGCGUGUACUUUGUUUGAGAGAUGAAAGUGCCGUCCUUGAGUUGCUUCACUUGGAACCCAAGGAAGUAGUUCAACUCGCCCAUCAUUGACAUCUCGAAUUUCUGCGUCAUCACCCUGCUAAACUCUUCACAAGACUUUUUAUUAGUAGAACCAAAUAUUAUGUCAUCGACAUAAAUUUGGCAUACAAACAAAUCACCAUCACAUGUCUUAGUGAAAAGAGUUGGAUCGGCUUUCCCAACUUUGAAAGCAUUAGCAAUUAAGAAAUCUCUAAGGCAUUCAUACCAUGCUCUUGGGGCUUGCUUAAGUCCAUAGAGCGCCUUAGAGAGCUUACACACGUGGUCGGGGUACCGUUCAUCCUCGAAGCCAGGGGGUUGCUCUACGUACACCUCCUCCUUUAUUGGCCCGUUGAGGAAAGCGCUCUUCACAUCCAUUUGAAACAACCUGAAAGAAUGGUGAGCGGCAUAUGCUAGCAAGAUACGAAUGGAUUCUAGCCUAGCCACAGGAGCAAACGUCUCCUCAAAGUCCAAACCUGCGACUUGGGCAUAACCUUUUGCCACAAGUCGAGCCUUGUUUCUUGUCACCACCCCGUGCUCGUCCUGUUUGUUGCGGAACACCCACUUGGUUCCCACAACAUUUUGCUUAGGACGAGGCACCAGCGUCCAAACUUCAUUCCUCUUGAAGUUGUUGAGCUCCUCUUGCAUGGCCAACACCCAGUCCGGAUCUAGCAAGGCCUCCUCUACCCUGAAAGGCUCAAUAGAAGAGACAAAGGAGUAAUGUUCACAAAAAUUAACUAAUCGAGACCGAGUAGUUACUCCCUUGCUAAUGUCACCCAGAAUUUGGUCGACGGGAUGAUCCCUUUGGAUCAUCGCUCGAACUUGGGUUGGAGGUGUCGGUUGCGCUUCUUCCUCCAUCACAUGAUCAUCUUGUGCUCCCCCUUGAUCACACGCCUCCUGUUGAUGAACCUGUUCAUCGUCUUGAGUUGGGGGAUGCACCAAUGUUGAGGAAGAAGGUUGAUCUCGUUCAUCUUGUUCCUGUGGCCGCACUUCUCCAAUCGCCAUGGUUCGUAUAGCGGCCGUCGGAACAUCUUCUUCAUCUACAUCAUCACAAUCAACAACUUGCUCUCUUGGAGAGCCAUUAGUCUCAUCAAAUACAACGUCGCUAGAGACUUCAACCAAACCCGAUGAUUUGUUGAAGACUCUAUACGCCUUUGUAUUUGAGUCAUAACCUAACAAAAACCCUUCUACAGCUUUGGGAGCAAACUUAGAAUUUCUACCCUUCUUCACUAGAAUGUAGCACUUGCUCCCAAAUACACGAAAGUAAGAUACAUUGGGUUUGUUACCGGUUAGUAGCUCAUACGAAGUCUUCUUGAGGAGGCGGUGCAGGUAGACCCUGUUGAUGGCAUGGCAAGCCGUGUUCACGGCUUCCGACCAAAAACGCUCGGGGGUCUUGAAUUCUCCAAGCAUCGUCCUUGCCAUAUCGAUUAGCGUCCUGUUCUUCCUCUCUACCACACCAUUUUGUUGUGGUGUGUAGGGAGCGGAGAACUCGUGCUUGAUCCCUUCCUCUUCAAGGAACUCCUCCACUUGAAGGUUCUUGAACUCGGACCCGUUGUCGCUCCUUAUCUUUUUCACCUUGAGCUCAAACUCAUUUUGAGCUCUCCUGAGGAAGCGCUUGAGGGUCCAUUGGGUUUCAGACUUAUCCUGCAAAAAGAACACCCAAGUGAAGCGGGAAAAGUCAUCAACAAUAACUAGACCAUACUUACUCCCUCCUAUGCUCAGAUAGGCGACGGGUCCGAAGAGGUCCAUAUGCAGCAGCUCCAGAGGUCUUGAAGUGGUCAUCACAUUCUUGCUGUGAUGUGCUCCUCCCACUUGUUUACCUGCUUGACAAGCUGCACAAGGUCUAUCCUUUUCGAAUUGAACGUUAGUCAAACCUAUCACGUGUUCUCCCUUUAGAAGCUUGUGAAGGUUCUUCAUCCCCACAUGUGCUAAGCGGCGAUGCCACAGCCAGCCCAUGCUAGUCUUAGCUAUUAAGCAUGCAUCUAGACCGGCCUCUUCUUUUGCAAAAUCAACUAAAUAAAGUUUGCCGUCUAAUACACCCUUAAAAGCUAGUGAACCAUCACUUCUUCUAAAGACAGACACAUCUACAUUUGUAAAUAGACAGUUAUAUCCCAUAUUGCAUAAUUGACUAACCGAUAGCAAAUUAUAUCCGAGAGACUCUACUAAAAACACAUUAGAGAUAGAGUGCUCAUUAGAAAUUGCAAUUUUACCUAACCCUUUUACCUUGCCUUGAUUCCCAUCACCGAAUAUAAUUGAAUCUUGGGAAUCCUUAUUCUUGAUGUAGGAGGUGAACAUCUUCUUCUCCCCCGUCAUAUGGUUUGUGCAUCCGCUGUCGAUAAUCCAGCUUGAACCCCCGGAUGCAUAAACCUGCAAGGCAAAUUUAGGCUUGGGUUUUAGGUACCCAACUCAUGUUGGGUCCUACAAGGUUAGCACAAAUAUCCUUAGGGACCCAAAUGCAAGUUUUGUCUCCCUUGCAUUUUGCCCCUAACUUCCUAGCAACUACCUUUCUAUCCUUUCUACAAAUUGCAAAGGAAGCAUUUAAAGCACAAUAAAUUGUAGAAGGUUCAUUCACUACUUUCCUAGGAGCAUGAAUAAUAUUCUUUCUAGGCACAUGAUGAAAAGCAUUUCUCCUAGACAUAUUAUGAACAACAUCCCUUCUACCAACAUUUCUAUCAUGCACAUAUGAAGAACUAGAAGCAAACAUAUCAUGAGAAAAAUCAUCGUACGCAUUAUAACUCCUAUAAGCAUUUCUAGUUUGUCUCCUAUCAUGAUACAAAAAGGCAUGGUUCUUUUUAGCACUAGUAGCCAUAGGGGCCUUCCCUUUCUCCUUAGCGAGAAUGGGAGCCUUAUGGCUUGUUAAGUUCUUGGCUUCCCUCUUGAAGCCAAGUCCAUCCUUAAUUGAGGGGUGUCUACCGAUCGUGUAGGCAUCCCUUGCAAAUUUUAGUUUAUCAAAUUCGUUCUUGCUAGUCUUAAGUUGAGCAUUAAGACUAGCCAAUUCCUCAGUUAAUUUAGAAAUUGAAACUAAAUGAUCACUACAAGCAUCAACAUCGAAAUCUUUACACCUAGUGCAAAUCUUAACAUGUUCUACACAAGAAUUAGAUUUACUAGCUACUUCUAGUUUAGCAUUUAAGUCAUCAUUAACACUCUUUAAAGUAGCAAUGGUUUCAUGACAAGAAGAUAGUUCACUAGAAAGCGCUUCAUUUCUUUUAACUUCUAAAGCAUGAGAUCUUUGAGCUUCUACAAAUUUAUCAUGCUCUUCAUACAAUAAAUCCUCUUGUUUCUCUAAGAGUUUAUCCUUCUCAUUCAAGGCAUCAAUCAAUUCAUUGAUUUUAUCAAUCUUAUUUCUAUCCAAUCCCUUGAACAAGCUAGAGUAAUCUAUUUCCUCAUCGCUAGACUCAUCAUCACUAGAAGAAGCAUAAGUGGAGUCUCGAGUACUCACCUUCUUCUCUCUUGCCAUGAGACAAGUGUGAUGCUCGUUGGGGAAGAGAGAUGACUUGUUGAAGGCGGUGGCGGCGAGUCCUUCAUUGUCGGAGUCGGAGGAGGAGCAAUCCGAAUCCCACUCCUUUCCGAUAUGUGCUUCGCCCUUGGCCUUCUUGUAAUGCUUCUUCUUCUCCCUUUUGUCCCCUUUUUCCUGGUCACUUUCAUUAUCGGGACAGUUAGCAAUGAAAUGACCAAUCUUACCACAUUUGAAGCACGAGCGCUUCUCCUUUGUCUUGGUCUUGCUUGGCUGUCCCUUGCGACCUUUAAGCGCCGUCUUGAAGCGCUUAAUGAUGAGGGCCAUCUCCUCAUUAUUUAGCCCGGCCGCCUCAACUUGCGCCACCUUGCUUGGUAGUGCCUCCUUGCUCCUCGUUGCCUUGAGAGCAAUGGAUUGAGGCUCAUGAAUAGGACCGUUCAACGCGUCGUCCACGUAUCUUGCCUCCUUGAUCAUCAUUCGCCCGCUUACGAACUUCCCAAGAACUUCUUCGGGUGACAUUUUGGUGUACCUGGGAUUCUCACGAAUAUUAUUCACCAAAUGAGGAUCAAGAAUGGUAAAGGACCUUAGUAAUAGUCGGACGACGUCAUGGUCCGUCCAUCGCGUGCUUCCAUAGCUCCUUAUUUUGUUGAUAAGGGUCUUGAGCCGGUUGUAUGUUUGGGUUGGCUCCUCGCCCCUUAUCAUCGCAAAUCUUCCAAGCUCACCCUCCACCAACUCCAUUUUAGUGAGCAUGGUGAUGUCGUUCCCCUCGUGAGAAAUCUUGAGGGUGUCCCAUAUCUGCUUGGCAUUGUCCAAGCCGCUCACCUUAUUGUACUCGUCCCUGCACAAAGAGGCUAGCAACACAGUAGUAGCUUGUGCAUUUUUAUGAAUCUGUUCAUUAAUAAACAUAGGGCUAUCCGAGCUAUCAAAUUUCAUUCCAUUCUCUACAAUCUCCCAUAUGCUUGGAUGGAGAGAGAAUAAAUGACUACGCAUUUUGUGACUCCAAAAUCCGUAGUCCUCCCCAUCGAAGUGUGGAGGUUUGCCAAGAGGAAUGGAAAGCAAAUGCGAAUUCGAAUUAUGUGGAAUACGAGAAUAAUCAAAUGAAAAGUUCGAAUUGACCGUCUUCCUGUAGUCGUUGUCGUCGUCCUUUUGGGAAGAAGUAGACUCAUCGCUGUCGUCGUAGUAGACGAUCUCCUUGAUGCGCCUUGUCUUCUUCUUCUUCCCUUCCUUUCGCCUAUGACCCGAGCCGGAGUCGGUAGGCUUGUCAUCUUUGGGCUCAUUGACGAAGGACUCCUUCUCCUUAUCGUUGAUCACUAUCCCCUUGCCCUUAGGAUCCAUAUCUUCGGGCAGUUAGUCCCUCUUCUUGAAGAGAACGGCUCUGAUACCAAUUGAGAGCACCUAGAGGGGGGGUGAAUAGGUGAUCCUGUAAAAUUCAACUUAUAGCCACAAAAACUUGUUAAGAGUUAGCACAGUUAAUGCCAAGUGGCUAGAGCGAGGAUCUUGCACAAUAUGAUAAUCACAAGAAGUUCAACACAGAGAAGACACAGUGAUUUAUCCCGUGGUUCGGCCAAGUACAAAACUUGCCUACUCCACGUUGUGGCGUCCCAACGGACGAGAGUUGCACUCAACUCCUCUCAAGUGAUCCAAUGAUCAACUUGAAUACCACAGUGUUAUGCUUUUCCUUUCUUAUCUCGUUCGCGAGGAAUCUCCACAACUUGGAGUCUCUCACCCUUACACUUGAAGUUCAUAAAGAAGCACGGAGUAAGGGAGAGAAGCAACACACACAAAUCCAUAGCAAAAUGCGCACACACACGGCCAAGAAUCGAGCUCGAAAGACUAUCUCAAAGUUCUCACUAGAACGGAGCUCGAAUCACUGAGAAUGACAAACGAAUGCGCAAAGACUGAGUGUGGAUGAUCAAGAAUGCUCUAAGGUUGCUUUUUUUUUCCUCCAUGCGCCUAGGGGUCCAUUUUAUAGCCCCAAAGCAGCUAGGAGCCGUUGAGAGCAAAUCUGGAAGGCCAUCCUUGCCUUCUGUCAUCGGGUGAACGGCGCAGCCGACCGUUGCCGACCGUUGCAGAUCUGGCGCACCGGACAUGUCCGGUGCACACCGGACAGUCCGGUGCCCCCUUCCGACCGUUGGCUCGGCCACGUGUCUCGCGCAGAUCGCGCGGCCGACCGUUGGCUCUGCCGACCGUUGGCUCACCGGACAGUCCGGUGCACACCGGACAGUCCGGUGAUUUUUAGCCGUACGCCGUCGGCGAUUUCCCGAGAGCGGCCUCUUCACGCUGAGUCAGUCUGGCGCACCGGACACUGUCCGGUGCACCACCGGACAGUCCGGUGCUCCAGACCGAACUGAGUCUUGGCUGUACACAGCCAAGCUUUUUGCACCAAUUCUCUUUUCUUCUUCUUUCUGUUUCUAACACUUAGACAAGUAUAUUAGUACUCAAACCCAAUGUACUAAGGCUUAGAAACAUACCUUUACUUGUGAUUUGCACUUUGUUCAUCCAUGGGCAUAGAUUCACAUUUAAGCACUUGUGUUUGCACUCAAUCACCAAAAUACUCUAGAAAUGGCCCAAAGGCACAUUUCCCUUUCAUUUUGUUUUUGCAAACUCUUUUGUAAAUCCUUUUCAAAGCUCUUUUGCACAUAGUCAAAGGUAAAUAAAUAAGAUUUGCAAAGCAUUUUCAAUUUUUGAAAUUUUCUCCCCCUGUUUCAAAUGCUUUUCCUUUUGACUAAACAAAACUCCCCCUAAAAGAGAUCCUCCUCUUAGUGUUCAAGAGGGUUUUGAUGUAUCAUUUUUGAAAUACUACUUUCUCCCUCUUUUGAACACAAUAGGAUACCAAAUGAAAAAUAUUCAAUACUGAGUUUUUGAAAUUUGAAAUAGGUGGUGGUGCGGUCCUUUUGCUUUGGGCUCAUUUCUCCCCCUUUUUGGCAUAAAUCGCCAAAAACGGAAUCAUUAGAGCUCUCGAAGUGCUAUCUUCCCCUUUGGUCAUAAAUAAAUGAGUUAAGAUUAUACCAAAGACGAAGUCCUGUCCUUUAGCUUUGGGCUCUUACUCUCUCCCAAAGACGAAGUCCUUUUCUUUGAUGCUCAUUUCUCCCCAAAGAAUAGAGAGUUGCUUGGAGUGAUGACGAAGUAUGAGUUACGGAGUGGAAGCCUUUGUCUUUGCCGAAGACUCCAAUUUCCUUUCAAUAUACCUAUGACUUGGUUUGAGAUAGACUUGAAAACAUAUUAGUCAUAGCACAUGAAAGAGAUAUGAUCAAAGGUAUAUAAAUGAGCUAUGUGUGCAAUCUAGCAAAAGAAGUUCCUAGAAUCAAGAAUAUUGAGCUCAUGCCUAAGUUUGUUAAAAGAUUGUUCAUCAAGAGGCUUGGUAAAGAUAUCGGCUAAUUGAUCUUUAGUAUUAAUGUAUGAAAUCUCGAUAUCUCCCUUUUGUUGGUGAUCCCUAAGAAAAUGAUACCGGAUGGCUAUGUGCUUAGUGCGGCUAUGCUCGACGGGAUUGUCGGCCAUUUUGAUUGCACUCUCAUUAUCACAUAGCAAAGGGACUUUGGUUAAUUUGUAACCGUAGUCCCGCAGGGUUUGCCUCAUCCAAAGCAAUUGCACGCAACAAUGGCCUGCGGCAAUAUACUCGGCUUCGGCGGUAGAAAGAGCGACCGAAUUUUGCUUCUUUGAAGCCCAAGACACCAAGGAUCUUCCCAAGAACUGGCAAGCCCCCGAUGUGCUCUUCCUAUUGAUUUUGCACCCCGCCCAAUCGGCAUCCGAAUAACCAAUUAAAUCAAAUGUGGAUCCCCUAGGAUACCAAAGCCCAAACUUAGGAGUAUAAGCCAAAUAUCUCAAGAUUCGUUUCACGGCCGUAAGGUGAGCUUCCUUAGGGUCGGCUUGGAAUCUUGCACACAUGCAUACGGAAAGCAUAAUAUCCGGUCGAGAUGCACAUAGAUAGAGUAAAGAACCUAUCACCGACCGGUAUACCUUUUGAUCCACGGACUUACCUCCCGUGUCGAGGUCGAGAUGCCCAUUAGUUCCCAUGGGUGUCUUGAUGGGCUUGGCAUCCUUCAUCCCAAACUUGCUUAGAAUAUCUUGAGUGUACUUAGUUUGGCUAAUGAAGGUGCCCUCUUGGAGUUGCUUCACUUGAAAUCCUAAGAAAUACUUCAACUCCCCCAUCAUAGACAUCUCGAACUUCUGUGUCAUAAUCCUACUAAACUCUUCACAAGUAGACUCGUUAGUAGACCCAAAUAUAAUAUCAUCAACAUAAAUUUGGCAUACAAACAAGUCAUUUUCAAGUGUUUUAGUAAAGAGUGUAGGAUCGGCUUUACCGACUUUGAAGCCAUUAACAAUAAGGAAAUCUCUAAGGCAUUCAUACCAAGCUCUUGGGGCUUGCUUGAGCCCAUAAAGCGCCUUAGAGAGCUUAUAGACAUGGUUAGGAUACUCACUGUCUUCAAAGCCGGGAGGUUGCUCAACAUAGACCUCUUCCUUGAUUGGUCCAUUGAGGAAGGCACUUUUCACGUCCAUUUGAUAAAGCUUAAAGCCAUGGUAAGUAGCAUAGGCUAAUAAUAUACGAAUUGACUCAAGCCUAGCUACGGGUGCAUAGGUUUCACCGAAAUCCAAACCUUCGACUUGGGAGUAUCCCUUGGCCACAAGUCGAGCUUUGUUCCUUGUCACCACACCAUGCUCAUCUUGCUUGUUGCGGAAGACCCAUUUGGUUCCUACAACAUUUUGGUUAGGACGUGGAACUAAAUGCCAUACCUCAUUCCUAGUGAAGUUGUUGAGCUCCUCUUGCAUUGCCACCACCCAAUCCGAAUCUUGGAGUGCUUCUUCUACCCUGUGAGGCUCAAUAGAGGAAACAAACGAGUAAUGUUCACAAAAAUGAGCAACACGAGAUCGAGUAGUUACCCCCUUAUGAAUGUCGCCGAGGAUGGUGUCGACGGGGUGAUCUCGUUGGAUUGCUUGGUGGACUCUUGGGUGUGGCUGUUUUGGUUCUUGCUCAUCCUCCUUUUCUUCCUCAUUUGCAUCUCCCCCUUGAUCAUUGCCAUUAUCUUGAGGUAGCUCAUUUGCUUGAUCUUCUACUUCAUCAACUUGAGAUUCAUCCUCAUCUUGAGUUGGUGGAGAUGCUUGCGUGGAGGAGGAAGGUUGAUCUUGUGCAUUUGGAGGCUCUUUGGAUUCCUUAGGACACACAUCCCCAAUGGACAUGUUUCUUAGCGCGAUGCAAGGAGCCUCUUCUUCACCUAUCUCAUCAAGAUCAACUUGCUCUACUUGAGAGCCGUUAGUCUCAUCAAACACAACGUCACAUGAGACUUCAACUAGUCCAGUGGACUUGUUAAAGACCCUAUAUGCCCUUGUGUUUGAGUCAUAUCCUAGUAAAAAGCCUUCUACAGUCUUAGGAGCAAAUUUAGAUUUUCUACCUCUUUUAACAAGAAUAAAGCAUUUGCUAUCAAAGACUCUAAAAUAUGAAAUGUUGGGCUUUUUACCGAUUAGGAGUUCGUAUGAUGUCUUCUUGAGGAUUCGGUGUAGAUAUAACCGGUUGAUGGCGUAGCAAGCGGUGUUGACCGCCUCGGCCCAAAACCGAUCCGAAGUUUUGUACUCAUCAAGCAUGGUCCUUGCCAUGUCCAAUAGAGUUUGAUUCUUCCUCUCCACUACACCAUUUUGCUGUGGCGUGUAGGGAGAAGAGAACUCAUGCUUGAUGCCCUCCUCCUCAAGGAAGCCUUCAAUUUGAGAGUUCUUGAACUCCGUUCCGUUGUCGCUUCUUAUUUUCUUGAUCCUUAAGCCGAACUCAUUUUGAGCCCGUCUCAAGAAUCCCUUUAAGGUCUCUUGGGUUUGAGAUUUUUCCUGCAAAAAGAAUACCCAAGUGAAGCGAGAAUAAUCAUCCACAAUAACUAGACAGUACUUACUCCCGCCGAUGCUUAUGUAAGCGAUCGGGCCGAAUAGAUCUAUGUGUAGGAGCUCCAGUGGCCUGUCGGUCGUCAUUAUGUUCUUAUGCGGAUGAUGAGUGCCAACUUGCUUCCCUGCUUGGCAUGCGCUACAAAUCCUGUCUUUCUCAAAAUGAACAUUUGUUAGUCCUAAAAUGUGUUCUCCCUUUAGAAGCUUAUGAAGAUUCUUCAUCCCAACAUGGGCUAGUCGGCGGUGCCAGAGCCAACCCAUGUUAGUCUUAGCAAUUAAGCAUGUGUCGAGUUCAGCUCUAUCAAAAUCUACUAAGUAUAGCUGACCCUCUAACACACCCUUAAAUGCUAUUGAAUCAUCACUUCUUCUAAAGACAGUGACACCUACAUCAGUGAAAAGACAGUUGUAGCCCAUUUGACAUAAUUGUGAAACGGAAAGCAAAUUGUAAUCUAAAGAAUCUACAAGAAAAACAUUGGAAAUGGAAUGGUCAGGAGAUAUAGCUAUUUUACCAAGACCUUUGACCAAACCUUGAUUUCCAUCCCCGAAUGUGAUCGCUCUUUGGGGAUCUUGGUUUUUCUCAUAUGAGGAGAACAUCCUUUUCUCCCCUGUCAUGUGGUUUGUGCACCCGCUGUCGAGUAUCCAACUUGAGCCCCCGGAUGCAUAAACCUACAAAACAAGUUUAGUUCUUGACUUUAGGUACCCAAAUGGUUUUGGGUCCUUUGGCAUUAGACACAAGAACUUUGGGUACCCAAACACAAGUCUUUGACCCCUUGUGCUUGCCCCCAACAUAUUUGGCAACUACUUUGCCGGAUUUGUUAGUUAAAACAUAAGAUGCAUCAAAAGUUUUAAAUGAAAGACUAUGUUCAUUUGAUGCAGUAGGAGUUUUCUUAGGCAACUUAGCACGGGUUGGUUGCCUAGAACUAGAUGUCUCACCCUUAUACAUAAAAGCAUGAUUAGGGCCAGAGUGAGACUUCCUAGAGUGAAUUCUCCUAAUUUUGCUCUCAGGAUAACCGGCAGGGUACAAAAUGUAACCCUCGUUAUCCUGAGGCAUGGGAGCCUUGCCCUUAACAAAGUUAGACAAUCUUUUAGGAGGGGCACUAAGUUUGACAUUGUCUCCCCUUUGGAAGCCAAUGCCAUCCUUGAUGCCAGGGCGUCUCCCACUAUAGAGCAUACUUCUAGCAAAUUUAAAUUUUUCAUUCUCUAAGUUAUGCUCGGCAAUUUUAGCAUCUAAUUUUGCUAUAUGAUCAUUUUGUUUAAUUAAAGACAUGUGAUCAUGAAUAGCAUUAAUAUCAAUAUCUCUACAUCUAGUACAAAUGGAAACAUGCUCAAUGGUAGAUGUAGAGGGUUUGCAAGAUUUUAAUUCUACAACCUUAGCAUGCAAGAUAUCAUUCUUAGUUCUAAGGUCGGAAAUGGUAGUAUUGCAAACAUCAAAAUCUUUAGCCUUAGCAAGUAAUUUUUCAUUUUCAUUCCUAAGGCUAGCAAGAGAUAUGUUCAAUUCUUCAAUCCUAGCAAGCAAAUCAUCAUUAUUAUCUCUAGGGUUGGGAAUUGAAACAUUGCAAACAUGAGAAUCAACCUUAGCUAAUAAAUUGGCAUUUUCAUUCCUAAGGUUGUCAAUCAUCUCACGGCAAGUGCUUAGCUCACUAGAUAAUUUUUCACAUUUUUCUACUUCUAGAGCAUAAGCAUUUUUAACCUUAACAUGUUUCUUGUUUUCUUUAAUUAGACAAUCCUCUUGGGAAUCCAAAAGGUCAUCCUUUUCAUGAAUAGCACUAAUUAAUUCAUUUAAUUUUUCCUUUUGUUCCAUGUUAAGAUUGGCAAAAAGAGUACGUAGGUUAUCCUCCUCAUCACUAGUAUUUUCAUCACUAGAGGUUUCAUAUUUAGUGGAGGAUCUUGAUUUUACCUUCUUCCUUUUGCCGUCCUUUGCCAUGAGGCACUUGUGGCCGACGUUGGGGAAGAGGAGUCCCUUGGUGACGGCAAUGUUGGCGGCGUCCUCGUCGGAGGAGGAGUCGCUUGAGCUUUCGUCGGAGUCCCACUCCUGACAAACAUGGGCAUCGCCGCCCUUCUUCUUGUAGUACCUCUUCUUCUCCUUUCUUCUUCCCUUCUUGUCGUCGCCUCGGUCACUGUCACUAGAUAUAGGACAUUUAGCAAUAAAAUGACCGGGCUUACCACAUUUGUAGCAAACCUUCUUGGAGCGGGACUUGUAGUCUUUUCCCCUCCUUUGCUUGAGGAUUUGGCGGAAGCUCUUGAUGACGAGCGCCAUUUCCUCAUUGUCGAGCUUGGAGGCGUCUAUUGGUUGUCGACUUGGUGUAGCCUCCUCCUUCUUUUCCUCCGUCGCUUUGAAUGCGACGGGUUGAGCUUCGGAUGUGGUGGGUUCGUCAAGCUCGUUGAUCUUUCUUGAGCCUUCGAUCAUGCACUCAAAACUUACAAAAUGCCCGAUAACUUCCUCGGGGGUCAUUUUAGUGUAUCUAGGAUUACCACGAAUUAAUUGAACUUGAGUAGGGUUAAGGAAAAUAAGUGAUCUUAGAAUAACCUUAACCACCUCGUGGUCGUCCCACUUUAUGCUCCCGAGGUUGCGCACUUGGUUCACCAAGGUCUUGAGCCGGUUGUACAUAUGUUGUGGCUCUUCCCCUUUGCGAAGCCGGAACCGACCGAGCUCCCCCUCGAUCGUUUCCCGCUUGGUGAUCUUGGUGAGCUCGUCUCCCUCGUGCGCGGUUUUGAGCACAUCCCAAACCUCCUUGGCGCUCUUCAACCCUUGUACUUUGUUAUACUCUUCUCUACUUAAAGAGGCGAGGAGUAUCGUUGUUGCUUGAGAGUUGAAGUGCUCGAUUUGGGCCACCUCAUCCUCAUCAUAAUCCUUAUCCCCUACCGAUGAUACCUGUGCGCCAAACUCAACAACAUCCCAUAUACUUUUGUGGAGUGAGGUUAGAUGAAAUCGCAUUAAAUCACUCCACCUAGCAUAAUCUUCACCAUCAAAAGUUGGUGGUUUUCCUAAUGGGACGGAAAGUAAAGGUGCAUGUUUAGAAAUGCGAGGGUAGUGUAGGGGGAUCUUACUAAACUUCUUACGCUCUUGGCGUUUAGAAGUUACGGAGGGCGCAUCGGAGCCGGAGGUCGAUGUUGAUGAAGUGUCGGUCUCGUAGUAGACCACCUUCCUCAUCCUCUUUUGCUUGUCCCCACUCCGAUGCGGUUUGUGGGAAGAAGAUUUUUCCUUCUUCUCUUUGUGGUGAGAAGAAGAUUUCUUCUCCUUCCCUUUGUUGGAGGAGAUCUUCUUCUUCUCCCUCCUCUUGGUGCAGGACUCUUCCGAUGAAGUGCUCCCGUUGCUUGUAGUGGGCUUUUCGCCGGUCUCCAUCUCCUUCUUGGCGUGAUCUCCCGACAUCACUUCGAGCGGUUAGGCUCUAAUGAAGCACCGGGCUCUGAUACCAAUUGAAAGUCGCCUAGAGGGGGGGUGAAUAGGGCGAAACUGAAAUUUACAAAUAUAAACACAACUACAGGCCGGGUUAGCGUUAGUAAUAAAGAAACGAGUCCGCGAGAGAGGGCGCAAAACAAAUCUCAAGCGAAUAAGCAAGUGAGACACGGAGAUUUGUUUUACCGAGGUUCGGUUCUUGCAAACCUACUCCCCGUUGAGGAGGCCACAAAGGCCGGGUCUCUUUCAACCCUUCCCUCUCUCAAACGAUCCACGGAUCGAGUGAGCUUUCUCUUCUCAAUCACUUGGAACACAAAGUUCCAACAAGGACCACCACAAGAUUGGUGUCUCUUGCCUCAAUUACAAGUGAGUUAUGAUCUCAAGAACAAGCGAGAAAGAAAAGAAGCAAUCCAAGCGCAAGAGCUCGAAAGAACACAAGCAAAUCACUCUCUCUAGUCACUAUGGCGUUGUGUGGAAUUUGAAGAGGAUUUGAUCUCUUUGGUGUGUCUAGAAUUGAAUGCUAGAGCUCUUGUAGUAGUUGGGAAGUGGAAAACUUGGAUGCAAUGAAUGGUGGGGUGGUUGGGGUAUUUAUAGCCCCAACCACCAAACUUGACCGUUGGCUGGGUUGUCUGUUCGAUGGCGCACCGGACAGUCCGGUGCCCCCUGCCACGUCAUCACUGCCGUUGGAUUCUGACCGUUGGAGCUUCUGACUUGUGGGCCCGCCUGGGUGUCCGGUGCACACCGGACAUCUACUGUUGCUUGUCCGGUGUGCCGGAGUGGGCGCGCCUGACAUCUGCGCGCGCAGAGCGCGCAUUAAAUGCACGGCAGAGAGCCGUUGGCGCGGAGGUAGCCAUUGCUCUGGAGUCGCACCGGACAGUCCGGUGCACACCGGACAGUCUGGUGAAUUAUAGUGGAUGAGCCGUUGGCUUUUCCCGAAGCUGGCGAGUUCCUGAGGCCGACCUCCCUUGGCGCACCGGACACUGUCCGGUGUACACCGGACAGUCCGGUGAAUUAUAGCGCGGUCGCCUCUGGAAAUUCCCGAAGGUGGCGAGUUGGAGCUGGAGUCCUCUGGUGCACCGGACACUGUCCGGUGUACACCGGACAGUCCGGUGCUCUCAGACCAGAGGACCUUCGGUUCCCACUUUGCUCCUUUGUUGAAUCCAAAACUUGGUCAUUUUAUUGGCUGAGUGUGAACCUUUUACACCUGUAUAAUCUAUACACUUGGGCAAACUAGUUAGUCCAAAGAUUUGUGUUGGGUAAUUCAACCACCAAAAUUAUAUAGGAACUAGGUGUAAGCCUAAUUCCCUUUCAGUAGGGCGGUGUCGACAACUGUAGCAAAAUGGUUCGUGCCGAUCGCACGAGGAACAGUGGACAAGGUUUACAGGUUCGGGCCGCUUAGAGAUGCGUAACACCCUACGUCCUGGUGAGUAUGCUUGGUGAAUGUGGUUACAAGAGGGCUCUCUGGAUUGAGAAUACCGAGAGUUGACGUGGAUGGCUAAGUAAUAGGGUCGAUCGUUCUGAAGGGGUGCCCCCUAGGCCUUAUAUACUCGACCGUGGGGCAAUACAUGUGGAUAUGAUAACAACAAGUAGCUAAAAGAUAGUGAACCUCUUGAGUUUAUCCCUGCGUAACCCUCGCCGACUUAUCCUCACAUGGCUCCGUUGCAUGGGGGCUCCAACGCGGGAAAGUCGGAUCUCUGUUGUGGUCACUCGCUCGACGUCGUGGGCCGUCCGGGUUUGCACCAAUCCGGCCUCAUGUCGUUCUGCUUUGCUGGUUGCCUCUCCCCAGGCCCACGAAAGAAUGACCUUACGAUUUAUUGGGCUCUUGGGCCUUUCGUGAGGUCUUUUACUCUUUUAGUGGACCCGGGGGAUAUCUAUCCCCCACAAUAUCCGGUGCACACCGGACUGUCCGGUGAGCCAGCAGAGCAACGGCUACUUCGCGCCAAUGGUCACCUGCAGAAGCAUUAAAUGCGCGCCAGAGCGCGCAGAAGUCAGGCACGCGCGAAGUGGCGCACCGGACACUCUACAGGACAUGUCCGGUGCGCCACCGGACAUCCAGGCGGGCCCAGCAGUCAGAGCUCCAACGGUCGGAACCCAACGGCCUGGUGACGUGGCUGGCGCACUGGACACUGUCCGAUGUGCACCGGACUGUCCGGUGCACCAUGCGACAGACAACCUCCACCAAACGACUAGUUUGGUGGUUGGGGUUAUAAAUACCCCCAACCACCCCACAUUCAAGUCAUCCAAGUUUUCACACUUCCAACCACUUACAAGAGCUAGGCAUUCAAUACAAGACACACCCAAGUGAUCAAAUCCUCUCCCAAUUCCACAAAAGCUUUAGUGUUAAGUGAGAGUGAUUUGUUGUGUUCUUUUGAGCUCUUGCGCUUGGAUUGCUUCUUUUCUUUUUCAAUCUUUCUUAAGAUCAAACUCACUUGUAAUUGAGGCAAGAGACACCAAUUGUGUGGUGGUCCUUGCGGGAACUUUGUGUUCUAAGUGUUUGAAAAGAAGAAGCUCACUCGGUCCGAGGGACCGUCUGAGAGAGGGAAAGGGUUGAAAGAGACCCGGUCUUUGUGACCACCUCAACGGGGAGUAGGUUUGCAAGAACCGAACCUCGGUAAAACAAAUCCGCGUGUCACACUCUUUUAUUCGCUUGCGAUUGUUUUGCACCCUCUCUUUCGGACUCGAUUAUAUUUCUAACGCUAACUCGGCUUGUAGUUGUGAUUAACUUUGUAAAUUUCAGUUUCGCCCUAUUCACCCCCCUCAAGGCGACUUUCAGCGCGCCAGCAGGCCGUGCUCGAGCUGGCUCAGCAGGAGGUAGUUGGUGAAGUAGGGGAAGAGCGACAGGUGGUCCAACGGGUUGUCGAAGGCGGUCAGCAGGUCGGAGUAGUGCGCCUCCAGCACUGCCCUAGCACGCGUGGGGGCGUGAGCGCCAGCGGACGCAGCCACUCAACGGCUAUGCUGAAUCAAAGAAGACAUUCAGGUCCGGCACGCCGCCACGGGUCGCAUGGGCGUUGUCUGAAGCUCCAUGGAGUGCGGGGGAGGCGCUCAAUCUGGGUCAGGUUUUAAUAACUUAGAUGUCCCUUUGGUGAUAUGAUUAGUUAACUAUCUUACUAGAGCGUGUAUAAUGGUGUUUAAUAUAGAGACCCUUGAGGUGUUUAAAAGGCUAUUUGCAAAAAAAAUGUGGAGGCGUCUCUUCGUGAAGAAGAGUCUGUGGCUCAUAACCCAAGUAGUAACAAACGCAUUCACUUUCUUUGUACGAAUACAUCGUCUGUUAUAUCGAUAUGAUGCUCUACAGACGCAUUCGCUUCUGCAUUUAUUAGUAGAAUACGUUUAUAGACAUUCUAUUAUAUAAUAAUCUCUUAGAUUUCUUUUAAUACUUCGAUAAUCGUUUUGUUGUCUUUACACGAUACAUGUCUGCUUCGUAAAUGAACGAGAACAUGUCUUAAAAAGGUAUAUCCGUUCACAAUAGUAUUAGAGAGAAUUUACGUCUAAAACUAGCAGCUGUAUUAAAGGAUUUAUAAUUAUAAAGUCCUCAAUACUACCUGCUUUGAGGCGGCAGCACCUGUUGCAGACGGGGACAGAUUGGAAGAAAGAACAGCUACUGACCAACACUACACAACAUGCUCUAACAUGUUCCAGGUUUGUUCCCAGAAUGACCCGUCGCAGAUCAAGAGAAAACACAGCAUGUUCUAGGUUUGUUCCCAGAGAAAGCACCGCAUGUUCUAGGUUUGUUCCCAGAACGACCCGUCGCAGGCAGAUCGGGAAAAUGCGCAGUCGCUGACCAACACUUGACAACCUCCCGUUGCAGAUAGAGAGAAAGCCACUGCAUUCCCACAGCCCUGGGCAACUUUCCGUGGUCAGAAGUCCACGCACUGGCUCAGUAUCAAAGCAUCUCAGCAAAACACAUCAGACGUGUAAAUAUUGUUCGAAAAGGUUGUAAAAUAAUAACACGAAAAUCAUUGUUCGAAAAUUCCAUUUAGCGGCGCCAAAAGGAGAAAUACAAGUCUCAGGAGCAUUACUGAUAGUAAAGACAACAGACAACAGACACCUGAAGAGGCCGACGCUGCGCUACCCAAACAAACAGGAGACACCGCAGCAAACAGUCCACGCAAUAACAGCAACAACCGCAUACACAACUUUAGUGGCAAGUUAUCCAGGCACUGCAAAAGCAGACACGGGAUCGCAUCAUUUCUUCUUGGCGGCCGCCUUGGUCACCUUGGCGCCGGUUGGGUCCUUCUUCUCCACACUCUUGAUGACUCCAACAGCAACCGUCUGCCUCAUGUCGCGGACGGCAAACCUACCCAGGGGAGGAUACGCGGAGAAUGUCUCCACCACCAUAGGCUUGGUGGGAAUCAUCUUCACCAUACCAGCAUCACCGUUCUUCAGGAACUUGGGCUCCUUCUCGAGCUCCUUGCCAGAUCGCCUGUCGAUCUUGGUAAUGAGCUCAGCAAACUUGACGGCGAUGUGGGAGGUGUGGCAGUCCAGCACUGGGGCAUAGCCGUUGCCAAUCUGCCCAGGGUGGUUCAUGAUGAUGACCUGGGAGGUGAAGCUGGCAGCCUCCUUGGCAGGGUCAUCCUUGGAGUUGGAGGCCACGAACCCACGCUUGAGAUCCUUGACAGCAACGUUCUUCACGUUGAAGCCAACAUUGUCGCCCGGAAGAGCCUCCUGAAGCGCCUCGUGGUGCAUCUCAACAGACUUCACCUCAGUAGUCAGGCCAGUUGGACCAAAGGUGACUACCAUACCAGGCUUGAUGACACCAGUCUCCACACGACCAACCGGUACAGUUCCAAUACCACCAAUCUUGUACACAUCCUGGAGGGGCAGACGCAGGGGCUUGUCCGAAGGCCUCUUGGGCUCGGUGAUCUGGUCAAGAGCCUCAAGCAGGGUUGGGCCUUUGUACCAGUCAAGGUUGGUGGACCUCUCAAUCAUGUUGUCGCCCUCAAAACCAGAAAUGGGAACAAAGGCAAUCUUAUCAGGGUUGUACCCAACUUUCUUGAGGUAGGAUGAGACUUCCUUCACAAUCUCAUCAUAACGUGCCUUGGAGUAUUUCGGAGUGGUUGCAUCCAUCUAAAAAACAGAACACCAUUACUUUGAUUAUCCACGGUACAUAGACAGUAUAUGCUUGGAACAGAAUAAUACUAUUAGCUUAAUGGAAUAAUAAAGGACAUGAACAGCAGGCAAACUGUGGAUAUGUGAUACCACAGCAGUGACAACUACACAUAAAUAGGUAGAUCACCGUGUAUCAUAAUUCAUAUAUAUGUAACCAACAUACCAAGUCCUGGAUGUAACAAAUAAGAAGCAUAUGACAAAAUACAGAGCUAAUCAGGUAUAUGUCAAUGCAUCCUACUAAUAAAACUGCAGUACCAGCACAUUAAAUAACCAUACCAAUCAAGUGAAAAUAAAUAAAUGCUUAUACACUUGUACAUACAUUACUUGUUCCAAUAACAUCUAAACAUUACUUGGAACAAUUGAGUGAGAAACUUCUAUGAAAAUUAUUGAGAAAAUAUUCUACAACAGAUCAUACUAGCAAACUAAUGAAUGCUAUUAAGUUAACUAACUACUAAAUAUGAAAGAAACAGAAGGUUAAUCGAAGCUCUAGCCACUAUAAUCAUUUCACAAAUCCUGUAUUCAACUCCAAAACUAUUAUACUAGCACCAAAUUCUGCAAAAGUAGCACAUACCAUUAUACUAGAGGCUUUUGAAACAAAAAUUCCUGAAAGCAUACCUUGUUGCAGCAGCAAAUCAUCUGCUUCACUCCAAGGGUGAACGCAAGGAGAGCAUGUUCACGGGUCUGGCCAUCCUUGGAGAUACCAGCCUCAAAACCACCAGUGGUGGAGUCAAUGAUAAGGACAGCACAGUCAGCCUGGGAGGUACCAGUGAUCAUGUUCUUGAUGAAGUCACGGUGUCCAGGGGCAUCAAUGACCGUGCAGUAGUACUUGGUGGUCUCAAACUUCCACAGAGCGAUAUCAAUGGUGAUACCUCUCUCACGCUCAGCCUUGAGCUUGUCGAGCACCCACGCGUACUUGAAGGACCGCUUGUUCAUUUCAGCAGCCUCCUUCUCAAACCUCUCGAUCACACGCUUGUCAAUGCCUCCAAGCUUGUAGAUCAGGUGUCCUGUGGUGGUCGACUUGCCAGAGUCAACGUGGCCAAUAACCACAAUGUUGAUGUGGGACUUCUCUUUACCCAUGGUUGGAGGUGAGAUUGAACUGUUAACAAGACGAAUCAACGAUUAGAAACACUAGUAAAUAUUAAUACUACCAGUAACGACACAAUUUAUCAGAUGGGAUCAGAAACUAGAUCUAACGUUGUCACCGGAGUUAUGAGCUUGAAAAAAGCUUGAUACACAUAAGCAGUGUAAAAAUAAAGAAGCAAAUAUUAAACAGAGCAAUCAAUGUAAUAUAAAAAAAUAAAGCAGGCAUAGAAAAUAAAGAGCAAACUAAUAAGUGUGCGCACAUAAUUUUGAGCCAGUAAGACGAAUUCAAAAUUAGGCACAACAACUCUAUAAAGCAGAUCAGGAAUUUGGUCAUAUUAUGAGGUUACAACUCUUACUGCGCAUGAACUACAAAGACAAGUAUCGGUCAAAUAGAAACUACAGCAGCUCUACACCUCAAAAAUUCGAUCUGACUUUAUUAAGACCACGUAACACGACCGCAAGCGCAAUUAAGAAGUCGUCCAACUACGGUGGCACGGUGCGUAUGUAAUUUAUCAAAUCCAGAAGCAACUAUCCGUAAGAAUCAGGUCAUCCAAACACGGAAGCAAACAAAACCACAAAAAACUAAGAGAAUGGAGACGCAGUAGCUACAAUUAAUCGCAAACAGAAGACCGAAUCACUUCAGGCACGGGGAGGCAACAGAGCACAGCUUUGAACCACUGCCUAUCUCAUCGAGCACCUCAAGGACAAAGAUCGAGCGACAGAGGAUUAGCUACCUUGCAAGGGACAGAGGCCGAAAUGGAGGCGCAGAAGGCAGACGGCGAGUUGGGGAGGAAGGUGCUUGCCUCUAGGGUUCGGGACUUUAUAUAAGGGUGUCGGAGUGGCCGGACCAGCCCAAUGUGACUUCCGAUUUCCGAAUGGCGGCCCAGGGCCAUAAACGGAGCGAGACAGGGUGUGUUUGGUUCGGUUUUUUUCUGACCAGCUUAUAUGAAAAGCUGGUUGUGGGGAAAAGCUGGCUGUUGGGAAAAACUGGUGGUUAAAAUUUAGGUGUUUGGUUCGCCAGCUGUGCAGAAAAGCUGUUUGUGAGAAUUUACGUGUUUGGAUAAUCAGAUUGUCAUAUUGCAGAUUCUGUUCGAAGAAACGAUAAAAUGAAACCCAUAACGAAGAAAAGGUCAUUACACAUUAAUUAGUGGAGUUGAUUACAUCAUAAGUACCGUUACAUUGAUAUACUUAACUACGCCACUAAUGUAUUAGCAAUUGCAUCUCGAAAAGCACUCAUGUCUAACUCAUCAGAUGUGCUACUACUACUCUCACCUAAAGGUACAUCAUGACUGCUGCUACUAGGUCCAAGUUCAUCAAAGUCUCUAUCGUGUAGAGCACUCUCUCUAAUGAAGUUAUGCAAUGUCAUACAAGCAAUAAUUAUCUUGGAUUGUUUGGUAAGCGAAAAAGAAGGGAGACUUAAAAGAACUCUCCACUUCAUUUUAAGCACCCCAAACGAUCGCUCUAUAACAUUGCGUAGCGAAGAGUGUGCAUAGUUGAAUACUUCUUUGGUCCCAAUAGGUUGCCUCGCAUUUUGCCAUUCAGAAAUGUGGUACUUCUGACCCUUAUAAGGUGCAAGGUAGCCCUUUCUAUUUGGAUAACCUGAAUCGACAAGAUAGUAUUUACCUGCACAAACAUGAAAUACAAAAGUUAAAUACUUAAGCCAGUAAUUAAUAGCAUAUGUCAUAAAAACAAGGUAUAUAAUUAUAUACCUUCUGGUGGCUGAGGGAACCUGUCCGCAUAAGUUAUCAAAGUAUCUUGUAAUACUCUAGUGUCAUGUACGGAUCCUGGCCAUCCUGUGACAACAAAUGUGAACCUCAUAUCGAAGUCACAAACGGCCAUUACAUUCUGCGAUGUGUAACCGUGACGUCCAAUAUAUUUGGCUUGCUCCGAGGCCGGGACUGCCGCUGGAAAGUGACUACCAUCAAUUGCUCCUAUGCAGUCCUUGAAGUGUGGCCAAAAUAUCGCCUCUCGCAAACGAGGAUGAAUCUCGAUGAAAUAUGGGUCUUUGGGCUUAAUUAUGUCAGAUGACAUCUUAAACAGUGCAUCAAGGACUUCACUAUACUUGUGACUAAUUGUUUCCAAGGAGUGACCAAACUUAUUCCUUAUCUGCCUAAAUGACUGUGGACCCCCACAUGCCCACAAGAAAAUGCCAAGUGCUUCCAUAGUACUGACACCCCGGCUUGGAAUCAGACCAUAAUUGUCGGCGUCUCGAGACCGGGGGGUCCCUAAGCCGACGAGUGAGUGUGCCGCGUGCCCCAGCCCAGAUGGGUCGAGCGCGUGGGCGAGCGCGAAGGGGGGAAGCGAGGUGGCCGGAGACGGGCGUGAGAGAGGUGGAAAUCCCGCGGCCUUCGUGUUCGUCCCGCGCCCAGGUCGGGUGCGCUUGCAGUAGGGGGUUACAAGCGUCCACGCGGGUGAGGGAAGCGAGCGGCCCCAAGAGAGCGCCUGUCCCGUCCUCGUCCCCGCGCGGCCAACCUUCUCUAAGAAGGCCCUGGUCCUUCCUUUUAUAGGCGUAAGGAGAGGAUCCAGGUGUACAAUGGGGGUGUAGCAGAGUGCUACGUGUCUAGCGGGGGAGAGCUAGCACCCUAAGUACAUGCCGAUGUGGCAGCCGGAGAGAUCUUGGCACCAAGUCGGUGUGAUGUCGUGGCCGUCGGAGGAGCAACGGAGCCUGGCGGAGGGACAGCUGUCGGAGCGGUCGAGUCCUUGCUGACAUCCUCCUGCUUCCGUAAGAGAGCUGAGAGCCGCCGUCGUCACAGGGCACGUGGGGCGCCAUCAUUGCCUAUCUGGCGGAGCUAGCCAGAUGGGACACCGGUCUUGUUCUCUGCGGCCCGAGUCGGCUCGGGGUAGGGUGAUGAUGGCGCUUCCUGUUGACGUGGCGGGCCCGCGCCCGAGGUCGGGCGACGUGGGGGCUCCUCCGAAGCCAGGGUUGAGUCUGUCUUCCGUGGCCGAGGCCGAGCCCGAGCCCCGGGGUCGGGCGAGGCGGAGGUCGUUCGGCAGAGGCCGGGGCGGAGUCCGAGCCCUAGGGUCGGGCGAAGCGGAGUUCGUCGUCUUCUGGGGCUGAGCCCGAGUCCGAGCCCUGGGUCGGGCGGAGCGGAGUUCGUCGUCUUCUGGGGCUGAGCCCGAGUCCGAGCCCUGGGUCGGGCGGAGCAGAGUUCGCCGUCUUCCGGGGCUUAGCCCGAGUCCGAGCCCUGGGUCGGGCGGAGCGGAGUUCGCCGUCUUCCGGGGCUUAGCCCGAGUCCGAGCCCUGGGUCGGGCGGAGCGGAGUUCGCCAUCUUCCGGGGCUUACCCCGAGUCCGAGCCCUGGGUCGGGCGGAGCGGAGUCCGCCGUCUUCCGGGGCUUAGCCCGAGUCCGAGCCCUGGGUCGGGCGGAGCGGAGUUCGCCGUCUUCCGGGGCUUAGCCCGAGUCCGAGCCCUGGGUCGGGCGGAGCGGAGUUCGCCGUCUUCCGGGGCUUAGCCCGAGUCCGAGCCCUGGGUCGGGCGGAGCGGAGUUCGCCGUCUUCCGGGGCUUAGCUCGAGUCCGAGCCCUGGGUCGGGCGGAGCGGAGUUUCCUAUGGCGCCUUUGGCAAGGCCUGACUGCCUGUCAGUCUCACUCUGUCAAGUGGCACUGCAGUCGGAGUGGCGCAGGCGGUGCUGUCCUUCUGUCAGACCGGUCAUUGGAGCGGCGAAGUGACGGCGGUCACUUCGGCUCUGCCGGGGGGCGCACGUCAGGAUAAAGGUGUCAGGCUACCUUUGCGUUAAAUUCUCCUGCGACUCGGUCGGUCGGCGCGGCGAUUUAGUCAGGGUUGCUUGUUAGCGAAGGCAAGGCCUCGGGCGAGCCGGAGAUGUGUCCGCCGUUAAAGGGGGGCCUCGGGCGAGACGGAAACCCCUCGGGGUCGGCUGCCCUUGCCCGAGGCUAAGCUCGGGCGAGGCGUGAUCGAGUCGCUCGUAUGGACUGAUCCCUGACUUAAUCGCACCCAUCAGGCCUCUGCAGCUUUAUGCUGAUGGGGGUUACCAGCUGAGAAUUAGGCGUCUUGAGGGUACCCCUAAUUAUGGUCCCCGACAGUAGCCCCCGAGCCUCGAAGGGAGUGUUAGCACUCGCUUGGAGGCUUUCGUCGCACUUUUUUGCAAGGGGACCAUCCUUUCUCGGUUGCAUUUUGUUCCGGUGGGUGCGCGCGAGCGCACCCGCCGGGUGUAGCCCCCGAGGCCUCGGAGGAGUGGUUUCACUCCCUCGAGGUCUUAAUGCCUUGCGUAAUGCUUCGGCUGGUCUAGUUGUUCCCUCAUGCGAACUGGCCGUAGCCCGGGUGCACGGUCGGGGCCCAAGUUCUCGGGCUGGUAUUUUGACGCUGUCAACGGUUCGGCCGGAGCCGGGUUUGCGAGAGCAGCCCCCGAGCCUCCGCACAGGGCGAGAGGGCGAUAAGGGACAGACUCGGCUUUUUUACAUACGCCCCUACAUCGCCUUUCCGCAAGGAGGAGGGGGGGAGAGCGCCAUGUUACCCUCGAUGGGCACCGAACAUGGUGUCUCCGGUGAGCUGCAAGCGGGUAAUCCGAGUGGACGUCCGUGCCCCGUUCGUUGGGGGUCGGCUAGGGGCCCAGAGGCACGCCCAAAAGUACCUGCGGGUGAUCUGCCGGACCCGGUCCCCUGGCGACGGGGUCCGAGGGCUCGAUGCCUCCCUCCGAUGGGAUUCCGUUACAAGAUCGCUCCCGCUGGUCUCGGAAAUGUCCUAGGGUACCUCGGGAGCGCAGCCCGAGCCUUGGUUAUGUAUCGAACGUACCCCUGGUCAUCCCUCGCUCGGCGUCUGAGGCGACUGUGAACCCUUCGGGGGCCAGCCUUCGAACCCCUGAUCAGUAAUGGGCGCGGAGCCCGAGUAGCCUGAGGCGGCCGUGGAGCCCUUCGGGGGGCCGGCCUUCGAACCUCUGACCAGUAGUGGGUGUAGGGCCCACGCGAUCUGAGGCGACUGUUGAACCCCUCGGAGGGCCAGCCUUCGAACCUCUGAUCAGUAGGGGGGCUCGGAGCCCGGUUCCUUCACAGGGAAGGAUCCUUUUCGGGGUAUCCCCCUUUCCCGGUCCCUGUUGCAAGAGAUAGAGAAAGAGGAAAAAAAGGAAAAGGAUACGAAAUCGAACGACGUGGCGUACCUUUUUUGGCGCGGUUAUUACGGCGAAGGCGAAGCGUCGCCCGCUUCUCCUGCCAGAAGCGCCGCCUGUCCCGCCGCGGAGUUAAUGCGAUGGGGUGAGUUGUUGGCGGGGCGGCCGUUGCGCGUGCGCGAGCCGUUCGAGGAACGGAUCACGGGCGCCCUGUCUUCACGCCGUGAGAGGGGGUUCUCUUGCUGCCCCCGGACGGGACAUGAGUCUGGCCGACGACGUGACCGCUGCUCCCGCCCGCCUGCCACCGUCAUUACUGCCGGCCCACUUUCGGCCAUAUUGACCGUCGCGCUAGGCUGGCGCUGCUGGGUCGCGCGCUGGGCCGCCUCGAGUCGCGGUAUUGGUUCCGCAACCGAAGAGGCGCGGUGGUGGCGCAAGUGGCGGUGCAGUUGCUUGCAUGCAGCAUCUGGCGCGCCGGUUGCGUGACGCGUGGGCCUGGGCCUCCAUGCCGGCGUGUUGGGAGUCGGAGAAGCGCGUCCGCCUGGCGCGAUUGCAUGCCGCCUGCAUGGCUGCCCGCCCCUUCCGCCCGUUGGUCUGGGCAAAAGUGGGGGGUCGCUUGUAACUGCUGGGCGGUUGUGUGCACCACGCGCGGCGCUUUGGCUUCUUCUGCUCUGAGCCGGUUUGCAUGACACGCGGGACCCAGCCCCCGCGCCGCAGGGAAGGGCCUUGGAGCGUGUUGGAGAAGACUCAGCCCAUGACGUUUGGGGGCGCACGUAGGGAGAGUUGCCUUUAAAAGGAGGGCGACCCCUUUCGUAAGGCGACCAUGUCUUCUCGCUCCCUUAUGCGUCGCGUCUUUCCACCUUCCAAGCCCCCGGAUGGGGGGUACCCGCCGUCUUUUCGCCUCAUCGUUGGAGGAACGCAACUCCGUGGGAGUUGGUACCUUUCAGCCAUCGCUCGGCUUCAAGGUUUUUCAUCACACAGCCCGGUUGCUCCCCUCCGCUGGUGGUCACCCGAGACGGUGACCUUCAGCUCCUGGAUGGGGAGAGGCAAGCCGGGCUGUGAUCCCGAUCCCGCCCUCAGCGUCGAGGGUGUUCGUCAUCCUCGCUGGGGCGGGGAGCGAGGCGAGCCGGGGCUCUACCUCCUGCGCUGGUCGGUGGGCCACCUCUUCUUCCAGCUUCUGGUGGUGGCAAUCGCCCUCCAGCCCCGCGGCGGAGACGUCCUCCAGCCAUGCCGGGGAAGGCGAACUGUUGCUGCCCAGCUAGGAUGCAACAUUCCGCCCCCUCCCUCGCAUUCGCGGCGAGGACGGCAGCGAGGACCUGCCGGUGCGCUUGGGAGCGGCCCGCUCUUUGGCUUUAAUAGCUGGUUCGCGUCCCUUGAGCGGGAACGCGAACGAGAUCCCUCCGGUGGCCGCGUCCACCCGGGACCAUGGCUGCUGCUGCAGAGGUCGCUGGCAGGUCUCCCGACGCUCGUCGCCCCGCAGGCUCGAGGUUGCUCAUACCCGCGGGGACGGAACCAGAGUUCCGUUUGUAAUGGCACUUUGAAUGCCAGUGUUUUUGUUCAUUAUGGCUGUCGAGGCCUGAACAUGUAUGUAAUUUUGGCACGGAGCCGUGUUUUUUCCUCAUUUUUGAGCACUAAGACUCGCCUGUCGAUUAUCUGAAUUGCUUCACCAAGCAUGAGUCGCCCCGUGUCAAGGUGACGAGCGAGGUAUCCGUAUCCCGGAGGCGUAGGAGUCCCUCGGCUCGAUCGGCCUUGUUGUCUGAGGCUCCUCUAGCUUAGUUAAAGAGACCCCUUGGCUGCUCUUCGACGAGCCGAGGCCAGGGGUAGCGAUAUCAGCACGAACAGAGGCGGAGUUGGCUUGAAAAAUGAAAACCUGGUUAGCCGGAGCCUAGCCGGGUUGUCCGUCAGCGGGACCGAUGCCGGAGUUGAUCAGCCGAGGCCUCGGACCGGGCUGGCGCCCUUGGAAGAUGGUUGGCCGAGGCCCCUAGGGUAACCGGCCGAGCCGCCUGCUCGGGCCGGAUUCCCGGAGAAGUCCCUGGACCGCGUCGCCGUCCGAGGCUGGGUCGGACCUCGCUGAAGGCGUCGUCGAUGCCGAGGGUGCUACAGCUCCCUUCCAGCGUGAAGACCCGAGCCUGCAGGAUCAGAUUGUCUUGUAGCGUGUGCCUUCUGCGGUCGCUGAGGCCAGAAAACACACCCUCGCUGCGUUGUAAAGCUGCGUCUCUUUUCCUCUUGUUUCGAGUAUCUGGACUUUUUGUUGGUAACAGGGAUGUUUGUGCGGGCGAGAGUUGCUUCUCGCGGAAGGUGAUGAUUGAGGUAUCCGUAUCCCGGAGGCGUGGGAGUCCCUCGGCUCGGUCGGCCUUGCCGCUUACGCGUACUUUCACCCGUCCAUGGGGCCCUGUCACCGACUCAGUCGAGAAGGCUCGAAGGAUCGCUUCGGCAGAAGGGCUUCCGAACGUAAAGACUUGUUCGGUCCGCGGAAUCACUUUAUCCGAACGCGAGUUACUUAUCGCAGAAGGUGAUGAGUGAGGUAUCCGUAUCCCGGAGGCGUAGGAGUCCCUCGGCUCGGUCAGCCUUGGCUGCUUACGUGCACUCCGUCGUUUCCAGGACCCACUUUUCGAAGUAAUCAAAAAGCACGAAAGAUAUUCUGGCAGAAGAGAUCUUUUUUCGAGGAAAAUUUCGACGCAGAGGGGGUUCCCCCCCUUUUAGCCCCCGAGGGAGGGUCGGGCUUUGCCGAGGCGAGGCCGACCCUUCCUUGAUGACUAAACUCUGCGUGGGUGCGAGGUAUAUGAACAACUUGAAAACAUCUUAAGGGUAGAAGCGACGUAGCUGUUUGAUGUUCCAAGCGUUGCCGUAGACCUCGCCUUGACUGUUGGCCAGCUUGUACGUUCCGGGCUUCAGAACUUUGGCGAUGACGAAUGGCCCCUCCCAGGGGGGCGUGAGCUUGUGCCUCCCUCGGGCGUCUUGCCGCAGCCGAAGCACCAGGUCGCCCACCUGGAGGUCCCGGGGUCGGACCCCUCGGGCGUGGUAGCGCCGCAGGGACUGCUGAUACCGCGCCGAGUGUAGUAAGGCCUUGUCCCGAGCCUCUUCCAGCUGGUCCAGCGAGUCUUCUCGGCUAGCUUGGUUGCUUUGAUCGUCGUAGGCCCUCGUCCUCGGGGAGCCGUAUUCCAGGUCAGUGGGCAAGACGGCCUCGGCCCCGUAGACCAGGAAGAAUGGCGUGAAACCCGUGGUCCGGCUUGGCGUCGUCCUCAGGCUCCAGACCACCGAGGGGAGUUCCUUCAUCCAUCGCUUGCCGAACUUGUUGAGGUCGUUGUAAAUCCGAGGCUUGAGCCCUUGUAGAAUCAUGCCGUUGGCACGCUCUACUUGCCCAUUCGUCAUGGGAUGAGCCACGGCGGCCCAGUCCACCCGGAUGUGGUGAUCCUCGCAGAAGUCCAAGAAUUUUCUGCCGGUGAACUGGGUGCCGUUGUCGGUGAUGAUGGAGUUUGGGACCCCGAAGCGAUGGAUGAUGUUGGUGAAGAACGCCACCGCCUGCUCGGACCUGAUGCUGUUCAGGGGUCGGACCUCGAUCCACUUGGAGAAUUUGUCGAUGGCGACCAGCAGGUGCGUGUAGCCCCCAGGCGCCUUCUGCAAGGGACCGACGAGGUCCAGACCCCACACAGCAAAGGGCCAGGUGAUGGGUAUCGUCUGCAGAGCCUGAGCGGGCAGGUGGGUCUGCUUCGCAUAGAAUUGGCACCCUUCGCAGGUGCGGACAAUUCUAGUGGCGUCAGCCACCGCCGUUGGCCAGUAGAAGCCUUGCCGGAAAGCAUUCCCGACGAGGGCUCGAGGCGCUGCAUGAUGGCCGCAAGCCCCCGAGUGUAUUUCUUGCAGGAGUUCCUGACCUUCGGCGAUGGAGAUGCAUCGCUGGAGGAUGCCCGAGGGGCUGCGGUGGUAGAGCUCCUUCUCAUCGCCCAGCAAGACGAACGACUUGGCGCGUCGCGCUACCCGCCGAGCCUCGGCUUGGUCGAGGGGUAGCUCUCCUUGGCGAAGAUAUUGUAGGUACGGGGUCUACCAAUCUCGAUCAGGCGUGGCCCCGCUCCGCUCCUCCUCGACGUGCAGUGCCUCGCCCUCGGGGGCCGAGGGUACCUCGGGCUGAACCGAGGACGCCUCGGGCUGGGCCGAGGGUACCUCAGGCUGGGCCGAGGGUACCUCGGGCUCGGGCAUGUCGUUGAUCUUGACGGAGGGUUGAUGCAGAUCCUGGGAGAAGACGUCCGGGGGAACCGUCGUUCGCCCCGAGGCUAUUUUUGCCAGCUCGUCCGCAGUCUCGUUGUAGCGCCGAGCGAUGUGGUUAAGCUCGAGCCCGUAGAACUUGUCUUCCAGGCGCCGAACCUCAUCGCAGUAGGCCUCCAUCUUCGGGUCGCGGCAGUGGGAGUUCUUCAUGACUUGGUCGAUGACGAGCUGCGAGUCACCGCGGGCGUCGAGGCGUCUAACCCCUAGCUCGAGGGCGAUCCGCAACCCGUUGACCAGAGCCUCGUACUCAGCCACAUUGUUGGACGCCGGGAAAUGGAGGCGUAGCACGUAGCGUAGGUGUUUUCCGAGGGGCGAGAUGAAGAGCAGGCCCGCGCCGGCUCCCGUCUUCAUCAGCGACCCGUCGAAAAACAUGGUCCAGAGCUCCGGUUGGAUCGGAGCCGUCGGCAGCUGGGUGUCGACCCAUUCGGCUACGAAGUCCGCCAAUACCUGGGACUUGAUGGCCUUCCGAGGGGCGAACGAGAUUGUCUCGCCCAUGAUUUCCACCGCCCACUUUGCGAUCCUGCCCGAGGCCUCUCGGCACUGGAUGAUCUCCCCCAGGGGGAAGGAUGACACCACAGUUACCGGAUGAGACUCGAAGUAAUGUCGCAACUUUCGCCUCGUUAGGAUCACUGCAUACAGCAGCUUCUGAACUUGUGGGUAGCGGAUCUUGGUUUCGGACAGUACCUCGCUGACGAAGUAAACUGGCCUCUGAACGGGCAAUGCAUGCCCCUCUUCUUGCCUCUCGACCACAAUCGCGACGCUAACCACCUGAGUGGUCGCGGCGACAUAGACCAAGAGGGCUUCUCCAUCAGCUGGGGGUACCAAGAUAGGCGCCUUUGUGAGGAGCGCCUUCAGGUUCCCGAGAGCUUCCUCGGCCUCAGGGGUCCAAGCGAAACACUCAGCCUUCCUUAACUGGCGGUACAGAGGCAGACCUCUUUCGCCGAGGCGUGAGAUGAAGCGGCUCAGGGCCGCGAGACAUCCCAUGACCCUCUGUACGCCUUUUAAGUCCUUGAUGGGCCCCAUGCUGGUGAUAGCUGCGAUCUUCUCCGGGUUGGCUUCGAUGCCUCGCUCGGAGACGAUGAACCCCAAGAGCAUGCCUCGGGGCACCCCGAAGACACACUUCUCGGGAUUGAGCUUGACGCCUUUCGCUUUGAGACAUCGGAAUGUCACUUCAAGGUCGGAGAGGAGGUCGGAAGCCUUCCUUGUCUUGACUACGAUGUCAUCGACGUAGGCCUCGACUGUGCGACCGAUGUGUUCGCCGAACACAUGGUUCAUGCACCGCUGGUACGUCGCGCCCGCAUUCCUCAAACCGAACGGCAUGGUGACAUAGCAGUACAUGCCGAAGGGCGUGAUGAAAGAAGUCGCGAGCUGGUCGGACUCUUUCAUCCGGAUUUGGUGAUACCCUGAGUAGGCAUCGAGGAAGGACAGGGUUUCGCACCCAGCAGUGGGAUCCACGAUUUGAUCGAUGCGAGGUAGAGGGUAGGGAACCUUCGGACAUGCUUUGUUGAGACCAGUGUAGUCUACACACAUCCGCCAUUUCCCCCCUUUCUUUCUCACAAGCACAGGGUUGGCAAGCCAUUCGGGAUGGAAUACCUCUUUGAUGAACCCUGCUGCCAUUAGCUUGUGGAUCUCCUCGCCUAUCACUCUGCGCUUCUCCUCGUCGAAUCGGCGCAGAGGCUGCCUGACGGGUCGGGCUCCGGCCCGAAUAUCCAGCGAGUGCUCGGCGACAUCCCUCGGUAUGCCGGGCAUGUCCGAGGGACUCCACGCAAAGACGUCGGCGUUUGCGCGGAGAAAGUCGACGAGCACUGCUUCCUAUUUGGGGUCGAGCCCAGAAUCGAUCCAGAUCUGCUUGGAGGUGUCGCCACUGGGGUCGAGAGGGACGGCCUUAACCGUCUCCGCUGGCUCGAAGUUGCCGGCAUGACGCUUCACGUCUGGCACCUCUUUGGAGAGGUUCUCCAGGUCGGCGAUGAGGGCCUCGGACUCGGCGAGGGCCUCGGCGUACUCCACGCACUCCACGUCGCAUUCGAACGCGUGUUUGUACGUGGGGCCGACGGUGAUGACCCCGUUGGGGCCCGGCAUCUUGAGCUUCAGGUAGGUGUAGUUGGGGACGGCCAUGAACUUUGCGUAGCAUGGCCUCCCCAGUACCGCGUGGUAGGUUCCUCGGAACCCGACCACCUCGAACGUCAAAGUCUCCCUUCGGAAGUUGGAGGGCAUUCCGAAGCAGACGGGAAGGUCGAGCCGUCCGAGGGGCUGGACGCGCUUCCCAGGAAUGAUCCCGUGGAAGGGCGCAGCGCCUGCUCGGAUGGAGGACAGAUCGACGCGCAGGAGCCAGAGGGUCUCGGCGUAGAUGAUGUUGAGGCAGCUGCCCCCGUCCAUCAGGACCUUGGUGAGCCUGACGUCGCCGACGAUGGGGUCGACGACGAGCGGGUAUUUCCCUGGGCUCGGCAUGUGGUCGGGGUGGUCAGCUUGGUCGAAGGUGAUGGGCUUGUCGGACCAGUCUAGGUAGACUGGCGCCGCCACCUUCACCGAGCAGACCUCCCGGCGCUCUUGCUUGCGAUGCCGAGCCGAGGCAUUCGCCGCAUGCCCACCGUAGAUCAUGAAGCAGUCGCGGACCUCGGGGAACUCUCCUGCUUGGUGAUCUUCCUUUUUGUCGUCGUCGCGGGCCCUGCCACCCUCUGCGGGUGGCCCGACCCUGUGGAAGUGACGCCGAAGCAUGACGCACUCCUCAAGGGUGUGCUUGACGGGCCCCUGAUGGUAGGGGCACGGCUCCUUGAGCAUCUUGUCGAAAAGGUUAGCACCUCCGGGGGGCUUCCGAGGGUUCUUGUACUCGGCGGCGGCGACAAGGUCCGCGUCGGCGGCGUCGCGUUUCGCUUGCGACUUCUUCUUGCCUUUCUUCUUGGCGCCGCGCGGAGUAGACGCCUCGGGAGCCUCUUCCGAUGGGCGGCCUUGGGGCUGCUUGUCCUUUCGGAAGAUAGCCUCGACCGCCUCCUGGCCAGAGGCGAACUUGGUGGCGAUGUCCAUCAGCUCGCUCGCCCUGGUGGGGGUCUUGCGACCCAACUUACUCACCAGGUCGCGGCAGGUGGUGCCGGCAAGAAACGCGCCGAUGACAUCCGAGUCGGUGAUGUUGGGCAGCUCGGUGCGCUGCUUCGAGAAUCGCCGGACGUAGUCCCGAAGAGACUCUCCCGGCUGUUGCCGGCAGCUUCGGAGGUCCCAGGAAUUCCCGGGGCGCACGUACGUGCCCUGGAAAUUGCCGGCGAAGGCUUGGACCAAAUCAUCCCAGUUGGAGAUCUGCCCCGGAGGCAGGUGCUCCAACCAGGCACGAGUAGUGUCGGAGAGGAACAGGGGGAGGUUGCGGAUGAUGAGGUUGUCGUCGUCCGUUCCACCCAGUUGGCAGGCCAGGCGGUAGUCUGCGAGCCACAGUUCCGGACUCGUUUCCCCCGAGUACUUCGUGAUAGUAGUCGGGGGUCGGAACCGGGCCGGGAACGGCGCCCGUCGGAUGGCCCGACUGAAGGCCUACGGACCGGGUGGUUCGGGCGAGGGACUCCGAUCCUCACCGCUGUCGUAGCGUCCCCCACGCCUGGGGUGGUAGCCUCGGCGCACCCUUACGUCGAGGUGGGCCCGACGGUCGCGACGAUGGUGCUCGUUGCCGAGGUGGCCCGGGGCCGCAGGCGCGGUGUUGCGCGUGCGCCCGGUGUAGACCGAGGCUCCCUGCAUGAAUCGGGAAGUCGCGACAUGAGGUUCCGAGGGGUAUCCCUGCCUUCGGGAGGCAGAGCUCUCGGCCCGUCGGGCCGCAGCGCCUUCCAGGAGAUUCUUGAGCUCUCCCUGGAUUCGCCGACCCUCGGUGGUUGAUGGCUCCGGCAUCGCGCGGAGGAGCAUCGCUGCGGCUGCCAGGUUCUGAUCGACCCCGCUGGAUGCGGGUGGCGGCCUGACCCUGACGUCGUUGGCGAUGCGGUGCUGGAAACCCUGGGGCAGGUGACGUAUUUCUCCGGCCGGGGGUUGGCCCGCCCAUACCUGCCCGACGUCCCGGCGGAUCGACUCAAGCGCUCCUGCUCCCUCGUCGAGCCUGGCCUGCGCCCCGCGGACUUGCUCGAGCUGUGGGUCGUGACCCCCCGCCGGAACGGGGACCACAGCUAGCUCCCGCGGGAUGUCAGCGCGAGGCACCGGCCUAGGGAGAUCACCGUCCUCCGGCAUGCCGAGAUGGUUGCCUUCGGAGGGAUCCCCUAGCUCGACGUGGAAACAUUCGCGGCUUGGGCCGCAGUCCUCGUCGUCAAGGCUGCGGCUACCGUCGGAACAGUCGGAGAGGCAGUAGUCACAUGCGGUCAUAAAGUCCCGCAUGGCACUGGGGUUGCCAAAUCCAGAGAAAUCCCAACAGAUGCUGGGAUCGUCAUCUUCCUCGGACCCAGAGGGCCCGUAAGUCGAGACGUCCGUCAAUCGGUCCCAAGGCGACCGCAUACGAAACCCCAGAGGGGUUGCACUCGCCUCAACGAGAGCGCCCGCCAAAGCGAGGUCGCUAGGCGGGUUGAGGCCGAGUCGAAAUGACGUAGGAUGGGAAUCAGUCAGUACCUUUUGGUCGACGAGGAGCGACAUAGUCACGUCGGGGACUGAUUGCACCGUCGCCUUAGGUACGAGGGCGACGUCCUGCAAGCCCUCCGCGAGCGCGCUGGCGUCGUCCACUUGCUCGGGAUUGGUGUGUCGCGGGGGGACGGCACUCGCCUUCGUCUCAAACGCGAGGUCGACGCCCGACGCGCCCCCCGUUGGGGCGCUGGGGACGUCGAUUCGCUCGACAGCCGACGAAGCGCGGCCUCCCGCUUGGCCUUGGUUGCCCCGCCUCCUCCUCCGUUGGCGGGGGAGAGGACGGGGCGAGCUCGAAUGUUGUUCUUCCACCACGCGGGGAAGAUGUCGUCGAUUCCGCCGCCGGCGGGCGGGUUGUCGUUGUCGCGCGGCGGUGGAAGGAGUAUCAUGUCGUAGCUGCUGUCGAAGGACAUGAACUCAAGACUCCCGAAACGGAGCACCAUCCCGGGCCGGAGAGGUUGCUGGAGACUGCCCAUCUGGAGCUUGACGGGAAGCUGUUCGUCAGCACGCAGCAGGCCCCUACCUGGCGCGCCAACUGUCGGCGUCUCGAGACCGGGGGGUCCCUAAGCCGACGAGUGAGUGUGCCGCGUGCCCCAGCCCAGAUGGGUCGAGCGUGUGGGCGAGCGCGAAGGGGGGAAGUGAGGUGGCCGGAGACGGGCGUGAGAGAGGUGGAAAUCCCGCGGCCUUCGUGUUCGUCCCGCGCCCAGGUCGGGUGCGCUUGCAGUAGGGGGUUACAAGCGUCCACGCGGGUGAGGGAAGCGAGCGGCCCCAAGAGAGCGCCUGUCCCGUCCUCGUCCCCGCGCGGCCAACCUUCUCUAAGAAGGCCCUGGUCCUUCCUUUUAUAGGCGUAAGGAGAGGAUCCAGGUGUACAAUGGGGGUGUAGCAGAGUGCUACGUGUCUAGCGGGGGAGAGCUAGCGCCCUAAGUACAUGCCGAUGUGGCAGCCAGAGAGAUCUUGGCACCCAGUCGGUGUGAUGUCGUGGCCGUCGGAGGAGCAACGGAGCGUGGCGGAGGGACAGCUGUCGGAGCGGUCGAGUCCUUGCUGACGUCCUCCUGCUUCCGUAAGAGAGCUGAGAGCCGCCGUCGUCACAGGGCACGUGGGGCGCCAUCAUUGCCUAUCUGGCGGAGCUAGCCAGAUGGGACACCGGUCUUGUUCUCUGCGGCCCGAGUCGGCUCGGGGUAGGGUGAUGAUGGCGCUUCCUGUUGACGUGGCGGGCCCGCGCCCGAGGUCGGGCGACGUGGGGGCUCCUCCGAAGCCGGGGUUGAGUCUGUCUUCCGUGGCCGAGGCCGAGCCCGAGCCCCGAGGUCGGGCGAGGCGGAGGUCGUUCGGCAGAGGCCGGGGCGGAGUCCGAGCCCUAGGGUCGGGCGAAGCGGAGUUUGUCGUCUUCUGGGGCUGAGCCCGAGUCCGAGCCCUGGGUCGGGCGGAGCGGAGUUCGUCGUCUUCUGGGGCUGAGCCCGAGUCCGAGCCCUGGGUCGGGCGGAGCAGAGUUUGCCGUCUUCCGGGGCUUAGCCCGAGUCCGAGCCCUGGGUCGGGCGGAGCGGAGUUCGACGUCUUCCGGGGCUUAGCCCGAGUCCGAGCCCUGGGUCGGGCGGAGCGGAGUUCGCCGUCUUCCGGGGCUUAGCCCGAGGCCGAGCCCUGGGUCGGGCGGAGCGGAGUCCGCCGUCUUCCGGGGCUUAGCCCGAGUCCGAGCCCUGGGUCGGGCGGAGCGGAGUUCACCGUCUUCCGGGGCUUAGCCCGAGUCCGAGCCCUGGGUCGGGCGGAGCGGAGUUCGCCGUCUUCCGGGGCUUAGCCCGAGUCCGAGCCCUGGGUCGGGCGGAGCGGAGUUUCCUAUGGCGCCUUUGGCAAGGCCUGACUGCCUGUCAGUCUCACUCUGUCAAGUGGCACUGCAGUCGGAGUGGUGCAGGCGGCGCUGUCCUUCUGUCAGACCGGUCAUUGGAGCGGCGAAGUGACGGCGGUCACUUCGGCUCUGCCGGGGGGCGCGCGUCAGGAUAAAGGUGUCAGGCUACCUUUGCGUUAAAUGCUCCUGCGACUCGGUCGGUCGGCGCGACGAUUUAGUCAGGGUUGCUUCUUAGCGAAGGCAAGGCCUCGGGCGAGCCGGAGAUGUGUCCGCCGUUAAGGGGGGCCUCGGGCGAGACGGAAACCCCUCGGGGUCGGCUGCCCUUGCCCGAGGCUAGGCUCGGGCGAGGCGUGAUCGAGUCGCUCGUAUGGACUGAUCCCUGACUUAAUCGCACCCAUCAGGCCUCUGCAGCUUUAUGCUGAUGGGGGUUACCAGCUGAGAAUUAGGCGUCUUGAGGGUACCCCUAAUUAUGGUCCCCGACAAUAAUUGUCCACCAAUGUGUCAUGCAAUCGUCUAAACACAGUUCGUCGCAUGCGAAACAUAUCGAAGCAGUCGUUACUAUUCUCCAACGUUCUCUCCACCCAUUGAAUACCAGUUUCAACCAAUGUUCUUCUAGGAACCUGACUGAAAGUCCUGCCCCAAACGUCUACAGCACAUAUAGCAACCACCAAAUCUGCAUCUCUGUCAUCCAUUUCAUUAUCAAAUGUGUGUGCAGCAGGGUCAGACAUCUGCAUGCACACAAAAAACAGAGACAUAUUCAUAUGUAACCACACUUUAUAAGUCACAUAUUAAUGUACAACCACAGUUUACAAGCCACAUAUAUUCAGUAUUAAAAGGAGACAGAAAGUUCACAGAUUCACAUUGUUCACAAGCUAACAACUCUGAUUAUUCAAAUACAAGUUCAACUCGAAUAUCUGGAAAACUGUUUGUAAGGGAAAAUGAAGCGCACGACAAGUUUAUUCCUCACAACAAUGAAACGACAACACUCAUUAAACAGACAGAAACAACGAUAAUACUGAACAUAAGCCUCUGUUGUCGGACGACCAACAGCUAAGUGCACUUUUUAAGAUCUAUCUCGUAAGCAUUGCGAAGCCAAGCGAUCCUUCCUUCUUUUGUCUGCAAGUUUGCAAAAACAUCUCUAUACUUUUUCUCAAUCAAUGGAUGAGUGGCAAAUAAAUGUAGUUGGCUGCCUUCUGGUGAUCCAUCAUCCAUAACUUGUUGCAACUGCUUUUUAAUCUCAAGUCGAACUGGGUCAUUGUCAGCAGAGGUAAUGGACUUGUUAGUGGUCAUUGAACGCGACUCAAAAGCCUCCACUAGUCUUCUCAUGUACUCUUCCCUCGAAUCUUUUUUCUUCUUUGGUUUAGGAGAAUCAUGCCGCAUCUUACGCUUCCCACUUGCAUUUGUGCAGGGGUCAGGUGUGUUGUUUUCACCCCCACCUAAAGUGGCUUCGAAAUGAUCAUCAUAUGAUGAAUUAGCAUCCUCGACGCCAGGAACCAGGGUUCUUUCAUUUGUGCAGACAAUGGGUCCAAACAUAACCUUUAGCUCGUCCUCAUUCUCUAGGGGCUGUUUUGAACAUAAUACAACCUGGCAUUGCCUGCACCAACAUGGUAGUUCCUAGUUUGAGAUGGCCAUUACUAUUGUUAGUCUACCAAAAAAAAAGAUCUACUUACUUCAUUUUGCUUGGCCCACCACUCAUCUGGCGCACUGAUUGAACCAGUAUGAGGGUCUCGACCAAGACUUGUAGCCCUUUCAUUUAGAGUUUUCCACUGGGUGAACAUUCUCUUCAACGAGUCCCACCUAUUCUUCAUUUGAUCCCUUGUGUACGUGCGACCAGUGCGUUCCUUAAACUUUCUUAUCAGGUUAGCAUACCCUUCGGCGUUUAGGAAUUGUUGUGGCCUGUUCCGCGCAUUGACCUCUUCUACACAUAUUUCUAUGUAAAUUUUUGUUGCUCUACUAUCCCACUUAGCAAUGACUUUGCCAGACUUGUCCAUCUAGUGCAAAACAAGUGUAGACGAUUGAAAAUAUGUAUUGAAGUGCAGUUACUACGACAACAAAAUGAACACGUAAUAAUAACAUAAGGUAUUACCUUAAGGAGUCACAUUCGUUUGGCAUAAUUACAUAUAUAGACUGACCAAAUUCAAGUGCUGGUGGACACAAAAGCAUAGGGAACACUUCAGAACUGCGCAGGAAGCAAAAGGCUGAUCUAUCCCUGUUACCCUAACACCUGCCUCUAACAAGUUCUAACUUAAACUUCAUGACCUCUAACACCUGACUCUAACAAGGUCUAACUUAAACUUCAUUAUGACUAAACGAUGGCAUCUGGUCUGAGUCAUAUUCAAGACCCCAGAAGUUUUCAAAGUGCUCAGCAAAGUCCCAAUCUGGACUAAGGUACUCGUCAGCUGGGGGUGGUGAGGACAAGGCUGACGGUUCGUAGCUGCUGUCACCCGGGUUGUUUACGUUGUUCACGUUGUCCAGAUUCUCUUGCAACACCAGAGAGUCUUGCUCAAGCAUGCAAGCAAUGUCCUCCAAUGCUACACGAAGUUUGGUAGCCUCAAAAGAGGUCAACCCGCGUCCUGGACGGAUUGUUUCUCGAGCUACGGAAAAUAUCUUGUCCGCAAUCUCUUGCAUCCUCCCAAUUGCCUUGUCGGCUAUGGAGUCUGCUGAAUCCAUCUGAUGUGGAUUUAGGUUGUUAGUGAACUAACAAGGGGAUACUAACUUGCAUGUAUUGACAUCAAUUGCGUUCUAACAUGGACAACAUUUGGUUGAAGCUACCAUAGAGGUACUAAGAAAUAGAGUAUGAACACGUACUAUUAACAAACUUGUUGUGAACAAACAAACUAACAAGUCAUGACUCCAGAAAUAAUAGUGUUAUACAACAGAACAAUGGUAAUCCCUGUAAACCGUAAACAAAAAUUUGUUCACCCAUGGGGACUCUAACAAUUUGUGUAUCAAAUUACCUUGGCUGUUGUUGAUCUUGGAAGCGAAGACGCAGACCCCGAGUUGGUACAGAUUUCUGAAGGCCACAAUGAAGGAAAAUUGAUUUACUACGUCGUGCAUAGCGUUUAGAUGAACUCAAGUAGUAACUGGCUUCGGAUCGAGGCGAGCAACAGCCUACCUGGGAGGAUGCCGAUGCGACGGGGGGUACCAGAGGAAGACGGAGCGACGUCGCCGGUGUGAGUGAGCCAACCCUAGGGACAGUAAACGGUCAAGUCUCCCACCGCGGCGAAGGUGGAGAAUGAGAGGGCUCGGAUGGAGGAAAGAGCUCAUGUACCUCCGACGACGGGGGAAGAAGGUUCCUUCGCGACGGGUCUCAGGCUUCGACGAGGGUGCACGAACCCUAGCGAAGACGGGAUUGAGACACGGCAGUGGGGAGGAGAACCAACGGACUGGAAGGACGAGUUCGUCGAGGAGUCGCCCGUACCUGUGAAGACGACGUUGCGGGGAGGAGAUCGACCGGCGUCGGUCCGUUGGGUGCGCAGCGGCGGCGGGUUCGGUUGGCGGCGGCAGAGGCGCGUUGCGUCGCCUAAACCCUAGCGAAGUGGGCGGGGGCUUCCGUUAGAAGCGAACUGAGGGCCGCUUCGUGCGGACUGUGGCCGCUCGGCUUCUAACUGAAGCGCGGCGCGCGGAAGCGAAGCGAGAAUUUCUGCGUUUGGUUGCAGCUUCUGCUUCUAGCGGCCAGAAGCCGCCCACAAGCUGAACCAAACAGGGGCAUAGUAUAUGGGAUGACUGAAUGACAUUUGGCCUGUUUGGUUCAGCUUUUUCUGACCAGCUUUUCCGAGAAUCUAACUGUGGGGAAAAUCUGGUUGUGUAGAGAAUCUGAGUACAUUAUAAUUACAUGCGGAGGAAGAUAAAGUUGUCUAUGGGGCUCAGGAUCUAUAAAGUGACGGAUUACUACUAUUGCAACGACUCAACUGAUUAUAUGUUUAUGUUGAUUUUGAAUGGUUUUUACUUAAACGAAUUUUAUAGAAGCUGGCUGAAAAGCUAAGUGUUUGGCAGUCCGCAUCAGCUUUUGGUGGCCAGAAGCUGCGAAAAGCCGAAACAAACAGGGGCAUUGUUAUCUGCUCUCAAUAUUGUAUGGCACCACUUUUAUGUAGGGAUGGCAACGGGCACAUUUUACCCGCGUGCUCGCGGGUAAAAACCCUAUAGAGUGCGGUUUUGGGUGUGAGUUUGUACCUGUGGGUACGGGUACGGGUUUAAUUCCCAACCCAAUGGAUUUUUUCUCGUGGGUAUGAAAAUGUUGUAGCCGUGCCCGUAAACCCGCAUACCCGCGUGUGUGUCUGUGUAGACUGUAGAGCACAUGCAUCUCAAUUUAGUGCCACCUCGAAAGCUUUGAGCGAGCGAAGCCAAUCAAAUGAUAUGAAAGAAGACUACAGGCGCCAGGGAACUCGUAGAACUUUUGGCUAAGAUCGGUACAUGUUUUUAUCAGUUUAAUAAAUAUUUAUUAUUAUGUGCUAUCGGUUUAAUAAAUAUUUAUUAUAUGACUGUGCCCGUGGGUGUACCCUUGGGUGCCAUAAACCCGCGGGUAGCGGGUUUUGGUAACAUAAGCUACCCGUCGCGGGUAGCGAGUGCGGAUACGGGUUUAACAUUAAUCUCGCGGGUACGAGUUUGUAAUCUCUGUACCCGCGGGUUUUAAACCCGUUGCCAUACCUACUUUUAUGUAUAUGCCCCGAUUUCUCUAGUACUCUACUCUGUCAUAUUCUAAGCAUCUCAUGUCAUGUUGGCCUAAAUGUAAUGAAUUAGUUGAACUCUCAUCUAAUAGUCUUAAUUCAUUGUUUUCACACUAAUCUUUUGUAUUUUUUAUUAAAUCUAAAAUUUAUGUUACAUAUCCUCUAACCCAUUGAACAAAGGCAUAUAUAUUAGCAUUUUUUAAAAAUAUCGAAUAAAUAUGUAAUUUUCAGAAACGGUUGGAAGAGGCCCUAACCAUUUUCAUUUCUGAUUUUUCUACCGGUUUCAUUUCCAUAUUUUUGGUAACUAUUUUUGUUUUCUUUUUAAAUUUUAAUAAAACUUCGAAAACAAUUCUCGAUAACCAAAAAAUAUGUUUUCUGUCUUCACCCCUAGUUACACUUUCCCAACUCUCAUAAUUAAGUUUAUUCUUUUCAAAUUUGAUUGUCCAUAUACUCUUGAAUAUGACCUCUUUGCUUUAAUCUAUCUUAAUUCUCAAUCAAACGUGAUGCAGGCGGAUAUAUUUUUCCUAGAAAAUAUUUUUUUAUUCCUAUCUCCACAUAAGUAUAUUAUCAUAACUAUAGAUGUAAUCGCAUCAGUGUUACUCAUUCUCUAUAUUUGUUUCUUCGGAUUCAAAUCAAAUACGAAUACUAUCAAGUAACGUCGAAUAAUAAGAUUUGAAUAGAUAUCAACAUCUUCAAUUACCUAACUUUAAGUGUACAUAUUAGAUACUGAAUACCCGGAUUCGGAUUAGAGCUCAGCCACUUUUACGAAUCGAAUUCGAGUACAAAUGAAUAAUAUAUGUACUGUAACACCCCUGGUGUUACUGUCACUAAAACUUGAGCAUAACAUCAUGAGCAUUGGCAUAUCAUGUGUUUGUUACACCUAGAGUGCAUUCACUAAGUAAAAAAUUCAAAUUAGUUGUACUGAUGUGACUUGAUGUGUGGUUAACCCUAGGAUAAAGUGCUUAACCUCAGAUCAGGGCUUAUCGAUAUAAGUGAAGCCCAAAUAUGUGAAAACCUCAAAAGACAUGAGACAUGAUCCUAAGAUAUCAUCUUGGAAGGACUUUAGUGACACCAAAACCCUAAAGUGCUAAAAACCCUGAAAAGACCCCCUGAAAAACCCUAAACUAGAACCUUAGGGGGCUAAGUGUAAAUUUUGUGCACUUUUGGACCCAAGUGCAAAAACCAAAGUAUUAGAACACCACAAAUCAUAUGUUUUACACAUUUGAGGAUUUGCAAAUCAAAUUAUGAGAUUUGGACUUAUUUGCAAAAAGCACCACUUAAACCCUACAGGGUUAAGUCUGAAAUUCAGUGAACUUGAGGCAUAUUUGGAGCCUUAUAUCUCUUAAUCCAUAAAGAAUUUGCCUAGGGUCAAUACAUCAAAUUUGAAGAGAUACUAAAGGAGUAUAACUUUGUUUAAGUCAUCAGACACAAGUGUUGUGCAAAAGUUGGAGUUAAAUGGACUCAAAGUUGGGCUGUCAGUCAGCUCAGGGUCUGAACUUUUACUAACAGUGACUUGGGAUGAACUUUAGGAGCUCUUUUGAAGAUAAUCCAGUAAGUAUUCGAGUAUGGUUAUUAUAUCAAGAUUGUAGCUGGAUUGUAGGGCUAGAAAUUUGUUACAAGUGGAUUAGCAAGUUCUCACAUAAAAGUUAGAGAUCUGGGCGCUGCAAACAUCUUUGUCAGAUGAUCUGAAUGGUGUUCUGAUAGUACAGUAAACUGAAGAAGAUCCCUGGUGCAGUGCACCUUGCCGCCGGUGACCCCCGCGCCUGGAUUCGUGUCGGCGAGGUGAUUCGUGCUCACUGGUGCCCGGAUAACACUUCAGGGUAAAAAGAUCUUCGCCGCGGAUGACGCCAGGGGCUGGCCACCAUACCCCUUGCUUUACGGCCGACUCAGAUAAGCUCACCGGAGUCGGCCGCCUGCCGAUCGGGUGCCACAUGCCUUGAAGCUUCACCACGUCGCAGUAAGCCGCUCUAUAUCGCUGGCUCGUCGCCGGUAAGGCUGCCACGGUGAAAGACACACAGCUAUUACGCCAGUGCUCUUCCCUCUCUCCGACCGCCAGCACGCCAUGACCAAAUUGGGAGCCACCGCUCUGGGAUACUUUAAAUUGAGCACACCCCUAGCUCCGUUAAGUCAUCACGAAGCCAAAGCAUCCGCUACUGCCUCCAAUUAGCCACCAGAGAGCUCCAAUUUCUUUCUUCCCCAAAUCAGUUUUCCGCACCUGUGAACACCUCGUCGUGGCCAGACGCCUACAGGUUAGUUCAAGCAUCCUUGCUUGAUGUUCUAGCCUCCAUUAAGUCUCCUGCUACUCAUAGACCUGUUUAAUUGAACUAGACUGCCCUGGAUCGCCAUGAACACGUCAAAUUGUUCUCAGUUUCCGCCGUCAUCGUGGAUAGAGAGAUUCCGACCCGGAUUAGCGCAAUUGAUGGAGGGGAAAUGGUUAUUAGGGGUCAAAUUAGGUGUCAACUGCUCUAGAGCAUCGGUCAUUGCGUAUCUUGGCCGGUACAGGCUCGCCGGAGCCACUGCUCCGCCGUCCAUGGUCGGGGACCUCACCUUGCAAAGAAAUAGAAAAGGGAGGGGCCUUAAUGGAGAUGUCAGUGAGACAGAGAAACAGUAGAGAGGAGUCUUUACGAGUUAUUCGAACAGUCAGGGUCCUCUGUGCAAAGACGCCAGCGCGGGCGCGCGCGAGUGUGUUCUACCUGUAUUGGGCUAACUCGGGCUAAAUUGAGCCCAUCACUGUUGAUGUUUUUUCCUUUUCUUUUUCUGCCAGACUUAGGAAAUCCAUAGAAAAUUAUAGAAAAAUGAUAAAAAUAUGAAACUAAUUUUUUGGACUCCUAGAUUUCUCUAUUAUUUAAUAAAAAUAGUUCCAGGAUUUUUAGUCCAAACAAAGAAUUAAUCAGUAUUUAAAAGAGCUUUAACAUAUACCUCUAGAAUUUUAAGAAUUAUUUAAUAGUCCCAAAAAUCAUAAAACUUUUUGGGUGAACUUAUUUUGGUACUUAGAACCCAUGGGUAAAGUUUGAUAUGCUUUGGACAUUGUUUGAGUCUCAAACCCAAAACCCUAGUUCCUUAGGGUAAAAAUGUCUAACCCUACUAAGGCACUAACCUAGAAAAACCCUAGUUACCCUAGUGCACCGUGAAGGAAAGUUGUAUUCAAGAUACAACUUGAUACAUCUUUUAUAUUAUUGCAUUUUCAUAAGCAUUACAUAAGCAUUCAUGGUUAUAUAUAGAGAAUGAGGAAGAAGUGACUGUUGAAGAGGAAGAAACUACUCCAUCAACAGAAAAUCCACCUGCCGGGAACUGUUUUUACUUUGACAUCUAGUGCAUUUGCCACCUCCUUGCUAUUUCAAACUCUUUAUCACUUGAAUGAUGCAUUAGGUGAUAGGAGUUGGGUGUUAAACCAAUUGAUGCAUUUCCUCCCUUGGAACUGUUUACCAUUCCUUGAUUACCUGUUUUUCUUAAAAGGAUUUUCUUAUGCUUAGUCCUGCUUUAGAAAAGCAAAUGUUUUGUUUUAAAAAGGUGAUGCUUCACAAUGGAUGGGAUGUUUUCAAAAAUAAAACUUGAUGGUGGAUCCAUCAUGGCCAUGAUGGGUUCAACAUCGAAAAGGAUGUACCUCUGCCAGGUACCAAACUUUGGGUUUUAAAUGAUAAAGCUGAGACUGGGCGGGUGACUUGCACGAGAAGAGAGUCUCGGUGUAGUGUCUCCGUCUAAGUCGAUUAAGGACCUUGUCGAUGUAGGCCUGAUGACCGAGGACCCUUUAACUGGUCACAUGCCUCAUCAUGGGUAAGCUAUGCCUUGGGCAGACUAAUACCAAAAAGGCCAACACGCAAUGGGAGUGGAGAGAUGGCGAGAGUAGUGUGUACCCUCCGUGGCAAGAGGCUGGACGGUGGUGUAUCUGUGCUCUCAUUUGGCAUGAACCCAGUCUGGUCUUAAGAACCCCGGUGGCGAGUUGACAUAUGCAAGGGUUAAGUGCUACAUAUGUCGUGUGAUUGGAGAUCCCCAGCUGGGUAUUAAUCGAUUUGGAUCGCCGUUAGUUCUCGAACAUGAAGACUUGGUCACUGACUUACAUGUAGCAUUCUAGUGAACAAGAAGGGUUGAUAAAAGAAUGGCUAGUAUAGGCCAAGUGCUUGAACUAGGGUAGUAAGAACUCUAGUGACAGGCAAUGACUUAACUUGCUAAUAAAACUGGAUUUUUAAGGAUUCACUAUUAGUAAGCAUUUUUGCAAACAGAGUCUUGAUUCUUGAUUAAGCCUUACCUUGACUCCCUAAAGCCAGCAUAUCCUUGAGAGUAUUUUAUUUUGACGGGUAAGACUUGCGAAAGUACACUUCGUACUCAGGGUUUUCGAACCCAUGUUGUUGUAGGUGAGGAAACAACAGAAUUUUGUUGUUUUUGCACUAAGGUGGUGCCCAAGGACGAACAUGAACAGUAACAUGGUUGCGGAAGGACGUGGUCCUUCCUUUUGAAAAACAAUAUACUUUUAUGCGGGAGGGGUUUUUGCCUCCCAGGGUUGUAAUAAUAAUACUUAUGCACUCUUAUGACCUGGUGAUGUAAUAAUAAUACUCUUUCUAUAUUUUAGUGAAUGUAAAUUAAGUUAUUGUAAUUCGCUUCUGCUUAUUCGUUCCUCUGAUAUGUUGUAAUAUAUGCGUGACGGGAGAAAUACUCUUGGGAAAGGAAAAGGAUACAGAUACCGAACUUGUCAAGUGCUUAUGUGCAUCUACAGGGUUACCCAAGGUCCAUUGGACAAGGACAACUAUAGGUGGGCCUAAUGACUUAGGAGGUUCCGUCACAGCUGGUAUCGGAGCGAAGUCCAUCUCUUCAUAUAUUAUGAAGCAUUUCAAGAAGAAUUUUCAGAUACUUAUCCAAGAAAAUUUCUUUCAUUCUUACCUUGCCACUUUCUGGAAGUACUCAUCUUGCAAGACCAGGUAAUAGAGUGCAAAAUAGGGGAAGUAGGAUCAAUAAAGGUUGAUUAUGUAAUUAUGCAUGCAUCAUGUUUAAAAACUAUACUAAUAAAUUUUCUCCCUUAUGGAGAUAUGCUACGUACGAGGAAAACCGCGCGUAAGUCCACUGGACCCAUUGGCGUGCCUCGUCAUCAAUUAGCUCCAAGACAUGAAGGGAGCAGCAGCGGCAGCAACGAUCCAAUCGGAGACUUGGAGGCCCAAGUGGAACAGCUUCGGACAGAGCUACGUCGCCGAAACAGGGUGUGGGCAGAAGACAGUCAGCGUAUAGCUGAGUUGUCAGCCAAAGUCGGCCGCUUGCGGUUUGAGCUCUCCGAACGAGACUCGACCAUUGAUUGGGCCAUCAACUCGCGCUCGAUCGCUUGGCAUCGUGAAGCAAAAGCUCGAGCUUGUGUGGAUGAGCUCAGCACGACCCUUGAUAACCUGCAAGUAUAUUGUAAUACUCUACAUGAGGAAGUACAUGUACUGUAUGGUCGACUACACCCGGACGUGCCUGUCGACCCUGUUGCAAUGGGAACCGAACCAUCGGGGACAACAGGUGAAGGACCUGAUGGGGAACUGGAUCUUUUUAAGCCCCCUCCUUCUAUGAACCUGGCUGAUGAGCGAUCUCCAGCAGCAGACAGUGAAGCAACAAAAGAUAACGAAGACUAGACUAGUAUAGUUUAGGAACUAUACCUAUGUAAAAUAGGUAAUGAAGUCAUGUUGUACACUUGAGUCUGUAUCAUUACAUCUUGGUAAUGUAAAAUGAUGGUAUAUCAGCAUCUUAUAUUUUCCCCAAAUGUUUCUUUGCCUCAGAUGCCAUCAAGGACUCGUGCACAUGACGGUGCGGGUACUUCCCGCGGCCGGGAAGAUACUCCUAAUCCACCACCUGUACCACCAACGCUGACCGAGGCUAUCGCUGCCUUGGUCAAUGCGACUACAGAUAAUACUCACUUUCUACGUGAAAUGGCGAGUAAUCAAUUCCAGCAGCAUGGCGGAAGGGCUCCUCCCCAAGGACCGCGUGAAACCUUAUACCUGGACUUCUCUGAAACGCGUCCCCCACUCUUUGUUAAAGCUGAAGAUCCUCUUGAAGCUGAUGAGUGGAUCAGGGUAAUGGAGCAUAAGUUCGGAUUAAUCCACUGCACCAAAACAUAGAAGCCAUUGUUUGCCGCCCAACAACUAAGAGGUCCUGCCAGUACUUGGUGGGGAAAUUUUGUGGCAGUUCAACCAGCCGGACAUCAUGUCACCUGGGAUGAAUUUAAGUUGGCAUUCCGUGAGCACUAUAUUCCAGAAGGGGUGCUUCACAUGAAACAAGAGGAGUUUAUUCGACUGAAACAAGGAGGGGAUACUGUGAUGCAGUACAACAACAACAAUAACAAAGCCUUUUUGUCCCAAGCACGUUGGGGUAGGCUAGAGAUGAAACCCCAUAUGAAAACCUCAGAGCUCAACCCCCAAAGAAAAGAAAAGGGAGACAAAGGCAAAGGAGAACCGAAAAACGACGAAACAGGGAAACACAUAAAAAGAGAUAAAACCCAUAAGAACUAGCAAGAUCUAAAGGGCACAAGAAAAGGUCAAACGAUUAAGGAGGAAAAGCAAAACUACAAAUUAGGGUUCUGGCACGUGAAUUGCACACUUCCACCCCUUCCUAUCCACGUCAAGCUCUUUAUCAAUAUUUCACUCCUUCAGGUCCCUCUUCACAGCCUCUGUCCACGUCAAGGUUGGUCGACCUCUACCUCUCUUCACAUUCUUGGGACGCCUAAUUAUUCCGAUAUGCACUAGUGUCUCUUCAGGUCUUCAUUGGAUAUGUCCAAACCAUCUCAAACGAUGUUGCAUAAGCUUCUCCUCAAUUGGCGCCACUCCUACUCUCUCUCGUAUAUCAUCAUUCUGGACUCGAUCUCUCCUUGUGUGGCCACAUAUCCAGCGCAACAUAUGCAUCUCUGCCACACUUAGUUGUUGGACAUGUCAUCUUUUAGUGGGCCAACAUUCUGCUCCAUACAACAUAGCCGACCGGAUUGCUGUCCUGUAGAAUUUUCCUUUUAGUUUUUGUGGCACCUGGGGGUCGCAUAAGACACCCGUAGCUUGCCGCCACUUCAACCAUCCAGCUUUAAUUCUAUGACUGACAUCCUCAUCGAUGUCUCCCUCCUUUUGAAGCAUUGAUCCUAAGUAACGAAAAGUGUCUUUCUUGGGUACCACUUGCCCAUCAAGACUAACAUCGCCAUCCUCAUACCCCAUGGCACUGAAAUCACACUUCAUAUACUCUGUUUUAGACCUACUAAGCCUAAAACCUUUUGCUUCCAGCGUCUGCCUCCACAAUUCCAACUUUUGCGAAACACCACUCCUACUCUCCUCAAUAAGUACCACAUCAUCGGCAAAAAGCAUACACCACGGUAUAUCUCCUUGUAUGUCCCUUGUGACCUCAUCUAUCACCAAAGCGAAAAGAUAAGGUCUCAAAGCCGACCCUUGAUGUAGUCCUAUGUUAAUUGGAAAGUCAUCGGUGUCUCCAUCACUUGUGUACAGAUCUUUAAUAAGAUUAAUAUACUUUGUUGAUACUUUGUGAUGCAGUAUCUCAACAAAUUUAAUCAUUUAUCCCAAUAUGCAAUUGACCAAGUAAACAUUGACAUGGAAAAGAAGAACUGCUUUAUGAGAGGACUCAGCGACCGGCUCCAAAGGAAAAUGGCCACCUGCCUAGAUAUUACAUACAGCAGGGCUGUCAGCACGGCGCUGGCAGUAGAAGCCAAGAAUACAGGCCAAGGAAAAUCCAAGGGAUUUGGAGGUGACAGGUCCAAUCAGGGACCUGAGAAGCGAAUAAGGUUGGUAAUCCGACCUUUCAAUCAGAAUCGUUCUUCGCCUCGUUCACCCUCCUAUCCAUUCAAACAACCUGUUUUCAUCCGCCCUGCCACUGCCCCCACUUCUACAAAUUAGUCGAGUGCCCCUGGUGCUCGUUUCCCCGCCCUCCCUAGUUCCUCAACUGGCUGCUUCAACUGUGGGAAGUCUAGUCAUUUUAUAAAAGACUGUCCAUAUCCGAGGCAGAAUAAGUCUAACAAUCAGCAGAACUCUGGGAGCUCUGAUCAAGGCAAGGGAAACUUGGCAAUUAAUUUAACAUGCAAAAAUGUGAAGAAGACUGGGCGAAUUUAUUACACUCAAGUAGCCACUACACCGGAAGGAGAGCCGGUAAUGAUGGGUACGUUCCUUGUGUCCAAUCAUCCAGCAGUCAUUCUCUUUGAUUCUGGCGCUUCGUAUACAUUCAUAAGCAAGAAAUUUAUGGAAAAAUAUUGCAUUCCUUGCAUUGAAUCCAGAGAAGGGUUUAUUAUUCAUUCGCCUGGGGGACAAAUAUUUACUAAGGAAGUAGCCUUUCAUGUGCUAGUAACAUUGGUUGAACGAGAUUUUCCCACCAACAUGAUUGUUUUGAAAGGCCAAGAUAUAGAUGUAAUUCUAGGCAUGAAUUAGUUAGCCCAGCAUAAAGCUAUCCUCAACACUGACUUAAGGACUAUCAAGUUGAGCCAUGGCCAUGAAGAGGUUCUCUUGUCCAUCCCUAUAGCUGUCCCAGCCAAACCAUUUCGACGGGUCUAUGAAGCUAUUAUACCAGAAAUCCAGGAUAUUCCGGUAGUAUGUGAAUUUCUGGAUGUAUUUCCUAAAGAUUUGCCUGGAUUACCUCCAGAAAGGGAUGUAGAGUUUGUGAUUGAAUUAAAGCCCGGUAUAGCCCCUAUUUCAAGAAGAUCAUACCGGAUGCCCCCAAAUGAAUUGGCGGAGCUCAAGACGCAAUUACAAGACUUGCUUGAGAAGGGAUUCAUUCGGCCCAGUUCAUCACCUUGGGGAUGUCCCGCAAUCUUUGUCAAGAAGAAGGAUCAAACACUUCAAAUGUGCAUGGACUACAAACCCCUUAAUGAUGUCACAAUCAAGAAUAAGUACCCUCUUCCCCGGAUCGAUAUCCUGUUCGAUCAACUUACCGGAGCUCGGGUAUUUUCCAAGAUUGACCUCAGGUCGGGCUACCAUCAGAUCCGUAUUCGACCUGAGGAUAUACCCAAGACCGCAUUUACUAUGCAGUAUGGAUUAUUCGAAUAUUUGGUUAUGUCCUUCGGCUUGACAAAUGCUCCUGUCCACUUCACAUAUCUAAUGAACUCGGUGUUUAUGCCUGAGCUGGAUAAAUUUGUGGUGGUCUUCAUUGAUGAUAUAUUGAUCUAUUCCAAGACUGAAGAGGAGCAUGCUAAACAUUUACGGAUUGUAUUAACGCGCUUAAGGGAACAUCAAUUAUAUGCUAAAUUCAGCAAAUGUGCGUUUUGGUUGGAGGAAAUCCAAUUUUUGGGACAUGUAUUGUACAUAAAUGGGAUUGCGGUUGAUCCCAGCAAGGUCAAGGAUAUUCUUGAGUGGAAACCACCAACCACUGUACAUCAAGUUCGAAGUUUCCUUGGACUGGCUGGCUAUUACCGCAGAUUUAUCCCGAAUUUCUCCAAGAUUGUGAAGCCAAUCACAAGUCUAUUGAAGAAUGAUACAAAAUUUAACUGGUCCUCAAGAUGCAACGAAGCUGUCGGCAUUUCGACCCCGGGGGGUCCCUGGACCGACGAGUAAAUUGUCGCUGCGUGCCCCAGCCCAGAUGGGUCGGCGCGAGACGGAACACAAAGAGGGGAAGACCGUGACUUCGUGUUGUCCUACGCCCAGGGUGGAUGCGCUUGCAGUAGGGGGUUACAAGCGUUCGCGAGGGAGAGAGAGAGAGCCUGUCCGUCAGCCCGUCCUCCCGCGCGGCCACCUCCUCGUACGAGGGCCCUGGACCUUCCUUUUAUAGAUGUAAGGAGAGGGUCCAGUUGUACAAUGGGGGGGUGUAGCAAUAUGCUAACGUGUCCGGCAGAGAGGAGCUAGAGCCCUAUGUACAUGCCGACGUGGCUGUCAGAGAGGUGCUAGUGCCCUGUGCAUGUGAUGUCGUGGCCGUCGGAGGAGCGCUUGAGCCCUGUAGAAGCACAGCUGUCGAGGCUGUCGGGACCUUGCUGAUGUCUCCUUGCUUCUGUAGGGGGCUGAGAACCGCCGUCGUCAUGGGAGCACGCGGGGUGCCAUCAUUACUUGUUUACCGGGGCGAGCUAGAUGGGACGCCGGUCUUGUUCCCUGUAGCCUGAGCUAGCUAGGGGUAGGGUAAUGAUGUACCCCCCUGUGGCGUGGUCGGUCCGAGCCCAAGGUCGGGCGAGGCGGUGACUCCUCCGAGGUCGAGGUUGAGGCCGAGCCCUGGGGUCGGGCAAGGCGGAGACCGUCUUCCGAGGUCGAGGUUGAGGUCGAGCCCUGGGGUCGAGCGAGGCAGAGCUUCCUAUGGCGCCUGAGGCUAGACUCGGCUGCUGUCAGCCUCACCCUGGCGGGUGGCAUAGCAGUCGGAGCAGGGCAGGCGGCGCUGUUUUCCUGUCAGGUCAGUCAGUGGAGGGGCGAAGUGACUGUGGUCACUUCGGCCCUGCCGACCGAGGAACGCACAUCAGGAUAAGGUGUCAGGCGAUCCUUGCAUUGAAUGCUCCUGCGAUACGGUCGGUUGGCGAGACGAUCUGGCCAAGGUUGCUUCACUGUGAAGCCUGUCCGAGCUAGGCCUCGGGCGAGUCGAGGGUACGCCUGUUGCUUGAGGAGGCCCUCAGGCGAGGCGUGAAUCUGCCUGGGUCUACUGUUCCUGCCCGAGGCUGGGCUCGGGCGAGGCGAGAUCGUGUCCCUUGAGUGGACGGAGCCUUGACCUAAAUUGCGCCCAUCAGGCUUCUGCAGCUUGUGCUGAUGGUGAUUACCAGCCGAGUUUAGGAGUCUUGGGGGUACCCCUAAUUAUGGUCCCCGACAGUAGCCCCUGAGCCUCAAAGGGAGUGUUGGUACUCGCUUGGAGGCUUUGUCGCACUUUUUUGCAAGGGGACCGGCCUUUCUCGGUUACAUUUUGUUCUGGUGGGUGCGCGCGAGCGCACCCGCCGGGUGUAGCCCUCGAGGCCUCAGAGGAGUGGUUUGACUCCUCCGAGGUCUUAUUGCCUUUCGUGACGCCUCGGCCGGUCUGGUUGUUCCCUCAUGCGAUCUGAUCGUAGCCCGGGUGCAUGGUCAGGUUCCGAGUUCUCGGGCUGGUAUGUUGACACUGUCAACGGUUUGGCCAGAGCCGGGCUUGCGAGAGCAGCCCCCGAGCCUCUGCACAGAGCGAGAGGACGGUCAAGGACUGACUCGGCUUUUAUCAUACGCCCCUUCGUCGCCUUUUCGCAAGGAGGAGGGGGGGGGGAAAGCGCCAUGUUGCCCUCGGAGGGCGUCGAACAUGGUGUCUCCAGUGAGUUGCUAACGGGUGAUCCGAGUGGACGCCCGUGCCCCGUUCGAUAAGGGUCGACUAGUGGCCCAGAGGCGCGCUCCAAAAGUACCUGCAGGUGAUUUGUCGGACCCGGUCCCGUUUGAUAGGGUCCAAGGGCUCGAUGCCUCCCUUUGAUGGGAUUCCGUUACAGAAUCGCUCCUGCUGGUCUCAGAAAUGUCCUAGGGUACCUCGGGAAAUGGCCAUGUAUCGGACGUACCCAGAGUCAUCCCUCGCUCUGCGUGUUCUGGGGCGGCUGUCGAACCCUUCGGGGGGCCAGCCUUCGAACCCCUGAUCAGUAGUGGGCGCAGAGCCCGAGUGCUUUGAGGCAGCUGUCGAACCCUUCCGAGGGGCCAGCCUUCGAACCUCUAAUCAGUAAUGAGCCUGAAGCCCGAGUGCUCUGGGGCGGCUGUCGAACCCUUCCGAGGGACCAGCCUUCGAACCCCUAAUCAGUAGGAGGGCUCGGGGCCCGCUUCCUUCACGGAGAAGGAUCCCUUUCGGAGUAUCACCUUUCCCGGUCCCUGUAGCAAGAGAGAGAAAGGGGAAGAGGAAAAUGAUACGAAAUUAAACGAUGUGGCGCACCUUUUUUGACGCGGUCAUCAUGGCGGAGGUGAAACGUCGCCCGCUUCACCUGCCAAAGGUGUCGCCUGCCCUGCCAAGAUCGUCGGCGUCACCUGCGCUUUGGGCCUCCGGCUCUUUGGCUUUAAUGUUUGGUUCUUGUCCUCCGUGAGGGGACGCGAACGAGAGGCUUCUAGCGGUAGCGUUCGCCCUGGGACCAUCGCUACUGCUGCAGAGGUCGCCGACGAGUCAUCCGGAGUUUGUCGUCCCGCAGGCCCUCCGAUGUGGGGGUUGUUCGUACCCGUGGGAGUGGAACCGGAGUUCCGUUUGUAAUGGCACCUUGAGUGCCGGUGUCUGUUCAUUGUGGCUGUCGGGGCCUGAACAUCUAGGUAUUUGGGUGCAAUACCGUGUUUUUUCCUCAUUUCGAGCACCAGGACUCGCCUGUCGGCUAGCUGAACCGCUUAACCAAGUGUGAGUUGCCCUGUGCGGAAGGUGACGAGUGAGGUAUCCGUAUCCCAGAGGCGUAGGAUUCCCUCAGCUCGGUCGACAUUGCCACCCAAGGCUUCUCUUGCUUAGUUAAAAAAACUCUCGGCCGCUCUGCGAUGAGCCGGAGCCGGAGGCAGCGGUGUCAGCGUGGACAGAGGCGGAGUCGGCUCGAGAAGAAGCUCUGUCGGCCCAGGAGCAGGUGACUUCCGAGGCCGAGGAGGCGUAGCAGCGGCUGCUGGAACCUGGCCAGGUCGUCCACUGGUGGGACCAACCCCAGAGUCAGGCUGCCGAGGCCAUGAGCCGGGCUGAUGUCCUCGGGGGACAGCUGGCUGAGGCUACGGAGCGGCCAGCCGAGCCGUCUGCUCGGGUCGGGUUCCUGGAGGAGACCCUGGCGACGAUGGCCCAGGCGCGGUGCUGACAUCUUCCUUCGAGGUGGAGAUCCUCCGCCCGUGUCGCCGUCCGAGGCCGGGCCAGAUUCCGCCGAAGGUGGAGACGACGCCGAGGGUGCUGCUGCUCCCUCUGUUGAUGUUUGAACCUGCAGGGACAGUUUGUCUGUAGUGCGCAUAUGUUUUUUGCGGCCGCCGAGGCCCAAACAUAUCAUUGUUGUGUUAUAAAGCUGCGUUUCUUUUCCUCUUGUUUCGAGUAUCAACACUUGUUUGUCGGUAGCAGAAUCGCUUAUCCGAGCGAGAGUUACUUAUCGCGGAAGGUGAUGAGUGAGGUAUCCGUAUCUCGGAGGCGUAGGAGUCCCUCGGCUCGGUUGGCCUCGCCGCUUAUGUGUACUCUUACUCGUCCGCAGGAUUCUGUUAUCGAUAUAGUCGAGAAGGCACGAAAAAACGUUUUGGCAGAAAAGUUUUCGAGCGUUAAGAUUUGUUCGGUCAGCAGAAUCGCUUAUCCGAGCGUGAGUUACUUAUCACAGAAGGUGAUGAGUGAGGUAUCCUUAUCCCGGAGGCGUAGGAGUCCCUCGGCUCGGCCGGCCUUGCCGCUUACGUGUACUCCGUCGUUUUCAGGAUCCCGCUAUCGAAGCAGUCAAAAAGCGCGAAAGAUGUUCUGGCAGAAAGACUUUUUCCGAGGAAAAUUUUGACGCAGAGGGGGUUCCCCCCUUCUAGCCCUCGAGGGAGGGUCGGGCUUUGCCGAGGCAAGGCUGACCCUUCCUUGAUGGUUAGACUCUAUUUGUGUAUGUAAAGAGAACAAGGUAUAUGAACGACUUGAAAACAUCUUAAGGGUAAAAGCGACGUAGCUGUCGGAUGUUCCAAGCGUUGCUGUAGACCUGCCUUGACUGUUGGCCAGCUUGUAUGUUCCGGGCUUCAAAAUCAUGGCGAUGAUGAAUGACCCUUCCUAGGGAGGAGUGAGCUUGUGGUGCCCUCGGGCGUCUUGUCGUAGCCGAAGUGCCAAGUCCCCCACCUGGAGGUCUCGGGACCGAACCCCUCGGGCGUGGUAGCGUCGCAGAGACUGCUGAUACCGUGCCGAGUGUAGUAAGGCCAUGUCCCGAGCCUCUUCCAGUUGGUCCAGUGAGUCCUCUCGGCUGGUCUGGUUGUUUCGGUCGUCGUACGCCUUCGUCCUCGGGGAGCCGUAUUCUAAGUCUGUGGGCAAGAUAGCCUCGGCCCCAUAGACUAGAAAGAACGGCGUGAAGCUCGUGGCUCGGCUUGGCAUCGUCCUCAAACUCCAGACCACCGAGGGGAGUUCCUUCAUCCAUCGCUUGUCGAACUUGUUGAGGUCGUUGUAGAUCCUUGGCUUAAGUCCCUGUAGAAUCAUGCCGUUGGCACGCUCUACCUGCCCAUUCAUCAUGGGGUGAGCUACGGCGGCCCAGUCCAUCCAGAUGUGGUGGUCCUCGCAGAAGUCCAGGAACUUCUUGCUAGUGAACUAGGUGCCGUUGUCGGUGAUGAUGGAGUUCGGGACCCCAAAGCGAUGGAUGAUGUUGGUGAAGAACGCCACCGCCUGUUCGGACCUGAUGCUGUUUAGGGGUUGGACCUCAAUCCACUUGGAGAAUUUGUCGAUAGCGACCAGCAGGUGCGUGAAGCCCCCGGGUGCCUUCUGCAAGGGACCAACGAGGUCUAGACCCCACACAACAAACGGCCAGGUGAUGGGUAUUGUUUGCAGGGCCUGAGCGGGCAAGUGUGUCUGCCUUGCGUAGAAUUGACACCCUUGGCAGGUGCGUACAAUCCUAGUGGCAUCGGCCACCGCGGUUGGCCAGUAGAAACCUUGUCGGAAGGCAUUUCCAACGAGGGCUCGAGGUGCUGCGUGAUGACCGCAAGCCCCCGAAUGUAUUUCUUGCAAUAGCUCAUGACCUUCGGCGAUGGAUAUGCAUCGUUGGAGGAUGCCUGAGGGGCUGCGGUGGUAGAGCUCCUUCUCGUUACCCAGUAAGACGAAUGACUUGGCGCGCUGCGCCAGUCACCGAGCUUCGGCUCUGUCGAGGGGUAGCUCUCCUCGGUGGAUAUAUUGCAGGUACGGGGUCUGCCAGUUUCGAUUAGGCGUGACCCCAUUCCGCUCUUCCUCGACGCGCAGUGCCUCACCCUCGGCGGUCGAGGGUGCCUCGGGCUGGGCCAAGGCCUCCCCGGGCUCGGGCGUGUCGUCGGUCUUGACAGGGGGUUGAUGUAGGUCUCGAGAGAAGACGUCCGGGGGAACCGUUGUCCGUCCCGAGGCUAUCUUAGCCAGCUCGUCCGCAGUCUCGUUGUACCAUCGAGCGACGUGGUUGAGCUCGAGCCCGUAGAACUUGUCUUCCAGGCGCCGAACCUCGUCGUAGUAGGCCUCCAUCUUCGGGUCGCGGCAGUGGGAGUUCUUCAUGACUUGGUCGAUGACAAGCUGCGAGUCGCCACGAGCGUCGAGGCACCGAACUCCUAGCUCGAUGGCGAUGCGCAACCCGUUAACCAGAGCCUCGUACUCGGCCACGUUGUUUGACGCCGGGAAAUGAAGGGCCAGCACGUAGCGGAGGUGCUUCCCGAGGGGUGAGAUGAAGAGCAGGCCCGCACCCGCUCCUGUUUUCAUCAGCGACCCGUCGAAAUACAUGGUCCAGAGUUCCGGUUGGAUCGGAGCUGCUGGAAGCUGGGUGUUGACCCAUUCAGCCACAAAGUCUGCCAAGACUUGGGACUUGAUGGCCUUCCGAGGAGCGAACGAGAUUGUCUCGCCCAUGAUCUCCACCGCCCAUUUUGCAAUCCUACUUGAGGCCUCUCGGCACUGGAUGAUCUCCCCCAGGGGGAAGGAUGACACCACAGUCACCGGAUGAGACUCGAAGUAGUGUCGUAACUUUCGCCGCGUUAGAAUUACCGCGUACAGUAGCUUCUGAAUUUGCGGGUAGCGGAUUUUGGUCUUGGCAGUACUUCACUGAUGAAGUAGACCGGCCUUUGGUCGAGAAAUACAUGCCCUUCUUCUCGUCUCUCGACCACGAUCGCGGCGCUGACCACCUGAGUGGUUGCGGCUACGUAGAUCAAGAGGGCUUCUCCCGCAGUGGGGGGCACCAGGAUGGGCACGCUUGUAAGGAGCGCCUUUAAGUUCUCGAGGGCUUCCUCGGCCUCGGGGGUCCAAGUGAAGCGCUUGGUCUUCCUUAAGAGGCGGUACAGGGGUAGGCCUCUUUCGCCGAGGCGCGAGAUGAAACGGCUCAGAGCCGCAAGGCAUCCCAUGACCCUCUGUACUCCUUUCGAGUCCUUGAUAGGCCCCAUGUUGGUGAUGGCCGCGAUUUUCUCCGGGUUGGCCUCGAUGCCCCGCUCGGAGACGAUGAACCCCAGAAGCAUGCCUCGGGGGACUCCGAAGACACACUUCUCGGGAUUGAGUUUUACGCCCUUCGCUCUCAGACACUUGAAUGUCGUUUCAAGGUCAGAGAGGAGGUCGAAGGCUUUCCUCGUCUUGACUACGAUGUCAUCGACGUAAGCCUCGACCGUUCGGCCGAUGUGCUCUCCGAACACGUGGUUCAUGCACCUUUGGUAUGUCGCGCCUGCAUUCCUUAAACCGAAUGGCAUAGUAAUAUAUCAGUACAUGCCAAAAGGUGUGAUGAAAGAGGUCGCGAGCUGGUCGGACUCUUUCAUCCUGAUUUGGUGAUACCCUGAGUAGGCAUCGAGGAAUGACAGGGUUUCGCACCCAGCAGUGGAAUCCACAAUUUGAUCGAUGCGAGGCAGAGGGUAGGGAACCUUCGGACAUGCUUUGUUUAGACCAGUGUAGUCUACACACAUCCUCCAUUUCCCACCUUUCUUUUUCACAAGCACAGGGUUGGCUAGCCAUUCAGGAUGGAAUACCUCUUUGAUGAACCCGACAUCCAUCAGCUUGUGGAUCUCCUCGCCUAUGGCUCUGCGCUUUUCUUCGUCGAAUCGGCGCAGAGGCUGCUUCACGAGUCGGGCUCCAGCUCAGAUAUCCAGCGAGUGCUCGGCGACAUCCCUCGGUAUGCCAGGCAUGUCCGAGGGACUCCAUGCAAAAACCUCGGCGUUCGCGCGGAGAAAGUCGACGAGCACUGCUUCCUAUUUGGGGUCGAGCUCGGAGCCGAUCCGGACUUGCUUGGAGGCGUUGUUGCUGGGGUCGAGAGGGACAGACUUAACCGCCUCUGCUGGUUCGAAGUUGUCAGCGUGGCACUUCGCAUCUGGCACCUCCUUGGAGAGGCACCCCAGGUCGGCGAUGAGGGCCUCGGACUCGGCGAGGGCCUCAGCGUACUCUACGCACUCCACGUCGCAUUCAUACACGUGUCAGUAUGUGGAUCCGACGGUGAUGACCCCAUUGGGGCCCGGCAUCUUGAGCUUGAGGUAGGUGUAGUUGGGGACGACCAUGAACUUGGCGUAGCAUGGUCUCCCCAGCACUGUGUGGUAGGUUCCUCGGAACCCGACCACCUCGAACGUGAGGGUUUCCUUUCGGAAGUUGGAGGGAGUCCCAAAGCAGACGGGCAGAUCGAGUUGCCCAAGGGGCUCGACGCGCUUCCCGGGGAUGAUCCCGUGAAAGGGCGCCGCACCGGCCCGGAUCAUGGACAGAUCGAUCUGCAAGAGCCCGAGGGUCUCAGCGUAGAUGAUGUUGAGGCUGCUGCCUCCGUCCAUGAGGACCUUAGUAAGCCUGACGUUGCCGAUGACGGGAUCGACAACGAGCGGGUACUUCCCUAGGCUCGGCACGCGGUCGGGGUGGUCGCCUUGGUCGAAGGUGAUGGGCUUGUCAGACCAGUCUAGGUAGACUGGCGCCGCCACCUUCACCGAGCAGACCUCCCGGUGCUCCUUAUUGCGGUGCCGAGCUGAGGCAUUCGCCACUUGCCCACCGUAGAUCAUGAAGCAGCCGUGGACCUCGGGGAACUCCUCUGCUUUGUUGCCCUCCUUCUUGUCGUUGUCAUGGCCUUUGCCACCUUCUGCCGGGGGCCCGACCUUAUGGAAGUAGCGCCGAAGCAUGACACACUCCUCAAGGGUGUGCUUGACGGGACCCUGAUGAUAGGGGCACAACUCCUUGAGCAUCUUGUCGAACAGGUUGGCCCCUCCGGGAGGCUUCCGAGGGUUCCUGUGCUCGGCGGCGGCGAUAAGAUCUGCGUCGGCGGUGUCACGUUUCGCUUGCGACUUCUUCUUGCCCUUCUUCUUCGUGCCGUGCUGAGCGGACGCCUCGUGGACGUCUUCCUGCUAGUGUCCCUGAGGCUGCUUGUCCUUCCGGAAGAUGACCUCGACCGCCUCCUGACCAGAGGCGAACUUGGUGGCGAUGUCCAUCAGCUCGCUCGCCCUGGUGGGAGUCUUGUGACCCAGCUUGCUCACCAGGUCGCGGCAAGUGGUGCCGGCGAGGAAUGUGCCAAUGACAUCUGAGUCGGUGAUGUUGGGCAGCUCAGUGUGCUGCUUCGAAAAUCGCCGGAUGUAGUCUCGCAGGGAUUCCCGCGGCUGUUGGCGGCAGCUUCGGAGAUCCCAAGAGUUCCCAGGGCGCACGUAUGUGCCCUGGAAGUUUCCAGCGAAGGCUUUGACUAGGUCGUCCCAGUUGGAGAUCUGCGCAGGAGGCAGAUGCUCCAGCCAUGCUCGGGCGGCGUCAGAGAGGAACAGGGGGAGGUUGCGGAUGAUGAGGUUGUCAUCGUCCGUUCCACCCAGCUGGCAGGCCAGCCGGUAGUCCGUGAGCCACAGUUUCGGCCUUGUUUCCCUCGAGUACUUAGUGAUGGUAGUCGGGGCUCGGAACCGGGUCGGGAACGGCGGCCGUCGUAUGGCCCGGCUGAAAGCUUGCGGACCGGGUGGUUCGGGCGAGGGGCUCCGAUCCUCCCCGCUGUCGUAGCGUCCCCCACGCCUGGGGUGGUAGCCUCGGCGCACCUUCUUGUCGAGGUGGGCUCGACGGUCGCGGCGGUGGUGCUCGUUGCCGAGGCGACUCGGGGCUGCAAGUGUUGCGUCCCGCGUGCGCCCGGUGUGGACCGAGGCUUCCCGCAUGAAUCGGGAAGUCGCGACGCGAUGCUCCGGGGGGUACCCUUGCCUUCGAGAGGCAGAGCUCUCGGCCCGUCGGACCGCAACAUCCUCCAGGAGAUUCUUGAGUUCUCCCUGGAUACGCCGCCCCUCGGUGGUGGAUGGCUCCGGCAUCGCUCGGAGUAGUAUUGCUGCUGCAGCCAGGUUCUGGCUGACCCCACUAGAAUCCGGGGGCAGCCUUGCCCUAGCAUCGUCAGUGAUGCAGUGUUGGACGUCCUGGGCUGGAUGACGCGCUUCUUCGGCUAGUGCUCGGCCUGCCCACUCCUGCCCGAUGUUCUGCCGGAGCUGCACAAGUUGUCCUGCUUCCUCAUCGAGCUUGGCCUGCAUCUCACGGAUUUGCUCGAGGUGUGUGUCCUGACCCCUCGCAGGGACUGGGACCACAACUAGCUCCUGAAGGAUGUCAACACGAGGCACAGGCCUAGGGGGAUCGUCGUCCUCCGGCAUACCAAGGUGGUUGCCUUCGUCGAGACCCCCUAGAUCGAUGUGGAAACAUUCGCGACUUGGGCCACAAUCCUCGUCGUCAAGGCUGUGGCCACCAUCGGAGUAAUCGGAGAGGCAGUAGUCACAUGCGGUCAUGAAGUCUCGCAUGGCACUAGGGUUACCGAGCCUGGAGAAAUCCCAACCAGAGUCGGGCUCGUCAUCUUCCUCGGAACCUAGGGGCCCGUAGGUCGAGACGACCGUCAGUCGGUCCCAGGUUGACCAUAUAUGGUACCCCGGAAGGUUAGGAUAUGCCUUUAUGAAAGCGUCCACCAAAGCGGGGUCGCUUGGUGGGUCAAAGCUGAAUCUAAAAGGCACAUGGUGGAAAAUGGACAGUACCUCUUGAUCAACGGAUGGUGACGAAGUCGCGUCGGGGACGGACUGCACCGUUAUCUCAGGUACGAGGCUAACGCCCAGCAAGUCCUUCGCGAGCGUGCUGGCGUCAUCCGUCCGCUUGGGGUUGGCGUGUUGCGGGGAAAUGACGCUCGUCUUCGUCUCAGACGCGAGGUCAACGCCCGACGUGUCCCCUGCUGGGGCGCCGGUGUCGUCGACUCGCUCGAUAGCCAAUGAGGUGCCGCCUCCUGCUUGGCCAUGGUUGUCCCGCCUCCUUCUCUUGUGGCGAGGAAGGCGACGGGACAAACCCGGAUGCUGCUCUUCCGCCAUGGGGGAAGACGUCGUCGAUUCCGCCGCCGCCGGGCGGGCUGAUGGCCACUAUUGUCGCUGUCGCGUGGCGGAGGAAGGAGUACCAUGUCGUAGCUGCCAUCGAGGGACAUGCACUCGAGACUCCCGAAACGGAGCAGCGUCCCGGGCUGGAGAGGUUGCUGGAGACUACCCAUCUGGAGCUUGACGGGAAGCUGUUCGUCAACACGCAGCAGGCCCCUACCUGGCACGCCAACUGUCGGCGUUUCGACCCCGGGGGGUCCCUGGACCGAUGAGUAAAUUGUCGCUACGUGCCCCAGCCCAGAUGGGUCGGCGCGAGAUGGAACACAAGGAGGGGAAAACUGCGGCUUCGUGUUGUCCUGCGCCCAGGGUGGAUGCGCUUGCAGUAGGGGGUUACAAGCGUUCGCGAGGGAGAGAGAGAGCAUGUCCGUCAGCCCGUCCUCCCGCGCGGCCACCUCCUCGUACGAGGGCCCUAGACCUUCCUUUUAUAGAUGUAAGGAGAGGGUCUAGGUGUACAAUGGGGGGUGUAGCAAUAUGCUAACGUGUCCGGCAGAGAGGAGCCAGAGCCCUAUGUACAUGCCGACGUGGCUGCCGGAGAGGUGCUAGUGCCCUGUGCAUGUGAUGUCGUGGCCGUCGGAGGAGCGCUUGAGCAGUUGAGCCCUGUAGAAGCACAGCUGUCGGGGCUGUCGGGACCAUGCUGACGUCUCCUUGCUUCCGUAGGGGGCUGAGAACCGCCAUCGUCAUGGGAGCACGCGGGGUGCCAUCAUUACUUGUUUACCGGGGCGAGCCAGAUGGGACGUCGGUCUUGUUCCCCGUAGCCUGGGCUAGCUAGGGGUAGGGUAAUGAUGUACCCCCCCUGUGGCGUGGUCGGUCCAAGCCCAAGGUCGGGCGAGGCGGUGACUCCUCCGAGGUCGAGGUUGAGGCCGAGCCCUGGGGUCGGGCGAGGCGGAGACCGUCUUCUGAGGUCGAGGUUGAGGCCGAGCCCUGGGGUCGGGCGAGGCGGAGACCGUCUUCCGAGGUCGAGGUUGAGGCCGAGCCCUGGGGUCGGGCGAGGCGGAGACCGUCUUCCGAGGUCGAGGUUGAGGCCGAGCCCUGGGGUCGGGCGAGGCGAAGCUUCCUAUGGCGCCUGAGGCUGGACUCGGCUGCUGUCAGCCUCACCCUAGCGGGUGGCAUAGCAGUCGGAGCAGGGCAGGCGACGCGGUUUUCCUGUCAGGUCAGUCAGUGGAGGGGCGAAGUGACUGGGGUCACUUCGGCCCUGCCGACUGAGGAACGCGCGUCAGGAUAAGGUGUCAGGCGAUCCUUGCAUUGAAUGCUCCUGCGAUACGGUCGGUUGGCGAGACGAUCUGGCCAAGGUUGCUUCACUGUGAAGCCUGUCCGAGCUGGGCCUCGGGCGAGUCGAGGGUGUGCCCGUUGCUUGAGGAGGCCCUCGGGCGAGGCGUGAAUCCGCCUGGGUCUACUGUUCCUGCCCGAGGCUUGGCUCGGGCGAGGCGAGAUUGUGUCCCUUGAGUGGAUGGAGCCUUGACCUGAAUUGCGCCCAUCAGGCUUCUGCAGCUUGUGCUGAUGGUGAUUACUAGCCGAGUUUAGGAGUCUUGGGGGUACCCCUAAUUAUGGUCCCCGACAGAAGCCUUCGAGCAAUUGAAGGUAUUAUUGACCACUACUCCGGUAUUGGCUCAACCGGACAUUGAAAAGCCUUUUGAUGUGUACUGUGACGCAUCGGGCAGUGGCCUCGGAUGUGUCUUAAUGCAGGAGGGCCGAGUUAUAGCAUAUGCUUCAAGACAGUUGCGCCGGCAUGAGGAACAUUAUACAACUCGUGACUUGGAAUUAGCUGCUGUGGUUCAUGCCCUUAAAAUAUGGUGUCAUUAUCUGCUGGGGAAUAUCUGCCAUAUAUAUACAGAUCAUAAAAGUUUGAAGUACAUUUUUACCCAGUCAGAACUUAACAUGAGGCAGAGGAUAUGGCUUGAGCUAAUUAAGGAUUAUGAAUUAGAGAUUCACUAUCACCCAGGCAAGGCCAACGUGGUGGCAGAUGCACUAAGUCGCAAGGCUUCCUGCCAUUGUCUUACAGUAAAGACUUCUGACAUCACAUUAUGUCAAAAAAUGGAGAAAUUAAACCUGGGAAUGAUUCAACAUGGAACCUUGAACCAAUUGAAGCUUGAUUCAAUUCUUCUGUAAAAGAUUAUUGAUGCCCAAAGAAGUGAGAUAAGGGUAUGAAACAUAUUCAUGAGAAAAUAAAAGCCGGUAAAGCAAAUUGUUUCAGAAAGGAUGAUCAAGGCAUAGUAUGGUUUAAUAACCGCAUAGUUGUGCCUAAGGAUGAUGAGGCCCGCCAGCAAAUAUUGGACGAAGUUCAUCUUAGUCGAUACUCCAUUCAUCCCGGAAGCACUAAGAUGUAUCAAGAUUUAAACCAACAUUAUUGGUGGACAAAAAUGAAGAUCGAAAUUGCACGCUAUGUGGCGAGAUGUGACACCUGUAGACGUGUCAAAGCCAUACACAUGAAGACUGCUGGUCCAUUGCAAUCUUUGCCCAUCCCAACUUGGAAAUGGGAGGACAUUAGCUAGACUUCAUUGUGGGAUUAACCAGGACAACAAAAGGGUUUGAUUCUAUCUGGGUUAUAGUUGAUCGACUUACAAAAAUAGCCCAUUUUCUACCGGUCAAAACAUCCUAUCCGGUCCUCACCUAUGCCCAGGUAUAUAUUGCCCGUAGUCUUAGUUUGCACGGAGUUCCGAAGACAAUAGUGUCGGAUCGUGGAUCACAAUUUGUAUCCAAAUUCUAGGAAGAGCUCCACAAAACUUUGGGUACUAAGUUGCUCCACAGUUCGGCCUAUCAUCCCCAAACAAGUGGACAGACUGAGAGAGUGAACCAAAUACUUGAAGACAUGUUGCGGGCAUGCGUUCUAGAGUUCCCCUAGAAAUGGGAUGAAUGCUUACCAUUGACAGAGUUUUCAUAUAACAAUAGUGUCAGUACCCUGAAUCAGGGGUACCCCUUACUACAGUAUGAAGACACGGUGCCCGUGCGGCUAUCUCUAGCCGCACGGUGAACAGCACCCGACCCCAACACGUGGGCAGUCCCAAGGACGCCAUGUGGACAGGAGAGGUGAUAUACUCCAGGAUACCAUCAGUAGGUCCGGACCUCCUCAAGAAAGCGCCGGACCCUUGUACACAUAGCCCGGACCUCCGAGUACGGUCCGGGACUCCCAAGUGAGCAAGCCGGACCCCUUGGAUGAGGUCUGGACCCCUCUGAGUGAGGUCCAGGCCACCCACAGCAAGGUCCCGGGAUAGGGAAUACCCUGGCCUAGGUCUAGGACAGGCAAGGGUCCGGUACUGACACGUGCCCAGGCUUUAUCCAGUGCGCUUCCACUCCCCGCUCAGCCGGAGGCCCAAUGCUGUCACGUGGACUAUCGCCCGUGACGUAAGCCAGCGGGCGGGGCCUGACGUAAGGCCUCUGGGCCGUGCUGCCUCUACAUUUAUUGCGGAGAAGACGCGCCGCCUAUCUAUCCCGCUGACAGACGAUGUGCCCCCUCAACAUUUAAUGUGUCCUGUCCACUCCGCUGGCAGGCGGCGUGCAGGCCAUCCCGCAGGCGGCGUGCCUGUCCAGUCCAUUGUUAAACAGUACGCCUGUGCUGCGAGGUGCACUAUGUCCGUCAUCACUUAUACAUUGCCAGGGAAGCUUCCCCUGCACGCCAAUACUACACAGACCACGUAUGUCAGGGCGCAAGAAGAUCGCUCCAGCAACGAACAUUAGUUGCUCCAAGUAUUACAUCUGUUAUGUUCCUGGGCCCACAUGUCGGGGCUCAAUACCCUUGUACGUGCCCCACGUAGCUAUAAAAGGGGAGGCAUGCACCGUUACAACAGGAGGCUAACACAGGCUCACUACAAAGACAAGUAUCUGCAAAAUACAAAUUGCAGCAGUUCUACAACUCGAAAAUUCGAUUGAUAUGUUAUUAAGAGCACGUAGCACGACCACAAGCACAAUCAAGAAGUCGUCUAGCGACGGUGUGUAUGUAAUUCAUCGGAUACAGAAGAAACUAUCCGUAAGAAUCAGGUCAUGAAACACAGAGGCAAACAAAACCUGAGAACCCUAAGGGUUUGAGGCGCAAUAGCUACAGUUAAUCACCACAGAGGACCGAAUCACUACAGGCACGGGGAGGCAACAGAGUACGACUUUGACCCAGUGCUAUCACAUCAAGCAGCUCAAGAACAAAGGUUAAGAGACAUAGGAUGAGCUGAUACCUUGCAAGAGACAGGCCAAAGUGGAGGCGCAGACGACGAGUUGUGGGGAAGGCGCUAGCCUCUAGGGUUCGGGGCCUUAUAUAAUGGCGUCGGCGUACGUCGGACCAACCCAAUACAUGACUUCCGAAAUGGUGGCCCAGGGCCCAUAAAUGGAGCGAGAUAUUUAUGGGGAUGACUGAAUGACAUUGUUAUUAUCUGAACUUUGGUGCAUGCCAAAAGAGGAACACGAGAAACUCUUCAUUGCUGUCAAAAACCAGUACUAAUUAAAAGCGGAAUCCAUAGUUAGAACUAAUUAAGAAACCCUCGGGUUUCCGAGAAUCAACCCGUCGUCCCUUGAUUUCGCGUGCAGGCCCUUGGUUUCUUAUAAACGGACCCCUGGCCUUUUAAAUAAUCACAGAUUUGGACCUAAUUUUGUAUUUCAAACUUGAAAACUUGUUUAUUUCAUAUCUUCUUCAUAUGAACUCCAAAUUUAGUGAUUCAAAUUGCAUUUUAUAGAAUUAUUCUCUGUUAAAAUAAAUUAGGAUCAUUCACUAUCUGUGCAUUCUAAUUUUAUGCCUAGGCUAUAGGUUAAUUUAUGUGGUAAUUUAUUUGUUUAAAAAAGAUAAAUAAAAAGGAAACCCUAGUGGUAAAUGGAUAUUUAAUCUUGUGAGAUUAAUAAUAUGUAUUAUAUGAAUUUAUCCAUGAUUUAACUUUUACGUCUCAUUAAAAUGAGUAGAAUUAGAUUACGUAAUCAUGGAGAUAGACAACACUUAGAGAAUAACAAACUACUGAAUGUGAUUAGUUCACCUUAUAACUUAAACUCCCUUUUUGAGUUUAUACUUUUUCGUUUGAGAUGUGUUCCAUUGUUUGUACAUGAUUGGUGUGCUGUUCAUUUGUCAUUUUCCAAAUGUAUUGAAUGUAUGAUCGCUUUAAUUAGACGACAAGCAGCCCAUGGUUCCUGAGUGUGUUGCCAAAGAUCUUCCUGAGCAACAACCUGGUGAAGGCAAGUGUCCUCUUACCUAUUAUGUCCUACUUACUUUAUAAUUCACUGUCCUGCAUUAUAUAAUUGAAACCUAAGAAUUGACUAGUCUGUAUUUACCUUGUCCUUGCUUACCUUUUGGGUUAUCAUGGUUAGCCUUAUGUCAUUGGUUUAACUUAAUCAAUGAACAUGAUGUGAACAUUUAUGAUACAAUGAUGUUAUUUCGAUGAUGAUCUUGUGAUAUUUUAGGGGACUCAGGCCAUUUUUCUGAGUACCUCUCCAUAAGGACCUUUUCGUUGGGUGACCACCCUGGAUAACAGUGCAACCAUGAGGGUGGAAUGGGACGCCCUUAGCUAAAUAAUUAGAUGAACCUGGGGGUGUAGUUGGCUUUGUCGGAGGGCCAUCAAUGGGGGCCGGGGCAUAGUGCUCGCUCUGCCAAUGGGGGUGCAGAGGUUCAUUCGAUUUGGUUUUUGUUAGUCACCCACCUUGGGGAGGUGUACUGCGUUUGUACAACUGGAAAAACCUAAUGAGCAGCUAUGUACCAGGGGAGUCUUUGUAAAGGAUACAUAGUGAGACCCUGCCAGGUCACCUCGGUAGUGAUCAAUGGGGAGUCAUGAUCUCUAAGCAGAAUGGGAAGCAUGAGUCAUGGGUAAAGUAUGCAACCUAUGCAGAGUGUUAGAAAUUGGUAUAUUAGAUGAGCUCACGGUUAAGAGCGUUCUUGGGAUCCUCUUUGAUUAGAAGAACUUUGGAUACUUUUAUGAUGAUGAUGUUUAAUGAUGAUGGUUAUAAAUAUGCUCUCUGGUAUUUUCUCUUGGAGGGAGUACAUUUGGGUAAUAACCGGUUUUAUUACUAAAAUUUGGCUCUACUAUUAGUAAUAAAUACUCGACCAACUAAAAGCAACUGCUUAACCUUAACUCCACAUACAGCUAGUCCACUUUAGCCAAACGGGACAUUUGCUGAGUACGUUGAUGUGUACUCACCCUUGCUUUAAAAAUCACCCCACCCCAGUUGUCCCCACUGUAUUCAGUGCUCAGGAGAAGAUGCUGGGAACAUAGAGGACUUUGAGGAGUUCCAGGACUACAACGAGUUCUAGUUAUCUUAGUGGCAAACCCUAGUCAGCUGCCUAUGAAGGUCUUAUCUGCUAUGUUUCGUAUUCCGCACUUUGAUAAUGUUAAUGACCAUGUUAUAGACUCUGUGGAUGUCUUGGAUAUCUUGAUGUAAUAAAGUACCUUUUUGCUAUUUACUUUGAGCAAUGUGUGAUGAUGCCCAAUUAUGUAAUCACUGUGUACGUGAGUUUCUGAUCCUGGCACGUACAUAGUUCGCAUUCGGUUUGCCUUCCAAAACCAGGUGUGACAGUGAGGAAGAAUCGGUCUCGUAGUAGACCACCUUCUUCAUUUUAUUUUUCUUCUUGUCACCAUUCCUAUGUGACUUGAUGGAUCCGGUGGAUUCCUCCUUGUGCUUGUCGCCGACCUCCUUCGAUGGAGUCCUUUCUUCGUUCUUCUUUCUCGAAGCUUCGGGCUUUUCGCUGGUGACCAUUUCCCUUUUGGCAUGUUCUCCCGACAUCACUUCGAGUUGUUAAACUCUAAUGAAGCAUCAAGCUUUGAUACCAAUUGAAAGCCACCUAGAGGGGGGAGAAUAGGCGAAACCUGAAAAUUAUAAACUUUGAACACGCACUUCACCCGGGGUUAGGGUUAGAAAUAAAUAAUAUUGAGUUCAGAGUGCGGAAGAUAGUUCUUCUUGCUAUGAGUUGCUCAAUCAAUACUGAUAACUUUGGGAGCCAACUCAAAACAAUAUGAGCAAGAGAACUUUAGAUAGAGAGGAGAGGGGAGAAACAAAUCGAUUGAUGAAGAUCAACACAAAUGAACACAUUGAUUUGUUUCCCUAGGUUUGGUUCCAAAGAACCUACUCCCCGUUGAGGAGGCCACAAAGGCCGGGUCUAUUCCAACCCUUUCUCUCUCUCAAUCGGUCACUUAGACCGAUCGAGUGCUUCUUCUUAAUCACACGGGUCACUAAGACCCCACAAGGAUCACCACACAAUUAGGUGUCUCUCGCUUGCUUUAUAAAACACUUGAGAAGUUUAGAAUGAGAAGAAGAAAGCAACCAAGCAACAAGAGCAACAAAAGAAACACAAAUCACCCUCUCUCAAGUCACUAAGCACUUUUGAUCACUUGACUUGAUUUUGGAACUUGGAGAGGAUUUGAUGCUUUGAUUGUGUCUUGGAGUCUAUUGCUCUAGUAUUGAAUGAGCAUGUUGCAAUGCUUUGAUGGCUUGAAUGGUGGUGGUUGGGGGUAUUUUUAGCCCAACCACUAUUCGAGCCGUUGCUAUCGAUGGGCACACCGAUAGUCCGGUGGUGCACCGGACACUGCACUGUUCACUGUCCGGUGAGUGCCACAUCAGCCGACCGUUGGGGUUUGGAGCUGUUGACCGUUGAAGUCUUCUAUCUUCUUGUGGCACCAAAUAGUCCGGUGUGUUCUAAAUUUGCAGACUGACUUAUGACUGCUGUAGACUGCCUUGUAGUUAGCGCAGUCGACCGUUGGGUGAAGUUGACCGUUGCUCCAUUGUCUCACCGGACAGUCCGGUGGUGCACCGGACAGUCCGAUGAAUUAUACUGGACGAGCGUUUGAGAAAACCCGAGAGCGAACAGUUUGCAGAGGGCUCCAGCCUGGGCACCAGACAGUGUCCGAUGCGCCACCGCCUGCAAUAGAUCUUGUAUGCUCCAAACUUUGUAGAAUUCCCUUGAGUCAUUUUCUUGGUAUGUUUAUGUGAACUUUAUGCACCUGAGAGAAACAACGACUAGACAAACUAGUUAGUCCAUAUGGUUUGUGAUGGACGUCAAACACCAAAAUUGAUUAUAGGAAAUGUUGAGGCCAUUUCCCUUUCACCCGCCGUCUCCACUAUUAAGCUUCUGGCUGAAAAUGUCGCGCGCCUCAUUCCCUCCGGUACAAAGUGGCGGCCAUGACAUAAACAUGGUUGUCACGAUCUUGCAAGACUCUCGCCCCACUCGGUACAAUUACAACGGCUAGCGCAAGAGCCGAGGGGUUGUUUGUUUUUUUUCUAAACUCACUUAAGUAACUAGAAUCUAACUAGAGCAAGCACUAAAGCGGUCUAACUAACCUAAGCACUUCGCAAAGCACCUACGCUAAUCACCGAGUGAUUUUAUUAAGCACUUGGGUGUAUGAGCAAUUGGGAAUGUCUAAUAUAUGCCUUGGUAUGUUGCUUGGGCUCCCACACCUUGGAAUGACUGGUUCGGGUGAUAUUUAUAGGUCCCAACACAAAUCUAGUCGUUGGAGAAAAGUUGAUGCUCUCUGCGGCACACUGGACAGUCCGGUGCGCCUAGCCGUUGGACUGACGCCGCAGGUGACCGUUGGUGCUGCACGCUUUUACACCAGACAGUCUGGUGGCUUCUCUCCACCAGUGCCACCUAGAACUAGCCGCCCUAGUGCACCAGAUAGUACGACGUGUGACACCAGACAGUCCAUUGUGGCAACACAUGUCUUCGUUUUGGACUUUGCUUGAUACUUGUUGAUCUUCUUGUGAUCUUCAUAAUGUCUUCUUUUAAGGUAUUGUUUUCCUCAAUGCCUUAGUCCGAGUAACUUUAGCAUCAUGUGAACUACAAACAUAAACACUAGCAAACACAUUAGUUCAUAGGUUAUGUUGAUCAUCAAACACCAAAACCUAUUAAGCCAAAUGGUUCGGGUCCAUUUUCCUUACAAAACCCCAUAAGGAAGUACGGUAUUACGCAAUUCUAAGCGGCCCGAACCUAUAUAAAUCCGUGAGUGAUCCCAGCGUGCCUCUGCAUGAACCAUUGAGUCACGAUCAACGACGCCAUCCUACCCAAAAGCAUCACGUAGGUAACCUUGUGGUGCGCGGUCGGGUCACAAACGUCGACAACGACCGAUUGAGAUAAUCACCUAUCCAAUCGAACCAACCUAUCUACAUUACUUUAUAUUAUCAUGCCUUAGGAGUACAUGUAGUGUAGCCCUAGUUGUAGUUUCCCAAUCUCAAUCUUCACCUAGCUUCGACUCUGCAUCAUCUCGAGGCAUCAUGUGUGGCCUACAGAUCCCAAAAUAACCCUAGAUCUUUCCUCCCUAAAGGGAUCCAUCCCGAGGGGCAAGAUCUAGGUUCUAGAGGAGCUCAUCCCUAUCUUCAUAUAAAAUUAUCUACGCACGCGGAUGGUCCGGUGGCCAACCGCGGACGAUCUGGUGACCUGUCGCAGAUGGUUCGCCGCCUCGUAGAAGGGUUCCCCAAGGUCCACGCCCCCGCGAGCGUGAUCUAUGAAUAGUUGGUGUUUGGCCCCAAAAAGGUGUUAAGAUUUCUUGGAAUUAAAAACAUCGAUAGAAAUUGAUUUAGCAUUUACCUCAUUACGCUCUAAGUUACAAAAGGUUGAUGUCAUAUAACUAGGUUUAUCUUUAUCUGUUGCCCUGUUUGGCAUAACUUAAUUUACAUUUUGUUCAUAGAUUUAAAUAAAAGUUAUAUCAAACAGUAGGCAUUUGCAUCAACUUGUCAGUUCAACUGCUUCUUAGAAUGAACUAAAAAUAGGCAACAAGCAAAAGCUGGAAAACUAGCUUCUCAGAUAAGUUGCUUUUCAAUCAGCAGUAGUUGUGCCAAACAAGGUCACCAUCUCUAACAACGUCUUCUAAACUUCAUCAUUUAUAUCUUAUCUUCUACAUUUUUCCAAUCAUAUUAACAUUAGAACCUUAUUGUUUCAACAAAUAUUGUCUCAUUUACAUAUUGCAAAUCAUUUUUAAAUAUGUAUUAAUAAAUAUUUUUUAAGAACUACAAAUACCAAACAAAUUCACAGGUCAUUCUCCUCCCAUGCCCACAUAAUGCAGUGGAAAAUCUUGCUUUUCUUCCAGUCCUAGGUGUCGCGCAAUAGCUUGCUAUUGGUCGCACUCUUCGUUGGCAUUCACGAGCGGGUAGAGACAACGACACUAGAUUUACCGGACCUCCACUAUCAUAGAGGACCAUGUAGUGUUCCUUGCUGGAUAUAUAAAGGAGGGGAAACUCUAGCGUAGCGAACGCUUAGACUAUCUACACUCAUACUACUCUAAAUUAGUACUCUAAAACAAAUAUUCUAGGGGUAUCUGCUAGUCAUAUAGUGUAAAUGUGCAGCCAAUCUUCUAAGUGAAUGCAAACGAGGCCUCUCUCAUCCAUAUAUUAUUGUAUAUUUUAGGCUGGAUUGGUUCCAUGACUCUAGAGAAGUGGUUUGAUUCCCGUCGGUAGUUAGGAGGCUUCAUAAAAGAUGGAGAAAUGGUCUAACUAAUUUAACAUCAUAAAUAUAUAAUACUACAAAAUAUGUCAUUGCAACAAAAGAUGCCCUGAAUUGAAUCCAGGUCCACAACCGAACAAGACCUUACUCUAUAUCUAACUUUGUGUUGAUAAGUACUCUUUACACCUUCUAGAUGUGGAUAGCCUUAGACUGUUCCAGCAACGUCAUCUAUAUCUACCAUCUAUAUUUGUCCUUUACAAUCUCAUCUAAAAAAAUUCACCUUCUAUAUCUCCUUCCUGUCCAACAACGUUCUCUAAUUCACGUCUUCUAUAUAUCUAUACUACUCUUAAGAUGGUAGUGUAGGCGUCCACAUCCUAUGGUGCACGGUUCUGCCACCGUCUCAUCCGAGAUCCUCUACGCGACGCACGCUCGAGAUCCUCUCCGUGACGCACGCCUCCCUCUCUUCCGCCCCACCCUCCUCCCCACUCCAUCGGCGCCGCCAUCAUCGGAUCCGACCCAAGACGCCUCCGCCCCACGCGCCCGAGUCGUCGAGGCACACUCCUACCCGCCUCCGGCGUCCACGCACAUCUCCGCCUCACCUCGGUGCCAUCCUCUCGCCAUGUCGUCGCACACGUUCACGGUGGCGUCCAUCCCGACACCGGCCUCACGCACCGUCUACAACUCCCAACUCUGCUCCUCUCAGUUCUCCCUCCGCAUUUCGCCUUCUCUCCCUUCCUCUCCAAGCACCGUCCACCUCGCCUAGAUCCAUACAAGCGGCAAAUAACCUCUCCGACGGCGAGACAGAUGGAGUCGACCUUCGGCGAGGAUGCUCUGAAGCGCAACCCGCUCCUGUCCGCGCUCGUCUCCAACCUACACUCCGUGCUCGCCGCCUGUCGCCCGUCCGCAGCAGAGGUCAGCACCGCUGCCACAGCUAGCGAGGCUGAGGCCUUGGCUCAGGAAGCAGAGGCGUCCGAUUCCCUCACGAGAGAUGGGAUGCCGGCGAGGCCCAUCGUGUUGCUGACCUAUGCCGAGGGGAUCCGGACGGCGGGUCUCGCGGCGCUCAUUGACGCCCUCGUUGCCAUCGGCCGCUGCGACGUCCACGUGUGUGCCCCCAAAUCAUACGUGUUGCGACUUAGAAAACCAAGGCGUCUUAAUUUCCCCUUACAUUUGCUCUUAUGAUCGCAAAGUACUGUUUGCUUUCCAUUGGAUUUGUUGGGAGAUAAAUUAAGUAGUCCCGAUUUGGGCGCCCUGCGCCUGUUUACUCCAUUAGGGCAUGUACAGUGGAGAGACACCAAAACGGUUCUCCAAGCACAGAAGACAACUAAGAGACUCUAUUGUACAAUGGAGUGUCUAUAAACGUAGUCUAUUAAUAAAUACAGAAUUAAAUGUAUUUGUAUAACAUCAGAUCGAUAGAACAGACGACAAAUUCGUACAGUGGGAAGUGAGGCGUCUGUUGCUACUUGGUUUACGAGCCAGAGGCGUCUCUUCACGGAGAGACGGCUCUAAGAUUUUUUUGCAAAUAACCCCCUUAAACACCUUAAGAGCCUCCACAUUAAACACCACUGUACAUGCCCUUAAUGUACUAAUUUGGUUGCCAUUUCCCUAUGAUUGUGGAACCGAACUGAUUUGGGGCCCUUUGUUUAUUUGAAGGGACAAGCAAGCCUGUGGCCAUUCAAUUGCCAUCUGUGAAACCAUCAUUGCGUCAUCCGUGGAUUUCAUAGGCACUAAAGCUUUUGAGACAUCAGGUGAGGGCCAUUCGUUCAUUCAAUUGUGCACAAUUUGGGUCACACAUUGCUGAGCCUGGUGGUCCCGAUAUUUUAUCUUUGCUUACUUUAAUCAUUGAAAACUUAGGCACGCCAGUUGACUGCGUCUCGUUGGCCUUAUCUGGGAGGUUGUUUCCUUGGUCGUCUCCUGCUUUGGUACCGUGAUUGUUUAUUCUUUCGGAAUUGGAUUUCCAAGUGUUACUAUCUUGAAGGUAAUUUGAUUUGUGGUUUUAAAAAACAACAUAUUUUGUUUAUACAGGUGACCAGUGGUAUCAACACGGGAUCAAAUUGUGGAUAUGAGAAAAUUGAUCCCCCAAGCAUUAGCAGUAAAAAGGUUUCUGGAACAAAAAAUUAUAGUAUUGAUGCUAAGGAUGCUAAAUAGAGAAUUCUGAAGACGGCUUCACCGAAAGUGUGGAAACUAGAGACUAAAGAGAUCAGACCCAACUGAAAGGGAAAUAGGGUUAACUUUUUUACACAAUUAAUUUUAGUGGUUGAAUGUCCAACACAAACAAAUGGACUAACUAGUUUGCUCUAGAAUACAUGUUCUACAGGUGCAUAAAGGUUUAACACAAACCAAUAAAUAUCCAAGUUAGGGAUCCAAUUCAAAGGAGCAAAAGAAACUAAGUGUGCUGUGGUCUGGCUCACCAGACUGUCCGCUGUGCCAACGGACAGUGUCCGGUGCACCUGGACCAUAUAGAGUCCAAACAGCCACUCUCGGGUUUUCCCAGGCGCGCUUCGCUAUAAUUCACCGGACUGUCCGGUGCACCAGCGGAGCAAUGGCUAACUCACGCAACGGUCGACUCUAACAAGUGAACAGUGCGUGCCAGAAGUCAGAGCAGAAGUCAAAGGCGUACCGGACAAUGUCAGGUGCCACAAGAAGACAACAGCUCCAACGGUCGACUGCUCCCUAACCCUAACGGUUGAGUGACGUGGCGACGCACUGGACAGCCUACAGUGCCUAUCUAGUGGCGCACCGGAGCAGCCAUCCCCCAACGGCCACUUGGUGGUUGAGGGCUAUAAAUACCCCCCAACCACCACAACACCAACAACCCAAGCAUUAUGAACAUUGCAUUCAAUACAAGAGCAAUAGACUCCACUCCAAGACACAAUCAANNNNNNNNNNNNNNNNNNNNNNNNNNNNNNNNNNNNNNNNNNNNNNNNNNNNNNNNNNNNNNNNNNNNNNNNNNNNNNNNNNNNNNNNNNNNNNNNNNNNNNNNNNNNNNNNNNNNNNNNNNNNNNNNNNNNNNNNNNNNNNNNNNNNNNNNNNNNNNNNNNNNNNNNNNNNNNNNNNNNNNNNNNNNNNNNNNNNNNNNNNNNNNNNNNNNNNNNNNNNNNNNNNNNNNNNNNNNNNNNNNNNNNNNNNNNNNNNNNNNNNNNNNNNNNNNNNNNNNNNNNNNNNNNNNNNNNNNNNNNNNNNNNNNNNNNNNNNNNNNNNNNNNNNNNNNNNNNNNNNNNNNNNNNNNNNNNNNNNNNNNNNNNNNNNNNNNNNNNNNNNNNNNNNNNNNNNNNNNNNNNNNNNNNNNNNNNNNNNNNNNNNNNNNNNNNNNNNNNNNNNNNNNNNNNNNNNNNNNNNNNNNNNNNNNNNNNNNNNNNNNNNNNNNNNNNNNNNNNNNNNNNNNNNNNNNNNNNNNNNNNNNNNNNNNNNNNNNNNNNNNNNNNNNNNNNNNNNNNNNNNNNNNNNNNNNNNNNNNNNNNNNNNNNNNNNNNNNNNNNNNNNNNNNNNNNNNNNNNNNNNNNNNNNNNNNNNNNNNNNNNNNNNNNNNNNNNNNNNNNNNNNNNNNNNNNNNNNNNNNNNNNNNNNNNNNNNNNNNNNNNNNNNNNNNNNNNNNNNNNNNNNNNNNNNNNNNNNNNNNNNNNNNNNNNNNNNNNNNNNNNNNNNNNNNNNNNNNNNNNNNNNNNNNNNNNNNNNNNNNNNNNNNNNNNNNNNNNNNNNNNNNNNNNNNNNNNNNNNNNNNNNNNNNNNNNNNNNNNNNNNNNNNNNNNNNNNNNNNNNNNNNNNNNNNNNNNNNNNNNNNNNNNNNNNNNNNNNNNNNNNNNNNNNNNNNNNNNNNNNNNNNNNNNNNNNNNNNNNNNNNNNNNNNNNNNNNNNNNNNNNNNNNNNNNNNNNNNNNNNNNNNNNNNNNNNNNNNNNNNNNNNNNNNNNNNNNNNNNNNNNNNNNNNNNNNNNNNNNNNNNNNNNNNNNNNNNNNNNNNNNNNNNNNNNNNNNNNNNNNNNNNNNNNNNNNNNNNNNNNNNNNNNNNNNNNNNNNNNNNNNNNNNNNNNNNNNNNNNNNNNNNNNNNNNNNNNNNNNNNNNNNNNNNNNNNNNNNNNNNNNNNNNNNNNNNNNNNNNNNNNNNNNNNNNNNNNNNNNNNNNNNNNNNNNNNNNNNNNNNNNNNNNNNNNNNNNNNNNNNNNNNNNNNNNNNNNNNNNNNNNNNNNNNNNNNNNNNNNNNNNNNNNNNNNNNNNNNNNNNNNNNNNNNNNNNNNNNNNNNNNNNNNNNNNNNNNNNNNNNNNNNNNNNNNNNNNNNNNNNNNNNNNNNNNNNNNNNNNNNNNNNNNNNNNNNNNNNNNNNNNNNNNNNNNNNNNNNNNNNNNNNNNNNNNNNNNNNNNNNNNNNNNNNNNNNNNNNNNNNNNNNNNNNNNNNNNNNNNNNNNNNNNNNNNNNNNNNNNNNNNNNNNNNNNNNNNNNNNNNNNNNNNNNNNNNNNNNNNNNNNNNNNNNNNNNNNNNNNNNNNNNNNNNNNNNNNNNNNNNNNNNNNNNNNNNNNNNNNNNNNNNNNNNNNNNNNNNNNNNNNNNNNNNNNNNNNNNNNNNNNNNNNNNNNNNNNNNNNNNNNNNNNNNNNNNNNNNNNNNNNNNNNNNNNNNNNNNNNNNNNNNNNNNNNNNNNNNNNNNNNNNNNNNNNNNNNNNNNNNNNNNNNNNNNNNNNNNNNNNNNNNNNNNNNNNNNNNNNNNNNNNNNNNNNNNNNNNNNNNNNNNNNNNNNNNNNNNNNNNNNNNNNNNNNNNNNNNNNNNNNNNNNNNNNNNNNNNNNNNNNNNNNNNNNNNNNNNNNNNNNNNNNNNNNNNNNNNNNNNNNNNNNNNNNNNNNNNNNNNNNNNNNNNNNNNNNNNNNNNNNNNNNNNNNNNNNNNNNNNNNNNNNNNNNNNNNNNNNNNNNNNNNNNNNNNNNNNNNNNNNNNNNNNNNNNNNNNNNNNNNNNNNNNNNNNNNNNNNNNNNNNNNNNNNNNNNNNNNNNNNNNNNNNNNNNNNNNNNNNNNNNNNNNNNNNNNNNNNNNNNNNNNNNNNNNNNNNNNNNNNNNNNNNNNNNNNNNNNNNNNNNNNNNNNNNNNNNNNNNNNNNNNNNNNNNNNNNNNNNNNNNNNNNNNNNNNNNNNNNNNNNNNNNNNNNNNNNNNNNNNNNNNNNNNNNNNNNNNNNNNNNNNNNNNNNNNNNNNNNNNNNNNNNNNNNNNNNNNNNNNNNNNNNNNNNNNNNNNNNNNNNNNNNNNNNNNNNNNNNNNNNNNNNNNNNNNNNNNNNNNNNNNNNNNNNNNNNNNNNNNNNNNNNNNNNNNNNNNNNNNNNNNNNNNNNNNNNNNNNNNNNNNNNNNNNNNNNNNNNNNNNNNNNNNNNNNNNNNNNNNNNNNNNNNNNNNNNNNNNNNNNNNNNNNNNNNNNNNNNNNNNNNNNNNNNNNNNNNNNNNNNNNNNNNNNNNNNNNNNNNNNNNNNNNNNNNNNNNNNNNNNNNNNNNNNNNNNNNNNNNNNNNNNNNNNNNNNNNNNNNNNNNNNNNNNNNNNNNNNNNNNNNNNNNNNNNNNNNNNNNNNNNNNNNNNNNNNNNNNNNNNNNNNNNNNNNNNNNNNNNNNNNNNNNNNNNNNNNNNNNNNNNNNNNNNNNNNNNNNNNNNNNNNNNNNNNNNNNNNNNNNNNNNNNNNNNNNNNNNNNNNNNNNNNNNNNNNNNNNNNNNNNNNNNNNNNNNNNNNNNNNNNNNNNNNNNNNNNNNNNNNNNNNNNNNNNNNNNNNNNNNNNNNNNNNNNNNNNNNNNNNNNNNNNNNNNNNNNNNNNNNNNNNNNNNNNNNNNNNNNNNNNNNNNNNNNNNNNNNNNNNNNNNNNNNNNNNNNNNNNNNNNNNNNNNNNNNNNNNNNNNNNNNNNNNNNNNNNNNNNNNNNNNNNNNNNNNNNNNNNNNNNNNNNNNNNNNNNNNNNNNNNNNNNNNNNNNNNNNNNNNNNNNNNNNNNNNNNNNNNNNNNNNNNNNNNNNNNNNNNNNNNNNNNNNNNNNNNNNNNNNNNNNNNNNNNNNNNNNNNNNNNNNNNNNNNNNNNNNNNNNNNNNNNNNNNNNNNNNNNNNNNNNNNNNNNNNNNNNNNNNNNNNNNNNNNNNNNNNNNNNNNNNNNNNNNNNNNNNNNNNNNNNNNNNNNNNNNNNNNNNNNNNNNNNNNNNNNNNNNNNNNNNNNNNNNNNNNNNNNNNNNNNNNNNNNNNNNNNNNNNNNNNNNNNNNNNNNNNNNNNNNNNNNNNNNNNNNNNNNNNNNNNNNNNNNNNNNNNNNNNNNNNNNNNNNNNNNNNNNNNNNNNNNNNNNNNNNNNNNNNNNNNNNNNNNNNNNNNNNNNNNNNNNNNNNNNNNNNNNNNNNNNNNNNNNNNNNNNNNNNNNNNNNNNNNNNNNNNNNNNNNNNNNNNNNNNNNNNNNNNNNNNNNNNNNNNNNNNNNNNNNNNNNNNNNNNNNNNNNNNNNNNNNNNNNNNNNNNNNNNNNNNNNNNNNNNNNNNNNNNNNNNNNNNNNNNNNNNNNNNNNNNNNNNNNNNNNNNNNNNNNNNNNNNNNNNNNNNNNNNNNNNNNNNNNNNNNNNNNNNNNNNNNNNNNNNNNNNNNNNNNNNNNNNNNNNNNNNNNNNNNNNNNNNNNNNNNNNNNNNNNNNNNNNNNNNNNNNNNNNNNNNNNNNNNNNNNNNNNNNNNNNNNNNNNNNNNNNNNNNNNNNNNNNNNNNNNNNNNNNNNNNNNNNNNNNNNNNNNNNNNNNNNNNNNNNNNNNNNNNNNNNNNNNNNNNNNNNNNNNNNNNNNNNNNNNNNNNNNNNNNNNNNNNNNNNNNNNNNNNNNNNNNNNNNNNNNNNNNNNNNNNNNNNNNNNNNNNNNNNNNNNNNNNNNNNNNNNNNNNNNNNNNNNNNNNNNNNNNNNNNNNNNNNNNNNNNNNNNNNNNNNNNNNNNNNNNNNNNNNNNNNNNNNNNNNNNNNNNNNNNNNNNNNNNNNNNNNNNNNNNNNNNNNNNNNNNNNNNNNNNNNNNNNNNNNNNNNNNNNNNNNNNNNNNNNNNNNNNNNNNNNNNNNNNNNNNNNNNNNNNNNNNNNNNNNNNNNNNNNNNNNNNNNNNNNNNNNNNNNNNNNNNNNNNNNNNNNNNNNNNNNNNNNNNNNNNNNNNNNNNNNNNNNNNNNNNNNNNNNNNNNNNNNNNNNNNNNNNNNNNNNNNNNNNNNNNNNNNNNNNNNNNNNNNNNNNNNNNNNNNNNNNNNNNNNNNNNNNNNNNNNNNNNNNNNNNNNNNNNNNNNNNNNNNNNNNNNNNNNNNNNNNNNNNNNNNNNNNNNNNNNNNNNNNNNNNNNNNNNNNNNNNNNNNNNNNNNNNNNNNNNNNNNNNNNNNNNNNNNNNNNNNNNNNNNNNNNNNNNNNNNNNNNNNNNNNNNNNNNNNNNNNNNNNNNNNNNNNNNNNNNNNNNNNNNNNNNNNNNNNNNNNNNNNNNNNNNNNNNNNNNNNNNNNNNNNNNNNNNNNNNNNNNNNNNNNNNNNNNNNNNNNNNNNNNNNNNNNNNNNNNNNNNNNNNNNNNNNNNNNNNNNNNNNNNNNNNNNNNNNNNNNNNNNNNNNNNNNNNNNNNNNNNNNNNNNNNNNNNNNNNNNNNNNNNNNNNNNNNNNNNNNNNNNNNNNNNNNNNNNNNNNNNNNNNNNNNNNNNNNNNNNNNNNNNNNNNNNNNNNNNNNNNNNNNNNNNNNNNNNNNNNNNNNNNNNNNNNNNNNNNNNNNNNNNNNNNNNNNNNNNNNNNNNNNNNNNNNNNNNNNNNNNNNNNNNNNNNNNNNNNNNNNNNNNNNNNNNNNNNNNNNNNNNNNNNNNNNNNNNNNNNNNNNNNNNNNNNNNNNNNNNNNNNNNNNNNNNNNNNNNNNNNNNNNNNNNNNNNNNNNNNNNNNNNNNNNNNNNNNNNNNNNNNNNNNNNNNNNNNNNNNNNNNNNNNNNNNNNNNNNNNNNNNNNNNNNNNNNNNNNNNNNNNNNNNNNNNNNNNNNNNNNNNNNNNNNNNNNNNNNNNNNNNNNNNNNNNNNNNNNNNNNNNNNNNNNNNNNNNNNNNNNNNNNNNNNNNNNNNNNNNNNNNNNNNNNNNNNNNNNNNNNNNNNNNNNNNNNNNNNNNNNNNNNNNNNNNNNNNNNNNNNNNNNNNNNNNNNNNNNNNNNNNNNNNNNNNNNNNNNNNNNNNNNNNNNNNNNNNNNNNNNNNNNNNNNNNNNNNNNNNNNNNNNNNNNNNNNNNNNNNNNNNNNNNNNNNNNNNNNNNNNNNNNNNNNNNNNNNNNNNNNNNNNNNNNNNNNNNNNNNNNNNNNNNNNNNNNNNNNNNNNNNNNNNNNNNNNNNNNNNNNNNNNNNNNNNNNNNNNNNNNNNNNNNNNNNNNNNNNNNNNNNNNNNNNNNNNNNNNNNNNNNNNNNNNNNNNNNNNNNNNNNNNNNNNNNNNNNNNNNNNNNNNNNNNNNNNNNNNNNNNNNNNNNNNNNNNNNNNNNNNNNNNNNNNNNNNNNNNNNNNNNNNNNNNNNNNNNNNNNNNNNNNNNNNNNNNNNNNNNNNNNNNNNNNNNNNNNNNNNNNNNNNNNNNNNNNNNNNNNNNNNNNNNNNNNNNNNNNNNNNNNNNNNNNNNNNNNNNNNNNNNNNNNNNNNNNNNNNNNNNNNNNNNNNNNNNNAGAUAGAACCUAUGAUGAGCAAGGAUCAACCACGUUGAGAAGAAACGCAUAAGAGAUUGAAUCAUGCACUUCAACCGUUCAUAUGAGCGGUUCAACUACAAUGAACAAUAUCAAAUCGCUAAUCUCAAACAGUGUUUGUGACAAAAUGAAGAUAGUCUAAGUGUUGCAAUCACUUAAACCAAAAUGUACCCAACGAAUGAUACAUAAGAUAAUCAAGAAUGCGUAGGAUCGAGUACAAGAAAAUAACAUAGAACAAUACCUCGAUCCAAAGAUGGGGGGCAAGAUCUCUCAACGAGAAGGAGGAAGAUGGUGGAAACACGCCGGGAAGAACGGAUCUCCAACCACACUUCCAAACGGGUGAGAGCUCGAGAGAGUUUGGAGAGGAGAGAGGAAAGACAGAAGUGGCGACGGCGGCUGGAAACAGGGCUGAGAAGGGAAGAGAAGAGAGGGAGAGGUAUAAAAAAGGAGAGGAGUCGGCCGCCAGAAAGCCGAAAACCGGUUCAACCGGUUUCAAAACCGGUUCAACCGGUUUCGGGUCAAACGGCACAGUAAAAGCGCGCAGAAAACAGUGUUGACUGCGCGCAAAACCUGGCAGUCUGACAGCACAGACUGCAAAACUGACAGCGCAGACUGCGCAGCUGUCAGCGCAGACUACGCGCGGACUGACGGCGCGACGGCCAAAACCGGUUCAGCCGGUUUUUAGACCGGUUCAACCGGUUUCCACCAGGACGAAACCGGUUGAGUGGCCUACUCAGCCGGUUUACUCAACCAGAUUUCAAAUAUUGCCUGGAAGGGCUGUAAUAUCACCUAGCAAUUAUGACAUGAGAUAUUAUAAAGAUAAAAAUGACAUUCUCAAUUCAUAUUGCUCAAACAAACAAUUUUCAAUCAUCAAAUUUGAUCAAAUUUUAGUUAUUAAGUCACGUUUCGAGAAUCCAAGAUAUUUAGCUCACUCCUAAGAAAACAAAACCUAGUCUCAUCAAGGGGUUUUGUGAAGAUAUCGGCUAGUUGAUUUUCGGUGCUCUCAUGAAAAAGUUCGAUAUCUCCUUUGGCUUCAUGGUCUCUCAAGAAAUGGUGUCUAAUGUCAAUAUGUUUAGUUCUAGAGUGUUGCACUGGAUUGUUUGCAAGUUUUAUGGCACUCUCAUUGUCACACAAAGAGGAAUUUUGUUAAACUCACAACCAAAAUCUCUAAGGGUUUGCUUCAUCCAUAACAACUGUGCACAACAUGCCCCAGCUGCUAUGUAUUCAGCUUCUGCAGUGGAGAGUGCAACACAAUUUUGUUUCUUGGAACUCCAUGACACUAAGGACCGCCCAAGGAAUUGGCAAGUCCCAGUAGUGCUUUUUCGAUCUACUUUGCAACCGGCAUAAUCUGAGUCAGAAUAGCCAAGCAAAUCGAAAAAGGAGCCUUUAGGAUACCAUAAUCCUAGGUUUUGGGUGUGGACUAAGUAUCUUAGAAUUCUCUUAACGGCUACAAGAUGACAGUCUUUAGGAUUUGCUUGAAAACGUGCACACAUACAAACACUCAACAUAAUAUCAGGCCUAGAUGCACAUAAGUAAAGCAGUGAUCCUAUCAUUGAUCUAUAUAAUUUUUGAUCUACAGGUUUACCUUCCUCAUUUAGGUCGAGAUGUCCAUUUGAUGACAUUGGAGUCUUGGCGUGCUUUGCUUUUUCCAUGCCAAACUUCUUGAGCAUAUCUUGAGUAUAUUUAGUUUGGCAUAAAAAGGUACCUUCCUUGAGUUGUUUGACUUGAAAUCCCAGGAAGUACUUAAGCUCGCCCAUCAUAGACAUCUCAAACCUGUUCGUCAUUACUUUGCUAAACUCUUCACAAAAUUUUUCAUUAGUACUACCAAAUAUAAUGUCAUCAACAUAUAUUUGGCACACAAAUAAUUCAUUAUCAACUUUUCGAGUAAACAAAGUAGAGUCAGCUUUUCCUAUUGUAAACCCAUUUUUAAUUAGAAAAUCUUUAAGACAAUCAUACCAAGCUCUAGGGGCUUGUUUAAGCCCGUAGAGUGCCUUGUGAAGAAGAUAAACAUGAUUUGGCUUCUUUGGGUCUUCGAAGCCCGGUGGUUGCUCCACAUAUACUCUUUCUUGUAGUGGUCCAUUUAGAAAAGCGCUCUUGACAUCCAUUUGAUAUAGCUUGAAAUCAUGGUUAGUAGCAUAGGCAAUUAAUAUUCUAAUUGAUUCUAACCUUGCUAUCGGCGCAUAUGUUUCACCAAAGUCAAGUCCUUCCACUUGAGUAUAGCCUUGGGCAACCAACCUUGCCUUGUUUCUUGUAACAACGCCAUUUUCAUCUUGCUUGUUCCUAAAGACCCAUUUAGUCCCAAUCACAUUUUGUUUGGGUCUUUGGACUAAGGACCAGACUUCAUUCCUAGUGAAGUUGUUCAACUCCUCUUGCAUCGCAGUUAUCCAAUCCGGAUCACCCAAUGCUUCUUCAACCUUAAGUGGCUCAAGAGAGGAAACAAACGAGUAAAAUUCACAAAAAUUAGCUAAACGUGAUCGAGUCGUUACCCCUCUCCUGAUGCUACCCAGGAUGUUGUCCACCGGAUGAUCCCUUUGAAUUGAAUGAUGGACUCUUGGAUGAGGCACUGAUGGAUGUCUUUGUAUUUGCUCUUCCUCAUCAGUUACUUGAUCAAGACGCACUUCACCAUCAAUAUUUUCUUGUUCAUCUUCUACCACUGUUGGCAUCCUUUGAUGAUUUUCUUCGUGGUUUGGAUGACUUGAGGUUGAUGGGUUUGCUUGGGUGGAGACAUUGUCACUCACCACCCUUGCACCCACAUCAACUACCUCAUUGGUCAUCCACAAGGUUCCUUCUUCAUCAUCCCUUUCUUGAGGUCUCACCUCACCUAUGGCAAGUUUCUUUAUGGCCUCACAAGGUAGUUUUUCAUUUCCUGCAGUGUCAUUAGAAACAUGCCCUUGCGAGCCAUUAGACUCAUCAAAUGUCACGUCUAUCGCUAUUUCAACAAGACCGGUGGAAUUGUUGAAAACACGAUAUCCAUGCGCAUUUGAUGCAUAACCAAGCAAGAAACCCUCGUCCACUCUAGGAGCAAACUUUGAGCUCUUGACUUUCUUGUUAAGAAUAAAACAUUUACAACCGAAUACUCUAAAAUAAUCAACUUUAGGUUUGUUACCAGUGAGAAGCUCAUAGGCAGUCUUUUUGUAGAUCUUAUGAAGAUAGAGGCGGUUGAUUGCAUGACAGGCGGUGUUGACCGCCUCUGCCCAGAAGUUGUCAGGUGUCUUGUAUUCAUCCAACAUGGUUCUUGCAGCUUCAAUUAGAGUCCGGUUCUUUCUUUCCACAACACCAUUUUGUUGUGGAGUGUAAGGCACCGAGAACUCAUGCUUGAUUCCCUCUUCUCCUAAGAAUUCUUCGACACCUGUGUUCUUGAAUUCCGUCCCAUUAUCGCUUCUCACUUUCUUGAUUUUGAGCUCAAAUUCAUUUUGAGCUCUCCUCAUGAAUUUCUUUAAGAUUUCUUGAGUUUCACCUUUGUCACUCAAAAAGAAAACCCAAGUGAAUCGAGAAAAAUCAUCAACAAUAACUAAACCAUACUUACUACCACCAAUGCUAAUGUAGGCCACAGGUCCGAAGAGGUCCAUGUGAAGAAGCUCCAAUGGCCUCUUUGUUGUGACCACAUUCUUUGAUUGAUGUGGGACUCCAUGUUGCUUUCCUGCUUGGCAUGCGCCACAAACCCUAUCUUUCUCAAAUACAACAUUGGUUAGUCCAAUGAUGUGAUUAUCCUUUUGAAGUUUGGCCAAAUUCCUCAUACCGACAUGGGCUAGCCGGCGAUGCCAUAGCCAACCCUUGUCGGAUUUUGCCACUAAACAAGUCUCAGGCGUCACUUUACUUGUUGUGAAAUCAACAAGAUAAAGUUUACCCUUCAAGCGACCUGUAAAGGCAACUGAGGAGUCCUCCCUUCUAAGGAUUUUCACAUCCACAUUCGAAAAUAAGCAAUUAUAACCCAUUCCACAAAGUUGUGAAACAGACAACAAAUUAUAGCUCAAGGAAUCUACUAAUAAAACAUUUGAAAGUGAUUGUUGGUCAGAGAUAGGAAUUUUACCAAUACCAAUCACCUUACUCUUGCCACUAUCUCCAAACACAAUUUCUUGUGCUUCUUGAGUUAGUUGCAAUGUAUGAAACAUGUCUUUCUCCCCGGUCAUGUGAUUUGUACAUCCACUGUCAAGCACCCAACUUGACCCACCAGAGGAGUAGACCUGCAAAACAAGUUUAGGCUAUACUUUUAGGUACCCAAAUUGAAUUGGGUCCUACAGUGUUAGUUAUAGCCUUGGGUACCCACACACUUCUUUUCAUGACUUUUUGUUUAGUGUAGGCACCCACAUAUUUCACAACUAAUUUCCCUGAAUCCCAAGUCAACAUAUAAUCACAAAGAUAUGAGUGGGAAAUGGGAGCAUUAGAUUUUUGUCCACUUGAGGAUCCCACUUCCUUCAUCUUACUCUUUGUGGAACUCAAGUUAACCUUUACCUGAGAUGACUUGUCAUUUGAGGAGUGGAUCCUCCCCAAGGCAUCAUAUAGAGUGGUUCCCUCUAUGAACUUGGGGGAUCUCCACCCCUUAUGCACUGUGCUAGGGUUUUCCUUGGAUGAAUUGAACCCAAGCCCCCUUCUACCAUUGUUGGACUUAAGGGACUUGUACUUGGGUUCAACUUUCUUUAACCCAUCAUUGCUAGAGCAUCUUUUCAAAAUUUCUUUGACCUUCACCUGUGGGCUUUGCUUCCUUGCAUGGUUAGUUAGACAACAAGAAGCAUGAUAUUUGGCACAAUGCUUGCAAGAAUUAUCAUUAGAGCUAGACUUAGAUUCAAAUACUAAAGUGGGGGCAUUGAUGUUCUUGCAAUUUUCAAGUUGCACUUGAAGUUCUUGAUUUUGAACAUUCAAGCUUAACAUGCUUGAUUCAAGUGCAUUCUUUUCAUUUGCAAGGUUAUCAAUAGAGGUUUUCAAGUUAAUUACUUCUAUAUCUUUAUUGUGAAUCAACUCUUGAAGCUCUAGGUUUCUUUCCUUUUCAAGGAUAAGCAAGUCUUCUUGAGCAUCAAGAGUUGCCUUUCUUUUAUCUAGCUUUUCCAUUAAUUUUGUGAUAACAUUGUAUCCAUUUAAGCCAAAUUCUUUAAUCAUUUUAUUUUUCAUGGCAAUUUGAUCAUCAUCAUCAUCAUUUGAAAAAUCAUUACUAAAUAAAGUUACCUUAUCUCCUUUUGCCAUGAGGCAAGUUGGAAUGUAGGAGUCGUCUUGAAGGUUGGUGAAGAGUUGCGCGCUUGAGGUAGAUUGGAUGGCCACAUUUGCCACCACUUCCUCUUCCUCGGAGCUAGAACUCUCAUCAUCGGAGUUCCAUUCUUCACCAAUAUGAGCUUGUCCAUACUUCUUCUUCUUGAAGUAUCCCUUGGUCUUGCCUCCCUUUUUAAACUUAUCCUUCUUGUAUUCCUUCUUGGCUUCUUGUUCCUUCUUGUUAGGACAAUCCGCUAUGAAAUGACCGGUUUGGCCACAUUCAUAGCAUGCCCUCUUCUUUCCUUUCCUUUGGAACUUGUCAUUCUUCCUUACAAAUUUCUUGAAAGUUUUGAUGAACAUAGCUGUGUCUUCAUCACUUGAGCUAUCUUCAUCACUUGAGGUCUCGACCACUUUCUUUGCUUUGUGGUCUUUGCUCUUCUUGAGAUUGUCUUGUUCAUUUGUGAUCAAGGCAUGAGAGUCUCUUGUCUUGAUGGGGGCUUCCUCGGACUCGUGUUGUUGAAUUUUUGCAAAUAGUUGAUGAGGCAUCAUGUCCUCAUAAUCAUCACGAUCCCUUAUCAUCCUUGCAAGACUUUUAUCUUUCUCUUUAUAAGCUCUCAUGAACAAUCUUGUGGCCUUGGAGUCACUCCAAUCUUCACUCCCAAGUACUCUUAUUUUGUUGACCAAUACCAUCAAUCGAUCAAAGAGUGAUUGGAGCGACUCACCCUUUGUCCAAUCAUACCUUGCAAGCUCACUUUCCAAAGCUUCAACUCUAUGUCUUUUAGCUUUGGGAUCUCCUUCAUGUGACAUUCUAAGAAUGUUCCAAAUGUCACGAGCAUCUUCUCUUCCUUGAACUUUCCGGUAUUCUUCCGGACAAAGACUUCCUUUGAUUAUGCUCACUGCUUGAGCAUUUCGAUGAACCUCUUGCAUCAUUUCCGGAGUCAUCUCUUCUCCUUGGGCGGGCUUAUACAUACCUACAUUAACAAUCUCCCAAAGACUAGGAUGCACACCGAUUAAAUGCGACUUCAUCUUGUCGGCCCACUCAUCAUAGUUCAACUCACUAAGAGUUGGUAACUUUCCAAGUGGGGCGGAAGAGAAGUUGGGAAUAUAAUUUCUAGAGUAAUCGAAUUGAACUUUGCUAAAGUCAUUACCUUUGCUUUUGGUAGAUGAUCCUUCGGUGUUGAAACUUACCUUGCUCAAUACCUUAGACACCAAAAGGUCCACUAGAUCGUCAUUAUAAUCAAACGUUCCCUUACCUUUACCUUCUUCGGCCUUUCUUCUUGUUUCCUCUUCUUCGGCCUUUUUCCUAGCAUCUUCCUCUUUCAUUUUGAGGAACAUUUUCUCGGCAAUCUUCAUGGCGAGGUCGAGGACCUUGGGGUCCACUUCCUCACCGGAAGAUGUGACGGGGAUUUCCUCGAGAAGAGGAUCCACAUGGUCCCGUUGUGUAGACAUGAUCGUUUCCUCACGCGGUUAAGCGUAAAACGAGGCACGAAGCUCUGAUACCAAUUGAAAGUAGCCUAGAGGGGGGGGUGAAUAGGCUACACCUGAAAAUUUUCACUAAAAACUUCGAAAUAGGUUAAAUUAAAGUUGCACAGGUGCAAACCGGUUCAGCCGAUUUUAAUCACAACUGAACAAGUUUGAACCCACUCAACUUGAAUUUAAUAAUCUAUUGAACAAAUUAAAAGUAGUAAAGAAAAUAGCUAAAGAUUUGCCCUACACAAGAACUACUUGAAUGAAUAAUAUGAACCAACCACCGAAUAUGAAAUGCUUAUCAAGAACACACAAGAACACGCGAUAUAACCCGAGGUUCGGCAACCACCACAAAGGUGUCCUACUCCUCGUUGAGGAACCCACAAAGGGCCGGGUCUUUUCCAACCCUAAUCCUCCACAAGCCGACCACAAAGGUCAAGGCAAUCUCUUCUCAAAUCUGCUCAAGGAGCGGGUGAUACAAACUUCUUGGGGUCGUCCACAAAUUUGGAGACUCCCAAGCAACCUCUAACCGUCAAGGAACACGAGGUUCCAAGAGUAACAAAUCCGCACACGGUUAAGUUUGCAACGAGCUCAAGAACAAGAGAAUGGGAGAAUCGAGAUGAAAUAGACAGCGAGUUCGAUCGAGUUCACCUCACACCAAGGGUCCUUCAAAUGAUUGAAGGAGAUGCGAUUGCGGGUGUGAGAGGUGAAGUGAAUGCUCUUGUUUGAGGGUUGGUCAGCCAAAGAUUCGUGGGAGAGGCAGUAGUUAAUGAGAGAGAGAGUGUGAGGGGGUAUAUAAAGGAUCCCCCAAAAGCUGGCAGCCGUUGGGAGGAAAAGGGCAAAAACCGGUUGAACCGGUUUUCAAACCGGUUGAACCGGUUUCUACCAGGGGGAUCCCGGUCCACUGGUCUACUCAGCCGGACACUCGACCGGUUUCAAAACCGGCUGAGUAGGAUCAAAUUUCGUCUCAACCGGUUUCAGAAAAAUAUCUGCUGCGACUUUUCUGACAGCUCUGACUGUCAGACAGGUCAGAGCAGAGGUGGCAGGAUGAACAGUACCAAAACCGGUUGAACCGGUUUCUGGACCGGUUGAACCGGUUUUGGGGGCUGAAACCAAACUUUGAGAAUUUGAAGAGAACUUAGGUGGAGACUUUGUGGGAAGUGAAAUUUGUUUUUCUCAAGAGCAUUCAUGAUCUGGAAAAGAUGAUUCUCAAAUGAGUUUUCAAAAGAAUUGAACUUGGCUCGUUUCACAACUUACUUAACCGUCGCGGAUCCCUCUUAAUUGUACGGCGAUUCCUAUGAUUCAAGAAUUUUAAACUUAGUACCGCCGACGUUUCAUAGCACUUGGAGCACGCCAUUUGAUGUGGAAAUUUAAAUCCGCUGUGCUUUAUACUUUUAUGCUCGUAGGAUCUGUGCUUCUCCUGUCUGUAAAAAUACUGUGUACACACUAGGAGCAAACUUGUUAGAAUCUUAGUUUGUUUUGUCAUUAAUCACCAAAACCCUCAAUAGGGUUGAUUGCACUUACAAUCUCCCCCUUUUUGGUGAUUGAUGCCAAAACAAACUAGAAUGGAAAUAAUAAUUAAAAGUUACACAUACUUGUGAUAAAAGUCUUUUGUGUAUAUGUAGCUCCCCCUAAAUAUGUGCAUGAGUUUUGCGAUAUUCACAUUGACUUGAUAUGUCAAUUUGCAACAUAUUUAGAGAGAGAACAAUCAACACCAUACACAAAAAAAUGAUGAGAUAUGAAACAUAAUUGAAUAUAAAGAGUAAAAGCACAUUCAAGCUCAUCAUCGCAUAGCAUAUGAUAUGAAAAAGGUCUACAGCUAUUACAAUAGUGAGAGCUCGUCUCAACACAUCAUCAAGUGUUUAUGGCUUCCAAGCCAUGCAUGCAGCAAAUAGUAGUUAUUACAGACCAAGUGUUCAUUACAAAAAUAAAGUACUGAAUAGUAAACGUUCUCCCCCUUUUUGGCACCAAGAACCAAAAAGAGAGAGAGAGACGCGUCAAGCCACGAAUCACCAGUGGGGAGGAGGUUGAUGAGGAGCAAAGAGGUGUUGCGCCAGGUCGUAGGCAAAAUGUUCCUCUCCAGACUGGGCCGGAGGAGGAGCACUGCCAGACGGGUCCUGGGCGGAGGGUAAGAGGACGAUUGACUCGGAUCCCCGCGAUAUGGGGGAGGGUCAAACUGCUCCGGAUCAUCAAAAUAGGUUUCUUCUUCGACGUCAUCGGCUGAAGAGAAAGGUACCCCAUACGCCUGCUGGUACCACUCAUUCACAUCUGGAGGAGGAGGGUGAAGAGGUACAUCAGGAGAGCGAGGGGCGAAGGGAGUACCCAAAGCAGAAGCUUGACGACGAAGGUUGUCGUCGGUCUCCCGCUGACGUCGAGCCACCUCAUGGACAUCUGCGGCAAUAUUUCGGCACAUGGAGAAGAAGGCCGCAAACCCGUGGGCCAGGCGGGCACCCAUCCCACGUCCACGACCUCGACCACGACCACGACCACGUGGUGUGGGAGAUCCGCGGCCAGGGGAAGAGCGCGAGGCACCACCAGCAGCAGCAGCAGCACCAGCACCGGCAGACGGACCAGCAGAUGUAGGACCACGGGAACUGGAGGGAGCUUUCCUGAGACGCCCAGCUGGAUUGUUGGGAUCAAUCCAGAAGGGAGUGUAUGACUGAUGUCGGGUGCCUUUCUCAAAUCUGAAUUGGGUCACGACCUCAAUCAUCUUCAUAAUGAAUGGGGCAUGAAGACACCCCUUCAAAGGAAAGCAGGCUGCAUGAAUGAUCUCCUGCCAAAUCAUGUCAAAGACAUUAAUCCUUUCUGAGCUGUUUGGUUUCAUAAAAGAGAGCAAGACUUUGCUCUCGCCAAGGAUGUUCAUCUGAUUUCCCCCUUUUGGAAUGAGGGUCAUCCUGCAGAGGGAGUUGAUAUAGCGAUAAUACUUGUGAAUGUUGGUUGACUCCCAAUACUUUCCAGACUCAGACAAAUGAAGGUCCUUGGCUUCAUCUCUUGUGGGCUGACGGAAAUCAUGAAUCUUGAUCCUGUCUCCAGAUAUAUCCUCGUCAGAAAAACCAAGAAUGUGAGCAAAUCGACGAUAGCUCACCUUGUACCAACUACCUUCAAUGAAGAAGUUUAGAUAGGGGUAGUUGUAAUGGCUCUCCUCAUCAGCCAGCUUUAUCCAGAGAGUGGAAUAAAAUUGUGCAAUCACUUCAUCAUUCCAAUCAUAAUGGAAUGUCAUGAUGUUCUUCAUUUGCUUCCUUUCACAGGCCCUCAGUGCCUGUGACAUCUCUGGGUCUCCAAUUGCUUCGCAACCUUCCCAGUUAAUAUAACGUUGAUGAAGGAUGGGCUGAUGCUUCUUGGGAAGAAUAACUGAAUUAUAGAAAUCAACAUGGUGAAGAGUCCAGAAACGAUUUCCAUCGAUCCUGGCAUCGUGAAUACGCAAUACCGGAUUUUGGAAACGCAGAUCCUGGAGAAGUGCAGACCCUCCACUGGCCGUGAAGUCCGUGACUGGCUCAUUGCCAGCACGCCGAGCCUCGGCCCGGUGGAGCACCAAGCCGCGAAUCACAGGAGCCGACGCGGGGGGAAGAUCAACCUCAUCGUCCUUCCCACCGUCAUCGUCACUUGCAGGCUCCCACGCCUGCGGAUUCGUGGCAGGUCGAGACCUACCGGAGGGAGUCCGGGAAGUCCGACCCCGAGCACUUUGAGACCCGGAGGCCUCAGUACCCGGCAUGACAUUUCCACAUCUGCGCCCUCGCUUGGAUCGAGAGCGAGGAGGGGUAUCACCAUGGAUCUCCUGUUCAUCCAAAGAGUCGGAUUCUACCACUGACGGGUUCCUUCGUCGCACCAUUCUAAGAAAUAAGAGAUAGAACCUAUGAUGAGCAAGGAUCAACCACGCUUGAGAAGAAACGCAUAAGAGAUUGAAUCAUGCACUUCAACCGUUCAUAUGAGCGGUUCAACUACAAUGAACAAUAUCAAAUCGCUAAUCUCAAACAGUGUUUGUGACAAAAUGAAGAUAGUCUAAGUGUUGCAAUCACUUAAACCAAAAUGUACCCAACGAAUGAUACAUAAGAUAAUCAAGAAUGCGUAGGAUCGAGUACAAGAAAAUAACAUAGAACAAUACCUCGAUCCGAAGAUGGGGGGCAAGAUCUCUCAACGAGAAGGAGGAAGAUGGUGGAAACACGCCGGGAAGAACGGAUCUCCAACCACACUUCCAAACGGGUGAGAGCUCGAGAGAGUUUGGAGAGGAGAGAGGAAAGACAGAAGUGGCGGCGGCGGCUGGAAACAGGGCUGAGAAGGGAAGAGAAGAGAGGGAGAGGUAUAAAAAAGGAGAGGAGUCGGCCGCCAGAAAGCCGAAAACCGGUUCAACCGGUUUCAAAACCGGUUCAACCGGUUUCGGGUCAAACGGCGCAGUAAAAGCGCGUAGAAAACAGUGUUGACUGCGCGCAAAACCUGGCAGUCUGACAGCACAGACUGCAAAACUGACAGCGCAGACUGCGCAGCUGUCAGCGCAGACUACGCGCGGACUGACGGCGCGACGGCCAAAACCGGUUCAGCCGGUUUUUAGACCGGUUCAACCGGUUUCCACCAGGACGAAACCGGUUGAGUGGCCUACUCAGCCGGUUUACUCAACCAGAUUUCAAAUAUUGCCUGGAAGGGCUGUAAUAUCACUUAGCAAUUAUGACAUGAGAUAUUAUAAAGAUAAAAAUGACAUUUCUCAAUUCAUAUUGCUCAAACAAACAAUUUUCAAUCAUCAAAUUUGAUCAAAAUUUUAUUUAUUAAGUCACGUUUCGAGAAUCCAAGAUAUUUAGCUCACUCCUAAGAAAACAAAACCUAGUCUCAUCAAGGGGUUUUGUGAAGAUAUCGGCUAGUUGAUUUUCGGUGCUCUCAUGAAAAAGUUCGAUAUCUCCUUUGGCUUCAUGGUCUCUCAAGAAAUGGUGUCUAAUGUCAAUAUGUUUAGUUCUAGAGUGUUGCACUGGAUUGUUUGCAAGUUUUAUGGCACUCUCAUUGUCACACAAAAGAGGAAUUUUGUUAAACUCACAACCAAAAUCUCUAAGGGUUUGCUUCAUCCAUAACAACUGUGCACAACAUGCCCCAGCUGCUAUGUAUUCAGCUUCUGCAGUGGAGAGUGCAACACAAUUUUGUUUCUUGGAACUCCAUGACACUAAGGACCGCCCAAGGAAUUGGCAAGUCCCAGUAGUGCUUUUUCGAUCUACUUUGCAACCGGCAUAAUCUGAGUCAGAAUAGCCAAGCAAAUCGAAAAAGGAGCCUUUAGGAUACCAUAAUCCUAGGUUUUGGGUGUGGACUAAGUAUCUUAGAAUUCUCUUAACGGCUACAAGAUGACAGUCUUUAGGAUUUGCUUGAAAACGUGCACACAUACAAACACUCAACAUAAUAUCAGGCCUAGAUGCACAUAAGUAAAGCAGUGAUCCUAUCAUUGAUCUAUAUAAUUUUUGAUCUACAGGUUUACCUUCCUCAUUUAGGUCGAGAUGUCCAUUUGAUGACAUUGGAGUCUUGGCGUGCUUUGCUUUUUCCAUGCCAAACUUCUUGAGCAUAUCUUGAGUAUAUUUAGUUUGGCAUAAAAAGGUACCUUCCUUGAGUUGUUUGACUUGAAAUCCCAGGAAGUACUUAAGCUCGCCCAUCAUAGACAUCUCAAACCUGUUCGUCAUUACUUUGCUAAACUCUUCACAAAAUUUUUCAUUAGUACUACCAAAUAUAAUGUCAUCAACAUAUAUUUGGCACACAAAUAAUUCAUUAUCAACUUUUCGAGUAAACAAAGUAGAGUCAGCUUUUCCUAUUGUAAACCCAUUUUUAAUUAGAAAAUCUUUAAGACAAUCAUACCAAGCUCUAGGGGCUUGUUUAAGCCCGUAGAGUGCCUUGUGAAGAAGAUAAACAUGAUUUGGCUUCUUUGGGUCUUCGAAGCCCGGUGGUUGCUCCACAUAUACUCUUUCUUGUAGUGGUCCAUUUAGAAAAGCGCUCUUGACAUCCAUUUGAUAUAGCUUGAAAUCAUGGUUAGUAGCAUAGGCAAUUAAUAUUCUAAUUGAUUCUAACCUUGCUACCGGCGCAUAUGUUUCACCAAAGUCAAGUCCUUCCACUUGAGUAUAGCCUUGGGCAACCAACCUUGCCUUGUUUCUUGUAACAACGCCAUUUUCAUCUUGCUUGUUCCUAAAGACCCAUUUAGUCCCAAUCACAUUUUGUUUGGGUCUUUGGACUAAGGACCAGACUUCAUUCCUAGUGAAGUUGUUCAACUCCUCUUGCAUCGCAGUUAUCCAAUCCGGAUCACCCAAUGCUUCUUCAACCUUAAGUGGCUCAAGAGAGGAAACAAACGAGUAAAAUUCACAAAAAUUAGCUAAACGUGAUCGAGUCGUUACCCCUCUCCUGAUGCUACCCAGGAUGUUGUCCACCGGAUGAUCCCUUUGAAUUGAAUGAUGGACUCUUGGAUGAGGCACUGAUGGAUGUCUUUGUAUUUGCUCUUCCUCAUCAGUUACUUGAUCAAGACGCACUUCACCAUCAAUAUUUUCUUGUUCAUCUUCUACCACUGUUGGCAUCCUUUGAUGAUUUUCUUCGUGGUUUGGAUGACUUGAGGUUGAUGGGUUUGCUUGGGUGGAGACAUUGUCACUCACCACCCUUGCACCCACAUCAACUACCUCAUUGGUCAUCCACAAGGUUCCUUCUUCAUCAUCCCUUUCUUGAGGUCUCACCUCACCUAUGGCAAGUUUCUUUAUGGCCUCACAAGGUAGUUUUUCAUUUCCUGCAGUGUCAUUAGAAACAUGCCCUUGCGAGCCAUUAGACUCAUCAAAUGUCACGUCUAUCGCUAUUUCAACAAGACCGGUGGAAUUGUUGAAAACACGAUAUCCAUGCGCAUUUGAUGCAUAACCAAGCAAGAAACCCUCGUCCACUCUAGGAGCAAACUUUGAGCUCUUGACUUUCUUGUUAAGAAUAAAACAUUUACAACCGAAUACUCUAAAAUAAUCAACUUUAGGUUUGUUACCAGUGAGAAGCUCAUAGGCAGUCUUUUUGUAGAUCUUAUGAAGAUAGAGGCGGUUGAUUGCAUGACAGGCGGUGUUGACCGCCUCUGCCCAGAAGUUGUCAGGUGUCUUGUAUUCAUCCAACAUGGUUCUUGCAGCUUCAAUUAGAGUCCGGUUCUUUCUUUCCACAACACCAUUUUGUUGUGGAGUGUAAGGCACCGAGAACUCAUGCUUGAUUCCCUCUUCUCCUAAGAAUUCUUCGACACCUGUGUUCUUGAAUUCCGUCCCAUUAUCGCUUCUCACUUUCUUGAUUUUGAGCUCAAAUUCAUUUUGAGCUCUCCUCAUGAAUUUCUUUAAGAUUUCUUGAGUUUCACCUUUGUCACUCAAAAAGAAAACCCAAGUGAAUCGAGAAAAAUCAUCAACAAUAACUAAACCAUACUUACUACCACCAAUGCUAAUGUAGGCCACAGGUCCGAAGAGGUCCAUGUGAAGAAGCUCCAAUGGCCUCUUUGUUGUGACCACAUUCUUUGAUUGAUGUGGGACUCCAUGUUGCUUUCCUGCUUGGCAUGCGCCACAAACCCUAUCUUUCUCAAAUACAACAUUGGUUAGUCCAAUGAUGUGAUUAUCCUUUUGAAGUUUGGCCAAAUUCCUCAUACCGACAUGGGCUAGCCGGCGAUGCCAUAGCCAACCCUUGUCGGAUUUUGCCACUAAACAAGUCUCAGGCGUCACUUUACUUGUUGUGAAAUCAACAAGAUAAAGUUUACCCUUCAAGCGACCUAUAAAGGCAACUGAGGAGUCCUCCCUUCUAAGGAUUUUCACAUCCACAUUCGAAAAUAAGCAAUUAUAACCCAUUCCACAAAGUUGUGAAACGGACAACAAAUUAUAGCUCAAGGAAUCUACUAAUAAAACAUUUGAAAGUGAUUGUUGGUCAGAGAUAGGAAUUUUACCAAUACCAAUCACCUUACUCUUGCCACUAUCUCCAAACACAAUUUCUUGUGCUUCUUGAGUUAGUUGCAAUGUAUGAAACAUGUCUUUCUCCCCGGUCAUGUGAUUUGUACAUCCACUGUCAAGCACCCAACUUGACCCACCAGAGGAGUAGACCUGCAAAACAAGUUUAGGCUAUACUUUUAGGUACCCAAAUUGAAUUGGGUCCUACAGUGUUAGUUAUAGCCUUGGGUACCCACACACUUCUUUUCAUGACUUUUUGUUUAGUGUAGGCACCCACAUAUUUCACAACUAAUUUCCCUGAAUCCCAAGUCAACAUAUAAUCACAAAGAUAUGAGUGGGAAAUGGGAGCAUUAGAUUUUUGUCCACUUGAGGAUCCCACUUCCUUCAUCUUACUCUUUGUGGAACUCAAGUUAACCUUUACCUGAGAUGACUUGUCAUUUGAGGAGUGGAUCCUCCCCAAGGCAUCAUAUAGAGUGGUUCCCUCUAUGAACUUGGGGGAUCUCCACCCCUUAUGCACUGUGCUAGGGUUUUCCUUGGAUGAAUUGAACCCAAGCCCCCUUCUACCAUUGUUGGACUUAAGGGACUUGUACUUGGGUUCAACUUUCUUUAACCCAUCAUUGCUAGAGCAUCUUUUCAAAAUUUCUUUGACCUUCACCUGUGGGCUUUGCUUCCUUGCAUGGUUAGUUAGACAACAAGAAGCAUGAUAUUUGGCACAAUGCUUGCAAGAAUUAUCAUUAGAGCUAGACUUAGAUUCAAAUACUAAAGUGGGGGCAUUGAUGUUCUUGCAAUUUUCAAGUUGCACUUGAAGUUCUUGAUUUUGAACAUUCAAGCUUAACAUGCUUGAUUCAAGUGCAUUCUUUUCAUUUGCAAGGUUAUCAAUAGAGGUUUUCAAGUUAAUUACUUCUAUAUCUUUAUUGUGAAUCAACUCUUGAAGCUCUAGGUUUCUUUCCUUUUCAAGGAUAAGCAAGUCUUCUUGAGCAUCAAGAGUUGCCUUUCUUUUAUCUAGCUUUUCCAUUAAUUUUGUGAUAACAUUGUAUCCAUUUAAGCCAAAUUCUUUAAUCAUUUUAUUUUUCAUGGCAAUUUGAUCAUCAUCAUCAUCAUUUGAAAAAUCAUUACUAAAUAAAGUUACCUUAUCUCCUUUUGCCAUGAGGCAAGUUGGAAUGUAGGAGUCGUCUUGAAGGUUGGUGAAGAGUUGCGCGCUUGAGGUAGAUUGGAUGGCCACAUUUGCCACCACUUCCUCUUCCUCGGAGCUAGAACUCUCAUCAUCGGAGUUCCAUUCUUCACCAAUAUGAGCUUGUCCAUACUUCUUCUUCUUGAAGUAUCCCUUGGUCUUGCCUCCCUUUUUAAACUUAUCCUUCUUGUAUUCCUUCUUGGCUUCUUGUUCCUUCUUGUUAGGACAAUCCGCUAUGAAAUGACCGGUUUGGCCACAUUCAUAGCAUGCCCUCUUCUUUCCUUUCCUUUGGAACUUGUCAUUCUUCCUUACAAAUUUCUUGAAAGUUUUGAUGAACAUAGCUGUGUCUUCAUCACUUGAGCUAUCUUCAUCACUUGAGGUCUCGACCACUUUCUUUGCUUUGUGGUCUUUGCUCUUCUUGAGAUUGUCUUGUUCAUUUGUGAUCAAGGCAUGAGAGUCUCUUGUCUUGAUGGGGGCUUCCUCGGACUCGUGUUGUUGAAUUUUUGCAAAUAGUUGAUGAGGCGUCAUGUCCUCAUAAUCAUCACGAUCCCUUAUCAUCCUUGCAAGACUUUUAUCUUUCUCUUUAUAAGCUCUCAUGAACAAUCUUGUGACCUUGGAGUCACUCCAAUCUUCACUCCCAAGUACUCUUAUUUUGUUGACCAAUACCAUCAAUCGAUCAAAGAGUGAUUGGAGCGACUCACCCUUUGUCCAAUCAUACCUUGCAAGCUCACUUUCCAAAGCUUCAACUCUAUGUCUUUUAGCUUUGGGAUCUCCUUCAUGUGACAUUCUAAGAAUGUUCCAAAUGUCACGAGCAUCUUCUCUUCCUUGAACUUUCCGGUAUUCUUCCGGACAAAGACUUCCUUUGAUUAUGCUCACUGCUUGAGCAUUUCGAUGAACCUCUUGCAUCAUUUCCGGAGUCAUCUCUUCUCCUUGGGCGGGCUUAUACAUACCUACAUUAACAAUCUCCCAAAGACUAGGAUGCACACCGAUUAAAUGCGACUUCAUCUUGUCGGCCCACUCAUCAUAGUUCAACUCACUAAGAGUUGGUAACUUUCCAAGUGGGGCGGAAGAGAAGUUGGGAAUAUAAUUUCUAGAGUAAUCGAAUUGAACUUUGCUAAAGUCAUUACCUUUGCUUUUGGUAGAUGAUCCUUCGGUGUUGAAACUUACCUUGCUCAAUACCUUAGACACCAAAAGGUCCACUAGAUCGUCAUUAUAAUCAAACGUUCCCUUACCUUUACCUUCUUCGGCCUUUCUUCUUGUUUCCUCUUCUUCGGCCUUUUUCCUAGCAUCUUCCUCUUUCAUUUUGAGGAACAUUUUCUCGGCAAUCUUCAUGGCGAGGUCGAGGACCUUGGGGUCCACUUCCUCACCGGAAGAUGUGACGGGGAUUUCCUCGAGAAGAGGAUCCACAUGGUCCCGUUGUGUAGACAUGAUCGUUUCCUCACGCGGUUAAGCGUAAAACGAGGCACGAAGCUCUGAUACCAAUUGAAAGUAGCCUAGAGGGGGGGUGAAUAGGCUACACCUGAAAAUUUUCACUAAAAACUUCGAAAUAGGUUAAAUUAAAGUUGCACAGGUGCAAACCGGUUCAGUCGAUUUUAAUCACAACUGAACAAGUUUGAACCCACUCAACUUGAAUUUAAUAAUCUAUUGAACAAAUUCGAAGUAGUAAAGAAAAUAGCUAAAGAUUUGCCCUACACAAGAACUACUUGAAUGAAUAAUAUGAACCAACCACCGAAUAUGAAAUGCUUAUCAAGAACACACAAGAACACGCGAUAUAACCCGAGGUUCGGCAACCACCACAAAGGUGUCCUACUCCUCGUUGAGGAACCCACAAAGGGCCGGGUCUUUUCCAACCCUAAUCCUCCACAAGCCGACCACAAAGGUCAAGGCAAUCUCUUCUCAAAUCUGCUCAAGGAGCGGGUGAUACAAACUUCUUGGGGUCGUCCACAAAUUUGGAGACUCCCAAGCAACCUCUAACCGUCAAGGAACACGAGGUUCCAAGAGUAACAAAUCCGCACACGGUUAAGUUUGCAACGAGCUCAAGAACAAGAGAAUGGGAGAAUCGAGAUGAAAUAGACAGCGAGUUCGAUCGAGUUCACCUCACACCAAGGGUCCUUCAAAUGAUUGAAGGAGAUGCGAUUGCGGGUGUGAGAGGUGAAGUGAAUGCUCUUGUUUGAGGGUUGGUCAGCCAAAGAUUCGUGGGAGAGGCAGUAGUUAAUGAGAGAGAGAGUGUGAGGGGGUAUAUAAAGGAUCCCCCAAAAGCUGGCAGCCGUUGGGAGGAAAAGGGCAAAAACCGGUUGAACCGGUUUUCAAACCGGUUGAACCGGUUUCUACCAGGGGGAUCCCGGUCCACUGGUCUACUCAGCCGGACACUCGACCGGUUUCAAAACCGGCUGAGUAGGAUCAAAUUUCGGCUCAACCGGUUUCAGAAAAAUAUCUGCUGCGACUUUUCUGACAGCUCUGACUGUCAGACAGGUCAGAGCAGAGGUGGCAGGAUGAACAGUACCAAAACCGGUUGAACCGGUUUCUGGACCGGUUGAACCGGUUUUGGGGGCUGAAACCAAACUUUGAGAAUUUGAAGAGAACUUAGGUGGAGACUUUGUGGGAAGUGAAAUUUGUUUUUCUCAAGAGCAUUCAUGAUCUGGAAAAGAUGAUUCUCAAAUGAGUUUUCAAAAGAAUUGAACUUGGCUCGUUUCACAACUUACUUAACCGUCGCGGAUCCCUCUUAAUUGUACGACGAUUCCUAUGAUUCAAGAAUUUUAAACUUAGUACCGCCGACGUUUCAUAGCACUUGGAGCACGCCAUUUGAUGUGGAAAUUUAAAUCCGCUGUGCUUUAUACUUUUAUGCUCGUAGGAUCUGUGCUUCUCCUGUCUGUAAAAAUACUGUGUACACACUAGGAGCAAACUUGUUAGAAUCUUAGUUUGUUUUGUCAUUAAUCACCAAAACCCUCAAUUAGGGUUGAUUGCACUUACAGGUAAGUCCGGUCAUUUUAUUGUUAAAUGUCCUAUGUCUAGUGAAAGUGACAGGGAUGACGACAAGAAAGGGAAGAAGAAGGAAAAGAAGAGGUACUACAAGAAGAAGGGCGACGAUGCCCACUUGUGUCGGGAAUGGGACUCCGACGAGAGCUCCACCGACUCCUCCUCCGACGAGGACGCCGCCAACAUCGUCGUCAACAAGGGCCUCCUCUUCCCCAACGUCGGCCGCAAGUGUUUCAUGGCGAAGGACGACAAGAAAAAGAAGGUACAAUCUAGAGCCACCCCCAAAUAUACAACAUCUAGUGAUGACGGUAGCUCUAGUGAAGAUGAAGAUGAUUUGCUUAAUCUUUUUGCCGACCUCAACAUGAAACAAAAGAAAAAGUUAAAUGAAUUAAUAGAAGCUAUUCAUGAGACGGAUGAUCUCUUGGAAAGCCAAGAGGACUUCCUUAUUAAAGAAAACAAGAAACAUGUUAAAGUGAAAAAUGUGUAUGCUCAGGAAGUAGAAAAAAUGUGAAAACCUAACCAAAGAGCUUAGCAUUUGUCAUGAUUGUAUUUCUAGCCUUAGGAAUGAAAAUGCUAGCUUAAUUUCCAAGGUUAAAGAAUUGAAUGUUUGUCAUAAUUCAAUUUCUAGUCUUAGAAAUGAGAAUGCUAGUUUAGUUUCUAAGAUUAAAGAAUUGAAUGUUUGCAAUGAUUCUAUUUCCUGUCUUAAAGAUGAAAAUGCCAUGUUAAAAUCUAAGAUAGAUGAAUUAAAUACUUGCAAACCCUCUACAUCUACUAUCGAGCAUGUUUCUAUUUGUACUAGAUGCAGAGAUGUUAAUGUUGAUGCUAUAAAUGAUCACCUUGCUCUAAUUAAACAACAAAAUGAUCAUAUAGCUCAAUUAACUGCUAAAAUUAAUGAGCAUGAAAUUGAAAAUGAAAAGUUUAAAUUUGCUAGAAGCAUGCUUUAUAAUGGGAGACGCCCUGCCAUUAAGGAUGACACUGGUUUCCAACAGGAAAGCAAUGUCAAGCUUAAUGCCUCUAAGAGAUUGUCCAACUUUGUUAAGGGCAAGGCUCCCAUGGUUCAGGAUAAUGAAGACUAUAUUUUAUAUCCUGCAAAUUAUCUUGAGCAUAAAAUUAGGAGAAUUCAUGCUAGAAAACCUCACACUGUUUCUCAUCAUGCAUUUAUGUAUAAAAAUGAGGCUUCUAGCUCUAGGCAAUCAACUCCUGUUAAAUUGCCUAAAAAGAAAACUCCUGCUGCAUAAAAUGAUCAUAACAUUUAAUUCAAAACUUUUGAUGCUUCUUAUGUGCUUACUAACAAAUCAGGCAAAGUAGUUGCCUAAUAUGUUGGGGGCAAACACAAGGCUCAAAGACUUGUGUUUGGGUACCCAAGGUGCUUGUUUCUAAUGUGAAAGGACCCAAGACUGUUUGGGUACCUAAGAACAAGGUCUAAAUUGUUUUGCAGGUUUAUGCAUCCGGGGGUUCAAGUUGGAUAAUUGAUAGCGGAUGCACAAACCACAUGACAGGGGAGAAGAGAAUGUUCUCCUCCUACGAGAAAAACCAAGAUCCCCAACGAGCUAUCAAAAUCGGGGAUGGAAAUCAAGGAUUGGUCAAAGGUUUGGGUAAAAUUGCUAUAUCCCCUGAACAUUCCAUUUCAAAUGUUUUUCUUGUAGAUUCUUUAUGUAGGAAACGGGUGACGCCUAAGAGGGGGUGAAUUAGGACUUCUAAAACUUUUACUAAACUAGGCCACAAUUAAAUCCGUAGAGCAAAACCUAUGCAAAUAGUCAAACUAGAAUGUGCAAACUAGGUUUUGUCUAAGUGUUGCUAUCUCUACCACAAUGGCUAAGUUUCAAUCUACACUAAAUAAGUAUGACUACAAGAUUGAAACUUAAAUGCUUAAUAUAAAUGCAGAAACUUAAAGAGCAAAGCAGAGAAGCAAACUCUAGUGGAUGACGCCGGUAUUUUUACCAAGGUAUCCAGAACCGCACAAGGUCCCGACUAAUCCUCGUUGGUGCCCCUACGCAAAGGGAAGCCCAGGCGAGGGCCAAGCACCUCGGUCGAGUAACUCCAUAGAGAGCCUCGGGCCUUCUCCACGCGCAAGUGGUGCUCCGCUUCCAGCUCCUCUCGGACGCUCCCCGUCGUCUCCACUAUCGAGCUUCCAGCCGAAACGCCGCGGGCCUCGUUCCCUCCGGUACACGGUGGCGGCCGUGACACAAACACGGUUGUCACGGUCUCGCAAGACACUCGCCCCACUCGGUACAAUUACAACGGCUCACGCAAGAGCUGAGGGGUUGUAAGGUUUAUGUAAACUCACUCAACAAUCUAGGGUUCACCUAGAGCAAGCGCUAAUGCAGUCUAACUAACCUAAGCACUUCGCAAAGCACCUACGCUAAUCACCGAGUGAUUAUAUUAAGCACUUGGGUGUAAGAGCACUUGGGAAUGUCUACUAUAUGCCUUGGUAUGUCUCUUGGGCUCCCACACUUGGAAAUGGCCGGUUGGGGGUGUAUUUAUAGCCCCCAACACAAAUAGAGCCAUUGGAGAAAAGCUGCUGCUUUCUGCGGCACACCGGACAGUCCAGUGGUGCACCGGACAGCGCACUGUAGCCUGUCCAGUGCGCCUAGCCGUUGCCCUGUCAAAGCAGGUGACCGUUGGCGCCGCAGGCUUUCCACACCGGACAAUCCAGACUUCACACAGGACAGUCCGGUGGUCUACUCUCCGGGUGCCACCUGGAACUAGCCGUUGGGCUGUGAUUCCCUGGUGCACCGGACAGUCCGGCGUGUGGACACCGGACAGUCCGGUGUGCCACCGGACAGUCCGGUGCUCCACGCAGAGACAGUCCGCAGGCAGCACACUUGGACUUUUCUUGGAUCUUUUUAAUGCCUUCUUUUGAGGUGUUGCUUUCCUCAAUUCCUUAGUCCAAGUUAAUCUUGCAUCCUGUGAACUACAAACACUAGAAAACUUAUUAGUUCACGGAUUGUGUUGAUCAUCAAACACCAAAACUCAAUUAGCCAAAUGGCCUGGGGUCCAUUUUCCUUACAAUCUCCCCCUUUUUGGUGAUUGAUGACAACACAACCAAAGCAAGCAAAUAAUACAAUUAUUUGAAUGACGAUAUGCUAUCUACUUGCUAGGAUGCAUGUUUGUCCCCACAAUGGACUUAAGCCUCCCCCUAACUCCAUAAUUCACUUACUUCCUAUUUUUAGACCAAAUAACCAAAACCACUUGAAAAACUAUUUUUAGAUUUAAAAUUUUAAAUUGGUGGUGUUUGGUGUUUGAUAUAGUUUUCAUUGCUUUGGUCCCUAAACUUCUCCCCCUUUGGCAUCAACCACCGGAAAGGAAGACAUUAAAAUCAUGUAGGAAGUAAAUAAAAGUUGCCCUCAAAUGAUUACUCCCCCUAAAUGAGUGUUCUCUUUUAGAGAGAAAGUUUCUCCCCUUGUUAGAGACGAAGAAAUACUCCCCCUGACAGAGAUCUUCUACUUUUAGGAAAAAGCAUGUGAAAAAUAGAGGUGCAAGACAUGAUUUGAAUAGACUAAGGAAGUAUAUAAUAUGUAAUAUUUAGCAACAAGGAAGUAUAUAAUAUGUAAUAUAGUCUAAUCAAAUAUUGGAGAAGACAUGUAAAUGAUACUAGUUGUAGUCUCAAAAGAUACCGGUUGAAAUUCAAUGGCGAGCUUGAGAGACAUGAGAGUUCUUGGAGAUUUUGCAGUGGAAGAUUGUUGUCUUUCUCCGAGGACCUCAUUUUCCUUACAAUGAGACUAUCACAUAAAAUAGACUUGAAAAGGUGUUAGUCUCAAAGUAUUAGAUUAUAGAGUAACCUCCCCCUGAAGGUGUGCAUACAAGUUUUGAAUACACUUGUAGGAGACAUGCACUUUGAUUUGAUAUCAAGAGCGACAAAUUAUCUAUAAUCCGAACUUUGGCACAUAUAAGUUAAAUGAUACAGAUUGUAGAAUAUGAGUGUUUUACCACUUGAAGAAUUCACAGUUAUCAAUUGAUGUAUCAUUUACUAUGGAGUGAUAUUGAAGCUAUGUGUCGUGCUUAAAUAAACAUUUUAAGCCAUGUAGGUUUGCUUAAGUAUAUGAAUUGAAAAAAGCAAUCCUACCAUGUGAUUUACCUACUAUGCAUAAUUUUAAAACAAAAGUAAAUACUAGGCAUGAAAGGUAAACUAGAUACAAGGUAAAUAGAUACGCAUAUCUAAAGAUAAGAAAUACAAUAAAUCUAGUUACCUUAGUCAUGGGUGGGGAAAUUUGGGUCCAAAAUAUUCACUAACCCACUUGGCAAUAAACUUGAUCCAAUAUGAUGUAUCCCAUGAUAUACAUCUCAAAUUUGCCAAGUCACCAAAUUUCCCGAUUGACCUUCGGUCCACUCACUUCCCUUUCGGGAUCCAAACCUUCUUGGUGCUUUUCAUGGUUGAAAUUAUUUCCUUUGACACCCAGAUGCGUUUGGCCCCCUUUCCUUUGUUGGCUUGCUUGUUGGCCUUGAUUGUUAUCACCUUUCCAUUCUUUUUCUUCUUGAUCAAAUAUGGUGUAGCAGCCUUUUUGUCCACCUUUUUGAUGUAGGUGUUGGAGAUUUUGCUUGAUGGCUUUUAUUUGAGCUUUUGCCUUUGCUUAUCCCCGGUCAUUGCCUUGCAUUGGAAAGACUUAUGGCCUUCCAUGUGGCAUAGCCUACAAAUCACAGUUUCUCCCUCCAUAGGCUUGUUCACUCCCGCAGUGGUGUUAUCCUGUGGAGGUCGGAUUUGUUUGGCUUUGUCUUUCUUGUCAUACAAAGCCUUGCCAAGGCGAGCCACUUCUUGCCUUAAUUGUUCAUUUUCCUUUGCAACCUCAUCCGAACAUGUUUCUACAACAAUAUUCUCAACAAGAACUUGGUUGCAGGGGUUAGAAUCAUCAACUAAAUCAAAGCAAGAAGUAGAAGCAUCUUUUUUUAAUAAUUUUAGGUAUUUCAACUAAAGAUGCUGCUGGGGUGCUACCGACAUUUUCUAGCUUAGUAGUUAGCUCAUUAUUGUGUAUGCUAAGAAUUUCCAUUUUCUCUAGCAAUUUUUCAAUAGCUUCUUGGGAGCUAGCUAACUUAGCCUUAAGUUUUUCAUUCUUUUUAAUAAGGCCAUCAUCGGUAGCAGUGGAUGGAGCACUAGACUCUAAUAGCUCAAUUUUAGUUGACACCUCACAAUUUAGGUUUGCAAAAGUUUCAAAUUUUUCUAGCAAUCCUUUGUAAUCAUUUUGGGAGCUAAUCAAGUUAUUUUUCAAAGUUUUAAGUUGAGCUUUUUGCUUAGUGCAAACAUCCUGGAAAAAUUUAACGGCUUCUGCAAGUUCAUCUACGGGGGGCUUUCCCUCACCAUUAUCAUCACUACUACUGUCAUCACUAGAGGAUGGAAUGCUCAUUUUACCUCUUGCCAUAAGGCAUUUGUGUGAUGACCGAGAUGAGAGUGAUGAGGACCGAUGGCUGUGCGUCCUUGGAGGUUCAUCUUCACUUGAAGAAUCAUCCCAAGUUCUAACACUUGUUAGCGCCUUGCCUUUGCUCCUCUCCUUUUUGGGCUCGACCAUAGUUGGACAGUUGUCCCUGAAGUCGCCCAUCUCCCUGCAUGCGAAGCACCCUCUCUUUCUUUGCUUUUUCCUGUCAAUGUUAAAGAGAAUAUCUUCAACCUGCAGGAGCACACCCAUUAGAUUAAUCUCGCGGAUUAUCCCCAUUACCUUUCCGACGCGUCGGAUUGUUUCUUCGUCCUCGGAGGAUGAUGUGCAUGGUUGAUUAUCUUCAUCAUCAUCACUUUCUUCUUCUUCCUCUUCUUCACUUGAGGAACUUGGAGUGGGAGCCUUCUUUUUGCCCUUCCUUUCAUCACAUGCAAAAGCAUAUGGCCUUGAGGAAGUUGGCUCCUCUCCCCGACACAUUUUUCGCGACAUCUCAAAAGUCGCGAUUUUCCCAAUCACAAUGGUCGGGGUCAUGUUACUCAAGUCCUCCAUGUUGUGAAGGAUGGUGAUGAUACUCCCAUAUCUUCGUUGUGGUAGCAGGGAGAUAAUCUUCCUUACAAUGUCCGCGUCACCUAGCUUAUUUAUGCCAAUAGAGUUGAGCUCAUUGAUGAUUAGAUUUAAACGAGAAUACAUGUCUCUAACAAGCUCAUCAUCUCUCAUAGCAAAAGAAUUAUACUCAUUUAAGACUAGGCAAUGUUUUUGCUCACGGACAUUUGAUGUGCCAUCAUGGAGCUCAUGCAAUUUUAGCCAAAUCUCAUUAGCAGUUUCAAGGUAAAUACUUGAUUAAAAAUAUCCAUGCUAAGAGAUUCAUACAAGCAAUUUUUGGCUCAAGCAUUUAAAUAAAUUUCUUUUUCCUCACUCGUGGUCGGUUUCUCGGGAUUCUUGGGGGGUUUCAUCCCGUCACGAGUGACUCGCCAAACACCUAGAUCAACGACAUUUAGGUAACAAGCCAUUCUAGCACUAUAAUAUGGGAAGUUAGUGCCGUCAAAGUGUGGUGGCCUAUGGGUAUCCAUCCCUUCCUCUAAAAAGCAUCGGCUCUUUUAGCGGUGAAGCUAAAGCGUUUCAAAUGAGCCAAACCAGGCUCUGAUACCACUUGUAGGAAACGGGUGACGCCUAAGAAGGGGGUGAAUUAGGACUUCUAAAACUUUUACUAAACUAGGCCACAAUUAAAUCUCUAGAGCAAAACCUAUGCAAAUAGUCAAACUAGAAUGUGCAAACUAGGUUUUGUCUAAGUGUUGCUAUCUCUAUCGCAAUGGCUAAGUUUCAAUCUACACUAAAUAAGUAUGACUACAAGAUUGAAACUUAAAUGCUUAAUAUAAAUGCGGAAACUUAAAGAGCAAAGCAGAGAAGCAAACUCUCGUGGAUGACGCCGGUAUUUUUACCGAGGUAUCCGGAACCACGCAAGGUCCCGACUAAUCCUCGUUGGUGUCCCUACGCAAAGGAAAGCCCACGCGAGGGCCAAGCACCUCGGUCCAGUAACUCCAUAGAGAGCCGCGGGCCUUCUCCACGCGCAAGUGGUGCUCCGCUUCUAGCUCCUCUCGGACGGUCCCUGCCGUCUCCACUAUCGAGCUUCUGGCCGAAACGUCGCGGGCCUUGUUCCCUCCGGUACACGGUGGCGGUCGUGACAUAAACGCGGUUGACACGGUCUCGCAAGACACUCGCCCCACUCGGUACAAUUACAACGGCUCACACAAGAGCCGAGGGGUUGUAAGGUUUAUCUAAACUCACUCAACAAUCUAGGGUUCACCUAGAGCAAGCGCUAAUGCGGUCUAACUAACCUAAGCACUUUGCAAAGCACCUACGCUAAUCACCGAGUGAUUCUAUUAAGCACUUGGGUGUAAGAGCACUUGGGAAUGCCUACUAUAUGCCUUGGUAUGUCUCUUGGGCUCCCACACUUGGAAAUGGCCGGUUGGGGGUGUAUUUAUAGCCCCCAACACAAAUAGAGCCGUUGGAGAAAAGCUGCUGCUUUCUGCGGCACACCGGACAGUCCGGUGGUGCACCGGACAGCGCAAUGUAGUCUGUCCGGUGCGCCUAGCCGUUGCCCUGUCAGAGCAGGUGACCGUUGGCAGCGCAGGCUUUCCACACCGGACAGUCCGGACUUCACACCGGACAGUCCGGUGGUCUUCUCUUCGGGUGCCACCUGGAACUAGCCAUUGGGCUGCGAUUCCCUGGUGCUCCGGACAGUCCGGCGUGUGGGCACCGGACAGUCCGGUGUGCCACCGAACAGUCCGGUGCUCCACGCACAGACAGUCCGCAGGCAGCACACUUGGACUUUUCUUGGAUCUUUUUAAUGCCUUCUUUUGAGGUGUUGCUUUCCUCAAUUCCUUAGUCCAAGUUAAUCUUGCAUCCUGUGAACUACAAACACAAACACUAGAAAACUUAUUAGUUCACGGAUUGUGUUGAUCAUCAAACACCAAAACUCAAUUACCAAAUGGCCCGGGGUCCAUUUCCUUACAAUUUAGAUUACAAUUUGCUUUCUGUUUCUCAAUUAUGCAAAAUGGGCUACAACUGUCUUUUUACAGAUGUAGGUGUUACUAUCUUUAGAAGAAGUGACGAUUCAAUAGCAUUUAAGGGAGUGUUAGAGGGUCAGCUAUAUUUAGUUGAUUUUAAUGAGAACACAGCUGAACUCAACACUUGUUUAAUUGCUAAGACUAAUAUGGGUUGGCUCUGGCAUCGCCGACUAGCUCAUCUUGGAAUGAAGAAUCUUCACAAGCUUCUAAAGGGAGAACACAUUUUGGGACUAACAAAUGUUCAUUUUGAGAAAGAUAGGAUUUGUAGCGCAUGUCAAGCAGGAAAGCAAGUUGGCUCUCAUCAUCCACACAAGAACAUCAUGACGAUCGACAGGCUGCUUGAGCUACUCCACAUGGAUUUAUUCGGCCCGAUCGCUUACAUAAGCAUCGGUGGGAGUAAGUAUUGUCUUGUAAUUGUGGAUGACUAUUCUCAUUUCACUUGGGUGUUCUUUUUGCAGGAAAAAUCACAGACCCAAGAGACCUUAAAAGGAUCCUUAAGACGGGCUCAAAAUGAGUUCGGAUUAAGGAUCAAAAGAUAGGAAGCGAUAAUGGGACGGAGUUCAAGAAUUCUCAAAUUGAAGGUUUUCUUGAGGACGGGGGCAUCAAGCAUGAGUUCUCUUCUCCCUACACACCUCAACAAAAUGGUGUAGUGGAGAGGAAGAAUAGAACUCUACUGGACAUGGCAAAUACCAUGCUUGAUGACUACAAGACACCAGACCAGUUUUGGGCCGAGGCGAUUAACACCGCCUGCUACUCCAUCAACCGGUUAUAUCUUCACCGAAUCCUCAAGAAGACAUCAUAUGAACUCCUUACCAGUAAAAAUCCCAAUGUUUCAUAUUUUAGAAUCUUUGGGAUAAAUGUUUUAUUCUUAUUAAAAGAGAUAGAAAAACUAAAUUUGCUCCUAAGGCUGUAGAAGACUUUUUACUUGGUUAUGACUCAAACACAAGGGCAUAUAGAGCCUUCAACAAAUCCACUGGAUUAGUUGAGGUUUCUUGUGACAUUGCGUUUGAUGAGACUAAUGGCUCCCAAGUGGAGCAAGUUGAUCUUGAUGAGUUAGAUGAUGAAGAGGCUUCGUGCAUCGCGCUAAGGAACAUGUCCAUUGGGGAUGUGUGUCCUAAGGAAUCCGAAGGGCCUACACAAGCACAAGAUCAAUCGUCAUCUUCCAAUCAAGCAUCUCCACCAACUCAAGAUGAGGAACAGACUCAAGAUGGUAAGGAUGAAGAUCAAGAGGAUGAGCCACCUCAAGAGGAGGACAAUGAUCAAGGGGGAGAUAAGCAAAAUGAAGACAAGGAAGAUGAUCAAGAAAUUCAGAGUCAAAGACCGCCACACCCAAGAGUCCACCAAGCAAUUCAACGAGAUCACCCCGUCAACUCCAUCCUUGGUGACAUUCAUAAAGGGGUAACCACGAGAUCUCGAAUUGCACAUUUUUGUGAACAUUACUCUUUUGUGUCCUCUAUUGAGCCAUACAUGAUUGAGGAUGCAUUAAGAGAUCCGGAUUGGGCGCUGGCAAUGCAAGAGGAGCUCAACAACUUCACAAGGAACGAGGUAUGGCAUUUAGUUCCACGUCCUAAUCAAAAUGUUGUAGGUACCAAAUGGGUAUUCCGCAACAAGCAAGAUGAGCGUGGUGUGGUGACAAGAAACAAAGCCCGACUUAUGGCCAAAGGUUAUUCACAAGUCAAAGGUUUGGAUUUUGAUAAAACUUAUGCACCCGUAGCUAGGCUUGAGUCAAUUCGUAUAUUACUUGCCUAUGCUACUUACCAUGGCUUUAAGCUCUAUCAAAUGGACAUGAAAAUUGCCUUCCUCAAUGGACCUAUCAACGAAGAGGUCUAUGUUGAGCAACCUCCCGGCUUUGAAGAUAGUGAGUACCCUAACCAUGUGUAUAAACUCUCAAAGGUGCUUUAUGGGCUCAAGCAAGCCCCAAGAGCAUGGUAUGAAUGCCUGCGAGAUUUCCUUAUCACUAAUGGCUUCAAAGUCGGUAAAGCCGAUCCUACUCUCUUUACUAAAACUGUUGCAAAAGAUUUGUUUGUAUGCCAAAUUUAUGUUGAUGAUAUCAUAUUUGGGUCUACUAACAAAUCAACUUGUGUAGAGUUUAGUAGAAUCAUGAUACAGAAAUUCGAGAUGUCAAUGAUGGGGGAGUUGAAGUAUUUCCUAGAAUUUCAAUUCAAGCAACUCAAAGAGGGCACCUUCAUCAGCCAAACAAAGUACAUUCAAGACAUACUUAAGAAGUUUGGGAUGAAGGAUAGCAAACCCAUCAAGACACCCAUGUGAACCAAUGGACAUCUCGACCUCGACACGGGAGGUAAAUCUGUAGAUCAAAAGGUAUACCAGUCAAUGACAGGAUCUCUACUCUAUUUAUGUGCAUCUCGACCGGAUAUUAUGCUUUCUGUAUGCAUGUGUGCAAGGUUCCAAGCCGAUCCUAAGGAAGUUCACCUUAGGGACGUGAAAAGAAUCAUGAGAUAUUUAGUUUACACUCCUAAGUUUGGACUUUGGUACCCCAAGGGAUCCACCUUUGAUUUAAUAGGAUAUUCUGAUGCUGAUUGGGCAAGGUGUAAAAUUGAUAGGAAGAGCACAUCAGGGACUUAUCAGUUUCUAGGGAGAUCCCUGGUGUCAUGGGCUUCAAAGAAACAAAACUCAGUAGCUCUUUCCACUGUCGAAGCCGAGUAUAUUGCCGCAGGCCAUUGUUGUGCGCAAUUACUUUGGAUGAGGCAAACCCUUAGGGACUAUGGCUACAAAUUGAGCAAAGUCCCUCUCCUAUGAGACAAUGAUAGUGCAAUAUGCAUGGCGGAUAAUCCCGUUGACCACAGCUGCACUAAGCACAUAGACAUUCGGUAUCACUUUCUGAGAGAUCACCAACAAAGGGGGGAUAUCGAAAUAGCUUAUGUAAACACCAAAGACCAACUAGCCGAUACCUUUACCAAGCCGUUAGAUGAGAAAACCUUUAGCAAACUUAGGAAUGAGCUAAAUAUACUUGAUUCUCAGAAUUUUGAUUGAAAUAUUGCACACAUUGCUCAUUUAUAUACCCUUGAUCAUGUCUCUUUCAUUUUGGUACAAAUACUUAUUUUUUUAUUCUUGUACCAAGACUACGACUAAUGUGUUAUCAAGUAUAUACUAAGUCAUAGGUUGAAAGGGAAAUGGAGUAUUCUAUGAAGACAAGGCUUCCACUCCACUCUAACGGUAUCAUUUACCCUUCGUCGUCACUCCACAACACUCUCAAAUAGGUAUAAUCCUUCACUCAUAUUUACUUGUACCAAUGGGAGAGAAAAUAUUAGGGCUCUCAAAAUCUCCGUUUUUGGCGAUUAAUGCCAAAGGGGAAAAAGUAUUAAGCCCAAAGCAAAAGGACCGCACCACCACCUAAUUUUAAAAUUUCCGAAAUAAAGUUUUUAAUUAAUAUAUAUAUUCAAAUUGGUAUCUAAUUAGUAUUUUUAAAUGUAGAUUUUCAAAAAUUGGUAUCUGUUAAAACCCUCUUGAAAACUAAGAGGAGAAUUUCAUUCAGGGGGAGUUUUGUCAAAGGAAAAGCAUUUGAAACAGGGGGAGAAAUUUCAAAUCUUGAAAAUGCUUCUUGCAAUCUUAUUCAUAUACCUUUGACUACUUGCAAAAAGGAUUUUGAAAAGAUUUUCCAAAAGAAUCUGUGAAAACAAAACAAGUGGUGUAAAUGUGGUCCAAAAUGUUAAAUAAAAGAAAUCAAUCCAUUCAAAUCUAGUGAGAUUAUCAAUUGGUUUAAUUCUAAGUAACCUAUGCACUUACCUUAUGCAAACUAGUUCAUUUCUACACUUUAUAUAUUUGCUUUGGUUUGUGUUGGCAUCAAUCACCAAAAAGGGGAAGAUUGAAAGGGAAAUAGAGUUAACCUUUUUCCACAAUUAAUUUUGGUGGUUGAAUGUCCAACACAAACAAAUGGACUAACUAGUUUGCUCUAGAAUACAUGUUUUACAGGUGCAUAAAGGUUCAACACAAACCAAUAAAUAUCCAAGUUAGGGAUCCAAUUCAAAAGAGCAAAAGAAACCAAGUGUGCUGUGGUCUGGCGUACCAGACUGUCCGGUGCACCAGGACCGUACAUAGUCCAAACAGCCACUCUCGGGUUUUCACAGGCGCGCUCCGCUAUAAUUCACCGGACUGUCCGAUGCACCAGCGGAGCAACAGCUAACUCGCGCAAUGGUCGAUUGUGACAAGUGAACGGUGCGCGAACAGUGCACGCCAGAAGUCAGAGCAGAAGUCAGAGGCGCACCGGACUGUCCGGUGCCACAAGAAGACAACAGCUCCAACGAUCGACUGCUCCCGAACCCUAACGAUUGGGUGACGUGGCGGCGCACCGGACAGCCUACAGUGCCUAUCCGGUGGCGCACCGGACUGUCCGAUGCGCCCAUCACCAGCAGCCAUCCCCCAACGUCCACUUUGGUGGGGGGCUAUUGAAAGGGAAAUGUGCCAUUGAGCCAUUUCUAAGUAUUUUGGUGAUUUAGUGUCCAACACAAGUGCCUAAGUGUUAAAUGGUAGACAAAGUACAAAUCAAGUAUAAAGGUAUGUUUCUCAGACUUAGUACAUUGUUUUAGAGACUAAUGUAUUGUGUCUAAGUGCUGGAAACAGGAAAAAUCAAGUUGAAAUUAAAGAUGGCUUUGUUCAGCCAAAGUCAGCUAUGUCUGGGUGCACCGGACAGUGUCCGGUGGUGCAUCGGACAGUGUCCGGUGCGCCAGGCUGACUCAGGCGAACUUGCUGCUCUCGGGAAGAGAUUAGCGGCGUACGACUAUAAUUCACCGGAUUGUCCGGUGAGCCAAUGGUCGGCCGGGCCAACGGUCGGCCGCGCGAUUCGCGCGAGACACGUGGCCGAGCCAACGGUCGGAAGGGGGCACCGGACUGUCCGGUGCGCCAACGGCUCCAAAGCGCCAACGGUCGGCUUCGCCAAAGAAGGAAAGAAAUCCGCACCGGACAGUGUCCGGUGGUGCACCGGACUGUCCGGUGCGCCAGGCGACAGAAGGCAAGAAUUGCCUUCCUGGAAUGCACUCAACGGCUCCUAGCUGCCUUGGGGCUAUAAAAGGGACCCCUAGGCGCAUGGAGGAGAAUACCAAGCAUUCUCUAAGCAUUCAUAAGCACCAAGACUUCGAUUCCGCGCAUUUGAUUCUUUGCGAUAGCAAUUAGAGCUCCGUUUGAGUUGUGAACUCGCUGAGUUGUGUUGUGAGCUCUUGUUGCGACUUGUGUGCGUGUUGGUACUGUGAUUUUGUGUCUUGUGUGCGUUGCUCAUCCCUCUCUUACUCCGUGCUUCUUUGUGAACAUCAAAGUGUAAGGGCGAGAGACUCCAAGUUGUGGAGAUUCCUCGCAAACGGAUAUAGUAAAGCAAAGCAAAACACCAUGGUAUUCAAGUGGGUCUUUGGACCGCUUGAGAGGGGUUGAUUGCAACCCUCGUCCGUUGGGACGCCACAACAUGGACUAGGCAAGUGUUGAACUUGGCCGAACCACGGGAAAAACCACUGUGCCAUCUCUGUGUUGAUCUCUUUGUGGUUUUCGUGUUGUGCAAACUCUCCUCUCUAGCCACUUGGCUUAACUGUGCUAACUCUAAUCAAGUUUUGUGGAUUAAGUUUUAAGUUUUCUCAGGAUCACCUAUUCACACCCCCCCUCUAGGUGCUCUCAAUUGGUAUCAGAGCUGUUCUCUUCAAGAAAUAAAGGGACUAAUCGCCCGAAGAGAUGGAUCCUAAGGGCAAGAGGAUUGUGAUCAAUGAUAAGGAGAAGGAGUCCUUCGUCAAUGAGCCGAAAGAUGACAAGCCUACCGACUCGGGCUCGGGCCACAAACGAAAAGAUGGAAAGAAGAAGAAGACGAGGCGCAUCAAGGAGAUUGUCUACUACGACGACAGCGACGAGUCCUCUUCUUCUCAAAAGGACGACGACAACGACUACGAGAAAAAGAAGAUGGUUAACUCAAACUUCUCUUUCGAUUAUUCUCGUAUUCCGCAUAGCUCAAAUGCACAUUUGCUUUCUAUUCCUCUUGGCAAACCUCCUCACUUUGAUGGAGAGGACUAUGGAUUUUGGAGCCACAAAAUGCGUAGUCACUUGUUCUCUCUCCAUCCUAGCAUAUGGGAGAUAGUAGAAAGUGGAAUGAAAUUUGAUAUCUCGGAUAGUCCUAUGUUUAUCAAUGAAAAGAUUCAUAAAAAUGCACAAGCUACUACUGUGUUGUUAGCCUCUUUGUGCAGGGACGAGUAUCAUAAGGUGAGCGGCUUGGAUAAUGCCAAGCAGAUCUGGGACACCCUCAAGAUCUCUCAUGAGGGGAACGACGUCACCAUGCUCACCAAGAUGGAGUUGGUGGAGGGCGAACUCGGGAGAUUCGCGAUGAUAAGGGGCGAGGAGCCAACCCAAACGUACAACCGGCUAAAGACCCUCGUCAACAAAAUAAGGAGCUACGGAAGCACGCGAUGGACGGACCACGACGUUGUCCGCCUAAUGCUAAGGUCCUUUACUGUUCUUGAUCCACAUCUUGUGAACAAUAUUCGUGAGAAUCCUAGGUACACCAAGAUGUCGCCCGAAGAAAUUCUUGGGAAAUUUGUAAGUGGGCGGAUGAUGAUCAAGGAGGAUAGAUACGUCGACGAUGCAUUGAAUGGCCCAAUCCAAGAACCUCAAACUAUUGCUCUCAAGGCAACAAGGAGCAAGGAGGCGCUACCUAGCAAGGUGGCGCAAGUUGAGGCGGCCAGGCUUAAUGAUGAAGAGAUGGCCCUCAUCAUCAAGCGAUUCAAGACGGCGCUAAGGGGUCGCAAGGAGCACCCCAACAAGAACAAGACGAAGGGGAAGCGCUCCUGCUUCAAAUGUGGUAAGAUUGGUCAUUUUAUCGCUAACUGCCCCGAUAAUGAUAGUGACCAGGAAAAGAAGAGUGGAAAGUGGGAAAAGAAGAAGAACUACAAGAAGGCAAAGGGCGAGGCACAUCUUGGAAAGGAGUGGGAUUCGGAUUGCUCCUCGUCCGACUCCGACAACGAAGGACUCAUCGCCACCGCCUUCAACAAGUCAUCCCUCUUCCCAAACGAGCGUCACACAUGCCUCAUGGCGAAGGAGAAGAAGGUAUGUACUCAGAAUACUACUUAUACUUCUUCAAGUGAGGAUGAGUCUAGUGAUGAUGAUGAAAUAGAUUAUUCAUGUUUAUUCAAGGGCCUAGAUAGAACCAAGAUUGAUAAAAUUAAUGAAUUAAUUGAUGCCUUGAAUGAUAAGAAUAAGUUAUUAGAAAAGCAAGAGGAUCUUUUGUAUGAAGAACAUGAUAAGUUUGUAGAGGCUCAAAAAUCCCUUGCUUUAGAAAUUAAAAGGAAUGAAAUGCUUUCUUGUGAAUUGUCUGCAUGUCAUGACUCCAUUUCUAGCUUAAAGAGCAUAAAUGAUGAUUUGAAUGCUAAGUUAGAAAUAGCAAAUAAAUCAACAUCUUGUGUAGAACAUGUUACAAUUUGCAAUAGAUGUAAAGAUUUUGAUAUUGAUGCGUGUAGUGAACACCUAGUUUCAAUUUCCAAAUUAAAUGAUGAAUUGGCUAGUCUUAAUGCCCAACUUAAGACUAGCAAGAGUGAAAUUGAUAAAAUAAAAUUUGCAAGGGAUGCCUACACGAUUGGUAGACACCCCUCAAUUAAGGAUGGUCUUGGCUUCAAGAGGGAAGUCAAGAACUUAACAAGCCAUAAGGUUCCCAUCUCAGCCAAAGAGAAAGGGAAGGCCCCUAUGGCUAGUAGUGCUCAUAAGAACCAUGCUUUCAUGUAUCAUGAUAGGAGAAAUUCUAGGAAUGCUUUUAGAAGUUAUGAUGCUUUUGAUUCUCAUGCCAUGGUUGCUUCUAGCUCUUCUAUUAUGUAUGAUAGAAAUGUUGCUAGGAAAAAUGCUAUGCCUAGAAGAAAUUUUGUUCAUGCUCCUAGGAAAGUAAUGAAUGAACCUUCUAUAAUUUAUCAUGCUUGCAAUGCUUCAUUUGCAAUUUGUAGAAAGGAUAGGAAGAUAGUUGCUAGAAAAUUAGGGGCAAAAUGUAAGGGAGACAAGACUUGCAUUUGGGUCCCUAAGACUAUUGUGACUAACCUUGCAGGACCCAACAUGAGUUGGGUACCUAAGACCCAAGCCUAAAAUUGCCUUGCAGGUUUAUGCAUCCGGGGGCUCAAGCUGGAUUAUCGACAGCGGAUGCACAAACCACAUGACGGGGGAGAAGAGGAUGUUCUCUUCCUACGUCAAGAACAAAGAUCCCCAAGAUUCAAUCAUAUUCGGUGAUGGCAACCAAGGCAAGGUGAAAGGGUUAGGAAAAAUUGCUAUUUCUUCCGAGCACUCUAUUUCUAAUGUAUUCCUAGUUGAGUCACUUGGAUAUAAUUUGUUAUCUGUAAGUCAAUUAUGUAAUAUGGGAUAUAAUUGUAUAUUCACUAAUGUAGAUGUGUUUGUCUUUAGAAGAAGUGAUGGUUCACUAGCUUUUAAGGGUGUAUUAGACGGCAAACUCUAUUUAGUUGAUUUUGCAAAAGAGGAGGCCGGUCUAGAUGCAUGCUUAAUUGCUAAGACUAGCAUGGGCUGGCUGUGGCAUCGCCGCUUAGCACAUGUGGGGAUGAAGAACCUUCACAAGCUUCUAAAGGGAGAACACGUAAUAGGUCUAACCAAUGUUACUUUCGAAAAAGAUAGACCUUGUGCAGCUUGUCAAGCAGGGAAACAGGUGGGAAGCUCUCAUCAUGCCAAAAAUGUGAUGACAACAUCAAGACCCCUGGAGUUACUUCAUAUGGACCUCUUCGGACCCGUCGCCUAUCUAAGCAUAGGAGGAAGUAAGUAUGGUCUUGUUAUAGUUGAUGAUUUUUCCCGCUUCACUUGGGUAUUCUUUUUGCAGGAUAAAUCUAAAACCCAAGGGACCCUCAAGCGCUUCCUAAGGAGAGCUCAAAACGAGUUUGAGCUCAAGGUGAAGAAGAUAAGAAGCGACAAUGGGUCCGAGUUCAAGAACCUUCAAGUGGAGGAGUAUCUCGAGGAGGAAGGAAUCAAGCACGAGUUCUCCGCUCCCUACACACCACAGCAAAAUGGUGUGGUAGAGAGGAAGAACAGGACGCUUAUAGACGUUGCGAGGACGAUGCUUGGAGAGUUCAAGACCCCCGAGUGCUUUUGGUCGGAAGCCGUGAACACGGCUUGCCACGCUAUCAACCGGGUCUACCUUCAUCGCCUCCUCAAGAAGACUUCGUAUGAGCUACUAACCGGUAACAAACCCAAUGUUUCAUAUUUUCGAGUUUUUGGGAGUAAAUGCUACAUUCUAGUAAAGAAGGGUAGGAAUUCCAAAUUUGCUCCCAAAGCCAUAGAAGGGUUUUUGUUAGGUUAUGACUCAAAUACAAAGGCGUAUAGGGUCUUCAACAAAUCAUCGGGUUUGGUUGAAGUCUCUAGCGACGUUGUAUUUGAUGAGACUAAUGGCUCUCCAAGAGAGCAAGUUGUUGAUCUUGAUGAUGUAGAUGAAGAAGACGUUCCAACGGCCACAAUGCGCACCAUGGCGAUUGGAGAUGUGAGGCCAAUGGAACAAAAGGAGCAAGAUCAACCUUCUUCCUCAACAAUGGUGCAUUCCCCAACUCAAGUCGAUGAACAGGUUCAUCAAGAGGAGGCGUGUGAUCAAGGGGGAGCACAAGUUGAUCAUGUAAUGGAGGAAGGAGCACAACCGGCACCUCCAACCCAAGUUCGAGCAAUGAUUCAAAGGGAUCAUCCCGUCGACCAGAUUUUGGGUGACACUAGCAAGGGAGUAACUACUCGGUCUCGAUUAGUUAAUUUUUGUGAGCAUUACUCCUUUGUCUCUUCUAUUGAGCCUUUCAGGGUAGAGGAGGCCUUGCUAGAUCCGGACUGGGUGUUGGCCAUGCAGGAGGAGCUCAACAACUUCAAGAGAAAUGAAGUUUGGACACUGGUGCCUCGUCCCAAGCAAAAUGUUGUGGGAACCAAGUGGGUGUUCCGCAACAAACAAGACGAGCACGGAGUGGUGACAAGGAACAAGGCACGACUUGUGGCAAAAGGUUAUGCCCAAGUCGCAGGUUUGGACUUUGAGGAGACUUUUGCUCAUGUGGCUAGGCUAGAGUCCAUUCGUAUUUUGCUAGCAUAUGCCGCUCACCAUUCUUUCAGGUUGUUCCAAAUGGAUGUGAAGAGCGCUUUCCUCAACGGGCCAAUCAAGGAGGAGGUGUACGUGGAGCAACCCCCUGGCUUCGAGGAUGAACGAUACCCCGACCACGUGUGUAAGCUCUCUAAGGCGCUCUAUGGACUUAAGCAAGCCCCAAGAGCAUGGUAUGAAUGCCUUAGAGACUUUUUAAUUGCUAAUGCUUUCAAGGUUGGGAAAGCCGAUCCAACUCUUUUUUACUAAGACUUGUGAUGGUGAUCUUUUUGUGUGCCAAAUUUAUGUCGAUGACAUAAUAUUUGGUUCCACUAAUCAAAAGUCUUGUGAAGAGUUUAGCAGGGUGAUGGCUCAAAAGUUUGAGAUGUCGAUGAUGGGCGAGUUAAGCUAUUUCCUUGGGUUCCAAGUGAGGCAACUCAAGGAUGGGACCUUCAUCUCCCAAACGAAGUACACGCAAGACUUGAUCAAGAGGUUUGGGAUGAAGGACGCCAAGCCCGCAAAGACUCCAAUGGGAACCGACGGACACACCGACCUCAACAAAGGAGGUAAGUCCGUUGAUCAAAAGGCAUGCCGGUCCAUGAUAGGGUAUUUACUUUAUUUAUGUGCUAGUAGACCGGAUAUUAUGCUUAGCGUAUGCAUGUGUGCUAGAUUUCAAUCCGAUCCGAGAGAAUGCCACUUAGUGGCGGUGAAGCGAAUUCUUAGAUAUUUAGUUGCUACGCCUUGCUUCGGGAUCUGGUAUCCAAAGGAGUCUACCUUUGACUUGAUUGGAUAUUCAGACUCCGACUAUGCUGGAUGUAAGGUCGAUAGGAAGAGUACAUCGGGGACGUGUCAAUUCUUAGGAAGGUCCCUGGUGUCAUGGAGCUCUAAGAAACAAACUUCUGUUGCCCUAUCCACCGCUGAGGCCGAGUACGUUGCCGCAGGACAGUGUUGCGCGCAACUACUUUGGAUGAGGCAAACCCUCCGGGACUUUGGCUACAAUCUGAGCAAAUUCCCACUCCUAUGUGAUAAUGAGAGUGCUAUCCGCAUGGCGGAUAAUCCUGUUGAACACAGCCGCACAAAGCACAUAGACAUCCGGCAUCACUUUUUGAGAGACCACCAGCAAAAGGGAGAUAUCAAAGUGUUUCAUGUUAGCUCCGAGAACCAGCUAGCCGAUAUCUUUAUCAAGCCUUUAGAUGAGCAGACCUUUUGCAAGUUGCGUAGUGAGCUAAAUGUCUUAGAUUCGCGGAACUUGGAUUGAUUUAUAGCAUACAUGUGUUUUAUGCCUUGAUCAUGUUCCUUAAGCAUAUUGUUGUUUAUUUAUGGUGCUCAAGUUGUGCAAACACUCCCCGGACCUCACAAGUCCACUUGCAAGUGAUGCACAUAUUUAGGGGGAGAUGUGCUACAACUUGACCCUUUGAGACUAACUGUGUGCUUGAGUGUGCUUAAUUUAGUCUCAAAGGAGGUUUGAAAGGGAAAAGGUGGACUUGGACCAUGCAAGACUUCCACUGCACUCCGAUGAAAGAGUAACUUUUCCAAGUUCAUCUUUGUACUCUUAUUGCCUUUUUACUCUUAGUUGAAGAUUUUGGUGAGGCAAUGGGGUUAAAGGGCCAAAAUUGAUCCCAUUUUGGUGCUUGAUGCCAAAGGGGGAGAAAAUAAGGCCAAAGCAAGAAAUGGAUCAGCUACCACUUGAGAAUUUUGAAAAAGUAGAGUUAGAGUUUUUGUUUGUCAAAAACCUCUUUUUUGCCUCUUAUUGUCAACAGUUGAUCUCUUGUGGGGAGAAGGCUUAAUUAUGGGAAAAGGGGGAGUUUUUGAACUCUUUGAUCAAUUUCUCUUGAAAUAUCUCUCUUUAUGUUUCAACAAGUGUGUUUGACUUAGAGAUAGGAAAUUGAGUUUGAUUUGCAAAAACAAACCAAGUGGUGGCAAAGAAUGAUCCAUAUAUGUCAAAUUUGAAUCAAAACAAUUUUGAGUUCUUAUUUGAAUUGAUUUUGCACUUGUUCUACUUGCUUUAUGUUGUGUUGGCAUAAAUCACCAAAAAGGGGGAGAUUGAAAGGGAAAUGUGCCCUUGGGCCAUUUCUAAGUAUUUUGGUGAUUUAGUGUCCAACACAAGUGCCUAAGUGUUAAAUGGUAGACAAAGUACAAAUCAAGUAUAAAGGUAUGUUUCUCAGACUUAGUACAUUGUUUUAGAGACUAAUGUAUUGUGUCUAAGUGCUGGAAACAGGAAAAAUCAAGUUGAAAUUAAAGAUGGCUUUGUUCAGCCAAAGUCAGCUAUGUCUGGGUGCACCGGAUUGUCCGGUGGUGCACCGAACAGUGACCGGUGCGCCAGGCUGACUCAGGCGAACUUGCUGCUCUCGGGAAGAGAUUAGCGGCGUACGGCUAUAAUUCACCGGACUGUCCGGUGAGCCAACGGUCGGCCGGGCCAACGGUCGGCCGCGCGAUCCGCGCGAGACACGUGGCCGAGCCAACGGUCGGAAGGGGGCACCGGACUGUCCGGUGCGCCAACGGCUCCAAAGCGCCAACGGUCGGCUUCGCCAAAGAAGGAAAGAAAUCCGCACCGGACAGUGUCCGGUGGUGCACCGGACUGUCCGGUGCGCCAGGCGAUAGAAGGCAAGAAUUGCCUUCCUGGAAUGCACUCAACGGCUCCUAGCUGCCUUGGGGCUAUAAAAGGGACCCCUAGGCGCAUGGAGGAGAAUACCAAACAUUCUCUAAGCAUUCAUAAGCACCAAGACUUCGAUUCCGCGCAUUUGAUUCUUUGCGAUAGCAAUUAGAGCUCCGUUUGAGUUGUGAACUCGCUGAGUUGUGUUGUGAGCUCUUGUUGCGACUUGUGUGCGUGUUGGUACUGUGAUUUUGUGUCUUGUGUGCGUUGUUCAUCCCUCCCUUACUCCAUGCUUCUUUGUGAACAUCAAAGUGUAAGGGCGAGAGACUCCAAGUUGUGGAGAUUUCUCGCAAACGGAUAUAGUAAAGCAAAGCAAAACAUCGUGGUAUUCAAGUGGGUCUUUGGACCGCUUGAGAGGGGUUGAUUGCAACCCUCGUCCGUUGGGACGCCACAACGUGGACUAGGCAAGUGUUGAACUUGGCCGAACCACGGGAUAAACCACUGUGCCAUCUCUGUGUUGAUCUCUUUGUGGUUUUCGUGUUGUGCAAACUCUCCUCUCUAGCCACUUGGCUUAACUGUGCUAACUCUAAUCAAGUUUUGUGGAUUAAGUUUUAAGUUUUCUUAGGAUCACCUAUUCACCCCCCCCCUCUAGGUGCUCUCAGCUAUAAAUACCCCCAACCACCACAACACCAACAACCCAAGUAUUCUGAACAUUGCAUUCAAUACAAGAGCAAUAGCCUCCACUCCAAGACACAAUCAAAGCGAUCGAUCCACUCAAAGUCCCCAAAUCAACUCUAGUGCAUUAGGACUUGUGAGAGGAUCUCUUGUGUUCCUUUGUUGCUCUUGUUUGCUUGGCUUGGACUUCUUUUUUUCUUUUCAAUUCUUACUCUCAAGUGCUUUGUAAGCAAGGCAAGAGACACCAAUUGUGUGGUGGUCCUUGCGGGGUCUAAGUCACCCGUGAGAUUAAGGAAGAAGGCUCACUCGGUAUAAGUGACCGUUUGAGAUAGGGAAAGAGUUGAAAGAGACCCGGUCUUUGUGACCACCUCAAUGGGGACUAGGUUCUUUAGAACCGAACCUCGGUAAAACAAAUCAUUGUGUUCAUCCACCUGAUUCGCUCUUGAUUUGUUUCCCCCCUCUCUCCUGGACUCGAUUUAAGUUCUAACGCUAACCCCGGCUUGUAGUUUGUGUUUUAAGUUAUAAAUUUCAUAUUACACCUAUUCACCCCCCCUCUAGGCGACUUUCACCAACAAAGGUACAGAUUCACACAAUUGUGCAUCUCUACUCUACUCGAUGCAAAUAUUUUUUAAAUGAGGUUGUGUGCUUUUUUGUUUCUCUAUGCAAAUUUCUGAAUCGGGGCGCAUUUCUUCACCUUAAUGUAAGUUUCUAUAUUUAUUGUGUAACUUCUUUACUCGUUUUUUGGUAAAUAAUAGUGGUUCUGAAGUCAACAUAGGUCUAAGUUGCUGGCAAAUGUUCCUUCUAUAUAAAUUUAAGUUUUUGCCCGCUGCACAAUGAUGACAAUUUUUCACUCCUCGUUUCUACAAAAAAAAAAUCAACACUGCAAGGAGACCAAAACCUGCACCGUGACCCCCUCGAGCACCCCGCUAUGGUGCUGCCAGCGCAGCCGCCUCGCAGGUGAGUGCCCGUGUGUUGCAUGUGGUCUGGUGGUAACACAUGUGCUCCUAACCAUACAGGUGACCUUGCUCUUCCUCGUCUAAGCGACUCGAUCACUUCUAUAUAAAUUUAAGUUUUUGCCCGCUGCACGAGAAUGACGAUUUUUUCACUCCCCGUUUCUACAGAAAAAAAUCGACACUGCAAGGAGGCCAAAGCCUACGCCGAUGACCCCCUCGAGCACCCUGCUACGGUGCUACAAGCGCAACCGCCUCACAAGUUGACGUUCCGGCGGGGCAAAGUACUGAACCCUGAAGAGAUCAGUGGUAGCACCCCAAAACGGCUCCGGUUCAUGCCUUCCAUAGCCGUGGCAGACGCGACAUCCAGGAGCAAAUGCGACAGGAUCACAAGUAGGAGGAGCGGCGACGAUGCUGUAGCGAGAGACGUGGGUGUCGAGGUCAUCGUGCUGCGUUGGUGGUAGGACGAGAAGGAGACGAAAAAGUAGGAGUCAGGGCUGUUCAACAACGUGAUCGAAUCGCUGAGGCGAGGAAGAGCAAGGUGAAGGCACUCGUCGAUGCCUUUGAGACCGACAGACCAUCAUCUCGCUGCAGAAACGAGCAAGCCUGCUGCUGCUCCAGCUAUGGCAGCAGGUGUCGUGCCAUGAGCGCUUCUUGACCUGCAGUGUGCAUGAUCACAUUUCUUGGAAUUUUGGACUUUUGUUGUUGUUAGUGACCGUAAAAGUGGCGCUUGUUGAGGUUUGCUCGUUCCCAUGUAAACUAAGUUUUCUCAUGGGAGUUUCCAUACUUUCGUAGUGCUUCCAAAAACCGAAAGUUCGUAUAGGUUUUGUGUCUGUGCAAGGCUUGGCAAGUUGGUAUUGUACUGAUAAGUGAUAAGUAAGCAAGUUACUGUAAUGAUUUAAACUAUAUUGUUUUGAAAGGAAAUGGAAAGGAUAAAGCAAAUUAAACUUUGUAUUAAGUUACCUGAUUCAUGAAAAUGGUACUAACCUUCUUCCAACGUUUUCUAUGUUUCUCAUUUCACUCGCUGCAUUUUCAGUUACAGCUACACUGCAUAUGCUGGCAGAUUUGUUCAUAUAUUACUCCUGCUGGCAUUUUCACUAUCGCAGCAGCAUCUCUACUACUAUUUGUUUUUUUCAUAUAAAUGUAUUUUAUCAUAUUGAUUCCGUAGCAACGCACGGACAUAUUCAUAGUAAAUACUUAUGUAGAGACAUUUUUAAUUUUUAUAUAUACAUAUUUAUCAUACUCUCAAAUGUGUUGUACAUAUUUUAGUUUUGCUAAACCAAUUGUUUAAAGUAUUCAAAUGGAUAGAUAAAAGGAGAAAAAAACUCUACAUAUAGAGGAUCUAAUAAUAUUCUCUAAAUUUAAAAUUUAGAGGAUUAUUUAGAUAACCUCGUUGGAGAAAUUAGAGCACAAAAAUUUUAUCUAUAAUUUAGAGUACAUGAACCUUUACAUGGUCUAUUGGAGCUAGUCUUAGAUAGCCUUAGCCCAAUAGUGUACCCUAAAGCUCUAUCCAUUUUAAUAUACGUAUGUAGAAAAUUAGAAGUAAAAUAUGUCUCUGUAUUUACAUGCAGCACGAGAUUUACGUAUAGGACGAGAUUUAUAAAACGCUACUGAACAAGAAAAAAAGAAGAGUGGACAGAUAUAAUGGAUAGAGAAAAUUGUAGCAGAUAAAGGAUUCAGAAACCAAUCCAAACGACCCUGCAAAACUUCCAAAACUUUGGCUUGUUUGGUUAUACCAAUCCAGAAGAGAAUUGGAGGGAUUUAAAUCCCCUCCUAUUCAUUUUUGACUUGGAUUGGUAUAACCGAACAUGCUCUUAGGCCUAGUUUGGGUACUCUAGUAUUGACCUCAAUCCACUUGUAUUGAGGUGUAACUUAAACUAAUUUACACCCCAAUCCAGAUCAAUACAUGUGGAUUGAGGUCAAUACUAGAGUACCCAAACAAAGCCUUAAGGGGAUAAAAAGAAACAUACUGCGUAAUUGGUUGCUCAACCGAAUACACCAGGAGUUUCGCUAAACGUCCAAGCCCACCGCGUAGACCUGCAUGCGUAGAGACGCGAGGACGGAGCUAGCUAGCCGUCAUUCGUCAAGGCCGCUGCGAGCCGUGCAAGGACAGAGCUUCGCUAGCCGUCCAGGCGCUGCGAGCCGGGCGCCCACGAACCCAGAAACCAAUCAUGCCGAUACUGAAGAUAACUAUACGACUUCCUAAAAUCAAAUUAACAAUGCCAAAAGGUUAACAUAUAGCUCUUACAGCAUUCUUGUAUUGCAGAAGGUGAAAUAGCAACAAGGUACCAAAUAAAUAGAUAAAAGUGCACAGGCUAACAGAGCUCAACAGUUCACACAAUAACAGCAACGACCACAAACAAAACUUGUAAUGAUGAAAACUAGGUAUUGCUAAAGCAGGCGCAGGAUCGCAUCAUUUCUUCUUGGCAGCAGCCUUGGUCACCUUGGCGCCGGUUGGGUCCUUCUUCUCCACACUCUUGAUAACUCCAACAGCAACCGUCUGCCUCAUGUCACGGACAGCAAACCUACCAAGGGGAGGAUACGCUGAGAAUGUCUCCACCACCAUGGGCUUGGUGGGUAUCAUCUUCACCAUACCAGCAUCACCGUUCUUCAGGAACUUUGGCUCCUUCUCAAGCUCCUUGCCAGAGCGCCUGUCGAUCUUGGUAAUGAGCUCAGCAAACUUGACAGCGAUGUGGGAGGUGUGGCAGUCCAGCACAGGGGCAUAGCCGUUGCCAAUCUGCCCAGGGUGGUUCAUGAUGAUGACCUGGGAGGUGAAGCUGGCAGCCUCCUUGGCAGGGUCAUCCUUGGAGUUGGAGGCCACAAACCCACGCUUGAGGUCCUUGACAGCAACAUUCUUCACGUUGAAGCCAACAUUGUCACCCGGAAGAGCCUCCUGAAGUGCCUCGUGGUGCAUCUCAACAGACUUCACCUCGGUAGUCAGGCCAGUUGGACCAAAGGUGACUACCAUACCAGGCUUGAUGACACCAGUCUCCACACGACCAACCGGUACAGUUCCAAUACCACCAAUCUUGUACACAUCCUGGAGGGGCAGACGCAGGGGCUUGUCUGAAGGCCUCUUGGGCUCGGUGAUCUGGUCAAGAGCCUCAAGCAGGGUUGGGCCUUUGUACCAGUCAAGGUUGGUGGACCUCUCAAUCAUGUUGUCGCCCUCAAAACCAGAAAUGGGAACAAAGGCAAUCUUAUCAGGGUUGUACCCAACUUUCUUGAGGUAGGAUGAGACUUCCUUCACAAUCUCUUCAUAACGUGCCUUGGAGUAUUUGGGAGUGGUUGCAUCCAUCUAAAAAACAGAACACCAUUACUUUGAUUAUCCACGGUACAUAGAUAGUAUAUGCUUGGAACAGAAUAAUACUAUUAGCUUAAUGGAAUAAUAAAGGACAUGAACAUCAGGCAAACUGUGGAUGUGAUACCACAGCAGUGACAACUACACAUAAAUAGGUAGAUCACCGUGUAUCGUAAUUCAUAUAUAUGUAGCCAACAUAGCAAGUCCUGGAUGUAACAAAUAAGAAGCAUAUGACAAAAUACAGAGCUAAUCAGGUAUAUGUCAAUGCAUCCUACAAUAAAACUGCAGUACCAGCACAUUAAAUAACCAUACCAAUCAAGUGAAGAUAAAUAAAUGCUUAUACACUUGUACAUACAUUACUUGUUCCAAUAACAUCUAAACAUUACUUGGAACAAUUGAGCGAGAAACUUCUAUGAAAAUUAAUGAGAAAAUAUUCUACAACAGAUCAUACUAGCAAACUAAUGAAUGCUAUUAAGUUAACUAACUACUAAAUAUGAAAGAAACAGAAGGUUAAUCGAAGCUCUAGCCACUAUAUGCAUUUCACAAAUCCUGUAUUCAACUCCAGAACUAUUAUACUAGCACCAAAUUCUGCAAAAGUAGCACAUACCAUUAUACUAGAGGCUUUUGAAACAAAAAUUCCUGAAAGCAUACCUUGUUGCAGCAGCAAAUCAUCUGCUUCACUCCAAGGGUGAACGCAAGGAGAGCAUGUUCACGGGUCUGGCCAUCCUUGGAGAUACCAGCCUCAAAACCACCAGUGGUGGAGUCAAUGAUAAGGACAGCACAGUCAGCCUGGGAGGUACCAGUGAUCAUGUUCUUGAUGAAGUCACGGUGUCCAGGGGCAUCAAUGACCGUGCAGUAGUACUUGGUGGUCUCAAACUUCCACAGAGCGAUAUCAAUGGUGAUACCUCUCUCACGCUCAGCCUUGAGCUUGUCGAGCACCCACGCGUACUUGAAGGACCGCUUGUUCAUUUCAGCAGCCUCCUUCUCGAACCUCUCGAUCACACGCUUGUCAAUGCCUCCAAGCUUGUAGAUAAGGUGUCCUGUGGUGGUCGACUUGCCAGAGUCGACAUGGCCAAUAACCACAAUGUUGAUGUGGGACUUCUCUUUACCCAUGGUUGGAGGUGAGAUUGAACUGUUAACAAGACGAAUCAACGAUUAGAAACACUAGUAAAUUAAUACUACCAGUAACGACACAAUUUAUCAGAUGGGAUCAGAAACUAGAUCUAACGUUGUCACCGGUGAGCUUGAAAAGAGCUUGAUACGCAUAAGCAGUGUAAAAAUAAAGAAGCAAAUAUUAAACAGAGCAAUCAAUGUAAUAUAAAAAAAUAAAGCAGGCAGAGAAAAUAAAGGGCAAACUAAUAAGCGUGCGCACAUAAUUUUGAGCCAGUAAGACGAAUUCAAAAUUAGGCACAACAACUCUAUAAAGCAGAUCAGGAAUUUGGUCAUAUUAUGAGGUUACAACUCUUACUGCGCAUGAACUACAAAGACAAGUAUCGGUCAAAUAGAAACUGCAGCAGCUCUACACCUCAAAAAUUCGAUCUGACUUUAUUAAGACCACGUAACACGACCGCAAGCGCAAUUAAGAAGUCGUCCAACUACGGUGGCACGGUGCGUAUGUAAUUUAUCAAAUCCAGAAGCAACUAUCCGUAAGAAUCAGGUCAUCCAAACAUGGAAGCACACAAAACCACAAAAAACUAAGAGAAUGGAGACGCAGUAGCUACAAUUAAUCGCAAACAGAAGACCGAAUCACUUCAGGCACGGGGAGGCAACAGAGCACAGCUUUCAACCACUGCCUAUCUCAUCGAGCACCUCAAGGACAAAGAUCGAGCGACAGAGGAUUAGCUACCUUGCAAGGGACAGAGGCCGAAAUGGAGGCGCAGAAGGCAGACGGCGAGUUGGGGAGGAAGGUGCUGGCCUCUAGGGUUCGGGACUUUAUAUAAGGGUGUCGGAGUGGCCGGACCAGCCCAAUCUGACUUCCGAUUUCCGAAUGGCGGCCCAGGGCCCAUAAACGGAGCGAGACAUAGUAUAUGGGAAUAUGGGAUGACUGAAUGACAUUGUUAUCUGCUCUCAAUAUUGUAUAGCACCAUUUUUAUGUAGGGAUGGCAACGAACACAUUUUACUCGUGUGCCUGCGGGUAAAAACCUUAUAGGGUGUGGGUUUAAGUGUGAGUUUGUACUCAUGGGUACGAGUACGGGUUUGAUUCACAACUCGAUGGGUUUUUUUCUCGUGGGUAUGAAAAUAUUGUACCUGUGCCCGCAAAACCGUAUACUCGCGUGUGUGUCUGUGUAGACUAUAGAGCACAUGCAUCUCAAUUUAGUGCCACCUCGAAAGCUUUGAGCGAGCGAAGCCAAUCAAAUGAUAUAAAAGAAGACUACAGGCGCCAGGGAACUCGUAGAACUUUUGGCUAAGAUCGGUACAUGUUUUUAUCAGUUUAAUAAAUAUUUAUUAUUAUGUGCUAUCGGUUUAAUAAAUAUUUAUUAUAUGACUGUGCUCGCGGGUGUACCUGCGGGUAGCGGGUUUUGGUAACAUACGCUACCCGUCGCGGGUAGCGGGUGCGGGUACGGGUUUAACAUUAAUCUCGUGGGUACGAGUUUGUAAUCUCUGUACCCGUGGGUUUUAAACCCGUUGCCAUCCCUACUUUUAUGUAUAUGCCCCGAUUUCUCUAGUUACACUUUCCCAACUCUCGUAAUUGAUUUUAUCAAGCCAUAAUUAAUUUUGGUGGUUGAUCGUCAACACAAACACAUGGACUAACUAGUUUGUCUAUAACUCAUGUGUUAUAGGUGCAUAAGGUUCAACACAAACCAAUAAAAGAUUCAAGUUAGGGACUAAAAUUGAAACGGAGCAAAGAAUUUGAGUGUGCUGUGGACUGGCGCACCGGACUGUCCAGUGUGCCACCGGACAGUGUCCGGUGCACCAGGGCCGUAUAAGUUCCAACCAGCCACUCUCGGGAAUUUAACGGUGCCCUCCGCUAUAAUUCACGGGACUGUCUGGUGUGCCACCGGACUGUCCGGUGUGCUAGCGGAGCAACGGCUAACUCGCGCAACGGUCAACUCUGACAGAAGCUACAGUGAGCAACAGUGCCGCGCAGAAGUCAGAACAGCGAAGUCAGAGGGGCAUCGGACUGUCCGGUGUGGCACCGGACUGUCCGGUGCGGCACCGAACUGUCCAGUGCCGCAAGAGGGCAAAGCUCCAACGGUCGCCCGAGCUCCGAACCCUAAUAGUUGGGUGACGUGGUGGCGCACCGGACAACGCACAGUACCUGUCCGGUGGUGCACCGGACUGUCCGGUGGCGCACCGGACUAUCCGGUGCGACCAUCGCCAGCAACCUCCCCAACGGCUACCAAAGUGGUUGGAGGCUAUAAAUACCCUCCAACCACCACAACUUCAAGCAUCCAUGUUUUCUGAAGAUCACAUUCAAUACAAGAGCUCUAGCAUUCACUCCAAGACACAAUACAAAAGAUCAAAUCCUCUCCAAGUCCCAAAUUCAUUCCAAACACUUAGUGGCUUGAGAGAGAGAGAGAGAAUUUUGUGUUCAUUUGAGUUCUUGUCGCUUGGAUUGUCUUUCUUCUUUUCCAAUUCUUAUUCUCAAGUGCUUUGUAAGCGAGGCAAGAGACACCAAGUGUGUGGUGGUCCUUGCGGGGUCUUAGUGACCCGUGAGAUUAAGGAAGAAGGCUCACUCGGUCUAAGUGAUCGUUUGAGAUAGGGAAAGGGUUGAAAUAGACCCGGUCUUUGUGACCUCCUCAACGGGGACUAGGUUCUUUGGAACCAAACCUCGGUAAAACAAAUCAUCGUGUUCACUCGCCUUAUUUCUUGGUUGAUUUGUUUUCCAUCUCUUUCCGACUUAAAUUUAAUUCUAACGCUAACCUCCGACCUUAGUGCUUGCUUAAAGUUAUAAAUUCCAGGUUUCUCCUAUUCACCCCCUUUAGGCGACUUUCAAUUGGUAUCGGAGUCUGGUGCUUCAUUAGAGUCUAACAACUCGAAGUUAUGUCGGGAUAUCACACCAAGAGGGAGAUUAUGACCGGCAACAAGUCCGCAAGCUCGGGGAGGACUCUCUCAAGGGAGUCUGGCAACAAACAUAAAGAGGAAUCCUCUUCCUCCAUCAAGUCACAUCGGAAAGGUGACAAGAAGAAAAAUAUGAAAAAGGUGGUCUAUUACGAGACCGACUCUUCGUCACCCUCCACAUCAAGCUCCGAGUCAUCCGUCGCUUCUAAGAGCCAUGAGCUCAACAAGUAUAGUAAGAUGUCUCUUCGCUAUCCCCGUAUUUCUAAGCGCGCUCCAUUACUUUCCGUUCCCCUAGUCAAACCACCAUAUUUUGAUGGUGAAGAUUAUUGUAUUGUCGGGGACCAUAAUUAGGGGUACCCUGAAGGCUCCUAAUUCUCAGCUGGUAACCCCCAUCAGCACAAAGCUGCAAAGGCCUGAUGGGUGCGAUUAAGUCAGGGAUCGGUCCAUUCGCGGGACUCGAUCACGCCUCGCCCGAGCCUAGCCUCGGGCAAGGGCAGCCGACCCCGGAGGAUCUCCGUCUCGCCCGAGGCCCCCCUCCAGCGACGAACAUACUUCUGGCUUGCCCGAGGCCCUGUCUUCGCCAAGAAGCAACCCUGACCGAAUCGUCGCGCCGACCGACCAAAUCGCAGGAGCAUUUAAUGCAAAGGUGGCCUGACACCUUUAUCCUGACGCGCGCCCUUCUGUCGAUAGAGCCGAAGUGACCGCAGUCACUUCGCCGCUCCACUGACCGACCUGACAGAAGGGCAGCGCCGCCUGCGUCGCACCGACUGCAGUGCCACUUGACAGAGUGAGGCUGACAGGCAGUCAGGCCCGACCUCAGGCACCAUAGGAAACUCCGCUCCGCCCGACCCAGGGCUCGGACUUGGGCUAAGCCCCAGAAGACGGCGAACUCCGCUCCGCCCGACCCAAGGCUCGGACUCGGGCUAAGCCCCGGAAGACGGCGAACUCCGCUCCGCCCGACCCAGGGCUCGGACUCGGGCUAAGCCCCGGAAGACGGCGAACUCCGCUCCGCCCGACCCAGGGCUCGGACUCGGGCUAAGCCCCAGAAGAUGGCGAACUCCGCUCCACCCGACCCAGGGCUCGGACUUGGGCUGAGCCCCGGAAGACGGCAAACUCCGCACCGCCCGACCCAGGGCUCAGACUUGGGCUAAGCCCCAGAAGACGGCGAACUCCGCUCCGCCCGACCCAGGGCUCGAACUUGGGCUAAGCCCCGGAAGACGGCGAACUCCGCACCGCCCGACCCAGGGCUCGGACUUGGGCUCAGCCCCAGAAGACGACGAACUCCGCUUCGCCCGACCCCAGGGCUCGGACUCAGCCCUGGCCUCAGCCGACGGUCUCCGCCUCGCCCGACCCAGGGGCUCGGACUUGACCACGGCCACGGAAGACAGACUCGACCUCGACCUCGGAGGAGCCUCCACAUCGCCCAACCUAGGGCGCGGACCGACCACGUCGACAGGAAGCGCCAUCAUUACCCUACCUAGGGCUGGAAAAUUAGCUCGAGGCUCGCGAGCCGGCUCGGGCUCGGAGCGGCUCGGCUCGGCUCGGGACGGCUCGCGAGCCUCGAACGAGCCGAGCCGAGCCUCUUCUUCGAGCUCGUUUUUACAGCGAGCCGAGCCGAGCCAGCUCGUUCCAGCUCGCGAGCCGGCUCGCGAGCCUUGCAAAAAUAAUCAAUUUAUGGAAUAAUGAUAAAUAUUAGAUAAUUUUAUGGAUAAUAGCUCAUUUUUAGUCUUUAAUGAUGAAUACAUUACAAGUUAUAAUUUAAUUUACUCAUAAUGUAGAAUGAUGAUUCUAUAUUUCAAAUUUAUAUAAUGUUAAUUCACCAAAUAAUGCAACGGUAAGUACCAGAAUAUGGCUCACGAGCCGAGCCGAGCCGGCUCGCGAGCUAAGGUCGAGCCGAGCCUCUUUUGCCAGCUCGUGAAAUGGGCGAGCCGAGCCGAGCUCGUUCAGACACCGAGCCGCACCGAGCCGAGCCGAGCCGAGCUCGGCUCGGCUCGUUUCCAGCCCUAACCCUACCCCAAGCUGACUCAGGCUACGGGGAACAAGACCGGCGUCCCAUUUGGCUCGCUCCGCCAGAUAGGCAAUGAUGGCGCCCCGCACGCUCUGUGACGACGGCGGCUCUCAGCCCCCUUACGGAAGCAAGAGGACGUCAGCAAGGACUCGACGGCCCCGACAGCUGUCCUUCCGCCAGGCUCCAGCGCUCCUCCGACGGCCAUGACACCACAUGAACCGGGUGCCAAAACCUCUCCGGCUGCCACGACGGCGUGUACUUAGGGCGCUAGCUCUCCUCCGCUAGACACGUAGCACUUUGCUACACCCCCCAUUGUACACCUGGAUCCUCUCCUUACGCCUAUAAAAGGAAGGACCAGGGCCCUCUUACAGAGGGUUGGCCGCGCGGGGACGAGGACGAGACAGGCGCUCGCGUGAGGCCGCUCGCUCCCUCUCCCGCGUGGACGCUUGUAACCCCCUACUGCAAGCGCACCCGACCUGGGCGCGGGACGAACACGAAGGCCGCGGGAUUUCCACCUCUCUCACGCCUGUCUCCGGCCACCUUUCUCCCCCUUCGCGCUCGGCCUCGCGCCGACCCAUCUGGGCUGGGGCACGCGGCGACAUUUCACUCGUCGGCCCAGGGACCCCCCGGUCUCAAAACGCCGACAGUUAGCGUGCCAGGUAGGGGCCUGCUGCGUGUUGACGAACAGCUUCCCGUCAAGCUCCAGAUGGGCAGUCUCCAGCAACCUCUCCGGCCCGGGACGGUGCUCUGUUUCGGGAGCCUUGAGUUCAUGUCCUUCGACGGCAGCUACGACAUGAUACUCCUUCCACCGCCGUGCGACGGCGACAAUGGCGGCCGACAGCCCGCCCGCCGGCGGCGGAAUCGACGACGUCUUCCCCGCGUGGUGGAAGAACAACAUUCGAGCUCACCCCGUCCUCUCCCCCGCCGACGGAGGAGGAGGCGGGGCAACCAAGGCCAAGCAGGAGGCAGCGCCUCGUCGGCUGUCGAGCGAGUCGACGGCGCCAGCGCCCCAACGGGGGGCGCGUCGGGCAUCGACCUCACGUUUGAGACGAAGACGAGCGUCGUCUCCCCGCAACACGCCGAUUCCGAGCAAAUGGACGACGCCAGCAUGCUCGCGAAAGGCUUGCUGGAUGUCACCCUCGUACCUGAGACGACGGUGCAGUCAGUCCCCGACGUGACUUCAUCACCGCCCGUCGACCAAGAGGUACCGACCGAUUCCCAUCUCACGCCCUUUGGAUUCAGCCUCGACCCGCCAAGCGGCUUCGCUUUGGCGGACGCUCUCGUAGAGGCGAGUCCAAACCCUCUGGGGUAUCGUAUGUGGUCACCCUGGGACUGGCUGACGGACGUCUCGACCUACGGGCCCUCGAGGUCCGAGGAAGAUGACGAGCCCGACUUCUGUUGGGAUUUCUCCGGACUUGGUAACCCCAGUGCCAUGCGGGACUGAAAGGGAAAUGUGCCCUUGGGCCAUUUCUAAGUAUUUUGGUGAUUGAGUGUCAACACAAGUGCUUAAAUGUGAAUCAAUACCCAUGGAUGAACAAAGUGCAAAUCUAGAGCAAAGGUAUGUUUCUAAGUCUUAGUACAUUGGUUUUGUGUACUAAUAUACUUGUCUAAGUAUUAGAAACAGGAAGAAGAAGAAGAGAAGAAAGUUGGCUGUGUACAGCCAACAGGCUGUUUCGGUCUGGGGCACCGGACUGUCCGGUGGUGCACCGGACAGUGUCCGGUGGUGCACCGGACAGUGUCCGGUGCGCCAGGCUAUCUCGGCCGAAGAGGCCGCUCUCGGGAAUUUGCUGACGGCGUACGGCUAAAAUUCACCGGACUGUCCGGUGUGCACCGGACUGUCCGGUGAGCCAACGGUCGGCCAGGACCAACGGUCGGCCGCGCGAUCAGCGCAGGACACGUGGCCGAGCCAACGGUCGGAAGGGGGCACCGGACUGUCCGGUGUGCACCGGACAUGUCCGGUGCGCCAACGGCUCCCGCAUCUGCAACGGUCGGCUUCGCCAUUUAAGGAAAGGAAUCGGGCACCGGACACUGUCCGGUGUGCACCGGACUGUCCGGUGCGCCCGACGACAGAAGGCAAAGAUGGCCUUCCAGAUUUGUUCUCAACGGCUCCUAGCUGCCUUGGGGCUAUAAAAGGGACCCCUAGGCGCAUGGAGGAUAACACCAAGCAACUCUUGAGCAUUCUUGAUCAUCCACACUCAGUCUUUGCGCAUCCGUUUGUGAUUCUAAGUGAUUCGAGCUCUGUUCUUGUGAGAAACUGUGAGAUAGUCUUUGAGCUCGAAUCUUGGCCGUGUGUGUGCGCGUUUCGCUGUGGAUUUGUGUGUGUUGCUUCCCUCCCUUACUCUGUGCUUCUUUGUGAAUCUUAAGUGUAAGGGCGAGAGACUCCAAUUUGUGGAGAUUCCUCGCAAGUGGGAUAAAGAUAAGCAAGGCAAAAUACUGUGGUAUUCAAGUGGGUCUUUGGACCGCUUGAGAGGGGUUGAUUGCAACCCUCGUCCGUUGGGACGCCACAACGUGGAGUAGGCAAGUUUUGUACUUGGCCGAACCACGGGAUAAAUCACCGUGUCUCCUCUGUGUUGAAUUCUCUGUGAUUGUCGUAUUGUGCAAGAUCUUCUCUUUAGCCACUUGGCAAUUAUUGUGCUAACCUCUAACAAGUUUUUGUGGCUAUAAGUUAAGUUUUUACAGGAUCACCUAUUCACCCCCCCCCCUCUAGGUGCUCUCAAUUGGUAUCGGAGCCGUUCUCUUCACAAAGGGACUUACCGCCCGAAGAGAUGGAUCCUAAGGGGAAGGGAAUCGUGAUCAACGACAAAGAGAAGGAAUCCUUCGUCAACGAGCCGAAGGACAACAAGCCUACCGACUCCGGCUCGAGGCAUAGACGGAAGGAAGGGAAGAAGAAGAAGACAAGGCGCAUAAAGGAGAUCAUCUACUACGACGAUAGUGAUGAGUCUACUUCUUCCCAAAAGGAUGAUGACAACGACUACAAAAAGACGGUCAAUUCGAACUUUUCAUUUGAUUAUUCUCGUAUUCAACAUAGUUCGAAUUCGCAUUUGCUUUCCAUUCCUCUUGGCAAACCUCCACACUUCGAUGGGGAGGACUACGGAUUUUGGAGUCACAAAAUGCGUAGUCACUUAUUCUCUCUCCAUCCAAGCAUAUGGGAGAUUAUGGAGAAUGGAAUGAAAUUUGAUAGCUCGGAUAGCCCUAUGCUUAUAAAUGAACAAAUUCAUAGAAAUGCACAAGCUACUACUGUUCUCUUAGCGUCUUUGUGCAGGGAAGAGUACAAUAAGGUGAGUGGCUUGGACAAUGCCAAGCAGAUAUGGGACACCCUCAAGAUCUCUCACGAGGGGAACGACAUCACCAUGCUCACCAAGAUGGAGUUGGUGGAGGGCGAGCUUGGACGAUUCGCCAUGAUAAGGGGAGAGGAGCCAACUCAAACUUACAACCGGCUCAAGACUCUUAUCAACAAAAUAAGGAGCUACGGAAGCACACGUUGGACGGAUCACGACAUCGUCCGCCUAAUGCUCAGGUCCUUUACCGUUCUUGAUCCUCAUCUCGUGAACAAUAUUCGUGAGAAUCCCAGGUACACGAUGAUGACGCCCGAGGAAGUACUUGGAAAAUUCGUGAGCGGGCGGAUGAGAUCAAGGAGGCAAGAUACGCCGACGACGCGUUGAACGGUCCACUCCAUGAGCCUCAACCCAUUGCUCUAAAGGCAACGAGGAGCAAGGAGUCGCUACCUAGCAAGGUGGCGCAAGUUGAGGCGGCCGGGCUCAAUGAUGAAGAGAUGGCUCUCAUCAUCAAGAGAUUCAAGACGGCGCUAAAAGGUCGAAAGGGACAGCCAAGCAAGGCCAAGACCAAGGGAAAGCGAUCAUGCUUCAAAUGCGGUAAGCUUGGUCAUUUUAUUGCUAACUGUCCCGAAAAUGAUAGUGACCAGGAGCAAGGGAAAAAUGGGAAGAGAGAGAACAAGAAGGUUUACAAGAAGGCCAAAGGCGAAGCACACCUUGGAAAGGAGUGGGAUUCGGAUUGCUCUUCGUCCGACUCCGACGACGAAGGACUCGCCGCCACUGCCUUCAACAAAUCGGCUCUCUUCCCCAACGAGCAUCACACUUGCCUCAUGGCAAGGGAAAAGAAGGUAAUCACUCGUAAUGCUAAUACUUAUGAUUCUUCUAGUGAUGAUGAAUCUAGUGAGGAUGAAAUUGAUUACUCUAGUUUAUUCAAGGGAUUGGAUAGAACUAAGAUAGCUAAGAUUAAUGAGUUGAUCGAUGCCUUAAAUGAAAAGGAUAGAACCUUAGAGAAACAAGAAGACCUCUUAUAUGAAGAACAUGAUAAAUUUGUUAGUGCACAAAAUUCACUUGCUCUAGAAGUUAAAAGAAAUGGAAUACUUUCUUGUGAACUUUCUACUUGUAAUGAAACCAUUUCUUCUUUAAAAGGUGAAAUUAACGAUUUAACUGCUAAACUAGAAGUAGCAAGUAACUCGUAUGUUGAAAAUAUUACAAUUUGCACUAGGUGUAAGGAUUUUGAUGUUAAUGCUUGUAGUGAACACUUAGUUUCAAUUUCAAAACUAAAUGAUGAAGUGGCUAGUCUUAAUGCUCAACUUAAGACUAGCAAGAGUGAAGUUGAUAAAAUAAAAUUUGCAAGGGAUGCCUACACAGUGGGUAGACACCCCUCAAUUAAGGAUGGUCUUGGCUUCAAGAGAGAAGCCAAGAACUUAACAAGCCAUAAGACUCCUAUCUCCACCAAGGAGAAAGGGAAGGCUCCUAUGGCUAAUAGUGUUAAGAAGAAUCAUGCUUUCAUGUACUAUGAUAGGAGAUACUCUAGAAAUGCUUUUAGAAGUAAUGAUGUUUUUGAUUCACAUGCUUAUGACUCUUAUGCUAUGACUGCUUCUAGUUCUCAUGUUAUGCAUGGUAGAAAUGUGUUUAGAAGAAAUGUUGUUCACCAAAUGCCUAGGAGAAAUGUAGUUCAUAAUGCUCCUAGGAAAGUAGUGAAUGAACCUUCCGAAAUUUAUUGUGCUCUAAAUGCUUCCUUUGCUAUUUGUAGAAAGGAUAAGAAAAUUGUUGCUAGGAAGUUAGGGGCAAGAUGCAAGGGAGAUAAAACUUGCAUUUGGGUCCCUAAGAAUAUUUGUGCUAACCUUAUAGGACCCAACAUGAGUUGGGUACCUAAGUCCCAAGCCUAAAUUUGCCUUGCAGGUUUAUGCAUCCGGGGGUUCAAGCUGGAUUAUUGAUAGCGGAUGCACAAACCAUAUGACGGGGGAGAAGAAGAUGUUCACCUCCUACGUCAAGAAUAAGGAUUCCCAAGAUUCAAUUAUAUUCGGUGAUGGGAAUCAAGGCAAGGUAAAAGGGUUAGGUAAAAUUGCGAUUUCUAAUGAGCAUUCUAUCUCUAAUGUAUUUUUAGUAGAGAGUCUUGGAUAUAAUUUGCUAUCUGUUAGUCAAUUAUGUCAUAUGGGGUAUAAUUGUCUAUUUACAAAUGUAGAUGUGUCUGUCUUUAGAAGAAGUGAUGGUUCACUAGCUUUUAAGGGUGUAUUAGACGGCAAACUUUAUUUAGUUGAUUUUGCAAAAGAAGAGGCCGGUCUAGAUGCAUGCUUAAUAGCUAAGACUAGCAUGGGCUGGCUGUGGCAUCGCCGCUUAGCACAUGUGGGGAUGAAGAACCUUCACAAGCUUCUAAAGGGAGAACACGUGAUAGGUUUGACUAACGUGCAUUUCGAAAAAGAUAGACCUUGUGCAGCUUGUCAAGCAGGUAAACAAGUGGGAGGAGCGCAUCACAGCAAGAACGUGAUGACCACUUCAAGACCCCUGGAGCUGCUGCAUAUGGACCUCUUCGGACCUGUCGCCUAUCUGAGCAUAGGAGGGAGUAAGUAUGGUUUAGUUAUUGUUGAUGAUUUUUCCCGCUUCACUUGGGUGUUCUUUUUGCAGGAUAAGUCUGAAACCCAAGUGACCCUCAAGCGCUUCCUCAGGAGAGCUCAAAAUGAGUUUGAGCUCAAGGUGAAGAAGAUAAGGAGCGACAACGGGUCCGAAUUCAAGAACCUUCAAAUGGAGGAAUUCCUUGAAGAGGAAGGGAUCAAGCACGAGUUCUCCGCUCCCUACACACCACAGCAAAAUGGUGUGGUAGAGAGGAAGAACAGGACGCUAAUCGAUAUGGCGAGGACAAUGCUUGGAGAAUUCAAGACCCCCGAGUGUUUCUGGUCGGAAGCCGUGAACACGGCUUGCCACGCCAUCAACAGGGUCUACCUCCAUCGCCUCCUCAAGAAGACUUCGUAUGAGCUUCUAACCGGUAACAAACCCAAUGUAUCUUACUUUCGUGUAUUUGGGAGCAAGUGCUACAUUCUAGUGAAGAAAGGUAGAAAUUCUAAGUUUGCUCCCAAAGCUGUAGAAGGGUUUUUGUUAGGUUAUGACUCAAAUACAAAGGCGUAUAGAGUCUUCAACAAAUCAUUGGGUUUGGUUGAAGUCUCUAGCGACGUUGUAUUUGAUGAGACUAAUGGCUCUCCAAGAGAGCAAGUUGUUGAUUGUGAUGAUGUAGAUGAAGAAGAUGUUCCGACGGCCGCUAUACGGACCAUGGCGAUUGGAGAAGUACGGCCACAGGAACAAGAUGAACGAGAUCAACCUUCUUCCUCAACUAUGGUGCAUCCCCCAACCGAAGAUGACGAACAGGUACCUCAAGUGGAGGCGCUUGAUCAAGGGGGAGCACAAGAUGAUCAAGUGAUGGAGGAAGAAGCGCAACCGGCACCUCCAACCCAAGUUCGAGCGAUGAUUCAAAGGGAUCAUCCCGUCGAUCAAAUUCUGGGUGACAUUAGCAAGGGAGUAACUACUCGAUCUCGAUUAGUUAAUUUUUGUGAGCAUUACUCCUUUGUCUCUUCUAUUGAGCCUUUCAGGGUAGAGGAGGCCUUGCUAGAUCCGGAUUGGGUAUUGGCCAUGCAGGAGGAGCUCAACAACUUCAAGCGCAAUGAAGUUUGGACACUGGUGCCUCGUCCGAAGCAAAAUGUUGUGGGAACCAAGUGGGUGUUCCGCAACAAACAGGACGAGCACGGGGUGGUGACGAGGAACAAGGCUCGACUUGUGGCAAAAGGUUAUGCCCAAGUCGCAGGUUUGGACUUUGAGGAGACUUUCGCUCCUGUAGCUAGGCUAGAGUCCAUUCGUAUCUUGCUAGCAUAUGCCGCUCACCAUUCUUUCAGGUUGUACCAAAUGGAUGUGAAGAGCGCUUUCCUCAACGGGCCAAUCAAGGAGGAAGUGUACGUGGAGCAACCCCCUGGCUUCGAGGAUGAACGGUACCCCGACCACGUGUGUAAGCUCUCUAAGGCGCUCUAUGGACUUAAGCAAGCCCCAAGAGCAUGGUAUGAAUGCCUUAGAGACUUUUUAAUUGCUAAUGCUUUCAAGGUUGGGAAAGCCGAUCCAACUCUUUUUACAAAGACAUGUGAUGGUGAUUUGUUUGUGUGCCAAAUUUAUGUCGAUGACAUAAUAUUUGGUUCUACUAACCAAAAGUCUUGUGAAGAGUUUAGCAGGGUGAUGACACAGAAAUUCGAGAUGUCGAUGAUGGGCGAGUUGAACUACUUCCUUGGGUUCCAAGUGAAGCAACUCAAGGACGGCACCUUCAUCUCCCAAACGAAGUACACGCAAGAUCUGCUAAAGCGGUUUGGGAUGAAGGACGCCAAGCCCGCAAAGACUCCGAUGGGGACCGGCGGACACACCGACCUCAACAAAGGAGGUAAGUCCGUUGAUCAAAAAGCAUACCGGUCAAUGAUAGGUUCUUUGCUUUACUUAUGUGCUAGUAGACCGGAUAUUAUGCUUAGCGUAUGCAUGUGUGCUAGAUUUCAAUCCGAACCUAAGGAGUGUCACUUAGUGGCGGUGAAGCGAAUUCUUAGAUAUUUGGUUGCUACGCCUUGCUUCGGGCUCUGGUAUCCAAAGGGGUCUACCUUUGACUUAGUUGGAUACUCAGACUCCGACUAUGCUGGAUGUAAGGUCGAUAGGAAGAGUACAUCGGGGACGUGCCAAUUCUUAGGAAGGUCCCUGGUGUCAUGGAACUCUAAGAAACAAAUAUCCGUUGCCCUAUCCACCGCUGAGGCCGAGUACGUUGCCGCAGGUCAGUGUUGCGCGCAACUACUUUGGAUGAGGCAAACCCUCCGGGACUUUGGCUACAAUCUGAGCAAAGUCCCACUCCUAUGUGACAAUGAGAGUGCUAUCCGCAUGGCGGAGAAUCCUGUUGAGCACAGCCGCACAAAGCACAUAGACAUCCGGCAUCACUUUUUGAGAGACCACCAGCAAAAGGGAGAUAUCGAAGUGUUUCAUGUUAGCACCGAGAACCAGCUAGCCGAUAUCUUCACUAAGCCUCUAGAUGAGAAGACCUUUUGCAGGUUGCGUAGUGAGCUAAAUGUCAUAGAUUCGCGGAACCUGGAUUGAAUUGUAGCAUACAUGUACUUAUGCUUUUGAUCAUGUUCCUUUUUGCAUUUUGUUGCUUAUUAUGGUGCUCAAGUUGUACCAACACUCCCUGGACCUCACAAGUCCGUUGCAAAGUGAUGCACAUGUUUAGGGGGAGAUGUGUUACAACUUGACCCUUUGAGACUAACCAUGUGCUUGAGUUUGAUAAUUUAGUCUCGAAGGAGGAUUGAAAGGGAAAAGGUGGACUUGGACCAUGAAAGACUUCCACUGCACUCCGAUGAGAGGGUAACUAAUUCCAAGUUCAUCUCAUGAAAUCUUAUUGCCAUUUGCUCUUAAUUGAAGACUUUGGUGAGGCAAUGGGGUUAAAAGGCCAAGAUUGAUCCCGUUUUGGUGCUUCAUGCCAAAGGGGGAGAAAAUAAAGGCCAAAGUGAUAAAUGGAUCAGCUACCACUUGAGAGAUUUUGAAAAUAGUAGAAUAGAGUUUUUGUUGUGUCAAAAGGCUUUUAUUAUCUCGUAUUGUCUCUAUUGUCAAAAGUUGGCUUCUUGUGGGGAGAAGUGUUGAUUAUGGGAAAUAGGGGGAGUUUUUGAAAUCUUUGAUCAAUCUCUUUUGGAAUGACUCUCUUUAUGCCUCAACAUGUGUGUUUGACAUAGAAAUAGAAAUUUGAGUUUGAUUUGCAAAAACAAACCAAGUGGUGGCAAAUGAUGAUCCAUAUAUGCCAAAAUUGAAUCAAAACCAAUUUGAGCUUUUAUUUGAAGUGAUUUUGCACUUGUUCUAGUUGCUUUAUGUUGUGUUGGCAUAAAUCACCAAAAAGGGGGAGAUUGAAAGGGAAAUGUGCCCUUGGGCCAUUUCUAAGUAUUUUGGUGAUUGAGUGUCAACACAAGUGCUUAAAUGUGAAUCAAUACCCAUGGAUGAACAAAGUGCAAAUCUAGAGCAAAGGUAUGUUUCUAAGUCUUAGUACAUUGGUUUUGUGUACUAAUAUACUUGUCUAAGUAUUAGAAACAGGAAGAAGAAGAAGAGAAGAAAGUUGGCUGUGUACAGCCAACAGGCUGUUUCGGUCUGGGGCACCGGACUGUCCGGUGGUGCACCGGACAGUGUCCGGUGUGCCAGGCUAUCUCGGCCGAAGAGGCCGCUCUCGGGAAUUUGCUGACGGCGUACGGCUAAAAUUCACCGGACUGUCCGGUGUGCACCGGACUGUCCGGUGAGCCAACGGUCGGCCAGGACCAACGGUCGGCCGCGCGAUCAGCGCAGGACACGUGGCCGAGCCAACGGUCGGAAGGGGGCACCGGACUGUCCGGUGUGCACCGGACAUGUCCGGUGCGCCAACGGCUCCCGCAUCUGCAACGGUCGGCUUCGCCAUUUAAGGAAAGGAAUCGGGCACCGGACACUGUCCGGUGUGCACCGGACUGUCCGGUGCGCCCGACGACAGAAGGCAAAGAUGGCCUUCCAGAUUUGUUCUCAACGGCUCCUAGCUGCCUUGGGGCUAUAAAAGGGACCCCUAGGCGCAUGGAGGAUAACACCAAGCAACUCUUGAGCAUUCUUGAUCAUCCACACUCAGUCUUUGCGCAUCCGUUUGUGAUUCUAAGUGAUUCGAGCUCUGUUCUUGUGAGAAACUGUGAGAUAGUCUUUGAGCUCGAAUCUUGGCCGUGUGUGUGCGCGUUUCGCUGUGGAUUUGUGUGUGUUGCUUCCCUCCCUUACUCCGUGCUUCUUUGUGAAUCUUAAGUGUAAGGGCGAGAGACUCCAAUUUGUGGAGAUUCCUCGCAAGUGGGAUAAAGAUAAGCAAGGCAAAAUACUGUGGUAUUCAAGUGGGUCUUUGGACCGCUUGAGAGGGGUUGAUUGCAACCCUCGUCCGUUGGGACGCCACAACGUGGAGUAGGCAAGUUUUGUACUUGGCCGAACCACGGGAUAAAUCACCGUGUCUCCUCUGUGUUGAAUUCUCUGUGAUUGUCGUAUUGUGCAAGAUCUUCUCUUUAGCCACUUGGAAAUUAUUGUGCUAACCUCUAACAAGUUUUUGUGGCUAUAAGUUAAGUUUUUACAGGAUCACCUAUUCACCCCCCCCUCUAGGUGCUCUCAGGGACUUCAUGACCACAUGCAACUACUGCCUUUCCGACUGUUCCGACGGUAGCCGCAGCCUCGGCGACGAGGACUGCGGCCCAAGCCGCGAAUGUUUCCACGUCGAUCUAGGGGGUCCCUCCGAAGGCAACCAUCUCGGUAUGCCAGAGAACGGUGAUCUCCCUAGGCCUGCGCCUCGCGUUGACAUCCUACGGGAGCUAGCUGUGGUCCUCAUUCAGGCGGGGGGCCAUGACCCACAGCUCGAGCAAAUCCGCGGGGUGCAGGCCAGGCUCGACGAGGGAGCAGGAGCGCUUGAGCCGAUCCGCCUGGACGUCGGGCAGGAAUGGGCGGGCCAACCUCUGGCGGAGAAAUGCGUCAUCUACCCCAGGGCUUCCAGCACCGCAUCGCCGACAAUGUCAGGAUGAGGCCGCCACCCGCUUCCAGUGGGGUCGGCCAGAACCUGGUCGCGGCGGCAAUGCUUCUCCACGCGAUGCCGGAGCCAUCGACCACCGAGGGGCGGCGAAUCCAGGGAGAACUCAAGAAUCUCCUGGAGGGCGCCGCGGUCCAGCGGGCCGAAAGCUCCGCCUCCCGAAGGCAGGGGCACCCCUCGGAACAUCAUGCCGCGACUUCCCGAUUCAUGCAGGAAGCCUCAGUCCACACCGGGCGCACGCGCAACACAGCGCCUGCGGCCUCGGGUCGCCCCGGCAACGAGCACCAUCACCACGACCGUCGGGCCCACCUCGACGAGAGGGUGCGCCGAGGCUACCACCCCAGGCGUGGGGGACGCUACAACAGCGGGGAGGAUCAGAGUCCCUCGCCCGAACCACCCGGUCCGCAGGCUUUCAGCCGGGCCAUACGACGGGCGCCGUUCUCGACCCGGUUCCGACCCCCGACUACUAUCACAAAGUACUCGGGGGAGACGAGACCGGAGCUGUGGCUCGCGGACUACCGGCUGGCCUGCCAACUGGGUGGAACAGACGAUGACAACCUCAUCAUCCGCAACCUCCCCCUGUUCCUCUCCGACACCGCUCGCGCCUGGUUGGAGCACCUGCCUCCGGGGCAGAUCUCCAACUGGGACGACCUGGUCCAAGCCUUCGCCGACAAUUUCCAGGGCACGUACGUGCACCCUGGGAAUUCCUGGGACCUCCGAAGCUGCCGACAGCAGCCGGGAGAGUCUCUCCGGGACUACAUCCGACGAUUCUUGAAGCAGCGCACCGAGCUGCCCAACAUCACCGACUCGGAUGUCAUCGGCGCGUUCCUCGCCGGCACCACCUGCCGCGACCUGGUGAGCAAGUUGGGUCGCAAGACCCCCACCAGGGCGAGCGAGCUGAUGGACAUCGCCACCAAGUUCGCCUCUAGCCAGGAGGCGGUCGAGGCUAUCUUCCGGAAGGAUAAGCAGCCCCAGGGCCGCCCACCGGAAGAUGCCCCCGAGGCGUCAACUCAGCGCGGCACCAAGAAGAAGGGCAAGAAGAAGUCGCAAGCGAAACGCGACGCCGCCGACGUGGACCUUGUCGCUGCCGCCGAGUACAAGAACCCUCGGAAACCCCCCGGAGGUGCCAACCUCUUCGACAAGAUGCUCAAGGAGCCGUGCCCCUAUCACCAAGGGCCCGUCAAGCACACCCUUGAGGAGUGCGCCAUGCUUCGGCGCCACUUCCACAGGGCCGAGCCACCCGCGGAGGGUGGCAGGGCUCGCGACGACGACAAGAAGGAAGAUCACCAGGCAGGAGAGUUCCCCGAGGUCCGCGACUGCUUCAUGAUCUACGGUGGGCAAGCGGCGAACGCCUCGGCUCGGCACCGUAAGCAAGAGCGUCGGGAGGUCUGUUCGGUGAAGGUGGCGGCGCCAGUCUACCUAGACUGGUCUGACAAGCCCAUCACCUUCGACCAAGCCGACCACCCCGACCACGUGCCGAGCCCGGGGAAAUACCCGCUCGUUGUCGACCCCGUCAUCGGCGACGUCAGGCUCACCAAGGUCCUCAUGGACGGAGGCAGCAGCCUCAACAUCAUCUACGCCGAGACCCUCGGGCUCCUGCGUGUCGAUCUGUCCUCGGUCCGGGCAGGCGCUGCGCCUUUCCAUGGGAUCAUCCCCGGGAAGCGCGUCCAGCCCCUCGGACAACUCGACCUUCCCGUCUGCUUCGGAACACCCUCCAACUUCCGAAGGGAGACCCUGACGUUCGAGGUGGUCGGGUUCCGAGGAACCUACCACGCGGUACUGGGAAGGCCAUGCUAUGCGAAGUUCAUGGUCGUCCCCAACUACACCUACCUCAAGCUCAAGAUGUCGGGCCCCAACGGGGUCAUCACCGUCGGCCCCACAUACAAACACACGUUCGAAUGCGACGUGGAGUGCGUGGAGUACGCCGAGGCCCUCAUCGCCGACCUGGAGAGCCUCUCUAAGGAGGUGCCGGACGUGAAGCGUCAUGCCGGCAACUUUGAGCCAGCGGAGACGGUUAAGUCCGUCCCCCUCGACCCCAGCAGCGACGCCUCCAAGCAGAUCCGGAUCGGCUCCGAGCUCGAUCCCAAAUAGGAAGCAGUGCUCGUCGACUUUCUCCGCGCGACUGCCGACGUCUUCGCGUGGAGUCCCUCGGACAUGCCUGGCAUACCGAGGGAUGUCGCCGAGCACUCGCUAGACAUCCGAGCCGGAGCCCGACCCGUCAAGCAGCCUCUGCGCCGAUUCGACGAAGAGAAGCGCAGAGCCAUAGGCGAGGAGAUCCACAAGCUAAUGGCAGCAGGGUUCAUCAAAGAGGUAUUCCAUCCCGAAUGGCUUGCCAACCCUGUGCUUGUGAGAAAGAAAGGAGGGAAAUGGCAGAUGUGUGUAGACUACACUGGUCUAAACAAAGCAUGUCCGAAGGUUCCCUACCCUCUGCCUCGCAUCGAUCAAAUCGUGGAUUCCACUGCUGGGUGCGAAACCCUGUCUUUCCUCGAUGCCUACUCCGGGUAUCACCAAAUCAGGAUGAAGGAGUCCGACCAGCUCGCGACUUCUUUCAUCACGCCCUUCGGCAUGUACUGCUAUGUCACCAUGCCGUUCGGCUUGAGGAAUGCGGGCGCGACGUACCAGCGGUGCAUGAACCAUGUGUUCGGCCAACACAUUGGCCGGACGGUCGAGGCCUACGUCGAUGACAUCGUAGUCAAGACGAGGAAAGCCUCUGACCUCCUUUCCGACCUUGAAGUGACAUUCCGAUGUCUCAAGGCGAAAGGCGUGAAGCUCAAUCCCGAAAAGUGUGUCUUCGGGGUGCCCCGAGGCAUGCUCUUGGGGUUCAUCGUCUUCGAGCGGGGCAUCGAAGCCAACCCAGAGAAGAUCGCAGCCAUCACCAGCAUGGGGCCCAUCAAGGACUUAAAAGGCAUACAGAGAGUCAUGGGAUGUCUCGCGGCUCUGAGCCGCUUCAUCUCACGCCUCGGCGAAAGAGGUCUACCUUUGUACCGCCUCUUAAGGAAGGCCGAGUGCUUCACUUGGACCCCUGAGGCCGAGGAAGCCCUCGGGAACCUGAAGGCGCUCCUCACGAAUGCGCCUAUCUUGGUGCCCCCAGCUGCCGGAGAAGCCCUCCUGAUCUACGUCGCCGCGACCACUCAGGUGGUUAGCGCCGCGAUUGUGGUCGAGAGGCAAGAAGAGGGGCAUGCAUUGCCCGUUGAGAGGCCAGUCUACUUCGUCAGCGAGGUACUGUCCGAGACCAAGAUUUGCUACCCACAAGUUCAGAAGCUGCUGUACGCGGUGAUCCUGACGCGGCGGAAGCUGCGACACUACUUCGAGUCUCAUCCGGUAACUGUGGUGUCAUCCUUCCCCCUAGGGGAGAUCAUCCAGUGCCGAGAGGCCUCGGGUAGAAUCGCAAAGUGGGCGGUGGAAAUCAUGGGCGAAGCAAUCUCGUUCGCCCCUCGGAAGGCCAUCAAGUCCCAGGUCCUGGCGGACUUCGUGGCUGAAUGGGUCGACACCCAGCUCCCAACAGCUCCGAUCCAGCCAGAGCUUUGGACCAUGUUCUUUGAUGGGUCGUUGAUGAAGACAGGAGCCGGCGCAGGCCUACUCUUCAUCUCGCCCCUCGGGAAGCACCUACGCUACGUGCUACGCCUCCAUUUCCCGGCGUCCAACAAUGUGACUGAGUACGAGGCUCUGGUCAACGGGUUGCGGAUCGCCAUCGAGCUAGGGGUCCGAUGCCUCGACGCUCACGGUGACUCGCAGCUCGUCAUCGACCGAGUCAUGAAGAACUCCCACUGCCGCGACCCAAAGAUGGAGGCCUACUGCGAUGAGGUUUGGCGCCUGGAAGACAAAUUCUACGGGCUCGAGCUCAACCACAUCGCCCGGCGCUACAACGAGACUGCGGACGAGCUGGCUAAAAUAGCCUCGGGGCGAACAACGGUUCCCCCGGACGUCUUCUCCCGAGACCUGCAUCAACCCUCCAUCAAGAUCGACGACACGCCCGAGCCCAAGGCACCCUCGGCCCAGCCCGAGGUACCCUCGGCUCAGUCCGAGGCAUCUUCAGCACGACCCGAGGCACCCUCGGUCCGGCCCGAGCCACCCUCGGUUCAGCCCGAGGCACCCUCGGCACCCGAGGGUGAGGCACUGCGCGUCGAGGAGGAGCGAAGCGGGGGCACGCCUAAUCAAAACUGGCGGACCCCGCAUCUGCAAUAUCUCCACCGUGGAGAGCUACCCCUCGACCGAGCCGAAGCUCGGCGGUUGGCGCGGCGUGCCAAGUCGUUCGUCUUGCUGGGAGAUGAGAAGGAGCUCUACCACCGCAGCCCCUCGGGCAUCCUCCAGUGAUGCAUCUCCAUCACCGAAGGUCAGGAACUCCUACGAGAGAUACACUCGGGGGCUUGCGGCCAUCACGCAGCACCUCGAGCCCUUGUCGGAAACACUUUCCGGCAAGGUUUCUACUGGCCGACAGCGGUGGCCGACGCCACUAGAAUUGUCCGCACCUGCGAAGGGUGUCAGUUCUACGCAAGGCAGACCCACCUACCUGCUCAGGCUCUGCAAACCAUACCCAUCACCUGGCCUUUUGCCGUGUGGGGUCUGGACCUCGUCGGCCCCUUGCAGAAGGCACCCGGGGGCUACACGCACCUGUUGGUCGCCAUCGACAAAUUCUCCAAGUGGAUCGAGGUCCGACCCCUAAACAGCAUCAGGUCUGAGCAGGCGGUGGCAUUCUUCACCAACAUCAUCCAUCGUUUCGGGGUCCCGAACUCCAUCAUCACCGACAACGACACCCAGUUCACCGGCAGAAAGUUCCUGGACUUCUGCGAGGACCACCACAUCCGGGUGGACUGGGCCGCCGUGGCUCACCCCAUGACGAAUGGGCAAGUAGAGCGUGCCAACGACAUGAUUCUACAAGGACUCAAGCCUCGGAUCUACAAUGACCUCAACAAGUUCGGCAAGCGAUGGAUGAAGGAACUCCCCUCGGUGGUCUGGAGCCUGAGGACAACGCCGAGCCGAGCCACGGGCUUCACGCCGUUCUUUCUAGUCUAUGGGGCCGAGGCCAUCUUGCCCACAGACUUAGAAUACGGUUCCCCGAGGACGAGGGCCUAUGCUGACCAAAGCAACCAAGCUAGUCGAGAAGACUCGCUGGACCAGCUGGAACAGGCUCGGGACAAGGCCUUACUACACUCGGCGCGGUACCAGCAGUCCCUGCGACGCUACCACGCCCGAGGGGUCCGGACCCGAGACCUCCAGGCGGGCGACCUGGUGCUUCGGCUGCGACAAGACGCCCGAGGGCGGCACAAGCUCACGCCCCCCUGGGAGGGGCCGUUCAUCAUCGCCAAAGUUCUGAAGCCCGAAACGUACAAGCUGGCCAACAGUCAAGGCGAGGUCUACAGCAACGCUUGGAACAUCCAACAGCUACGUCGCUUCUACCCUUAAGAUGUUUUCAAGUUGUUCAUAUACCUCGCUCCCACGCAAAGUUUAGUCAUCAAGGAAGGGUCGGCUUGCCUCGGCAAAGCCCGACCCUCCCUCGGGGGCUAAAAGGGGGGAACCCCCUCUGCGUCGAAUUUUUUCCUCGAAAAAAAGAUCCUUUCUGCCAGAAUAUCUUUCGUGCUUUUCGACUACUUCGAAAGUGGAUCAUGAAAACGACGGAGUACACGUAAGCAGCCAAGGCUGACCGAGCCGAGGGACUCCUACGCCUCCGGGAUACGGAUACCUCAUUCAUCACCUUCCGCGAGAAGCAACUCUCGCCCACAUAGACAACUCUGUUACCGACGAAAAAGUCCAGAUACUCGAAACAAGAGGAAAAGAAACGCACCUUUACAACACGGCGAGGGUGUGUUUGGGCCUCGGCGGCCGUAGAAAACACACACUACAAGAUAAUCCGACCCUGCAGGCUCGGAUCUGGACAGUUGAAGGGAGCCGCAGCACCCUCGGCGUCGACAACACCUUCGGCGAGGUCCGACCUAGCCUCGGACGGCAACACGGUCCGAGGAUCUCCACUCUGAAGGACGACGUCAUCACCACGCCCGGGCCAUCGCCGCCAGGGUCUUCUCCGAGAAUCCGGCCCGAGUAGGCGGCUCGGCUGGUACCCCGAGGCCUCGGCCAGCUGUCCCCCGAGGACAUCAGCCUGACCCGAGGCCUCGGAAGAUCAACUCCGGCGUUGGUCCCGCUAACGGACGACCCGGCCAGGCUCCGGCCGACCAAGUCUUCUUUUCAAGCCAACUCUGCCUUUGUCCAUGCUGACACCGCUACCCCUGGCUUCGGCUCAUCGAAGAGCGGCCGAGGGGUUCCUUUAACUAAGCAAGAGAAGCCUCGGACAGCAAGGCCGACCGAGCCGAGGGACUCCUACGCCUCCGGGAUACGGAUACCUCACUCGUCACCUUUGCACAGGGCGACUCACGCUUGGUGAAGCGGUUCAGACAACCAACAGGCGACUCUUAGUGCUCGAAAAUGAGGAAAAAACACAGCCCCGUGCCAAAAAUACAUACAUGUUCAGGCCUCGACAGCCACAAUGAACAAAAACACUGGCAUUCAAAGUGCCAUUACAAACGGAACUCUGGUUCCACCUCCGCAGGUACGAACAACCCCACUCGAUGGGGGGGCCUGCGGAGCAAUAGAAGACCGACGAACGGCGCGCCGUCACCCGCUCCAGCAAUGACAACGACGAUGACUUCUGCUCUGGGGGGCCAAACAGCGGCAACGAUGACCUCAGGGCGGAUGCUGCUGCCGGGAGGCCCCCGCCCAUGCCCAAACUCAUGAGGCAAGGACGGGUAGAAGGCCAUAGAGUUGGAGGUCGGUCCGUAGGCGGCCCCGGCUAUCUCGUCGGCGGAAGAACCUCUUCCAACUGCCGUGGCGGGAGCCGGCACCGAGAGCGGCUCCAAAGCCACUCGGGUCCGAGAGCCAGGCACGCGGCAGCUGCCAGCGCCACGGACGACAACCGCCCUUCCCCCCGAUCACUGAGGGAAGGAGCGGGCCACCGCCCACGCAGGGGCCGACCCCAACUCGGCACACUCCCCUCCCCAGCCCUGGUGAUGAAAAUCCUUGAGGCUGAGGGAGGGGCAGAGGCCGCAGCCUGGCUUGCUUUCCCCCGCCAUCGAACUGGAGGUCACCAUCUUGGGUGACCGCCGGCGGAGGGGUGCAACCGGGCUGCAUGAUGAAAAUCCUUGAAGCCGAACGAUGGCUGAAAGGUACCAACUCCCACGGAGUUGCGUUCCCCCAACGACAAGGCGGAAGGACUGCAGGCAUCCCCCAUCAGGGGGUUCGGAAGGUGGAAAGACACGAUGCAUAAGGGAGCACGAAGACAUGGUCGCCUUUCAAGGGGGUCACCCUCCAUUUAAAGGCGACUCUCCCUACUUGCGUCCCCAGCCGUCGCAGGCUGAGUCUUCUCUAACACGUUCCAAGGUCCUCCCCCUACGACGCGGGGGCUGGGUCCCACACGUCAUGCAAUCCGACCUAGAGCAGAAGAAGCCAAACCGCCGCGCGCGGUGCAUGCAACCGCCCAGCGGUUACAAGCGGCCCUCCAUUUUUGCCCCGACCAGCGGGCGAAAGGGCGGGCAGCCAUGCAGGCGGCAUGCAACCGCGCCAAGUGGGCGCACUUCUCCGACUUCCAACACGCCCAGCAUGGAGGCCCAGGCCCACGCGUCAUGCAACCGGCGCGCCGGAUGCUGCGUGCGAGCAACUGCACCGCCACCCACGCCACUGCCACGCCUCCUCGACUGCGGAACCAGUACCGCGACUCGAGGCAACCCUACGCACGACCCAGCAGCACCAGCCUGGCGCGACGGUCAAUGCGGCCAAAAAUGGGCCGGCAGUAAUGGCGGUGGCAGGCGGGCAGGAGCAGCGGUCACGUCGUCAGCCAGGCAUACGUCCCACCCGGAGGCAGCGAGAGAACCCUCUCUCACGGCGUGAAGACGACGUGCCCGUGUUCCGUUCCUCGAACGGCUCGCGCACGCGCAAUGGCCGCCCCGCGAACCGCACGCCCCGUCGCAUUAACUCCGCGGCGGGACAGGCGGCGCCUCUGGCAGGAGAAGCAAGCGACGCUUCGCCUUCGCCAUAAUGACCGCAUCAAAAAAGGUACGCCAUGUCAUUCGAUUUCGAAUCCUUUUCCUUUUCCUCUUUCUCUCUCUUACGACAGGGACCGGGAAAGGGGGAUACCCCGAAAAGGAUCCUUCUCCGUGAAGGAACCAGGCUCCAAGCCUCCCUACUAAUCAGAGGUUCGAAGGCUGGCCCCUCGGAGGGGUUCAACAGCCGCCUCAGAGCGCGUGGGCUCCACACCCACUACUGGUCAGAGGUUCGAAGGCCGGCCCCUCGAAGGGUUCAAAGACCGCCUCAGGCUACUCGGGCUCCGCGCCCACUACUGAUCAGGGGUUCGAAGGCUGGCCCUCGAAGGGUUCACAGCCACCUCAGACGCAGAGCGAGGGAUGACCAUGGGUACGUUCGAUACAUAACCAAGGCUCGGGCUACGCUCCCGAGGUACCCUAGGACAUUUCCGAGACCAGCGGGAACGAUCUUGUAACGGAAUCCCAUCAGAGGGAGGCAUCAAGCCCUCGGACCCCGUCGACAGGGGACCGGGUCCGGCAGAUCACCCGCAGGUACUUUUGGGCGCGCCUCUGGGCCUCUAGCCGACCCCUAGCAAAUGGGGCACGGACAUCCGCUCGGAUUACCCGCCAGCAGCUCACUGGAGACACCAUGUUCGGCGCCCACCGAGGGCAGCAUGGCGCUUUCCCCCCUUCUCCUUUCGGAAAGGCGACGCAGGGGCGUAUGUAAAAAAGUCGAGUCUGUCCCUGAUCGUCCUCUCGCCCUGUGCAGAGGCUCGAGGGCUGCUCUCGCGAACCCGGCUCCGGCCAAACCGUUGACAGCGUCAAUAAACCAGCCCGAGAAUUUGGGACCCGACCGUGCACCCGGGCUACGACCAGCUCGCAUGAGGGAACGACCAGACCAGCCAAAGCAUUGCGCGAGGCAUUAAGACAUCGGAGGAGUCAAACCACUCCUCCGAGGCCUCGGGGGCUACACCCGGCGGGUGCGCUCGCGCGCACCCACCGGAACAAAACGCAACCGAGAAAGGCUGGUCCCCUUGCAAAAAAGUGCGACAAAAGCCUCCAAGCGAGUGUUAACACUCCCUUCGAGGCUCGGGGGCUACUGUCGGGGACCAUAAUUAGGGGUACCCUCAAGGCUCCUAAUUCUCAGCUGGUAACCCCCAUCAACACAAAGCUGCAAAGGCCUGAUGGGUGCGAUUAAGUCAGGGAUCGGUCCAUUCGCGGGACUCGAUCACGCCUCGCCCGAGCCUAGCCUCGGGCAAGGGCAGCCGACCCCGGAGGAUCUCCGUCUCGCCCGAGGCCCCCCUCCAGCGACGAACAUACUUUCGGCUUGCUCGAGGCCCUGUCUUCGCCAAGAAGCAACCCUGACCGAAUCGUCGCGCCGACCGACCAAAUCACAGGAGCAUUUAAUGCAAAGGUGGGCUGACACCUUUAUCCUGACGCGCGCCCUUCUGUCGACAGAGCCGAAGUGACCGCAGUCACUUCGCCGCUCCACUGACCGACCUAACAGAAGGGCAGCGCUGCCUGCGUCGCACCGACUGCAGUGCCACUUGACAGAGUGAGGCUGACAGGCAGUCAGGCCCGACCUCAGGCACCAUAGGAAACUCCGCUCCGCCCGACCCAGGGCUCGGACUUGGGCUAAGCCCCGGAAGACGACGAACUCCGCUCCGCCCGACCCAGGGCUCAGACUCGGGCUAAGCCCCGGAAGACGGCGAACUCCGCUCCGCCCGACCCAGGGCUCAGACUGGGGCUAAGCCCCGGAAGACGGCGAACUCCGCUCCGCCCGACCCAGGGCUCGGACUCGGGCUAAGCCCCGGAAGACGGCGAACUCCGCUCCGCCCGACCCAGGGCUCGGACUUGGGCUGAGCCCCGGAAGACGGCGAACUCCGCACCGCCUGACCCAGGGCUCGGCCUUGGGCUAAGCCUCGGAAGACGGCGAACUCCGCUCCGCCCGACCUAGGGCUUGGACUUGGGCUAAGCCCCGGAAGACGACGAACUCCGCACCGCCCGACCCAGGGCUCGGACUUGGGCUCAGCCCCAGAAGACGACGAACUCCGCUUCGCCCGACCCCAGGGCUCGGACUCAGCCCUGGCCUCAGCCGACGGUCUCCGCCUUGCCCGACCCAGGGGCUCGGACUCGACCACAGCCACGGAAGAUAGACUCGACCUCGACCUCGGAGGAGCCUCCACAUCGCCCAACCUAGGGCACGGACCGACCACGUCGACAGGAAGCGCCAUCAUUACCUUACCCCAAGCUGACUCAGGCUACGGGGAACAAGACCGACGUCCCAUCUGGCUCGCUCUGCCAGAUAGGCAAUGAUGGCGCCCCGCACGCUCUGUGACGACGGCGGCUCUCAGCCCCCUUACGGAAGCAAGAGGACGUCAGCAAGGACUCGACAGCCUCGACAGCUGUCCUUCCGCCAGGCUCCAGCGCUCCUUCGACGGCCACGACACCACACGAACCGGGUGCCAAAACCUCUCCGGCUGCCACGACGGCGUGUACUUAGGGCGCUAGCUCUCCUCCGCUAGACACGUAGCACUUUGCUACACCCCCCAUUGUACACCUGGAUCCUCCCCUUACGCCUAUAAAAGGAAGGACCAGGGCCCUCUUACAGAGGGUUGGCCGCGCGGGGACGAGGACGAGACAGGCGCUCGCGUGAGGCCGCUCGCUCCCUCUCCCACGUGGACGCUUGUAACCCCCUACUGCAAGCGCACCCGACCUGGGCGUGGGACGAACACGAAGGCCGCGGGAUUUCCACCUCUCUCACGCCUGUCUCCGGCCACCUUUCUCCCCCCUUCGCGCUCGGCCUUGCGCCGACCCAUCUGGGCUGGGGCACGCGACAACAUUUCACUCGUCGGCCCAGGGACCCCCCGGUCUCGAAACGCCGACAGGUAUGUGGAGUGAUAAAAUGAGGCACCAUCUAACCUCACUCCACGAAAGCAUAUGGGAUAUUGUUGAGUUUGGAGCGCAGGCACCGAAGGUGGGGGACAAGGACUAUGACUCGGACGAGGUUGCCCAAAUUAGGCACUUUAACUCCCAAGCCACAUCUAUGCUCCCCGCCUCCUUGUGUCGAGAGGAGUAUAACAAGGUGCAAGGGUUAAAGAGCACCAAAGAAAUUUGGGACGUCCUCAAGACCGCACACAAAGGGGACAAGGUGACCAAGAUCACCAAGCGGGAAACGAUCGAGGGGGAGCUCGGUCGAUUCGUCAUCAACAAAGGAGAAGAGCCACAAGCAAUGUACAACCGACUAAAAACAAUGGUGAACCAAGUGCGCAACCUCGGGAUCACCAAAUGGGAUGACCAUGAGAUGGUCAAGGUUAUUCUUAGAUCCCUCGUAUUUCGUAAUCCUACUCAAGUUCAAUUAAUACGUGGGGAUCCUAGAUAUAGACUAAUGUCUCCCGAGCAAGUGAUUGGCAAGUUUGUGAGCUUUGAACUUAUGAUCAAAGACUCCAAACACAUUGUCAACUUAGAGCAAGGCGCCACCUCCACACCCGAGGUGCAACCCAUCGCAUUCAAAGUGACGGAAGAAGAGAAGGAGUCUACAUCAAGUAGGCUUCCAAUCGACGCCUCCAAGCUCGACAACGAGGAAAUGACACUCAUCGUCAAGAGCUUCCGCCAAAUCCUCAAGCAAAGGAGGGGAAAGAACUAUAAGUCCCACUCCAAGAAGGUGUGCUACCAGUGUGGUAAGUCCGGUCACUUCAUUGCUAAAUGUCCAAUUUCUAGUGAAAGUGACAGGGACGACGACAAGAAGGGGAAGAAGAAAGAAAAGAAGAGGUACUACAAGAAGAAGGGCAGUGAUGCCCACAUAUGUUGGGAAUGGGACUCCGAUGAGAGCUCCACCGACUCCUCCUCCGACGAGGACGCCACCAACAUCGCUGUCAACAAGGGCCUCCUCUUCCCCAACGUCGGCCACAAGUGUCUAAUGGCCAAGGACGGCAAGAAAAAGAAGGUACACUCUAGAGCCACCCCAAAAUAUACAACAUCUAGUGAUGAGGGUAGCUCAAGUGAUAGUGAAGACAAUUUAAUGUCUUUUUUUGCCAACCUUAGCAUGGACCAAAAGAAGAAAUUGAAUGAAUUAAUAGAAGCUAUUAAUGAGAAGGAUGAACUCUUGGAUAGCCAAGAGGACUUCCUCAUUAAAGAAAACAAAAAAAUUGUUAAGUUGAAAAAUGAUUAUGCUCAGGAAGUAGAAAAAUGUGAAAACCUAUCUAAAGAGCUUAGCAUUUGCUAUGAUUCAAUUUCUAGCCUUAGAAAUGAAAAUGCUAGUUUAAAUUCUAAGGUUAAAGAAUUAAAUGUUUGCAAUGAUUCUAUUUCCUGUCUUAGAAAUUGUUGGUCACUUGUUCUCAAAUGCUGAGUUAAGAACAAGGCAACACAAAUGUUAAUGGUUAAAGACCUUCGUCUUUCGAAGCAUUAUUUCCCUUAGGGUAUAAUGAUCUUCAGACGAAGGUCAUGAAGGGCAUAUCUUCGUCAUCUCAAUAUACAAAAAUAUAGGCAAGGACGUACAAAACAUAGAAAGACCAUGAUUAAUCAUAUUAAAUCAUUAAAUCAUGUAUAUAUUGACAUUAUAUAAUAAUGAACAAACAUUAAUGAUAUUAAGUUACAUUAGUACCUUCGGCUUGACAGAAGGUAAAAGUUCGAGGGUUACGUGCGAGCGAUUACAAGUCAGCGUGAACAGUACGGUGUUACUGUUCAUCUAUUUAUAGGCACAGGACGCAGCCUGGGUAAAAUUACAUUCAUAUCCCUAACACUUACUAUUAGCUAAAAGGUAAGCUGUCGAGGACUAAGUAGUCUUUUCCCUUUUAAGUCGGUUUCAUUCUCCAUCGUCAUCUUUGCGCUAAGCCGAAGCUUCUCCAUCCAUAGCUUCGGAACUGGUCCAUCCUUCUUCCAGGUCACGCCUUUCAUACUAUGUACACCUUCAUCUCAAAGCCAAAGCCUCAUGUGACAAUAUACUAUACUGGAAGAUAUGUUAGUCGUGUUUUUGAGGACCUUCGAAAGACGAAGGCCCCCAACAGUAGCCCCUCGCAGUAUUAAUUUGUUCUUGUAUCUUAACGAAUUCAGACUGUGACGUGAACGAAGGCCUUUAGCCGAAGGUCCGAAAAAACACUUUCCCUUCGCUAGAAUAGCGAAAGUCAAUGACAAAUGGGGCCCGCCAAGUUGCAAUGCACGAGGCAUAUAAAUAUAAACCCAUAACGAUAACAUCUGCUGCGCCAUUUCAAUUGUUUGUGUUGUUUUCUCAAGUUUUAGAUUUCUUGCUGUCACAUUUCACUUGUUUUGUGAGCUUCGGCAUUUGCACAAGUGUUCGCUAUACGUCUAAAGAGAAUAUGUCUGAGGAGAAGAAGAUUGACCCUGCUCUUACUGGGUUUUACGAAGCUAUGGAAAAAAUAAACAUAGAGAAGAUUACAAACGAAAUAAUGGCUGAUUUGUCUGAAGAUUCUAACGAUAGUGAUGACUAUGAUGUGGAAAGUGAAGACGAAGAUGCGGAAAAUCGGCCCUGGCGACCAAGCCACAGCAUCUUCGGAAAAUCAUCCAUUAAGCAGAGCCAAAUUGACGCUAUGAAAGGGAACUAUUUCUGAGAUAUUUCAAUUGUGAGAGCUGGAGGAGAUAGUGCUGCACCUGCUCUCGAAGAGAAUGAGGUGGUUGUUUAUAAGAGUUUUAUGAAGGCUGGGCUUCGGUUCCUAUUGAGCAAAUUUCUGGUUGAGGUGUUGAAGACCUUCGAGAUUUUCCUGCAUCAAAUUACUCCCGAAGCCAUUGUUAGGAUGGGGGUUUUUAUUUGGGCCGUGAGAAGCCAAGGGAUGGAACCAAGCGCAAAAUGCUUCUGCAAUAUGCACGAGCUGCUGUACGAGAUGAAGGCUACUGGCAAGGAUCAAUAUCACAACAAUUUUGGUUGCUACGGCUUCGUGCCCUGCGCUGAUGUAAGUUAUCCGGUCCCAACAUUCCGAAAAAGGUGGCCUGGGGCCUGGAUGGAAGAAUGGUUCUAUGUUGAAAAUAAUUUAACUGAGAGGGAAGAUAUAAAAGGAAUUAUUCAACGUCCCAUCUGGUCUCGCUUCGGCAUCAGGAGGCCAGCCACCACUCUUGGGAAUGAUAUAGAGGCAUGCUAGAGAAGCUUAAACACCGUGUGCACUUUUAUUGGUACAAGAGACCUGAUUCAAGAACAUAUCGCUUACAGAGUAUGGCCGCUCGUGAAUGAGUGGGAGAUGCCGAAGGAAGCUGCUGCCGGGUCUAGUCAGGGUGGCCUGGUCUAUCUAAAGUAUACAUUCAGAUACAGAGGCGAGUUUGAUGAGCCAAAUGAUGAAUGGUUGAGCAGUAUCACUACUAGAAAUAUGCUUAUUUAAGACAUACAUCUUAAGACAAAUAUCAGUGCAUUUUAUAGAAGCGUCUUUUAUCAUAUGGUGCUGAGUAAGGUAAGACAGUUUGUUGGACAUCCGUCUUUAAUGAAGAAGGUUUUUGAGACAGAUAUAUGGUUGGAAAUGUCUUAUAUUGAUUUAAUACAGUUUGAUUUUGAAAACCGUCUCAAAUAAAUAUACCUUUUGAGGCAUUAAGUUCACAAGAAGUGUCUUUUAUUUUGGUUAGUAUAUUAGACACUUAUGUAUAUGAAACUAUCUCAAAUAAAGAUAUUAUUAGAGUCAUCUAGACUAUACAAAAUUGUCUUAGAUGUUAGUAAGUAUACUAGAAACUUGUAAACAUAAAACCGUCCCGUACGAUAUUUCUGAUAAGACAUAUUGUGAAAAACAUAGUCAAUAGUAAAUUCUGAUUAGAUUGAACUAAACAUUUUUUGGAAUUUAAAAUGAACUAGUUAGCUGACUGUAUGUUCGUACGGUUUCUAUAUAUCAUAUAGGUAAAAAAUCUUGCUUAAAAUAAGAAACUUCUUCAAAUAAAAUUAUACGUUUGAAAUAUGAUUAUUUUUUAUUUUCUCAUUAACAUUAUGUUUAUAGUUAUAAUAUCAUCUCUUUGUACGGUAUAAGCAACCUGAUAAGCGGUGGUUAAUGCCACAGAUAUUUCUCUUUAUAUCCGUAUUGCACAUAUAUACAAUACAUUUUAUUAAUAUAGCGGUGGUUAAUGCCAUCUCCUGUGUCCGACGCCCAUCGCCGAGGCUGAGAGGCAAGAUCCGUCAUCUUCAGUGCCCCCAGCGCGGCGCCCCAAACUCCCAGGCUAUGCUUUUGUUUAUGUUUUAUUGUCAUUUCAUGAUUCAUGACAUGGCAGGCUUGUAACGCCCCGAAUUUUGGAGUUGAAUUUUUUCUUUUCUUCACUCGCCAAAUUCGGGCUUUACCCUUUUCUUUUCCUUUUCUCCUUGCUAAGCCUUGAUCUUUUCAAAAGUUAUAGCGAGGAUAAGCUCGACAACUGGUGUGAGUAAACCCUAAAAAUAUUUUCUUUGGUUGUUGCAUCAUGCUGAACCACGCAUCUUUUUCUUGUGAUACUUGCUUGGUUUCCAUAAAGAAUGCGCUUAGUAGAAGGUUAGAGGGAAAUAGAUAAUGGGAAAAUAGGAAAAAUAAAUAAAAAGAAGGGAAUUCCCCUCACUCUCCCCCUCUUGGGCCGUCGUCCCGCGGCCCAGCUCGGCCGCGCCCCCUCCCUCCCCCUUAGCCCAGCCGAGCCCCCUCUCCCUUGGGCCGGCUCUCAGCCAUGGCCCAGCCGGCUCCCAGCCGCGGCCCGCCCUGCCUCUCCCCCCGCCUUGGGCCGAAUUGGCGCUGCGGUGGCCCAACCGCCCCACCCCGCGUCCUGCGCGCGCGCCGCGCGCGUGGGCGCAACCGCCGCCGCCGCCAUCCCAGGUGGGCCCCGCCCGUCAGCCGCGCCCUCCCCCAAAACCGCCUCCCUCUUUCUCUCUCCCCUCUACCCCCUAGCGCACGACUCCCUCUUCCCCCUCCACCUCGUCGCCGAUCGGACCCGCCCCGCCGCCGUCCGCCCGCGCCGCCAUCGCCCCUUCCGUGGUGAGCCCUGGCCCCCUCCUUCUUCCUCCCCCUCUCUCCUUCUUCCCCUUCCCCUUCCCCUGCUCGUGCGGCCCAGCGCGGUGCGCGGCUCGGCACGCCGGCGCGCGGCCAUGGCGCCCCUGUCGCGUCCGCUCGGCCUCGCGCGCCACCCCCCUCGCGCCCUUCCCCUGCGCGCGGUCGCGGCGGCUCCGGCCAGCGCGCGGUCCCGUCCGGCCAGGACGCGACCCGUCCAUGGCGCGACCCUCUCUCCCUCCCCGCUCCGGCGCGCACGGCUUCCCCUGCCCCGACGUGCUCGUCCGCCGUCCCUGGCGUGCCCGCUCGGCCUCGCCGCCCCUGCCCGUGGUGCGGUUCCCCGCCCCGGCGUGGCCUCGCCUCGGCGCGGCCCGACCUCGCUCCCCCGGCCGCGGCGCGCGCGGUCCCGGCCCCCUCCCUACGCAGCCUCGCCUUGCCGGCCCCGGCGCGCUCGCCUGGCGCGGCCCGGCUCGCUCGCCCUGCGCGCGCGGCCCGGCUCGCUCGCCCUGCGCGCGCGGCCCCUCCCCGCGCAGCAGCCCGUGGCGACGCGGCGUGGCACGCCCGGCGUGCGCGUGCCCGCCUCGGCGUGCUCCGUCCCUCCCCUGUCCCGGCGUGGCCUUGAGCUCGGCUAGCUUCGCGGUCCCCCGCGUUUGGCCCCGGCGUGGCCCCGUUGCCGCUCGCGGCGCGCAACGCGCAGCUCGGCCCCGACGUGUGCGUGGCUCGUUCGCGUCACGUUAGCGUGGCUUUGCGCGCGCAUGUGCUUGUGUGGUGCGCACGGUGCUUUGGCACGGCUCGUCGUGCCCUCGGCGCGCUCGUCUACCCCCCCCCCCCCCGUGUAUUUUAUGCGCGCUAAGCACGUUAUUCAUAUCAAUAAAUGGAAACUCAAUUUAGAAAUUGGUUACGUUAGUUAUUUCAUGUAGCUAAUCUUGGAUCUCGUUUAAUGUUGAUCAAUUGAAAAUAGUUAUAAUUUUAUUAGUGCAUGUGGCUAAUAUUUGUUAGUGUAACUCGAGGGAAUUAGAUCACGUAAUGAUUAGUUAUGUAUCUACCCGUAAUAUGCUUCGACUAUAGCUUUAACCACUGUGAGACCUUCCUUCUUCUCUUUCUAGCCAUGGCGAAUGCAAUAUCGUAUGUCAUAUCUUAUGCAUAUUUGACUUAUCUGCUUUCUUGUGUGGUGUACUGUUUAUUUCCUAAUUCGAAUGGAUGGAUGUAUGUAUGUUUGCGCUCGCAUAGAGAACGAUCUGGUUGAGGAGCCCAAAGAACUCGCAGGAGAAGCCCCUGAGCAGCAGUCGGUUGGUGGAGGCAAAUGUCCUUUGACCUAUCUCUGUCCUAUACAUUCUUUAAUUCACCUCCUGCAUUUCACAUUUAUACCUAAGGAUUGACUAGCUUUUGCUAUCCAUGUCCUUGUUUACCUAUUUGGGUUGGAUUAUUAUUGUUUAGCUUUAUGCUAUUGCUCAACUCUAAUCAAUGAACAUGAUGAGAAUUAUCAAUGAUACACUGUUUUCCCCUCCUUUAUUAUGAUGUGAUACUUGUGGCAUUCAAGGGGGGCUUGAGCGGUUUCUCGAGUGCCUCUCCGUAAGGACCUGUUUGUUGGAUGACCGCCCGGGAAAACAGUGCAACCAUGAGGGUGGAAUGAGAUGCCCUUAGCUGAAUAAUUAGAGGAACCGGGGUGUAGUUCGCUUAGCCGUCGUGCCGUCAAUGGGGCUCGGUGUAUGCGGCUCGCUCUGCCAAGUUUGGGUUUGCCCCUUGGGGAGGAGUGCGGUGCAUUUAGGAAACCUAAUGGGCGGCUACAGCCCCGGGGAAUCUUUGUAAAGGCUACAUAGUGAUGCCCUGCUGGGUCACCUUGGUAGUGUUUAAUGGAGAGUCAUGAUCUCCGGGCAGAAUGGGAAUCACGACUUGUGGGUAAAGUGCACAACCUCUGCAGAGUGUAUGAAAACUGAUAUAUCAGCCGUGCUCGCGGUUAUGAGCGGCCAAGGGAGCUCCAGUGAUUAGUGGUACUUGAUCAGAGAUGUUCGGAUUGAAGGUGGCAAUGAGAUUGAUGGUUUUGGUUAUGACUAUGGUACUGGUAAGUGGUAUUCUUUCCGUUUGGAAAGGGUACAUCGGGUUAAUAACUUGGGUUAUUGCUAAAACCUGGCUUUCUACUAGUAAAUAAUAACCUGACCAACUAAAAGCAACUGCUUGACUUAACUCCACAUAAAGCUAGUCCACUACAGCCAAACAGGAUACUUGCUGAGUAUGUUGAUGUGUACUCACCCUUGCUCUACACACCAACCCCUCCCCCCAGGUUGUCAGCAUUGCAACCACUGCUUAGGAGAAGAUGAAGCCGUGGAAGGAGACUUCCAGGAGUUCCAAGAUUACGACGAGUUCUAGGCGUGGGUUAGCAGCAACCCCCAGUCGGCUGUCUGUGAAGGUCGCGUGUAUCUACGUUUCGUUUUCACACUUUGAUUAUUGUAAAGACUAUGUGGAUGUCUCAGACAUAUGAUGUAAUCGACUAUUAUUACCCUUUUAUGUUAUCAUUUGAGCAAUGUGUGAUGAUUUCCAGUUAUGUAACUGCUGUGUACGUGAAUUGCUGAUCCUGGCACGUACAUGGUUCACAUUCGGUUUGCCUUCUAAAACCGGGUGUGACAAGGCUCCAGGCUAUGCUUUAGACAUUUAAUAAGUAUAUUCAGCUCAAAUGAAACGAGAUCUAAACCAGAGGGUUAAAGGCAUGUUUGGUUUGUGGCUAAAUGUGCCACACUUUGCCUAAGUUUAGUCGUCCGAAUUGAGGGCCUGUUUGGUUUACUACCUAACUUGCCACACUUUGCCUAACUUUUCUGCCUAAGGUUAGUUCUUCAAUUCGGAUGAUUAACCUUAGACAAAGUGUGGCACAGUUAGCCGUGAACCAAACAGACCCUGAAUAAAUAACCUUAGGCGGAAAAGUUAGGCAAAGUAUGGCAACUUAGGUAGCGAACCAAACAUGUCUUAAGUCUCACAUCAUACCACCCGUUCCUAUUUUUCCUAAAGCAGGGGCAGGGCAAACCGUAUUGUUGGCUCUGCCUAGGGUUUUAGCACCUGCCGCCGCAGCCUCCCUUCUACUGCCGCCGCAACCUCCCCAUCCUUCGAAUCCCAUCCGACCUAGCCCUACAACCCACCGGACGACGAGCAGCGAGGCCCGCGGCCGAGAUGGACCAGUACCUGAGGGUGGAGUGGCCGUGGAACGAGUCAACCAUCAAGGAGAACGAGAUCCGCAUCACCGCGCAGGGCCUCAUCCGCAACUAUGUCUCCUACGCUACCUCCCUGCUCCAAGUGCCUGGGCUUGUCCUCGCCAUCGCCGUCGUAUCGUAUUGUACUUAGGAUGCGCUGUUUUGUUCGAGUCUCGUCCCUGUCGAUUCGAAGAGAUCCCCAGCAACAUGAGGGAGGUGUUCCUGACCGGCGCCACCUCCAAGCUCCAUCACGCUCUACCUCUGCAGGAAGAAGAUCAGAGUCUUGGUAAGUGCUACACAUAAUCUGCUCAGCAUCAUCGAUCCAUAGAUGAUGACCUGUGUCUUGCAUCUAACCUCUCUCUCUCUGUCUCUUAGAUGUUCACGGUGUUGUCGGAGAGGUUCCUGAAGAUCCAGAGGGAGGCGCCGCUGGAGUACCAGCAGUACCUCGUGCAGGUGACCAAGUACCAGGCCGCACAGAACUGCAAGGUACGUAUGCACGCAUGGUUACAUUUACUAUAGAACUGGAGUUAUUUUUUGAUGCAAAGGCUGCCAGGUCAUGGUGAUUUCACGUCCGUUAGGCUCGAGAGGUGGACUCAAACAUCCAAGUUUUGCAAGUUUUGAUGUUGGAUGUUAAAUUUCUAUGCUCACUCCUCGUUUGGUUAUUGAUGUACUAUUUCCAUCUCAUGUCACAAAUUUGGCAUAAGGAAUGGGUAUUGGUGGCUAUUGACUAUGUUUGUUUCCACGUAUUAUACAUGUACAAUGGAACAUUUGAUAAUAGUUUUGCAUGAACUAUUGGCGUUGGCUAUCUAAAAGGACAGAAAGGUAGACAUGAGCAACAGAUCUCGCUCCAUGGGCUGAAACUGGGAUUCGUGAUGGUCAGCUAAGCAUACCUUCGCCUUCAAAUUUGCGUAGCUUCUUUUUUAUUCUGCAAGUUGUUUGGUCUGCCGUUCAAAUGCCUUAUUAUUCUGCGAGCUGUUUUAAGAUUGGGCCUCAAUUUUUUUUCCAGGCAGAAAGUGCUACUGCCGCUCUCAACUGUAGCGGUGUGGUACUGGGAUCCUUGCCAAUAAGGUAAAACUCUGACUGAUCUUCUUACGCUUUGCAUUGAGGAAGGAGCUCUUCUGGGCGGUUGGAUAUCAGAGUCGUUCUAGUGUGUUUUCAGGGUGAGCCCGUCCAAAACGCCCGUGCGUCCCCGCGCCCCUCGCCAGCUGAUGUCGUCCUAGGUAUACAUACAGGAGGUGCUGACGAUGACACUGCUCAUAUAUAAGUAAUAGAGAUAGACAUGUAUGAAAAGGGUCUUUUGUUUUCAAGUAGUGUGUAGUUGCUGUUACUUUUAACAGCUAAUGCAAUCUGAAUGAGUCACCUAUGAAUGCCAUACUGGAAUUUGUUGCGCUUUUGUUGAUCAUUAUUAUUUUACAAUCUAGGCUAGGGGAUUGAAGAAGCACUUGAAGAGGCUCAAUGCGCCCAAGCAUUGGAUGCUCAACAAGCUUGGCAGAGCUUUUGUAAGUAAACAAUAUUUUCUAGCUUUGGUACCUACAAUCUUCUGUACUUCCCCAUUUGUCUGAUGCUUCAGGUUGGUCUUUUUUUCUGUAGGCUCCCAAGCCAUCUUCUGGACCUCACAAGUCCAGGGAGUGCCUGCCUUUGAUCCUCAUCAUCAGGAACAGGCUCAAGUAUGCACUGACGUACCGUGAGGUCAUUUCUAUCCUGAUGCAACGCCAUGUACUUGUUGAUGGCAAGAUCAGGACUAACAAGACCUACCCUACUGGGUUCAUGGGUAUGCCUAUAUCUCUAUUAAUGCAUAAAGAUACCUAUACACAUAUUUUGGUUGCUGAUUUGUGGUGUCAUUUUUUUGGCAGAUGUCAUUUCCAUCCCUAAGACAAACGAGAACUAUAGGCUGCUUCCGUCUUCACCCAAUCAGGGAUGAGGAUGCCAAGGUUAGGCCAAUUCUCUUACACAUCAUCUCUCAUUGUUCUAGUUGAGCAUGAUGAUCUUGGUAGCUAUGUGAGGUUGCUGUUUUUCAUUUAGAUCUGUGUACCUUAACCUUGCUAUACUGUCCAUAUGUGUUGUGUGCAUGAAAGUCUUGCAUUGAAAAUGUCAUGUGCUACAAUCAUUAGGACUAUUAAUAGAUGUUGCUCUGUCUAUCUAUCCAUUUACAUCGCUGGAAAUUCCCAUGCCCUUUCAUAGUACGCCUGUGAAAUGUUCACUGUUUUUCUAUUGGUUUUAUGUGCAGUUCAUGCUCUGUAAGGUGGGGUCUGUUCAGUUUGGCCAGAAAGGCAUCCCCUACCUGAACACCUAUGGCGACCGCACCAUCCGCUACCCCGACCCGCUCAUCAAGGCCAACGACACCAACAAGAUCGAUCUAGAGACCAACAAGAUCAUGGACUUCAUCAAGUUUGACGUCGGCAACGUGGUCAUGGUGACCGGCGGGAGGAACACCGGGCGUGUAGGAGUGAUCAAGAACAGGGAGAAGCACAAGGGCAACUUCGAGACCAUUCACGUGCUGCUUGGAGCUUUUUGCUAUGUCUAGUUUUCUCCUAUUUGUUGUACAGGAAAACAUAGAAUGGAAUUCAAAUUUGGUGGCCGCAAAAGAGUAGAGACUUGUUUCAUAUAAAGUUAGGCUUAACAUUAGUGCAAACAGUUGUAUUUUAGUUUAGAUUUAGAGUACACUUAUGUAUGCGUUGUUUGACAAUGCUUAUUUAUGAUAUAUUGAAUGGUACUUAUUUAUAUUAUAUUAAUUAUAAUGUUGUUCAAUAUAUGUGUAUGUAUAUUUCUCUUUCAAAUUAUUAUAACGUGAUAUCUGAUACUGCCGUGUAAGUCAUUUUGUUUAAAUCUUAAUAAGACGGUCACCAAAAUGUCUAAUAUCAGUCUCCUAAAUAAGACGAUUUCUAAAACGUCCAUUAUUAGUCACCUAAAUAAGAUGGUUUUCUAUUGUAAUCAUCUAUUAUUGUAGGAUAUUCGAGACAGUUUGAUAAAUACUUUAUGACUUAUAAUGUUUGUAUUCUCUACGGUCCUUUAGAAGCAGUGUCUUAAACAAAAACCUAAUUCAAGACGGUUUAUCGGACAAAAUGACUUAAACAAAUACCUUUUUCAGACGGUUAUAAAUUAAAAAUUGUCUUAUAUAAUAUCUUUUAAGACGGUUUAUAACCAUCUUAAAAGUGGGACAUCUUUUACGACUCCAUCAAAUUUGGACACUUCAUAAGCGUCUUAAGAACUAAAAAUUAACCGUCUCAUAUAACAUGUUUUGUAGUAGUGUAUUGAGGCAACUAGCGAUGAAUUGCUUGGGGCUUACACUAGAGCCGAAGAUGAUGCUUUGACCUCAGCCUUUGGAGGUCGAGGCAAGAAUAGGCUGAACAGAGUUUUCGACGUGAUUAGCUUCAUAUACCCUGAUUAUUGCUAUCCCUCGCGAAAGCAGGGAAAGAAGAGAAAAACCACCGCUUCGUCAUUCCCUAUUGUGCCGAAGGGCAAAGAUCAAGGUCUUGAUGCACCGGCCGAGAUACAUUGAGAUGACCACAUUGCCGAAGCUAAGUGAAGGGACAUCUUCCACUGCCGAAACAGAACAACCUGCUUCUGCCAUUCCCAGGGAAGACCUGACUGAAUUACCGAAGGUUCCUACAGUCGGACCAGCCGAAACGCCGAAACUUGAUGCCGAAGCGAAAGAAGAGGCGGCCAAAGAGCUAGAGCUAGGGGAAAAGGUAGAGCUGCCAAAAAUCUUGAGCCCACCAGCAGAGUCAGAAUUGCCGAAGAUAACAAGAGCUCCUGCAACAACUCCUAAGAGGAGGAGAAUGGCUAGCGUGCUAGACACUGUCAUGGAGACAACAAGGGCAUUAACUCCUGCCCCUGCAAAGAAAAUUGUCGAAGCUGCUAUAAGUCGCGCUGAAACUGAAGAUGGGCCCUCAGUGCCUGCUGAGACGGAGCCUACCGCAACUGAGAUAGGGCUAAGCAAGAAUCUCUAGAUGUUGGCAUGGCUAUGGAGAAGGAUGUGGCCGAAAAAGCUAAAUCUCCUGCUCCUGAAGCACCGUCCGAAGAUCUUGACUUUAUUAUUCGACAUGCUUCGGGAAAAGACUAUCUAAAGGAGAAAUUGCAGAAGCCAAACACUAUGCCCGAGAACUGAAAUACCUGAAGGGGCCUUAGUGUUCAACGACACUGACGAUGAUGAUUUCCUAUACUUUCUCCCGGACAAUAAAGAAAUAUCCGUCUACCGGGAGAUGGCCAAAAAUAUGGGAUUUCCGAAGCUCGAAGCUGGCCUCUCCGCUAUGUCAAAAGAUGACCUUGCGGAUAGCCUUGCAUACAACAGUCUGAAGGUAUGAAAGUGAUGAACUUAAAAAUAGAUUAUCUUGUCUUGUAUACUCGUGCUGAUUCUAUCUUUUUGCAGGGCUUAAUUCUUAGCAACACUUUGAGGGCGCAAAAGAAUGCAGAAGAUGAAAGCUGCGUGAUAGCCCUUGGCAACCUUCGGUCAGAAGUUAUCAAACUAAGAAAUGAAGCCUUGGAGAAGGAUAAAAUUCUACUUUCAUUGGUGGAUAAAGUGAAGGAUGAUGAAGCGAAAUUUAAUGCUCAAUCCGAAGCUCCUAAAGUCGAAAUUGAAGACCUUCGGAAAAACUUGCCGAAGCUAAUGAAAAUUUUGCACUUGCAAAAUCUAGUCAAGAAAUAAGUGAAUGGUCGAACGCUAGGCUGGAGAAAAAUGUUGAGGAGCUUCACGAAUCCAAGGAAAGGUGCUUUAAGAAAUCCUUGGAUUGCGUAAGAAAAUUGAAAACAGCUUUGCCAAAGUAGGUGCUUAUUCUUCCGAAGAGAAUUUUAUUCGAGGUGACCCCAAUGGCGUUAUUGAUUGGAUAAGCGGGGAAGCCGAAGCUUUUGAAGAGAUCUUGAGCGAUCGUGGGGAUAUCUGUGCUUUCACUGGCGCUAGAGGUAUUGUGGCAAUUAUGGAGAAGGCUGGUUGCGACCACGUUAAAGCUGCGGCCCAGACUGAAGCCGCCUUCUCUACUGACAACACGAGAGACCCUUCGGCCAAAGCUACUUUGGUGGGUGGAAAGUUUUACUCCGAUGUUUGGGUGAACGGUGGCCGAGAAUUGGCAAACAAAAUUAUAAAAAAGAAUAAAAAGAAACCCAUGAUCCCCAAGAAGAAGCUAGGCGAGCCGAAGAAGCUGCUGCGCGCGCAAGGCGUAUAGGUAUUGUUUUUGAAUUUUAGCUUCGGCGUUUAUUUUCUAGCUUCGAACUAACAGUUUGCCUAUUACAGCUGAAUUAUCACCGUUGCCCGAGCCAUACAACCCCCUAGCCGAUCUGGUCAUGAAAGAAGCACUGGAUAUAAUGAGCCUUGCUAACUCCAUCGUCGACGGAGUUGUCGACAAGCUGCUGAACGAAGCCACCGAAAAAAUACUUAAGGAAGAUUAGACUUUUUUUUGUAAUGAUACUAUGUAACAUUUGGUGUAUGGAACAAUUAAUCAGACAUGUAAAUUAUUGUAAUAUAUUUCUUUACGAUGCAUGAAAUUUAUGCACAUACCGUUUUUGAGCCUUCGGCGAAAAAACACCUUCUCUUCUUUUCAUGCUUCGUAAAGAAAGAAGCCCCUUUUUAUGUCAAAUCUGUUAUGAUGAAAUUGUGUUUGCCGAUGGUUUGCUUCGUGCCUCAGCACAUUUUCAUUCAACAAAGUAUUGCCGAAGAUCUGCUUCGUAUCCAAUCUUUUUGUCGUUGAUGCGAUAUGAUGUAUGAUGUAAUGUUAUGCGGAAUAAUGUGAUGCUUAUAUGAUGGUGAUGCCGAACACACACACACACACGCCCAGACUAGAACACACAAGACUCUGCAUCCCCUUAGGGACGUCUUUGGAGACUUUAAGCUCUACAUCCCCUUAGGAACGACUUUGGAGCUUCUUCACCUUAUAUUUCGGUGGUAUUUAAGCUCUGCAUCCCCUUAGGAACGACUUUGGAGCUUCUUCACCUUCUAUUUUGGUGGUAUUUAAGCUCUGCAUCCCCUUAGGAACGAUUUUGGAGUUCUUCACCUUCUAUUUCAAUGGUAUUUUGGCUCUGCAUUCCCUUAGGAACGACUUUUGAGCUUCGUAACUUACUUUGUGCUCCCUUAGGAACGACUUUUGUAGCUUCAAAACUUACUCUAUGCUCCCUUAGGAAUGACUUUUGUAGCUUCGAAAUUUAUUCUGUGCUCCCUUAGGAACGACUUUUGUAGCUUCGGAAGUCUGUUAGAAAGAAGCAUUUUUUCUUAAUGAUACAUGCACAAUUAUUACAUGAGACCAAAAUUAAGUCUUUCGUGACUUGUUUUUCACACAAGAAAAAUAAGAUGACAGAAAAGAAAAAAAAUACAUCAGGGGUAGGAUAUUCUUUUAGUAGAUAUGCUUGGAUUCAGGCAUAGUGCUGUUGACUGUGCGAGCUUCGGACUCCUCCCAAAAAUCACGCUGUUGUUGUGCGUGUUGGUGCCCUUCUGGUUGCUGUCUUCGAGUCUGAGUAGGUGGUAAUGGUGGUGGUAAUGGGAGCUGGGCCUAGGAAGCUUGAGAGUGACUUGCCGAAGCGACAGAAGCUACAGGUUGUUGAUUACCUACGUAUUCUGGUACAUAGGAAGAGUAGCAUGAAGCACUAUGUAGGACCUGCUUCGGCUGAUUCUACCGUGCCUUAGCUUCGGCAAUCUCCUUUUGCUUCUGAAUUGUAACUUGGCAUGUUCUUGUGGUGUGGCCCUUGUCUUCACCACAGAAUAAACAAUAUAGCCUUCUAGGCUGAUCCCCGUAUCUUCCUCCGAAGCCUCUGCCCCUUGGAACUGGUGCCUGAAAGAGCUUUGCUGUUGCCCUAAAGAUUGGGAGUUGUGUUGUGGCCUUUGAGGUUGGCUUCCUCUGUCAUCACUUAGGUUGGAAUUAUGGAUCGAUCUGACAUGCCUAGGGUGGAUUCUUCCUCCAAAGCCCCUGGUCAUCUCAGAAAACCUGUAUGCUUCUUCCCUUCUUUGGCGGAAAUCAUUAUUAGCCCGGAUGUACUCAUCCAUCUUCUGAAGAAGCUUUUCCAGGGUUUGUGAGGGUUUCCUGGCAAAAUAAUGAGCCAUAGGCCCUGGACGAAGCCCCUUGAUCAUGGCCUCAAUGACAAUUUCAUUAGGCACUAUAAGCGCUUGUGCUCUUAGAUGCAUGAACCUUCGGACAUACACCUGAAGGUACUCCUCAUGGUCCUGCGUGCACUGAAACAAAGCCUGAGCAGUGUCUGGCUUCGUCUGAAAGCCUUGGAAGCUAGUGAUUAGCAUAUCCUUGAGCUUCUGCCAUGAUGUGAUUGUUCCUGGCCUGAGAGACGAAUACCAAGUUUGAGCUACACUUUUGACUGCCAUGACGAAGGAUUUCGCCAUGAUUGCAGUAUUGCCCCCAUAUGAAGAUAUGGUUGCCUCGUAGCUCAUUAGGAACUGCUUUGGGUCUGAGUGCCCAUCAUACAUAGGAAGAUAAGGUGGCUUGUAUGAUGGGGGCCAUGGGGUAGCCUACAACUCUGCUGCUAGAGGAGAAGCAUCGUCAAAAGCAAAAUUACCAUGAUGGAAAUCAUCAUGCCAUUCAUCAUCGUUGUACGAAUUGUCUUGACAAAGCUCUCUAUGUUGAGGCCUUCGGUCUUGGUCAUCUUGAGUGAGAUGACGCAUUUCCUCAGCAGCUUCAUCAAUCUUCCUCUGAAGAUUGGCAAGACGAAGCAUCUUUUCUUUCUUCUUCUGGACCUGUUGAUGAAUGGCUUCAAGGUCCCUGAUUUCUUGGUCCAACUCCUCCUAAGGUGUUAGACUAGUAGCCUUCCUUUUCUGGCUCCUGACUUCGCGUAAUGUAUCUUGAUUAACGUCCAGUGGCUGCAAUGCAGCCCCUGGCCCUGAUGACUUCUUCGGUGGCAUGACGAAGGUUAGAGCUUGCCAAAGGUGGUCAAGUGAGUUCACCGGAGGUGGGCACCAAUGUUGGUCACUUGUUCUUAAAUGCUGAGUUAAGAACAAGGCAACACAAAUGUUAAUGGUUAAAGGCCUUCGUCCUUCAAAGCAUUAUUUCCCUUAGGGUAUAAUGAUCUUCAGACGAAGGUCAUGAAGGGCAUACCUUCAUCAUCUCAAUAUACAAAAAUAUAGGCAAGGACGUACAAAACAUAGAAAGACCAUGAUUAAUCAUAUUAAAUCAUUAAAUCAUGUAUAUAUUGACAUUAUAUAAUCAUGAACAAACAUUGAUGAUAUUAAGUUUGAAAGCACAUUCAUCCCUUUUGUGAGUUUUGGUGAUUUGGAUAACAACACAUUUAAAGGUCUAACGAGUUUGCUAAGUGUUGAACAGGAAAUUCAGUAUGAUGAACAUACUUGAAUAGUGUAUAAUGAUCAGUGAACAAAGGUUCAACACGAGGUUAAAUAACCAAUGAGACAAUGCAAAUGGAUAUAAUAUGAUCUCUAUAUUGGUUUGAAUAUAUGGACAAGACCUGAGAAAUCACUACAUACAUAUGACCAGAAUAGAGGACAAAGUGAUUUAGAGGAUUGGUCAAGCCAAAGAGAAUAAGAUAUGAGGAAUCGUGAAUUGGCUUGACCAUAUUACUAUCAGUCCAUAUAUGCUUCUAUGAGAAUCAAACUAGAGCUUGAUUAAUCUUAACAGUUAUAUCUAGAAGACAUUCAAGCAAGGUUCACAAUAUUGAAGAAAUGAUUCUCUCAAUGGAUGCUCAAUAUGAUGUGACUCAAGAAUGGCUUGAUAGGGUGAAGAUAGCAAGGAAAGGGCUUCGAGGAACUAGGCGAAGGUGAAGGCCAAGCGACGGCUUAUAGACCGAGGUACCAUGGCUAAGGUGAAGAAGAGAGUACUUGCACUAAGUCGAUGAACUAAUCAGCUAUGAAGAGUUAUAACAUGUUGAUGCAUCAGUAAGGUGACUUGAAGCAAUGAUUUGAACUCAUAUAAGGUGAUAUGGUACAAGUCACAGGGUUUGGUUUGAGUUUGCUUCAAAAGGUGAGACAAAGAUGUUUGUGAUCCUUAUGAAGCAAUGCCAUGGAGAAAUCACACAUGAGACACCAAUGACUCAAGGAGUUUACUUCAUUUUAUUUUAUUUAACUUGAGUAUAGGAAUCGUCGUACUAUAAAGGGGGAUCCAAAAAGAAUGUUGGUGUUUGCCAAAGCUCAAACCUCUCUAUUCAAAAGCUAUUUUUGAAAAGCAAAAAUCUCUUUAACGUUCUAUGGUUGACCGUGGUUAGGGUUGAGAAACCUAGAGUGCUCUUGCUGAAAAGCAGCUGAACUUCUUCAACUGCAGCUGAGCUUUCCAGCUGAACUUGACUUCAGCUCAGUUGAGCUUCUUCAGCUGCAGCUGAGCUUUUCAGCUGAGCUGAACUUCAGCUGAGUUGAGCUUUCUCAACUUCAGCUGUGAACCUCUUUGACCAUACACCAGCUGAACUUGCCUCCGGGCAGUUGAGCUGGGAUUUUCUCUCCUAAACUCACUGGUCAAGACCGGUUGAACUGGUCCUAAGGGGCAGUUCAGCUGGUCUCUGACCCCUCUGACCUCUGAUCUGCAGUCUGCCAGUCAGACUGGCAAACAGGUCGCCAGGAGCUGUUAGGGGCGGUUCAACCGCCCCGCCUGGGCGGUUCAACCGAUGUUGGUCAACUUUGACCAGUCUGCGGUCAGUCUGCGCGUCAGUCUGCCAGGCCUGCCAGGGGCGGUUCAACCGCCCUAGGGGGCGGUUCAACCGGUCUCAGGCAGAAAAAUCUGCCCAAACGGCUAGUUUUAAGCUCCACCUAUAUAUACUCACUCCUACCUCUCACCCCACAGCAGGGAGCACGAUUUGAACUCCAUUUCUAACCCAAGAAACACCUCCCUCUCUCUCUCACACAUCUCUUGCCUCUCCCAUUUCAAAUCUUUGGAGAGAAAUCUUUGAGUGAGCUUGAGAGCUGCGGUUUUGUGCUUCAUCUCUAAAUCUCUCUUGCUCUUCUUCUUGAUUCGAGCUUUGGUACUACAUUGAGUUCUUUGUGGAUUCAUUACUCUUGGAGCUUCUAGCUCCUAGACGACUAGGUGUCUCUUGUGAGUCUCCAAAUCUUGUGGAAGACCACAAGAAAGUUUGUAUUACCCGCUCGUUUGAGCAAAGAUUAGUGUGUGAGCUUGACCUUUGUGGUCGGCAAAGGGAGGAUUAGGGUUGAAAGAGACCCGGCUCUUUGUGGGCGCCUCAACGAGGAAGUAGGGCACCUUGGUGGUGUGACCAAACCUCGGGAUAAAUCUUGUGUCUUUUGUGUUCUUGUUCAUUGUGCUUAUUCGUGUUCUUCGUUCUCUCACCAUUGCGUGGAAGAUUUGUUCAUAUCUUUUUGGUGUGUGGAUUUUGAGAAGUGCCCUUCUCAGAUCUACUACUUUGAACCCUGUGGAUCAUUUAGAACAUCUCAUUUCCAAAGUUAACUGGGUGAAUUUUGAGAUCAAUUCAGUUUUAUAUCUCAUUGUUUAGUUAAGCUCGUUCAAACCAGUUGCACCGGUUUUGACACUCGACGGUUUUACCUAGUUUGUUUCUAGUUUUUGUUGAAAAAGUUUUAACUUGCCUAUUCACCCCCCCACUAGACAACUUUUAAUUGGUAUCAGAGUCUAAUCCUCGUUUUAACGCUUAACCGCGUGAGGAAAGAUCAUGUCGGGGGGACUAAGAAACGAAAGUUCUUCUAAGCUUGAAAAAGUUGAGGUUGCCUCGACUUCAUCUUUUGGUGCAGAUGUUGAUCCUAGGGCAAUAGACCUUGCCAUGAGAAUCGCCGAAAGGAUGUUCCUCAAAAUGAAGGAAGAUGAGGCGAAGAACAUUAUUGAAGAAGAAGAAAAUGAUCGAUGGAGACCAAACGACGAAUCCACCUCUUCACAAGGUUCAUCUUUCAAAUCCACUUCUCAUAUGUGCUUUGUUGCUAAUGAGAGUGACAGUGAAAGCGAAAGUGAGGAUGAGGAGAAGCAUGAAAGUGAUAGUGAAGAUGAGGAUGAUCUUCAAAAAUUCUUCGCUCAACUAAGUAAGAAGAACUGGAUGAGCUUGCUCAAACUCAUGAAAAGAGCGGAAGAACAAAAGGAAAUGCUUCAUAAGCAAGAAGAUAUCCUCAUCGAAAAAAUCAAAGACUUGGAGAAGUUGACCAAAGAGCAUGAGAAGCUAAAGUGCUCUCAUGAUGAUUUGGUCCAAAGGUAUGAAGUCAUUUCAAUUGAGCAAAUUAAAGCUAUUAAUCAUUCAUCAUAUAUUGCUCAAUUAGAAAAUAAAAAUGCUAUGCUCAAGAACACAGUAGAAAAGCUAAACAUUGAAAAUCUAGCUUUGCAAGAAAAACAUGAUAUACUUGUAUGCUCUCAUAAUAAAUUUAUGGAUUCACAUAUCAUGUUAGAAAUGGCUCAUGAGGUUGUGUUAACUAAUUUGAAAUCAUACCAACCUCACAUGUGCACAUGUGUUGAAAUUGAAACUAUAUUACCAUGUGCUAACAAUUAUUGUUAUCAAGCAAGCCAAUCUUCCAUUGAGCUAGAAAUUUCAGGAAUUAGUGAUAUUUCUAUCACACAAGAAAAUAAAGAGCUCAUGGAAGAAGUUGGAAGGCUAAGAAGGAGCUUAACUCUUUUGAAGGGAAAGUGUCAUGCUCAACCUUCUCACGAUAACCGUGAUAACAUGGUGAAGAAGCUUGAGAAGGGGACAAACGUAGCAUGCACAAUCCCGCUUCAAAAUAAUGCUAAGUUCCCUAAGAAAGGCAUGAGCAAACAUCAAUAGAAGAAAGCCAAAGCUCAUGACAAGUGCCUCAACCAUGCCUCCACAUGCUCCACACAAGGUAACAAACAAGCCACUCUUCCAAAUAAGAGAAGAUGCACUAGAAAGUGUUAUCAAUGUCAUGAGAAGGGACAUGAGAUUAAGUCAUGUCCUUACAUAAAAGAUAGUGGUUUACCUUUGGAAAGAAAGAGGCUCACUAACCAUGUAGCAAACAAGAAGCAAGGCAAGAAGGAGUCUUGCAAAAUUAAAAAUCAUAUUUGCUACACUUGCCGAAGAAAGGGACACCUUUGCAAGGAUUGUCCCAUGAGUAAGUAUCCUAAGUCUACCAUGUCAAUUCAUUCAUAUUCGCUUAGGAGACCCAAAAAUGACACUUGUGCUAGAAAGGUAAUUAGUUCACCUAAAACUAGCACAAAGGCCAUUUGGGUGCCUAAGUACUUGUUAGCUAACCUUGGUGGACCCAUCCAAAGAUGGGUACCAAAAUGUACUUGAUAAGUUUUGCAGGUACCCACAUAUGAUAUGAAGCUUUGGGGUGCUUGAGCGGUUUAACUCAAUUCUUAUCUCAAGCUAUCAAUCUUACAUUGUCUAUCCUUUAAGAUUGACCCAAAGAUGAAUUGAGUUGUUAUAUCACUAACUUCAUAUUCAUCUCUAGCAAGAACUUGUGUUGUAGGGAAUAAGGAUUAACCUUUGUGGGAAUCAAGCAAAAGGCCUACAACCAAGUGAUAUCCAAAGGAUGGUAACAAUUAAUUCUUAAGUGCACAUUGCUUUUAACGAAUAAUGAAGCACUUGAGAAUGAACUUAAAAGAUUUUACCUUGCUUUGGAAAGGAUCUAAUUAUAUGGUAGAUUGCAAGUUCAUAUUUUUAUAUUAUGACAAUCUACAUGCUUUAAAUUGGUUGUAUAUAUCUUGUGGCAUAUUUCAAAUUGAUUAUCGUAUUAUUGCCAUGACCUAGACAUAAAGAGGAUUAUCCCAUGUUCUUAAAUGAAUAGAGUGCUAAGUAAGAAAUUCAAAUUCUUAAAGCACUUACCAAAAGGGAAUUCUCUAUAUGGCUAGAGUUGUGAGACUAAUGUUUCUAUCCAAGUGUUUAUGUAGUCUCACAACAUGAGAAUGUGUUUCCCAAAUGGAGUGUGCCAUUCAACAUUCAAAGAAGAUCGAACCAAUACUAUGUGAUGUAUUCAUUCUUGUUUAAAUUGGUUUUGAGUCUUCUACAUUAAUCACUCAUCAUGUUAUAAAUUAAACUUGCCCUAUAAACUUAACUAAAUAAUCAUGCUAUUUUCACCAUGUUUAAAUCAGUGUUAUGCAUGAUGCUUGUAAGGGUAAUUUAGUUCAUAUCAUGAGGUUUCCUUAUUUUAGUAACCUUCUUGUCAUACAUAUACUAAAGGUUGCUAAAUAGGAAGUUAUUGCUUGUGUUUUAAAUGCAGUCUCUUUUAAGAUAUUUCAUGGAAAUUCAUAAGUAGAGAUUGUGCUCUUUCAAUUGGUAAAAUCACAAGCAUUAAAGGUUAAUCUUCACCCAAAAGAAAGAUUAGGAAUGCUCAAGGCAAAGGUAUGGAACUAAUUGCUUUAAUUGGUUGUUGAUCAAUGGUAGUUCCUUUCAAGUGUCAUUCUUUCAAUUGGUAAUAAUAUAUUCUAUGGAAAUAAAUGCCAAUAUGAAGGUUAAAUUCCUUUUGACUUAAAUUUGUAAAUUGGUGCAUAUUAUUAAUUCUCUCAUCCAUGUGCAUUAAUUUAAAAGGAAUUUAAUUUAUGCCUGUAUGCCCAUAAAUGAUGAUUUGCUUGCCAUUCAUAUAUAGAUAUCAUCAUUCAUUAAAUACUUCCUUGUACUACUAAUACCUCUUUUCAAAGUGUUUUAUCGACUAGUUUUAAAAGGAAAAGAGAUAACAAAGAAGGAAGUCUCCACAAAUGAUGAAAAGAAGAAUAAUAAGGUGACACCACCAUAGAUAGUAAGAUCUGUCAAAUUGGUAUAACAAAUGGUACAUUCUAUAUGGUGGUAAGUAUUCUUAGGCAUAAGUUAAUUCAUUGUAAAUUUGUCAUGCCUCGACAAUGAUAUGUAAUGUACUCCUCAUGAGACCCUUAUCUGAAUUGAAAGUGCAUGUGGUAAGUCAUUCAAAUACUUUAUGCACAUAUCUAGUGGGAGAACAUUAUAUAUCUUGUGUCAUAGAGAAUAAGUUUCACUUGAGUAAGCUAUACUAAGACAAUCCAAAAUGGUAAAUUUGUAUCUCAUUCAUAUGGAUUGUAAUCUUUGUUUUCUAAAUAGCUACUCUUGAUGCAGUUUAAAAUUCCCUUAUCGUUAAUUCUAAAAGUGCAUAAGAAUCUUUUUGUUGAUAUUCAUCACAUACAUAUGCACUAACAUGGAUAUGAUUUUUAAACUGUAAAAGGUACAAUUAGUGAUCCAUACUCUCUAAAUUUUGGAAACCCAUAUUUUGAUAUCUUAGAAAUCUACUUCAAUCAAUAUCCAUAUGCUUCACAUUGAAUUGGAUCACUAAGUUGUAAAUUCCAUGCAUAACUUGUCUUCAUGAUAUGAAUGCUUGUGCGAUUAACCUUGAUAAGCUAGGUGCACCCAAGGUCAAUCUAGGUUCAUCAUCAAGAAGGCAACACAAUGAUGUAUCAAGAAAAGGAGAAAAGGCUCCUAUUCUUAACUCUAACUUUUAUCUGUGUGAUUAAAUAUUGACUUGAAAUCGUGUAAGAUGGUUGUCAAGUAUAUGUGGGUGCCUACACAAAGAGAAAGGCCACAAUAAGGAUUGUGUGGGUACUCAAGGCUCUUACUACUAAUCUCAAAGGACCCAAUUCAAAUUGGGUACCAAGAUAUGAAGCUUAAACUUGUUUUGCAGGAUCACUCCUUCAAUGGAUCAAGUUGGGUGCUUGAUAAUGAAUGUAUAAUUCACAUUUGGAGAUAGUAGCAAGGGUGUGGUAACAACUGAAUCUCAAGUGCAUAUUAUUUUCAAAUCUUAUCUCUUUUGUGACUUGUGUAGCCACUAAAGAAAAAGAAGCACUUGAGGAUAUACAUCAGUUGUUGAUUAUGAAAUAAAGGUCCAAUUGGAAGAUGAAUGAAUAUUAUCAUAUGGUCAACAAUCCAAAAUUGUGUGACAUAUUCUCUAUCUAGUUAAUUUGGAUUUGAUUCUUCUAUAUUAGACACUCACCAUAAUAUGGAUUAAGCCAUCCCUUUAGACUUUAUUGAAUAACUAUGCAUAUUAUACAUGUCAUUCAAAAUAUAUUGUGCAUGAGGGCUCAAGGGAAAUUCAGUCCAUAUUAUGAGGUUUCUUUAUUUUAGCAACUCGCUUGCCUUCCACAUAUAAAGGGUUGCAAAAUAAGAAACUAGUGCUUGUGCUACUAAUGCCAUCUCUUGUGUUGAGUUUAUCCAUAGAAAAUCUAUGUUAAGAGAUGGUGCUUGUUUUAAAUUGGGUAAAUCACAAGCUUAAAGGACACUAUUCAACUAAAGUAAGAUGAAGUUGAUAAGAUGCCAAGGUAUGGAAACUUCCUCUCCUUCAGUUGUUUUAGUAUUCUAUCCUUAGUGGGAUGUACCAUAGUAUAGGUUAAAUUCCUUGCAAUGUAAAAUGUUCAAUAGUGCAUAUAACUUUGACAUUAACUAUAUGUGUGCACUAAUUUAAAGGAAUUUAGUCUAUCCUUUUCGGUUUCAAUAAUGAUGAUUCAUUUGCCAUCCACAUAUAAGGAUCAUCAUUUGUGAAACCCUCCCUUGUGUUUCUAAUGCUCUCUUUUCUAAGUGUUUCAAUAAGGUCCUUCCAAGUGCUUUCAAGAUGGAUUCAAAAUCUAUGGAUAAGAGUCUUGGUUCUUUCAAUCAUUGAGUUUCAAUGAAUCUCAUAUCAAGUAUGAUCGAAUCAAGAAAAGAUGAAAGAAGUUCAUGAUCACUUGGUUGGAUGAAAUCGUAAAAAGAAAAGAGAUCACAGUGAUUCAAGAAGGGAGUUAUAUUUUUUGUCAACCAAAUAAUGAAGAUGCAGUGACAUAUUUAUAUGAUAUCCUUCAUUAUGAGGUUUGAGGUUCAUAUUAGCAUGCUUUACCCUUCAAGAUUUCAAUUGAUAUACUUUUAGUUCUUAAAUCUUCAAUUGGUUUAAUUUUCGUCCUCUAUAUAAAGCAUGUUAUGUUAAGCCAAGAUAUAGUACAAACAUCUCCUUUAACCUCACAUUGUUAAUGUGCAUAAGUGUACUUUGUGUACUCUUGCAUGCACAAAUUGAGGGAGAGUUUAGCCUAUAUCUUGUGAGACUAAUGAUUUCUUUCAAGUUCAUGUUGUGUAGUCUCACACCUUGGAGAACAUCAAAUGAGGUUGAAUGGUUCCAUAGAAAUGAAAAUGAGUUUCUCUUGAACCUAUCAAGAAAAUGAGUUUCUCUUGAUCGUUUGAAGAGGAUGAGUUUCUCUUUGAAAUGUCAAGCCUAUCAAAAGCUAAAAUAGAAAUUCAUGAUUAUAAUGAAGACCAUAUGGCAUGGAACAAAGGUGUGUCACUCCAUGAACUAUUGUAUUAUAUGUGUAUCUAGGCUCUUACAAGUUAGUGUAUGCAUGUAAAUGCAAUAUCUUAAGUCACAUCAUAAGGUUGCACUUGAAUCUUGGCUUAAAAUAUUGCAUAUCAUGCCUAUUAGUAUACCUUUUUUAUUAUGAGUAAUUCCUUAAAUUGGUGCAAUUUCAUAUUUUCAUACUUUAUUUGUACCAAGGUUCAAAUUGUAGAACUUAAUCCCCUGGCCUCACAAGUCCAAGUGCAUAAGCUAAACAAGUAUUCAUCACUUGUAUGCAUACAUUUAGGGGGAGAAUGGUCUAUAAUUUGAAUCUUUGAGACUAACUUCAUUUUCAAGUCUAUUAUGUGUGUAGUCUCAAAUUAGAAAGGGAUCUUCAAGCAAAGACAAUCGCUUCCACUGCAAAAUUUGAUGGGCAUCAAAGAUUCUUUGCUCCAAUAAAUGUAUCUUUUAUACAUUUCAUAAGAGAAUGAGUUUCUCUUUUAUAUGCUACUCCAACAUCAUCUAAAACUGGUAAACAUGUAUCACAUCCUUUUGGAUUGCAAAUGUCUGAAGUAGCAUAGCUUAUAAAUUCUCCUGUCUAGAACUUAAUUGAUUAAAUAGUGCACAUGUUUCUUAUGUUGCAUGAUUAUGUUCAAUUGAUACUCCUUUUAUGCCAAUGGUACUUUAAGUUGCAAAUAAGUACUCUCAACAGAUAUCAAUUGAAUUCAUAUAUGUGUGUGCACUAAAACUUGAGGAGAACUUAGUGUAAUAUGCUAUUAGUGAUCUAUUUAUCUAUCAAAUUGUAUCAAUUGGUGUUUUUCAAUUGAUAUUUUUCAUACAUGAUCACUAGUUGCAUAAUCCAUACUUGUGCAAUUUUCAUGUUGCCUCUUGUUGUGAUAAGAAAAUGCUAGGUGACAUCUAGACUCCAGGUAUCAAGAUUUAUCUUUCAGUUAGUAUGACAAUCUUCAUUUGAUAUCUUGGACCUAUGUCACAAAUUAUGCCAACAAGAGCUUGCAAAUGAAUUCUAAAUCCAACACAAGUCUGGAAACCCCUUGAAAAGGUAAAACGCAAAGGUACAUCACUUAUGACACUUAUCCAUUACCUUUGUGCCAUCUAAGGAUCCCUUUCAUGAUAGUGUGUUCACAUCUCGCUUAAUCAUAAUUUCUAUCCUUUAUAUUCUUUGUAUCCUUUUUGGAGAUUUAUGUCAAAGGGGGAGAAAUUGUGCAUUAAAGCUUACCUUUAGUCUUAUGUAACUAAGUGUUAGAAGACUUUUAAAAAGGGGAGAAAUAAUUAACAAAAAGGGGAAGUCAUAAGAAAAACAUAAGAUGAAGAGAGUUGAUAAGUGCAUUCCAUGUCAUGAGCAUCACGUUUAUUUUAUGACACACUGCACCCUAUGAAUAGUAUGAUAUAAGUUGUCUAUACUUUGACCUAAAUAUGUGCUUUUGGCAUUUGAGUACAUAAGUGUCAUUUUCUGAAAUGCACAUAUUUAGGGGGAGGAAACUAUAUCAUAGGAUUUAAAAUCUUAUUUAUCAAAUCUUAUGUAAGCUUUAAAUGUGUUGUCAUCAAUCACCAAAAAGGGGGAGAUUGAAAGUGCAUUCAUCCCUUUUGUGAGUUUUGGUGAUUUGGAUAACAACACAUUUAAAGGUCUAACGAGUUUGCUAAGUGUUGAACAGGAAAUUCAGUAUGAUGAACAUACUUGAAUAGUGUAUAAUGAUCAGUGAACAAAGGUUCAACACGAGGUUAAAUAACCAAUGAGACAAUGCAAAUGGAUAUAAUAUGAUCUCUAUAUUGGUUUGAAUAUAUGGACAAGACCUAAGAAAUCACUACAUACAUAUGAUCAGAAUAGAGGACAAAGUGAUUUAGAGGAUUGGUCAAGCCAAAGAGAAUAAGAUAUGAGAAAUCGUGAAUUGGCUUGACCAUAUUACUAUCAGUCCAUAUAUGCUUCUAUGAGAAUCAAACUAGAGCUUGAUUAAUCUUAACAGUUAUAUCUAGAAGACAUUCAAGCAAGGUUUACAAUAUUGAAGAAAUGAUUCUCUCAAUGGAUGCUCAAUAUGAUGUGACUCAAGAAUGGCUUGAUAGGGUGAAGAUAGCAAGGAAAGGGCUUCGAGGAACUAGGCGAAGGUGAAGGCCAAGCGACGGCUUGUAGACCGAGGUACCAUGGCUAAGGUGAAGAAGAGAGUACUUGCACUAAGUCGAUGAACUAAUCAGCUAUGAAGAGUUAUAACAUGUUGAUGCAUCAGUAAGGUGACUUGAAGCCAUGAUUUGAACUCAUAUAAGGUGAUAUGGUACAAGUCACAGGGUUUGGUUUGAGUUUGCUUCAAAAGGUGAGACAAAGAUGUUUGUGAUCCUUAUGAAGCAAUGCCAUGGAGAAAUCACACAUGAGACACCAAUGACUCAAGGAGUUUACUUCAUUUUAUUUUAUUUAACUUGAGUACAGGAAUCAUCGUACUAUAAAGGGGGAUCCAAAAAGAAGGUUGGUGUUUGCCAAAGCUCAAACCUCUCUAUUCAAAAGCUAUUUUUGAAAAGCAAAAAUCUCUUUAACGUUCUAUGGUUGACCGUGGUUAGGGUUGAGAAACCUAGAGUGUUCUUGCUGAAAAGCAGCUGAACUUCUUCAACUGCAGCUGAGCUUUCCAGCUGAACUUGACGAGCUUCUUCAGCUGCAGCUGAGCUUUUCAGCUGAGCUCAACUUCAGCUGAGUUGAGCUUUCUCAACUUCAGCUGAACUCAACUUCAGCUGUGAACCUCUUUGACCAUACACCAGCUGAACUUGCCUCCGGGCAGUUGAGCUGGGGUUUUCUCUCCUAAACUCACUGGUCAAGACCGGUUGAACUAGUCCUGAGGGGCAGUUCAGCUGGUCUCUGACCCCUCUGACCUCUGAUCUGCAGUCUGCCAGUCAGACUGGCAAACAGGUCGCCAGGAGCUGUCAGGGGCGGUUCAACCGCCCCCCCUAGGCGGUUCAACCGGUGUUGGUCAACUUUGACCAGUCUGCGGUCAGUCUGCGCGUCAGUCUGCCAGUCAGACUGGCAGACAGGCUGCCAGGCCUGGCAGGGGCGGUUCAACCGGUCUCAGGCAGAAAAAUCUGCCCAAACGGCUAGUUUUGAGCUCCACCUAUAUAUACUCACUCCUACCUCUCACCCCACAGCAGGGAGCACGAUUUGAACUCCAUUUCUAACCCAAGAAACACCUCCCUCUCUCUCACACACAUCUCUUGCCUCUCCCAUUUCAAAUCUUUGGAGAGAAAUCUUUGAGUGAGCUUGAGAGCUGCGGUUUUGUGCUUCAUCUCUAAAUCUCUCUUGCUCUUCUUCUUGAUUCGAGCUUUGGUACUACAUUGAGUUCUUUGUGGAUUCAUUACUCUUGGAGCUUCUAGCUCCUAGACGACUAGGUGUCUCUUGUGAGUCUCCAAAUCUUGUGGAAGACCACAAGAAAGUUUGUAUUACCCGCUCGUUUGAGCAAAGAUUAGUGUGUGAGCUUGACCUUUGUGGUCGGCAAAGGAAGGAUUAGGGUUGAAAGAGACCCGGCUCUUUGUGGGCGCCUCAACGAGGAAGUAGGGCACCUUGCACUACACCAAAAUAGUAAACUUCCUAGAGCCUAAACUCUAGGAAGUUAGGCCUAAACUCUAGGAAGUUAGCUAAACUCUCGGAAGUUAAGCCAUCCCGUCGGAAGUUUGGCUCUCGGAAAUUUUUUGUCGGAAGUUAGCUUAACUUCCUAGAGGCCUCUAGGAAGUUAGCUAACUUCCUACAGCCAAAAAAGCCUCUCGGAAGUUAGUAGAUUCUCGGAAGUUAGUAGCUUCACGCCGUCAGCGCCGUCAGCUGACUAACUUCCUAUGGCUGACUGUAGCCCCUAGGAAGUUAGCUGGCUAACUUCCUACGGCUUAAUAAGCCUCUAGGAAGUUAAUUUGACCAGCAUUACAAAUGUUGUUUAUUUUUAUUUUACACCACAUUCCACAACAUAACAAAUAUAUCAACAGCUAUAUAGCACAACAUAUUUUCUCAUAAAACAUCUCACACACAAUCACAUAACCAUAUUUAAAUCCAUAGUCUCAUCAAUUACAUCACAAAAGUCUCAUCCAUAGUCUCAUCAAUUACAUCAUAAAAGUCUUAUCCAUAGUCUCAUCAAUUACAUCACAAAAGUCUCAUCCAUAGUCAUAAUAGGACACAUCUCAUCAUCCAGUACUAAUAAGAGACAAUAUCUCAUACAUAGUCAUAAAAGUCUCAUUACAAAUGCAGUUUGUACCAGGAUUCACCUUCAGAGUAUCUCCCUACAAAGCAGGAUGAGCGCUAACGUCAGUGGAACCAAACUAAAAUGAAAGAGAGGAUUGGAACUAGAGUAUAAACCUUUUAAAAAUUUCAGAACAUAGUACCUUUGAAAAGAUUCAUUCUUGCAUCUGGUGGACCACAGUUAUCAGAUAAGUGAUACUUUCCUGAAAGUAUACCCAUUGCCAUUGGGUUGUAAGGCAGCAAGCUGAUUCUGCAAAUGCCAUAGUUCGACAAUGGAAGUUCAGAAGAAAAACAAUUGUAUAAAUUGAGUCAAAACAGAAUACAAUUUGGAAAAUAUCUUAACCAAGAGCAAAUACGAUAUGACAAUGCCAUUCUUCUUUAAACUAAACAGAUGUCAAUAUUUUUUCGAACAUGCAGGAGAGCUAUGUAUCGUUGUAUCAUAGUCAUAGAGAGUAAAAAAAGCCAAUAUGCAUUACCAACUCAUGCCAGGACCAUACAUGAGAAGAUUAGAGACACUGAAGACAACAGUCAGGGCUUCUGACCAUGUCAAGCAUACCUCUCAUGAUGGCAGCAUUCUGCCAAUCCAGAAUCAAAAUUUUGGCACAACAAAUUAUACAAGUUCUACAAAAACAUAGGUGAAGAAAUAUGGAGAGCGAUUACAGUACUACAGAUUAGAUCAAACUAUGCUACUUACCUGCAUUGUCAGUAGCUUUGGAAGCAACUGAGAAUCCUUACUGAACUAAAGAAAUUUCAUCAAACCAUAUGGUGUAUCAUUGGAACAGACGUGUACUGGCAGUUCGGAUCAUACUCUGUCUCCCCAAACAUUGGAACAUACCUGCAAGUAGAAAAAAACAGUGGAUCAUACUCUGUCUCCUCAUAGCCGAAGCUAAGUAUGCAACAACAAUUAUUCGAGGAAAAACUCUACUAACAUCUAUGUAUCGUCACUAAGGGUGACUAUUUAUGCAAUUUGUAUUACAAAAACUUAGAUCAUGCCUAGAGCAGAAGUAACAAGCGUUCGAAUUAAACAAUCAAUUCCUAAAGACACAACCACACUAGCGAGCAUCUGAGCACAAGAGCAAAUAUGAGGUUUUGCAGAGUGAACACAGAACAAAAAGGUCUACCAAUUGACCACCUGCCAUCGAUUGCCGCUGCGAUGUUCCGUGAAUCGAGAGAUGACGGCCUGCCGCGAAUCCACGUCAUCUGCCAUGAAGGCCCCGCGACCUGUUCUCCCAGCAUAGCGUCACCAAACAAAGCACCAAGUUGAGUUCACCGCUCCGUCACAAAAUUCACAAUACAUACAAGCAACUGAAGUACGGGCAGGAUCUGAGGGCUGUUGCUCCCUUUGGUUGCGACAACGAUGCUGUCCGGUGGGGCCCGGCGGGCCCGCAACCAGCGGCCGAGGAGCUCCUCACUACGCCCGUGCGUCUUGCUGCGUUGUGGAACCGAGUACCUGACGAGUAUCUGGAUUCGGGGCCGGGGGCGGCGGGCGGGGCCGAAGGUGGGCCGAGGUGGGGGCGGCCGCGGUGGAUGGGGCUGGUGGUGGCUGCGUCCGCGGUGGGUGGGGUCGGGGCGAGGGCGUCCGCGGCGGACGGGGUCGGGGGCGGCCGUGGCGAGGGCGGGCAGGGGCGGCCGCGACGUGGGCGGUCGGUGGCGUGGGCGGUGAGGGCGACUGGCGACUGGCGGCUGGCGGGGCCGGAGGCGGGCCUUGGCGGGGGCGGCCACGGUGGAUGGAGCCGAGGGCGGUGGCGUCCGUGGUGGACGGGGCUGGGCCAGGGGCGUCCGCAGCGUACGGGGCCGGGGGUGGCCGCGGCGGGGGCAGGGGCGGGCGGGGGCGGCCGGUGGCGUGGGCAGCGGGGGCGGCGGGCGGCGGGCGGCUCCAUGGAAGAGACAAAGGCGAGAGAGAUGGGGUUGAGAAAUGUGAGAGAAGAGAUAAGGUUGAGGAGAGGUUUAAAAUAAAAAAUAACUUCCUAGAGUAAAGCCGUAGGAAGUUACGUAACUUCCUAGAGUUUGUACAUUUACUCUAGGAAGUUAAAUAACUUCCUAGAGCCGACCGUAGGAAGUUAGCUUUUCGUUUGACUGGUCAAAAGCUGAAAUCUAACUUCCUAGAGCUGGUCGUAGGAAGUUAGCUUUUCGUUUGACUGGUCAACAGCUAAAACCUAACUUCCUAGAAGAGGCCGUAGGAAGUUAGCUGGGCAGCUAACUUCCUAGAGCCAGCCGUAGGAAGUUAGCUUUUCUUUUGGCUGGUCAAUAGCUAAAACCUAACUUCCUAGAGCAGGCCGUAGGAAGUUAGCUAACUUCCUACGGUUUUUUAACUUCCGACAGCUUUUAUAAAAGACCGUAGGAAGUUAGGUUUAUUUCCUAGAGCUACCAGUUGCCUCUCGGAAGUUAUUUAUUUCCUACGGUUUGUUACAAAAGCUGUAGGAAGUUAAAAAACCGUAGGAAGUGUAUGAUUUUGGUGUAGUGUUGGUGGUGUGACCGAACCUCGGGAUAAAUCUUGUGUCUUUUGUGUUCUUGUUCAUUGUGCUUAUUCGUGUUCUUCGUUCUCUCACCAUUGCGUGGAAGAUUUGUUCAUAUCUUUUUGGUGUGUGGAUUUUGAGAAGUGCCCUUCUCAGAUCUACUACUUUGAACCCUGUGGAUCAUUUAGAACAUCUCAUUUCCAAAGUUAACUGGGUGAAUUUCGAGAUCAAUUCAGUUUUAUAUCUCAUUCUUUAGUUAAGCUCGUUCAAACCAGUUGCACCGGUUUUGACACUGGACGGUUUUACCUAGUUUGUUUCUAGUUUUUUGUUGAAAAAGUUUUAACUUGCCUAUUCACCCCCCCUCUAGACAACUUUCAAAGUUACAUUAGUACCUUCGACUUGACAGAAGGUAAAAGUCCGAGGGUUACGUGCGAGCGAUUACAAGUCAGCGUGAACAGUAUGGUGUUACUGUUCAUCUAUUUAUAGGCACAAGACGUAGCCUGGGUAAAAUUACAUUCAUGUCCCUGACACUUACUAUUAGCUAAAAGGUAAGAUGUCGAGGACUAAGCAGUCUUUUCCCUUUUAAGUCGGUUUCAUUCUCCAUCGUCAUCUUUGCGCUAAGCCGAAGCUUUUCCAUCCACAGCUUCGGAACUGGUCCAUCCUUCUUCCAGGUCGCGCCUUUCAUACUAUGUACACCUUCAUCUCAAAGCCAAAGCCUCCUGUGACAGUAUACUAUACUGGAAGACAUGUUAGUCAUGUUUUUGAGGACCAUCGAAAGACAAAGGCCCCCAAUAGAGAUGAGAAUGUUAGAUUAAGUGCUACGAUAGAGGAAUUAAAUGUUUGCAAACCCUCUACAUCUAAUGUUGAUCAUGUUUCUAUUUGCACUAGAUGUAUAGAGAUUAAUGUAGAAGCUAUUGAUGAUCACCUUGCUAUGAUUAAACAACAAAAUGAUCACAUAGCUAAAUUAACUGCUAAAAUUGUCGAGCAUGAGCUAGAAAAUGAAAAAUUUAAAUUUGCUCGUAGUAUGCUCUAUAACGGGAGAUGCCCUAGCAUUAAGGAUGGCAUUGGUUUCCAACAGGGGAGCAAUGUCAAGCUUAAUGCCCCUAAAAAAUUAUCUAACUUUGUAAAGGGCAAGGCUCCCAAGGUUCAGGAUAGUGAAGGCUACAUUUUAUAUCCUGCUAACUAUCCUAAGCAGAAAAUUAGGAGAAUUCAUGCUAGAAAACCUCACACUGUUUCUCAUCAUGCAUUUAUGUAUAAAAAUGAGGCUUCUAGCUCUAGGCAAUCAACUCAUGUUAAAUUGCCUAAAACGAAAACUCCCACUGCAUCAAAUGAACACAACAUUUCAUUUAAGACUUUUGAUGCUUCAUAUGUUUUAACUAACAAAUUAGGCAAAGUAGUUGCCAAAUAUGUUGAGGGCAAACACAAGAGCUCCAAAACUUGUGUUUGGGUACCCAAGGUGCUUGUUUCUAAUGUGAAAGGACCCAAGACCGUUUGGGUACCUAAGAACAAGGCCUAAAAUUGUUUUGUAGGUUUAUGCAUCUGGUGGUUCAAGUUGGAUAAUCGAUAGCGGGUGCACAAACCACAUGACAGGGAGAAGAGAAUGUUCUCCUCCUAUGAGAAAAAUGAAGAUCCCCAAAGAGCUAUCACAUUCGGGGAUAGAAAUCAAGGAUUGGUCAAAGGUUUGGGUAAAAUAGCUACAUCUCCUGACCAUUCUAUUUCCAAUGUUUUUCUUGUAAAUUCUUUAGAUUACAAUUUGCUUUCUGUUUCUCAAUUAUGCAAAAUGGGCUACAACUGUCUAUUUACAGAUGUAGGUGUUACUGUCUUUAGAAGAUGUGAUGAUUCAAUAGCAUUUAAGGGAGUGUUAGAGGGUCAGCUAUAUUUAGUUGAUUUUAAUGAGAACAAAGCUGAACUUAACACUUGCUUAAUUGCUAUGACUAAUAUGGGUUGGCUCUAGCAUCGUCGACUAGCCCAUGUUGGAAUGAAGAAUCUUCAUAAGCUUCUAAAGGGAGAGCACAUUUUAGGACUAACAAAUGUUCAUUUUGAGAAAGACAGGGUUUGUAGUUCAUGCCAAGCAGGAAAGCAAGUUGGCGCUCAUCAUCCACACAAGAACAUAAUGACGACUGACAGACCGCUCGAGCUACUCCACAUGGAUUUAUUUGGCCUGAUAGCUUACAUAAGCAUCGGUGGGAGUAAGUACUGUCUAGUUAUAGUGGAUGAUUAUUCUCGCUUCACUUGGGUAUUCUUUUUGCAAGAAAAAUCACAAACCCAAGAGACCUUAAAAGAAUUCUUAAGAUGGGCUCAAAAUGAGUUUGGAUUAAGGAUAAAAAAUAUAAGAAGCGACAAUGGGACAGAGUUCAAGAAUUCACAAAUAGAAGGAUUUCAUGAGGAUGAGGGCAUCAAGCAUGAGUUCUCUUCUCCCUACACACCUCAACAAAAUGGUGUAGCGGAGAGGAAUAAUAGAACUCUACUGGACAUGGCAAGAACCAUGCUUGAUUAGUACAAGACACCGGACCGGUUUUGGGCUGAGGCGAUUAACACCGCCUGCUACUCCAUCAACCGACUCUACCUUCACCGAAUCCUCAAGAAGACAUCAUAUGAACUCCUCACUGCUAAAAAGCCAAAUGUUUCAUAUUUUAGAGUCUUUGGGAGUAAAUGCUUUAUUCUUGUUAAGAGAGGUAGAAAAUCUAAAUUUGCUCCUAAAGCUGUAGAAGGCUUUUUACUUGGUUAUGACUCAAACACAAGGGCAUAUAGAGUCUUCAACAAAUCCACUCGAUUGGUUGAGGUUUCUUGUGACAUUGUGUUUGAUGAGACUAAUGGCUCCCAAGUGGAGCAAGUUUAUCUUGAUGAACUAGAUGAUGAAGAGGCUCCAUGCGUCGCGCUAAGGAACAUGUCCAUUGGGGAUGUGUGUCCUAAGGAAUCCAAAGAGCCCACACAAGCACAAGAUCAACCGUCAUCUUCCAUGCAAGCAUCUCCACCAACUCAAGAUGAGGAUCAGGCUCAAGUUGAUGAAAAUGAAGAUCAAGAGGAUGAGCCACCUCAAGAGGAGGACAAUGAUCAAGGGGGAGAUGAAGAGAAUAAAGACAAGGAAGAUGAUCAAGAAAUUCAGGGACAAAGACCGCCACAUCCAAGAGUCCACCAAGCAAUUCAACGAGAUCACCUCGCCAACUCCAUCCUCGGUGACAUUCAUAAGGGGGUAACCACUAGAUCUCGAGUUGCUCAUUUCUGUGAACAUUACUCUUUUGUUUCCUCUAUUGAGCCAUACAUGGUAGAGGAUGCACUAAGAGAUCUAGAUUGGGUGCUGGCAAUGCAAGAGGAGCUCAAUAACUUCACGAGGAAUGAGGUAUGGCAUUUAGUUCUAGGUCCUAAUCAAAAUGUUGUAUGUACCAAGUGGGUAUUCCGCAACAAGCAAGAUGAGCAUGGUGUGGUGACAAGGAACAAAGCUCGACUUGUGGCCAAAGGUUAUUCACAAGUCGAAGGUUUGGAUUUCGAUGAAGCUUAUGCACCCGUAGCUAGGCUUGAGUCAAUUCGAAUAUUACUUGCCUAUGCUACUUACCAUGGCUUUAAGCUUUAUCAAAUGGAUGUAAAAAGUGCCUUCCUUAAUGGACCUAUCAAGGAAGAGGUCUAUGUUGAGCAACCUCCCAGCUUUGAAGAUAGUGAGUACCCUAACCAUGUGUAUAAACUCUCAAAGGUGCUUUAUGGGCUCAAGCAAGCCCCAAGAGAAUGGUAUGAAUGCCUGCGACAUUUUCUUAUCACUAAUGGCUUCAAAGUCGAAAAAGACGAUCCUACUCUCUUUACUAAAACUGUUGCAAAAGAUUUGUUCGUAUGCCAAAUUUAUGUUGAUGAUAUUAUAUUUGGGUCUACUAACAAAUCAACUUGUGAAGAGUUUAGUAGGAUCAUGAUACAAAAAUUUGAGAUGUCAAUGAUGGGGAGUUGAAGUAUUUUCUAGGAUUUCAAAUCAAACAACUCCAAGAUGGUACCUUCAUCAACCAAACAAAGUACAUUCAAGACAUACUUAAGAAGUUUGGGAUGAAGGAUAGCAAACCCAUCAAAACACCCAUGGGAACCAAUGGGCAUCUCGACCUCGACAUGGGAGGUAAAUCCGUAGAUCAAAAGGUAUACCGGUCGAUGAUAGGAUCUUUACUCUAUUUAUGUGCAUCUCGACCGGAUAUUAUGCUUUCAGUAUGCAUGUGUGCAAGGUUCCAGGCAGAUCCUAAGGAAAAUCACCUUAGGGUCGUGAAGAGAAUCAUGAGAUACUUAGUUUACACUCCUAAGUUUGGGCUUUGGUACCCCAAGGGAUCCACUUUUGAUUUAAUAGGAUAUUCCUAUGCCGACUGGGCAGGGUGUAAAAUUGAUAGGAAGAGCACAUCAGGGACUUGUCAGUUUCUGGGGAGAUCCCUGGUGUCUUGGGCUUCAAAGAAACAAAACUCAGUAGCUCUUUCUACCGCCGAAGUCGAGUACAUUGCCGCAUGUCACUGUUGCACGCAAUUACUUUGGAUGAGGCAAACCCUUAGGGACUAUGGCUACAAAUUGAGCAAAGUCCCUCUCCUAUGUGAUAAUGAGAAUGCAAUCCGCAUGGCGGAUAAUCCCAUUGAACACAGCCACACUAAGCACACAGACAUUCGGUAUCACUUUCUGAGGGAUCACCAACAAAAGGGAGAUAUCGAGAUUGCUUAUGUGAACGCUCAAAACCAAUUAGCCGAUAUCUUUACCAAGCCAUUAGAUGAGAAAACCUUUAGCAAACUUAGGAAUGAGCUAAAUAUACUUGAUUCUCGGAUUUUUGAUUGAAACAUUGCACACAUAGCUCAUUUAUAUACCUUUGAUCAUGUCUCUUUCAUUCUGGUACAAAUGCAUAUUUCUUAUUAUGUACCAAGGCUACGACUAAUAUGUUUUCAAGUGUAUUUCUAUACUAAGUCGUAGAUUGAAAGGGAAAUGGAGUCUUCGGCAAAGAACAAGGCUUCCACUCCACAACUCUGACGGUAUUAUCUACCCUUUGCCGUUGUUCCUCCACUCUCAAUUGGUAUAACCAUUCACUCAUAUUUAUAUUACCAUUUGGGAGAAAGAUGCACAAAGGACUCUCAACGUCUCCGUUUUUGGUGAUUAAUGCCAAAGGGGAGAGAAUAUUAAGCCCAAAGCAAAAGGACCGCACCACCACCAAUUUCAAAAUUUUCAAAAUAAGGUUUUAAUUGAUUUUUUUCACAUUGGUAUCUAUGUGAUGGAAAUUUCUUCAAUUGGUAUUCAGGAGGGAGUUUUUAUUCAGGAGGUCAAUUUUCAAAUUAGUAUCUAUUUCAAAAACCCUCUUGAAAGCUAAGAGGAGAAUUUUAUUCAGGAGGGAGUUUUUAUUUAGUCAAAGGAAAAGCAUUUGAAACAGGGGGAGAAAUUUCAAAUCUUGAAAAUGCUUCUUGCAAUAUUAUUCAUAUACCUUUGACUAUUUGCAAAAAGACUUUCCAAAAAGAUUUGUAAAAACAAAACAAGUGGUGCAAAUGUGGUCCAAAAUGUUAAAUAAAAGAAAAAGCAAUCCAUUCAUAUCUAGUGAGAUUUCCAAAUGGUUUAACUUCAUGUAACCUAUGCACAAUCCAAAUGCAAACUAUUUACAUUUCUGCACUUAUUAUUUGCUUUGGUUUGUGUUGGCAUCAAUCACCAAAAAGGGGGAGAUUGAAAGGGAAAUAGGGUAAACCUUUUCCCAUAAUUAAUUUUGGUGGUUGAUCGUCAACACAAACACAUGGACUAACUAGUUUGUCUAGAACUCAUGUGUUACAGGUGCAUAAGGUUCAACAUAAACCAAUAAAAGAUUCAAGUUAGGGACUAAAUUUGAAACACAACAAAGAACUUGAGUGUGCUGUGGACUGGCGCACCGGACAGUGUCCGGUGCACCAGGGUCGUACGUACAAGUUCCAACCAGCCACUCUCGGGAAUUUAACAGCGCCCCUCCGCUAUAAUUCACCAGACUGUCCGGUGUGCCACAGGACUGUCCGGUGUGCUAGCGGAGCAACGGCUAACUCGCGCAACGGUUGACUCUGAUAGAAGCUACAAUGAGCAACAGUGCCGCGCAGAAGUUAGAACAGUGAAGUCAGAGGGGCACCGGACUGUCCGGUGUGGCACCAGACUGUUCGGUGCCGCAAGAGAACAAAGCUCCAACGGUCGCCCGAGCUCCAAACCCUAACGGUUGGGUGAUGUGGCGGUGCACCGGAUAGCGCACAGUACCUGUCUGGUGGCGCACCGUUCUCUCCGGUGCGCCCAUCGCCAGCAGCCUCCCCAACGGCUACCAAAGUGGUUGGGGGCUAUAAAUACCCCCAACCACCACAACUUCAAGCAUCCAAGUUUUCUGAAGAUCACAUUCAAUACAAGAGCUCUAGCAUUCACUCCAAGACAUAAUACAAAAGAUCAAAUCCUCUCCGAGUCCCAAAUUCAUUCCAAACACUUAGUGGCUUGUGAGAGAGAAUUUUGUGUUUAUUUGAGUUCUUGUCGCUUGGAUUGCCUUUCUUCUUUUCCAAUUCUUACUCUCAAGUGCUUUGUAAGCGAGGCAAGAGACACCAAGUGUGUGGUGGUCCUUGCGGGGGUCUUAGUGACCCAUGAGAUUAAGGAAGAAGGCUCACUCGGUCUAAGUGACCGUUUGAGAGAGAGAAAGGGUUGAAAUAGACCCGGUCUUUAUGACCUCCUCAACGGGGACUAGGUUCUUUGGAACCGAACCUCGGUAAAACAAAUCAUCGUGUCAUUCGCUUUAUUUUUUUGGUUGAUUUGUUUUCCCCUCUCUCCCGGACUCAGAUUUUAUUCUAACGCUAACCCCGGCUUGUAGUGUGUUUAAAGUUGUAAAUUUCAGUUUCCGUCUAUCCACCCCCCCUCUAGGCGACUUUCAAUUGGUAUCAAAGCUGGUACUUCAUUAGAGUCUAACCACUCGAAGUGAUGUCGGGAGGAUCCGCCAAGAGGGAGAUGGAAACGGGCACAAGCCACGGGAAGGCUCCAUCAAAGGAGUCCAGUGCCAAAGGAAGGGAGGAAUAACCUCCAUGAGUCAAGUCGCAUCGGAGUGGCGACAAGAAGAAGAAGAUGAAGAAAGUGGUCUACUACGAGACCGAUUCUUCGUUGCCAUCCACCUCCGGCUCCGAUGCGGCAUCCAUCACUUCUAAGCGCCAUGAGUGCAAGAAGUUUAGUAAGAUACCCCUACGCUAUCCCCGUAUUUCUAAAUGUGCUCCUUUACUUUCUGUUCCAUUAGGCAGACCACCAGUUUUUUAUGGUGAAGAUUAUUCUAUGUGGAGUGUUAAAAUGAAAGGUCAUCUAACCUCACUCCACGAAAGCAUAUGGGAUGUUGUUUAGUAUGGAGCGCAGGUACCACAGGUGGGGGAUAAGGACUAUGACUCGGACGAAGUCACCCAAAUAAGGCACUUUAAGUCCCAAGCAACUACUAUACUCCUUGCCUCUUUAAGUCGAGAGGAGUAUAACAAAGUACAUGGGUUAGAGACCGCCAAAGAAAUUUGGGACGUCCUCAAGACCGCACAUGAAGGGGACAAUGUGACGAAGAUCACCAAAAGGGAGACGAUCGAGGGAGAGCUCGGUCGAUUCGUCCUCAACCAUGGGGAAGAGCCGCAAGCCAUGUACAACCGGCUAAAGACCAUGGUGAACCAAGUGCGCAACCUCGGGAGCACCAAAUGGGAUGACCAUGAAAUGGUCAAGGUUAUUCUAAGAUCCCUCAUUUUUCACAAUCCUACGCAAGUUCAAUUAAUACGUGGUGAUCCUAGAUAUAAGCUAAUGUCUCCCGAGGAGGUUAUAGAAAAGUUUGUGAGCUUUGAAUUGAUGAUCAAAGGCUCCAAACAAAUCAUCAACUUGGAGCAAGGCGGCACCUCCACACCCGAGGUGCAACUCGUCGCAUUCAAAGCGACGGAGGAGAAGAAAGAAGAGUCUACAUCAAGUAGGCUCCCCAUCGACUCCUCCAAGCUUGACAACGAGGAGAUGGCACUCAUCAUUAAGAGCUUUCGCCAAAUCCUCAAGCAAAGGAAGGGGAAAGACUACAAGCCCUGUUCCAAAAGGGUGUGCUACAAGUGUGGUAAGCCCGGUCAUUUUAUUGCAAAAUGUCCUAUAUCUAGUGAUAGUGAUAGGGGCGACGACAAGAGGGGGGAGAAGGAGAAGAAGAGAUAUUACCAGAAGAAGGGCGGCGAUGCCCAUGUGUGUCAGGAAUGGGACUCCGACAUGAGCUCCACCGACUCCUCCUCCGACGAGGAUGUCACCAACAUCGCCGUCAACAAAGGUCUCCUCUUCCCCAACAUCGGCCACAAGUGCCUCAUGGCAAAGGACGGCAAAAGGAAGAAGGUAAAAUCUAGAGCCUCCACUAAAUAUACAACAUCUAGUGAUGAGAGUAGCUCUAGUGAAGAUGAGGAUAAUUUGCUUACCCUUUUUGCCAACCUUAACAUGCAACAAAAGGAAAAAUUAAAUGAAUUGAUAGUAGCCAUUCAUGAGAAGGAUGAACUCUUGGACAGCCAAGAGGAAUUCCUUAUUAAGGAAAAUGAAAAGCAUGUUAAGGUGAAAAAUGCUUAUGCUCAAGAAGUAGAGAAAAAUGAAAGCUUGACUAAGGAGCUUAGCAUUUGCCAUGACACUAUUUCUAACCUUAGAACUGAGAAUGUUAGUUUAAAUGCUAAGGUUGAGAAAUUAAAUGCUUGUAAUGAUUCAAUUGCCAAUCUUAGAAAUGAGAAUGCUAGUUUAAUUGCUAAGAUUGAUAAAUUGAACGAAUCAAUUUCUAGCCUUAAGACUGAGAAUGCUAAUUUAAUUUCCAAGGCUAGAGACUUAAAUGGUUGUAAUGAUUCCAUUUCCUGUCUUAGAGAUGAAAAUGCAAUAUUACAUGCUAAGAUAGAUGAAUUAAAUGCUUGCAAACCCUCUACAUCUACAAUAGAACAUGUCGCCAUUUGUACUAGAUGUAGAGAUGUUAAUAUUGAUGCUAUUCAUGAUCACCUUGCUUUAAUUAAACAACAAAAUGAUCAUAUAGCUCAAUUAGCUAGUAAAAUCAAUGAGCAUGAGAUAGAAAAUGAAAAAUUUAAAUUUGCUAGAAGCAUGCUCUAUAAUGGGAGAUGCCCUGGCAUCAAGGAUGGCAUUGGUUUCCAACAGGGAAGCAAUGUCAAACUUAAUGCCCCUAAAAGAUUGUCUAAUUUUGUUAAGGGCAAGGCUCCCAUGGUUCAGGAUAACGAGGGCUAUAUUUUAUAUCCUGCUGGUUAUCCCGAACACAAAAUUAGGAGAAUUCAUGCUAGGAAAACUCAUUCUGUUUCUCAUCAUGCACUUAUGUAUAAGAAUGAGGCUUCUAGCUCUAGGCAAUCAACUCAUGUUAAAUUGCCUAAAAAGAAAACUCCUACCGCAUCAAAUAAACCUAAUAUUUCAUUUAAGACUUUUGAUGCUUCAUAUGUUUUGACUAACAAAUCAGGCAAAGUAGUUGCCAAAUAUGUUGGGGGCAAACACAAGGGGUCAAAGACUUGUGUUUGGGUAUCCAAGGUGCUUGUUUAUAACAUCAAAGGACCCAAUAUUGUUUGGGUACCUAAGAACAAGGCCUAAAUUGUUUUGCAGGUUUAUGCAUCCAGGGGCUCAAGUUGGAUUAUUGAUAGCGGAUGCACAAACCACAUGACAGGGGAGAAAAUGAUGUUCUCCUUCUACGAGAAAAACGAAGAUCCCCAAAGAGCUAUCACAUUUAGGGAUGGAAAUCAAGGUUUGGUCAAAGGACUUGGUAAAAUUGCUAUAUCACCUGACCACUCUAUUUUCAAUGUUUUUCUUGUAGAUUCUUUAGAUUACAAUUUGCUUUCUGUUUCUCAAUUAUGUAAAAUGGGCUACAACUGACUUUUUACGGAUAUAUGUGUUACUGUCUUUAGAAGAAGUGAUUAUUCAGUAGCAUUUAAGGGAGUAUUAGAGGGUCAGCUAUACUUAGUUGAUUUUAAUAGAGCUGAACUCGUACUUGCUUAAUUGCUAAGACUAAUAUGGGUUGGCUCUGGCAUCGCCGACUAGCCCAUGUUGGGAUGAAGAAUCUUCACAAGCUUCUAAAGGGAGAGCACAUUUUGGGACUAACCAAUGUUAAUUUUGAGAAAGACAGGGUUUGUAGCGCAUGUCAAGCAGGAAAGCAAGUUGGCGCCCAUCAUCCACACAAGAACAUCAUGACGACUGACAGGCCGCUUGAGCUACUCCACAUGGAUCUAUUUGGCCCGAUAGCUUACAUAAGCAUCGGCAGGAGUAAGUACUAUCUAGUAAUUGUGGAUGAUUAUUCUCGCUUCACUUGGGUAUUCUUUUUGCUGGAAAAAUCUCAAACCCAAGAAACUUUAAAGGGAUUCUUGAGACGAGCUCAAAAUAAGUUCGGAUUAAGGAUCAAUAAAAUAAGAAGCGACAAUGGGAUGAAGUUCAAGAACUCUCAAAUUGAAGGCUGUCUUGAGGAGGAGGGCAUCAAGCAUGAGUUCUCUUCUCCCUACACACCUCAACAAAAUGGUGUAGUGGAGAGGAAGAAUAGAACUCUACUGGACAUGGCAAGGACCAUUCUUGAUGAGUAUAAGACACCGGACCGGUUUUGGGCGGAAGCAAUCAACAUUGCUUGCUACUCCAUCAACCGGUUCUACCUUCACCGAAUCAUCAAGAAGACAUCAUAUGAACUCCUCACCAGUAAAAAGCCUAAUGUUUCAUAUUUUAGAGUCUUUGGUAGCAAAUGUUUUAUUCUUGUUAAAAGAGAUAGAAAAUCUAAAUUUGAUCCUAAGGUUGUAGAAGGCUUUUUACUUGAUUAUGACUCAAACACAAGGGCAUAUAGAGUCUUCAACAAAUCCACUGGAUUAGUUGAGGUUUCUUGUGACAUUGUGUUUGAUGAGACUAAUGGCUCCCAAGUGGAGCAACUUGAUCUUGAUGAGCUAGAUGAUGAAGAGGCUCUAUGCAUCGCGCUAAGGAACAUGUCCAUUGGGGAUGUGUGUCCUAAGGAAUCCGAAGAGCCCACUCAUGCACAAGAUCAACCGUCAUCUUCCAAUCAAGCAUCUCCACCAACUCAAGAUGAGGAUCAGGCUCAAGACAAUGAAAAAGAAGAUCAAGAGGAUGAGUCACCUUAAGAGGAGGACAAUGAUCAAGGGGGAGAUGACCAUGACAAGGACAAGGAAGAUGAGCAAGAGAUUUAGGGUCAAAGACCGCCACACCCAAGAGUCCACCAAGCGAUUCAAAGAGAUCACCUCGUGAACUCCAUUCUCGGUGAUAUUCAUAAGGGGGUAACCACUCAAUCUCGAGUCACUCAUUUUUCUGAACAUUACUCUUUUGUGUCCUCUAUUGAGCCAUACCGGGUGGAGAAUGCACUAAGAGAUUCGGAUUGGGUGCUGGCAAUGCAAGAGGAGCUCAACAACUUCACGAGGAAUGAGGUAUGGCAUUUAGUUCCACGUCCUAACCAAAUUGUUGUAGGUACCAAGUGGGUAUUCCGCAACAAGCAAGAUGAGCAUGGUGUGGUGAUAAGGAACAAAGCCCAACUUGUGGCCAGGGGAUAUUCACAAGUCAAAGGUUUGGAUUUCGGUGAAACAUAUGCACCCGUAGCUAGGCUUGAGUCAAUUCGUAUAUUACUUGCCUAUGCUACUUACCAUGGCUUUAAGCUUUAUCAAAUGGACGUGAAAAGUGCCUUCCUCAAUGGACCAAUCAAGGAAGAGGUCUAUGUUGAUCAACCUCCCGGCUUUGAAGAUAGUGAGUACCCUAACCAUGUUUAUAAACUCUCAAAGGCGCUUUAUGGGCUCAAGCAAGCCCUAAGAGCAUGGUAUGAAUGCCUGCGAGAUUUUCUUAUCACUAAUGGCUUCAAAGUCGGAAAAGCCGAUCCUACACUCUUUACUAAAACUAUUGCAAAAGAUUUGUUUGUAUGCCAAAUUUAUGUUGAUGAUAUCAUAUUUGGGUCUACUAACAAAUCUACAUGUGAAGAGUUUAGUAGGAUCAUGAUUCAAAAAUUCAAGAUGUCUAUGAUGGGGGAGUUGAAGUAUUUUCUAGAAUUUCAAGUCAACCAACUCCAAGAUGGCACCUUCAUCAGCUAAACAAAGUACAUGCAAGACAUACUUAACAAGUUUGGAAUGAAGGAUGCCAAGCCCAUCAAGACACCCAUGGGAACAAAUGGGCAUCUCGACCUCGACACGGGAGGUAAAUCCGUAGAUCAAAACGUAUACCAGUCGAUGAUAGGAUCUUUACUCUACUUAUGUGCAUCUUGACCGGAUAUUAUGCUUUCUGUAUGCAUGUGUGCAAGGUUCCAAGCCGAUCCUAAGGAUUCACCUUAGGGUCGUGAAAAGAAUCAUAAGAUAUUUAGUAUACACUCCUAAGUUUGGACUUUGGUACCCCAAGAGAUCCACUUUUGAUUUAAUAGGUUAUUCAGAUGCUGAUUGGGCAGGGUGUAAAAUUGAUAGGAAGAGCACAUCAGGGACUUGUCAGUUUUUAGGGAGAUCCCUCGUGUCUUGGGCUUCAAAGAAACAAAUCUCAGUAGCUCUUUCUACCGCCGAAGCCGAGUAUAUUGCCGCAGGUCAUUGUUGUGUGCAAUUACUUUGGAUGAGGCAAACCCUUAGGGACUAUGGCUACAAAUUGAGCAAAGUCACUCUCCUAUGUGAUAAUGAGAGUGCAAUCCACAUGGCGGAUAAUCCCGUUGAACACAGCCACACUAAGCACAUAGACAUUCGGUAUCACUUUUUGAGGGAUCACCAACAAAGGGGGGAUAUCGAGAUCGCUUAUGUUAGCACCAAAGAACAAUUAGCCGAUAUCUUCACUAAGCCAUUAGAUGAGAAAACCUUUAGCAAACUUAGGAAUGAGCUAAAUAUACUUGAUUCUCGGAAUUUUGAUUGAAACAUUGCACACAUAGCUCAUUUAUAUACCUUUGAUCAUAUCUCUUUUAUGUCUACGACUAAUGUGUUUUCAAGUGUAUUUCUAUGCUAAGUCGUAGAUUGAAAGGGAAAUGGAGUCUUCGGCGAAGACAAGGCUUCCACUCCACUCUAUCGGUAUCAUCUACCCUUCGUCGUCACUCCACAUCACUCUUCGAUUGGUAUAAUCUUCACUCAUAUUUACUUGUACCAAUGGGAGAGAAAGUAACAAAGGGCUCUCAAAGUCUCCGUUUUUGGCGAUUAAUGCCAAAGGGGGAGAAAUAUUAAGCCCAAAGCAAAAGGACCGCACCACCACCAAUUUCAAAAUUUUCAAGAAUUUUUCAAAUUGGUAUCUAAAUGUAUUUGAUCUUAUUCAAUUUGGUAUUUACAAAAAUUGGUAAAACCCUCUUGAACACUAAGAGGAGCAUUUGGUUCAGGGGGAGUUUUGUUUAGUCAAGGAAAAGCAUUUGAAACAGGGGGAGAAAUUUCAAAUCUUCAAAAUGCUUCUUGCAAUCUUAUUCAUAUACCUUUGACUAUUUGCAAAAGACUUUAAAAAAAUUCAAAAAAGAUUUGCAAAAACAAAACAAGUGGUGCAAAUGUGGUCCAAAAUAUUAAAUAGAAGAAAGCAAUCCAUUCAUAUCUAGUGAAAUUAUAAAUUGGUUUAAUUCCAAGUAACCUAUGCACUUACCCUAUGCAAACUAGUUCAAUUCUGCACUUAUAUAUUUUCUUUGGUUUGUGUUGGCAUCAAUCACCAAAAAGGGGGAGAUUGAAAGGGAAAUAGGGUUAACCUUUUCCCAAUAUUAAUUUUGGUGGUUGAAUGCCCAACACAAAUAAUGGACUAACUAGUUUUCUCUAGAGUAUAUGAUCUACAGGUGCAUAAAGGAUCAACACAAAUCAAUAAAAGAUUGAAGAUAGGGUUCGAAUACAAAGGAGCAAAGAAACCGAGUGUGCCCUGGUCUGGCGCAUCAGACUGUCCGGUGUGCCACCGGACAGUGUCUGGUGCACCAGGACCAUACAGAGUCUAAACAGCCACUCUCGGGUUUCAACCAGCGCGCUCCGCUAUAAUUCACCGGACUGUCCGAUGCACCAGCGGAGCAAUGGCUACUUCGCGCAACGGUCGCCUGCAAAAGCUGAAGAACAGAGGAACAGUACACAAACAGUGCGCGGCAGAGGCGCACCGGACAUUGAACAGUGUCUGUCCGGUGCGGCACCGGACUGUCCGGUGUCACUAGAGGACAAAGCCUCCAACGGUCAAAAGUUCUAGAACCCUAACGGUUGGGUGACGUGGCUGGCGCACUGGACAGUGUUCGGUGCGCCCAUCGACAACAGCCUACCCCAAUGGUUGUUUUGGUGGGUGAGGGCUAUAAAUACCCCUCAACCACCUGCACUCCAACCAUCCAAGCAUUCAACACUCUCCAUUCAAUACAAGAGAAAAGUGCAACACUCCACGACACAAAUCAAAGCCAUCGAUCCAAUCAAAGUCCCUAAUUCAAUUCUAGUGCAUUAGGACUUGUGAGAGGAUCAAUCGUGUUUCUUUGUUGCUCUUGUUUGCUUGGCUUGGCUUUCUUUUCUUUCUCACUUCUUACUCUCAAGUGCUUUGUAAGCGAGGCAAGAUACACCAAUUGUAUGGUGGUCCUUGCGGGGUCUAAGUGACCCGUGAGAUUAAGGAAGAAGCCUCACUCGGUCUAGGUGACCGUUUGAGAGAGGGAAAGGGUUGAAAGAGACCCGGUCUUUGUGACCACCUCAACGGGGACUAGGUUCUUUAGAACCAAACCUCGGUAAAACAAAUCACCGUGUCACCCGCUUUAUUUUCUUGGUUGAUUUGUUUUCCCCUCUCUCCCAGACUCGGAUUUUAUCCUAACGCUAACUCCGGCUUGUAGUGUGUUUAAAGUUGUAAAUUUCAGUUUCCGCCUAUCCACCCCCCCUCUAGGCGACUUUUAGAAAGUUCGAUUGAAAAAUAUAAAGCCAGACCAUUUGGUGCUUUGGAGGAUAGCCAACCCAGAUACAGUGGGCAAGCUACAGCUGAAAUGGAAGGGUCCUUUUCUGGUAGUAUCUUCGUCAAGACCUGGUUCUUACAGAUUGAAGGAUAUGGACGGCAACGACAUACCUAGAUCUUGGAAUGCGGAUGAGCUUUGGCGGUAUUAUGUGUAAUUGAUGUAAUCUUUUUUAUUUUUUCCUAUGGCACCCUUUUCCUUUUAGGAGGGGAGAAAGGUUUUUAAUGGGGCCAUAGUUUGUAAUUUUCAUUCUUAUUUGGCCCUAUGCAAUACAAGGGCCAAAAUCCCCCAAAAAUGUAACAUGUAAUAUCAGAACAUGCACCAUCGAGUGCAAAAGAAAACAGGGAAAAGCUCAAAAGUCGUCCCUAAGGGGAUGCAGAGCUGUAAUUACCCCAAGGAUGAUGAAGCUGCAAAAGUCGUUCCUAAGGGAGCACAGAGUAAGUUCCGAAGCUGCAAAAGUCGUUCCUAAGAGGGCGCAGAGUAAGUUCCGAAGCUCAAAAGUCGUUCCUAAGGGAAUGCAGAGCCAAAAUACCACCAAAAUAAAAGAAGAAGCUCCAAAUUCAGUCCUAAGGGGAUGUAGAGCUUAAAUGCCACCGAAAUAAAAGGUGAAGAAGCUCCAAAGUCGUUCCUAAGGGGAUGUAGAGCUUAAAUGACACCGAAAUAAAAGGUGAAGAAGCUCCAAAGUCGUUCCUAAGGGAAUGCAGAGCUUAAAGACUCUGAAUUCGUUCCUAAGGGGAUGCAGAGUCUGGGUGCGGCUUCGUGUGUGUAUGGAUCAUACAUUUGCAUAUUACAUUACAUCAUUCAUUGCAUUCAUACAGACAUUCAUUAGACAUUCGUAGGAUCAUCAUCAUCAUGACAUGAAGCACGAACAGAAAUAGUCCGGCUUCGGCGACAAAGUGUUUUGUUGAACACGAAGAAGCUUUGUUUCAAAUAUGAAUACAUGCAUUUUAUGCAAGGGAAUGCUUCAAUGUGUACGAAAAGAAGGGAAGGUGUUUUUCGCCUUCGGCUCAAAAGACGCGAAUUUCGUCCACAGCAAAGCAAUUCGUACAUGGACGGAAAGGUAAAAUUAUAUUACAAGGUAUGGACAAAUAUAUACAGUAUUGAGUUUAACUCUUGAUUACAAUUUUUGCAAAAAUAAUGCAAAACAUUUCCUAAGUUCUAUACAGGAAGGCACAAAAGGAAGCUUCAUCUCGGUAACCUUCGGAAUGUGCUUUGGGUUAUUAACCUUCGACACCUCCAUCCUGCAGACAAACAAUGGUAUAAGGUAAAAGUGAUUUAAAAAUCAAGGCAAGCAACAGGUAUAAGUUUCGUACUGGUUUAAGCAGACUUCGAGCUUCGUCUCCAGCCAACUCUCGUCCGCCUUUAGCCCAAAUCUGAGUGAUGAAUCUAUUUCCGAUGCUUCGGGCUUCACCGGGGAUGUUAAUAAGGUCUGAUAGUGAUAAGCUGAAGGUUGACUUGUUCAUUGUUUUUGCAUGCAUGCAUCCGGCCUUCAAGAAUGCAGCAGUUGUGCCGCGAGAAGCUAACAAAGCACAGAAGUCACCGUGCCCAGUUAUCACUUCAUCGAGCGCAUCAACUUCAUUUUCAAUGUGCUUGAAGGUAUCUAAUAUGUCUUCAGCCGAAGGGGUAAUAUCUUUAGAGCUAGCCCCGACCGAGCUGAAGACUCCUUUUAACCGUUGCACGCAGCGGCUGCCAAAUUCCAAGCAUGUGUUCCGAAUGUCCCUCAGAGAUUCUUGUAGCUUUGAGUUUUUAUCAGCUUUGGCUUCAUAUUUUGCUUGCAGUUCCUUCUUCUCUUGUUCGAAGCACUCUGAUUUUCCUUUUAAGAUUGUUUGAGUUCGGAGAAGCUCUUUGCUUAACCUAGCAUUUUCAGCUUGAAUCUCUGCAAGUGAACCUUCUGUUGCUUGAAGCAGGAAGUCCUUCUUUUCAAGAGAAGCUUUGUAAUCUUUAAUCUUGCUUUCCAAGCCCUCAAUUAUAAUUUCAUUUUUCUUAUCUUCAAGGUCUUGUUGCAUUCUUAAUGCUUUACUUAGCAGCAUACUCUAUGAAAAUAAGUUGACUUCAGAAAAUUUUAAUUCAUCACAAAGAUAACAAAAAUCUAGGCAAAAGAAUUUUACCUUAAAAUUGGAGUAAAAGAGACUGCGGACGAUAUGUUGCCGCCGGUAGCCGCUUAUAUCACACUCAAGCUUCGAAAAACCGACACUCUUUGAUAGAGUGCCGAUUAUUUUUGACCCGGCACGAUCGCGAAUACAUCCCAAGGCUUCUUCGUCAAUUCCACCAAAAAGCAUAACUCCUCGCUGGUAGCCACAGGAUAUCCCAUAUUCCAUUAGCUCCUUUUUCUCAGCCUCGGACAAUUCUUGACCCACCAGGUUCCGAAGGUCAAAAUCUUUUUCUUCUAAAGCAGCAUCAGCAAUUUUUUCCUUUGUCAGGCACUGCGGCCAUGAUCUUCUCUGCAGUUGCAGACGUCUCUUCUGCAGCCAUAUCCGAAAGAAGUUUAUCAAUUCCUAAUAGUGUACUUGCUAGAUUGGUAGCUUCGGCAGCAGCUGUAGCUUCGGUAGAGGUUUCAGCUUCGGCAGUGGCCUCGGCACUUGCGACAGGUACUAUUCUGGACGUCGAGGCCAGAUGUGGUGUCCGCUCAACAGCUUGCAUAACAUUAACAUUUCUUCACUUUUUCUGACCCUUAGUCUUCUCCUUUACGGCCAAGGGUUGAUCCUUCUUCUGUAAAAGUUUCGUCAGUUCUGGUCCCAGAGGACUUAGCAGCUUGAUGGGUAAGGAUUCAGUCAUUACCUUUAAAAUUAUUUUUAUUUCAGCAGCAGGAGGUGUUGAAGGAGUCUCUUCUGUUGCCUCAGUUACCUUCGGCUCUGGAGCUUCAGCCUUCCUCUUUUUUGAAACUGCCGCCUUCGGCUCAGGAGUGGAUUUUGUCUUCUUAGAAAUUUUCUCAUCUUCCUUAACCAUUCUGACAGCUUGCCUGCUUAGAAUGCUGACAACCUUUUUUUUCUUUUUACCCCUUCGACCCCCUUGUCAAGUUUUUCAUAAUCAGGGUAGUCAAAAUUUAAGGCGUCCAUUACCCGGUUCAAUCUUCGUUUCAGGCGGGUACCGAAGGCUAUGGUCAUCAGCUGAUCUUCGUUCUUGGUAUAAUUCCCAAGUAUCUCAUUGCACAUGGUCUCAAUCAUGUCUAGCCAUUCUUUGCAAGGCUUCUUGAAUUGUUUUUCAAACUUAAAACGGUAAGCAAGUCGAACAAGUCCAUGCUUCUUCCCCACUUCUUUCCUCUUCGGCAUUCCCCAGCCACUUGACGUUGGAUAUGUUCUGUUUGCAAAGUAUUCUUGCACCAAGUCCCUAGUACUGAUCUGCUCAGCUACCACUCUAAAUUCUACUUCAGCCAACUGACAGGGUGACCCCAGUUGCAUAUUGCAUAAGGGUCUGGUUAUUUCGAAGCUUAAAGUCAGUGGACUCAUGACCAUGGUCGUCAGCUUCUCCCUCUUUUUCUCGUUAGCCUUCAUAUAGAACCACUCACUUUUCCAGCCAGUUGGCCACUUCGUGUGGUAGCUAAGAACUGGUGCCUUUGUAUCCUUUUGAUAUGCAAAAUUGUAACAGCCAAAAUUUUCAUGAAGGCCAUCUACCCUGGCCUUCGUCUGGUAAUGCAGUUCGUGCACUCGGCAGAAAGCUUCGGCAUCUGGACUCAUCCCUUGGCUUCGGAGGGCCCAGAUAUAGACACUGAGUCUAACAAUAGUGUUGGGAGUCAGCUGAUGAAGAUAUAUCUCAAAGUUCAAUAAAACUUCUCCAAUCAUAACAUUUAGGGGGGACCGAAGCCCUGCUCUAAAGAAGCUCUUAAAAACGACAACUUCAUCCUCUUUCGGCUCCAGAAUUACCUCUUCCCCGGCAAAUCGAACAAGUUUGCUCUCAGCCUCUCCAAAAUACCCCAAUUUCAUCAUCAUAGGCAUGUCAUCUUCUGUUACAGUGGAUUUUUCAAAUUCAAGAUGACUAGGCUUUGUCGGGUUCAGAAUGUUGUAGUCUUAUUCACUCUCAUCAUCAUUCUCACCAACCACAGCUUGUUCAGCUUCGGCAUUGGAAGCACCUUCGGUAAUAGGCCCUUCUGGCACAAUUGGUGUUGUUUCAGUUACGUCGACUUCGUCUCCCUCGCGAGACACUCUAGCAGUUGAUCGUACUCUGGUCAUUUCAAUGAUUUCACCUUUUGACGAAGCUAACCUUAAACGAUGAAGCGUUUGCUCAAGAGCGCAAUGCAGAAAGCUUCGGUUAUGGUCAAAAAUUUUAACAGCACAACAGUGCAAUGACAAUGAAUGUUGUGGUAACUCCUCACCAACCCGUCUGUUUAUAUAGUGCUGCAGGGGGGGAGGUGAACCGUCAGGCCGCUCGCACUCGCUGAACGGUGGACCGUCCGACGCCUGGAAUAUUAUAAUCGUUUCUCUGCAACGAGCUCAGGGAAGGUGUUUUCGGACCUUCGGCAUUCCGAAGCCUUCGGGUUUUUCACGGAUCGAGCUCGUUACGAAAAACGAUCUAACAUCGCGAAGGGGCUACUGUUGGGGGCCUUCUUCUCCGCCGAAGGUCCUCUAAGCAAAAACACCUUCGGCAGAACAAUACACAAGGAGGUGUGACAUGAAGAUGUAAGCCGAAGCUACCAUUGAAGGAGCUUCGGCAUGGUGACGCGCUAAAGACGAAGGAUGUUAUCGACUUAAAGAGGAAAAGACUGUAUAGCCCUUGAUAGUUUGUAUUGUAAUUAUAAUCAGCCAUCAGGGUCAUGGAUGUAAUUUUGUCGGGGCUGUGUCCCGAGCCUAUAAAUAGAUGAACAGUACACUCGUACUAUUCACGCUGACUUGUAAUCACUCUCGCGUGACUCUCGCUUUUUCACCUUCUGUCAAGCCGAAGGUACAAAUGUAAUAUAAAUAUCGUUGAUGUUUAUUCAUGUUUAUAUAAAAUAAGAAUAAGAAUAGUCUAAUGAUUUGAAAUGAUUACUCAUAUUCCCUUUGUGCUUCGUAUGUUUCUGUUUACAUUUUUGCUUACUGAAAUGAUGAAGCUAUGUCCUUCAUGACCUUCGUCUGAAGAUCAUUAUAUCCUAAGGGAAAUAAUGCUUCGAAGGACGAAGGUCACUAAUCAUUAACAAUUGUGUUGCUUUGUUCUUGGUAUUUAGCAUCUGAGAACAAGGACCAAUAUGUAUUAAUAAAUAUUUUUAAGAACUACAAAUACCAAACAAAUUCACAGGUCAUUCUCUUCCUCAUCCCCACAUAAUGCAGCGGAAAAUCUUGCUUUUAUUCCCGUCAUAGGUUCCGCGCAAUAGCUUGCUAGUGGUCGCACUCUUGGUCGGCAUUCACGAGCGGGUAGAGACAUCGACACUAGAUUUACCUGACCUCCACUAUCAUAGAGGACCAUGUAGUGUUCCUUGCUGGAUAGAUAAAGGAGGGAGAACUCUAGCGUAGCGAACGCUUAGACUAUCUACACUCAUACUACUCUAAAUUAGUACUUUAAAACAAAUAUUUUAGGGGUAUCUGCUAGUCAUAUAGUGUAAAUGUGCAACGAAUCUUCUAGGGGAUGCAAACGAGACCUCUCUCAUCCAUAUAUUAUUGUAUAUUGUAGGACGGUAGUUAGGAGGCUUCACAAAAAAAUGGAGGAGUGAUCUAACUGAUGUAACAUCUUAAAUAUAUAAUACUACAAAAUAUGUCAUUGCAACAAAACACGUCCUGAAUUGAAUCGAGGUUCACAACCGAAUAACCUGAAUUGAAUCGAGGUUCACAACCGAACAAGACCUUACUUUGUAUUUAACUUUGUGUUGAUGAAGUACUCUUUACACCUUCUCGAUAUGGAUAGCCUUAGACUGUUCAAGCAACGUCCUCUAUAUCUACUAUUUAUAUGACUAUAUCUGUCCUUCACAACUCUAAAAAAUUAUCCUCUAUAUUUACUUCAUCUCCAACAACGUUCUCUAAUUCACGUCCUAUGUAUAUAAAUACCUAUCUUAAAUAGAUAGAUAAAAUGAGAGAGAAACCCUAUAUAUAGAGAAUUUAGAUUAGAAAUUAGAGGACAAAAAAUAUUAUCUAUAAUUUAGAAUUUAGAGUACAUGAACUAAAGGUCUAUUGGAGCGCCUUAGAUAGCCUUAGCACAAUAGUGUACCCUAAAACUCUAUCCAUUUUAAUAUACGUAUGUAGCAAAUUAGAAGUAAUAUUGUCUCUGUAUUUACAUUGUAUUUACAUGUAGCACGAGAUUAACGUAUAGGACGAGAUUUAAAAAACGCUACUGGACAAGAAAAAAAGAAGAGUUUCUCUUGCUAAUGGAUAGAGAAAAUUGUAGUAGAUAAAUGAUUCAGAAACCAAUCCAAACGACCCUACAAAACUUCCAAAACAGACAAAACUAAGGGGGGAAAGAAACAUACUGAAGAAAACUAACUAUACGACUUCCUAAAAUCAAUUUAACAAUGCCAAAAGGUUAACAUAUAGGUCUUAGAGCAUUCUUGUAUUGCAAAAGGUGAAAUAGCAAGAUGGUACCAAAUAAAUAGAUAAAAGUGCACAUGCUAACAGAUCUCAACAGUUCACACGAUAACAGCAACGAUCACAAACAAAACUUGUGAUGAUGAAAACUAGGUAUUGCUAAAGCAGGCGCAGGAUCGCAUCAUUUCUUCUUGGCAGCCGCCUUGGUCACCUUGGCGCCGGUCGGGUCCUUCUUCUCCACACUCUUGAUAACUCCAACAGCAACCGUCUGCCUCAUGUCACGGACAGCAAACCUACCAAGGGGAGGAUACGCUGAGAACGUCUCCACCACCAUGGGCUUGGUCGGUAUCAUCUUCACCAUACCAGCAUCACCGUUCUUCAGGAACUUUGGCUCCUUCUCAAGCUCCUUGCCAGACCGCCUGUCGAUCUUGGUAAUGAGCUCAGCAAACUUGACAGCAAUGUGGGAGGUGUGGCAGUCCAGCACUGGGGCAUAGCCGUUGCCAAUCUGCCCAGGGUGGUUCAUGAUGAUGACCUGGGAGGUGAAGCUGGCAGCCUCCUUGGCAGGGUCAUCCUUGGAGUUGGAGGCCACAAACCCACGCUUGAGAUCCUUGACAGCAACGUUCUUCACGUUGAAGCCAACAUUGUCACCCGGAAGAGCCUCCUGAAGCGCCUCGUGGUGCAUCUCAACAGACUUCACCUCGGUAGUCAGGCCAGUUGGACCAAAGGUGACAACCAUACCAGGCUUGAUGACACCAGUCUCCACACGACCAACCGGUACAGUUCCAAUACCACCAAUCUUGUACACAUCCUGGAGGGGCAGACGCAGGGGCUUGUCUGAAGGCCUCUUGGGCUCGGUGAUCUGGUCAAGAGCCUCAAGCAGGGUUGGGCCUUUGUACCAGUCAAGGUUGGUGGACCUCUCAAUCAUGUUGUCACCCUCAAAACCAGAAAUGGGAACAAAGGCAAUCUUAUCAGGGUUGUACCCAACUUUCUUGAGGUAGGAUGAGACUUCCUUCACAAUCUCUUCAUAACGUGCCUUGGAGUAUUUGGGAGUGGUUGCAUCCAUCUAAAAAACAGAACACCAUUACUUUGAUUAUCCACGGUACAUAGAUAGUAUAUGCUUGGAACAGAAUAAUACUAUUAGCUUAAUGGAAUAAUAAAGGACAUGAACAGCAGGCAAACUGUGGAUGUGAUACCACAGCAG